rnacentral:lncRNA from 1 species
UAGGUUUUCCCCAUUUCAAGAGUUUGGAACAUUUGGAUAUGGAUUACACGCGCAUUGCACUCAACACCAGCUUUCUUCAAAUCAUCGGUGAAUCGAUGCCUUCUCUUAAGUACUUAUCACUGUCAUAUUCUAAUCUUAGCACUAACAGCAGCAGGAUUCUUGAUCAAGGUUAAUGAGAUGCUGCCACCCUCCCCUCUUAAUCUGUAAUAUUAAUUUUCAAUUCAAUAUUUAAUUACACAAACCAAUCACUUCUAUAUAAAAGAAUACUAUGCUUUUGUUAAAUUUUUUUAUUGUACUGAUGGAUAAAUUAAUAAAUUUUCAGGCCUCUGUUCGUUGGUGCAUCUGCAAGUGUUGUACAUUUAUAAUAAUGAUCUGAGAGGCAGCUUGCCUUGGUGCUUGGCAAAUAUGACAUCCCUCCGAUUAUUAGAUGUUUCUUCCAAUCAACUUACUGGAAGCAUCUCCUCAUCUCCCCUCAUUCAUUUGACAUCCAUUGAAGAGCUGAUGCUUUCAAACAAUCACUUCCAGAUCCCAAUUUCACUUGAACCACUUUUCAAUCACUCAAGACUCAAGAUUUUCAAUGCUUAUAACAAUGAAAUAAAAGCUAAAAUAACUGAGUCACAUUCUUUGACCGCCCCAAACUUCCAAUUAUCACGUCUCUCAUUGUCUUCCAGUUACGGAGACGGUUUCAUAUUCCCCAAAUUCCUUUACCAUCAACAUGACCUGGAGUAUGUUGAUCUCUCACACAUAAAGAUGAAUGGAGAAUUUCCAACUUGGUUGUUGGAAAACAACACAAAAUUAGAAACUCUUUCUCUCGUCAAUGAUUCUCUUGGAGGACCUUUUCGGUUGCCAAUUCAUUCACACAAGCGGUUAGGAAUGUUGGAUAUAUCCAACAACAACUUCCGAGGCCACAUUCCAGUAGAAAUUGCAGAUGUUUUACCAAGUUUAUACGCUUUCAACAAUUCCAUGAAUGCUUUAGACGGUAGCAUUCCCUCUUCAUUUGGUAAUAUGAAAUUCCUCCAAUUUCUGGACUUAUCCAACAAUCACUUGACUGGUGAAAUUCCCGAGCACUUGGCCGUGGGUUGCGUCAACUUGAGGUUUCUUGCGUUAUCAAAUAACAACCUACAAGGUCACAUGUUCUCUAGAAAUUUUAACUUGACAAACUUGAAAUGGUUACAAUUGGAGGGCAAUCGCUUCGUAGGUGAGAUCCCACAAAGUUUGUCUAAAUGCUCCUCACUAGAAGGAUUGUAUCUUAACAAUAAUAGUCUUUCGGGUAAGAUUCCACGAUGGUUGGGUAAUCUCACAAGGUUACAAUGUAUUAUAAUGCCCAAUAAUCAUCUUGAAGGCCCUAUUCCAGUGGAGUUUUGUCAGCUUGAUUUGCUUCAGAUUUUGGACAUUUCAGACAACAACAUAUCUGGAAGUUUACCAUCUUGUUUCCAUCCUCUCUCUAUCAAACAAGUUCAUCUUUCAAAAAAUACGUUACAUGGACAACUAAAAAGAGGUACAUUCUUUAAUUGCUCUUCCCUUGUGACAUUAGAUCUUAGCUAUAACCGCUUGAAUGGCAGCAUUCCGGAUUAGGUUGAUGGGCUUUCUCAGUUAAGCCACCUUAUCUUAGGUCACAAUAAUCUUGAAGGUGAAGUGCCAAUUCAAUUGUGCGAAUUGAACCAACUACAAUUGUUAGAUCUUUCUAAUAAUAAUCUUCACGGUCCUAUUCCUUCUUGCUUUGAUAACACCACACUUCAUGAAAGUUACAGCAAUAGUUCUAGUCCUGAUGAGCAAUUUUAAAUAUCUUUUUUCAUCCAAGAAACUCAAGGAUAUGUAGAAAAGCAAAUCCAUGAAAUUUUUGAGUUCAUAUAUGUAGAAAAGCAAAUCCGUGAAAAAUUUGAGUUCACAACAAAGAACAUUGCGUACAUUUACCAAGGAAAAGUGCUUAGCCUCCUAUCAGGACUUGAUCUUUCUUGCAACAAGCUAAUCGGUCCUAUUCCUCUUCAAAUUGGAAAUUUGACAAGGAUUCAAACAUUGAAUCUAUCACACAACAACUUGACAGGAUCGAUCCCAUCAACAUUUUCAAACUUGAAGUAUGUCGAAAGUUUGGAUCUUUCCAACAACAAAUUGAAUGGGAAAAUCCCUCAUCAACUAGUGGAGUUAAAGACAUUGGAGGUUUUCAGUGUGGCAUACAAUAACUUAUCAGGCGAAAUUCCAGAAUGGACUGCACAAUUUGCAACCUUCAAUGAGAGUAGCUAUGAGGGAAAUACUUUUCUUUGUGGAUUGCCAUUGCCCAUUUGCAGAUCACCAGCAACUAUGUCGGAGGCUUCAAUUGGCAAUGAACGAGAUGAUAAUUUAAUUGACAUGAACAGUUUCUUUAUCACAUUUACAACAUCGUACGUAAUUGUGAUAUUCGCAACUGUUAUUAUUUUAUAUGUAAAUUCUUAUUGGCGACGUAGAUGGUUUUACUUUGUUGAAAUGUGGAUAACUUCAUCUUACUAUUUUGUUGUAGACAAUCUUAUUCCAACAAGAUUUUGUCAUUGAAAUUAAUUAGUAGCUUAAUUACGAUUCUUUAAGUACUAAUCAAGUUUGCUUAGGAAAUAUUUUUUUAUUAAAAUUGUAGUAGUAUUUAGCAUUAUAUAGCUUCCAACUUCCAAGCACUUCACAUUUGUCUCUACACUUAAAAAACUGAGUAAUCAUGUUUUGCAGAUCUGUCCACCAUAACUUAUAGCUUCCCUAUACUGUGCAGCAUACUUAAAUAAGAGAACCAUCUCCAAUGUUAAAAGCAUUCACUCUAUAACAUUCAUUUAGAAACUAUAUUCAGAAUAAUUUUAUAAUUAAACACGAGAAAUGAAACACAUAGAUACACUUGAUCGCCUAUUUUACUCUAAAAAAGAACGAUUAUUGUGCUAUCAUCAUCUUCUUCACUAGCAACAUUAACACCAAAUCGAUGGACCCAUACAUUUCAUCAAGAAAGGUAUAUAUCCAAUAAAGUUGAAGCCUAACAAAAAAUUCAAGAAGAUUAAUGCCUCGCCACAACAAGGGGCACAACAACAUCAAAGUAGAGAUUAAGCAGUAUUCUCAAAGCUAAAACUCUCAAAUCCACCCACCAGAAUUUCAUAUCUCCUCAACAAUUUUAAGAACUAAAGAUAAUUAGGAUUUAACAUUAGUUUUUUAUAUAUUAGUUUCAUAAUUUACAAAUCAAUGAAGAUGAAGAUUAUGCUAAUAAAUUCAAAUUAUACCAUACAUUCUCUAGAUGUUACCAAAAAUUUCUAAGUCAAUCCCACAUAUUUCAUAAUUUUAAGACUAGAAAAUUUCACUAGUUAGAAGUUUCAUUACCUUCAAGUGGAAGAUAAAGAACAUUAUACAAGUGAUUCAGAUUAUAUCAUACAUACUCCAAAUGCAACUAGAAAUUAACAAGUUCAUGCGCACAUAUUUCAUAACAUUAUGAUUGAAAAGUUUCACAAAGAGAAAUUCUAAAUUCAAUCUCUUGCAUGAAGGCAGUUUGAUUGAUUUGAGUUACUUUCUUAUCAAGCUACUAAUAUAACAUUCAAGUCAGGGAGAAAAUAAAUUAAAACUGGGAAGAAAUAAUAGUAAAAAUUUGUUGCUCAACAUGAUGUGUAUUUUUUUUCAAGGCAAUUUGGAAACACAAUUGUUACUACAGAUAUUCUUCUCAACUUGGAGAUAAAUACAAAUAUUAAAAUGCAUAUGAUCGCACAUAUUACUUCGAGUUUAGUAAGAUUUCAUUAAAAGAAGCAAUCAAACCACUUAUCAAUUGUCGCAGUCGUUCUAUAAACUAAAAUAGCAAUAUAAUACAAGAAAAAGAACAUAUAGAUACUUGGCAAGAGUUCAUUAAGAAGUCGCAUCACAUUCGGGUGAGGAGUUUGCUUCUGAUAUCUUGCUAGCUGGGGCUUUUUCUUGUCUUUCUACGUAUGCCGAGGGAAACCAACCAGCUUGGCCCUUGCAUUCACCUUCCGACCAUCCAAUAGGAGCCACCUUGAGAAGUUAUAACUAAAACGGUGAAUUAAACAAAAGUUGACCGUUCAAAGACCUAAGGGGAAAACUAAUUCUUUUACGUAGGAGGAGUGAAUUAGUUGUGAUCACUGAAAUAACAGCAUAACUAUGGAAGCAUAACAAGAUAUAAAUUCACACGUCUAUAAGGAUAAACUGGGUGGUUCAGAACUGAGCUAGCAACCCUACUAUAUUCUGAUUUGCACUUCAAUGUAAAAGGGAAUAUAUGGUAGGAAGAAAGAAAACCAACCAUCAUUUGUUAACUCAUUGCUUUUCAAUCAAAAUUUUAAGAACAAAAUGCCAUGUGCUUUGAACAUCAAAUAAGUAUAAGCAUUAGUUCUAAAUUCCACAUAUCAUAAGUUGUUAGAAGGAUAAGUUAAUAGCAGAGUAGAAAAAUCUAUGUGUUGGUAUUUAGAGGGGAAAGUACCUGGCGAAUCACAACAUAAUCAUCAAUUGAAAGACUUAGCUCUCCAUUUGCUUGAGCAUCAAAUGGAUGUAUAACCUGCAAGAUAAUGGGAUAAAUAGAACUUAAAAAAAGCAUAACAAAAGCAGCAACAGUAGCAGCAACGUUCAUUGUAACCACUAUGAUCAUGGCCAACAAAGAUAUAUUAGAAACAAAAUUCCAUUUUUACUACGACAUUAAUAUGUACUAUACAAAUUCUAAUAAGUUCUGUAUAACUUUAUGUAGUUAUUUAAAUUAUGGAUCAGAUUUUAAAUUUGAAAUUUUGACUGCUCUCCACAAAACAUGGCCUAUGCACAAGAAAGUCAUAGAUAAUGAGGAUUACAAGUGUCCGGCAUCUUUUGAGUGAUGGAUUUAACAUGAGAGCUUAUGGUCAGUCAAUUUCCUCUGCCUAGCAAUAUAAGCUUUCUCGGCCAGAUUUAUCAUCAAAUACAUAGAUUGCCCCCAAGUCACAUCCAUAUAAACAUAGUUUUUCUAGGUAAACCAAGUAAGGAGUAUCAUAAUUCAGACAUAAUCAUAAAAAGGCCCAUCUAAAUUAAGAGAAAAUCUCAAAAAGAGGGAUGCUGAGCUAUCAGUCUUGUAUCUAUAAGCAAUAUCAAGACUUUACAUCACCUGCUACAUCGUGAGUGGCUACACAACUUUCAGUGGUUUGUCUUUCUUUGGCACGCCUAACUCAGCUUUGAUGUUAGUGAGAUAUUGAUAGUAGAGACACAUGAUACUUCUAGCUCAUGCAUUCUAUCUAACCCAUCCAACAACUAUCUCUUUUUUAAUUCAUUAGUGUUUGCUAAACCUCAUGCUUAAAAGUCCUAUUCUCCUUAGCACCACAGUUGGACACUUGUAGAGCAAUUUUAUUUGGGGGAAAAGAAUUUUCAAGGUGUUAACUAAUAAAUUUUAAAAAAUAAUUACAAUUUGUCCUACGAUCAUAUGACAAUUUAUCUGGGAUGAAAGGAUACAGAUAGACAUCUUCCACUUUCAAGACUAAUCACUACUUCCAUAGAUGUUGUGCAAUAAUACAAAUACUUGACCAGAUGGUAGUGAUGGUAGAAAAAAAUUUUAUUGCUCCAAAAUUAAAAUAAGAAUGCAAUAUGUUAAGCAAAAGGCUGUGCAACAUCAAAUUAAUUGAUAAGUUUGUAAUUCAGUAAAUUAACAACUUUCGUGGUAAAAUACAACAAAUUUCUUUUGAAAAAAAUAAAAAAAAUAAAUCUUAAAAGACAGCAUUCAAUUUUGUGCGCAUCUUAUUUCUUAAGAUUUUUCAGGAGGAGGGCAAUAGAGGGACUUUCACCUAUGCAAGAGAGCAGAAGCCUUACUUUCCCUAUAAAGUAGACGUCAUUCUGAUUAAUAUGCGUUUGCAAAUCAGCUCCGUUUGAAUCAGUAUUCUGAUAGACACACGAGCCAUUUACAUCCAUUUCCAAAGUCACAUGUUGCGAGGAGGACUCAUUUGAUUGCUCCUAUACGAUCAUCUAAUUCAAGUAGCAAGGGUUGGAAGAGAAUAAAAAGUCACAAUUAUUCUUUUGCAUAAGUGAGACGAAAAUGAUAAAUGCAAUAUUAUCAGCAGUAAACAAGAAGAGAACGCUCCAAGAAAUAGAUAGAUGCAGACAAGCAAGUUAAAAUGCAUAGUCCCAAACCUCCGCAUACAACUUCUCUAAAAUAGCAAUAACGUGUUGAUGCUAUGUUUUCUCAGCAUCUACCUGCAAAGGCCCGAGACCAGGAAAACAACAAUAAAACCACUAGCUGAAGGAGAAAGCAAAGAAAGAAAUACACUUGACAUAAAUCUUGACAAGAAGCACAAUUUAAGACAUAACAAACCCCAAUCAUAUUGUUUAGAACUACCAUUCGUUAUUUCGUUAUUGUAACAUUUCGAACAAGUGUUGACUUAAUUCAACAUUGUUGGAAAGAUGGGCUUUUAGAAGCAGAAGAAAGCCUCUCAAACCAAAGUGCUUGUCCUUGUAUUGAUCAAGGGAUGUAAACAUAUUACAUUUGCAGGAUGAGAUUUAAUCACUCCCCUGAUUUAUUUGGGUUGCAGUAAAACUAAGCGAGCAACUGUUUGACUUCCAAGCAACAGCUAAAUCAGCUAUUAAAAUUCAAAUAAAAUCAUAAUAGAAUAAUAACAGGCCAUCUUGCAUCAAAAAUUAAGUUUAAUUUGUGAAUUGUUUUCUAUAGACAUGUCAGUUUCUGCUAUUGAAAUGUUAAAAGCAUUGAAAAAUUAUUCAAUAAAUUAUGCAAGCAUUAAAAUAGAGGACAUAUUAAAAAGUUUCUAAUUACAAUGUUAAUAUUUCCUAUAUUCUAGCAUUUGCAUAUUUUAAUUUAUUUAAAAGCUACGUCGAUCAACUUUGGGCAUGAAGAUUUUAGCUUCUACGAGACUUGCUUGGAAUAUGCACAAGAGUGUUAAAAUAUGAUGCAUCCAACGAAAGACAAACCACGUGUAGUCUUUUAAUUAAGCCAAAGUAGCAGCUCAAACAAAUGACACUUGGACCAACAUGCAAUCAUGAAGUGGCCGGAAAAAGGACAAAUGCUACUUUGGCUUAAAUAAAAAAUAACAUGUGACUUGACUUUUGCUGGACAUGCAUCAUGUUAUUACAAGACAACAGAAAUCAGUAUGAUAGUACUAAAAGUUGACAAUAACAUGAAGAUAAGAGGCAGACUGUCAACACAUGCAUAGGCACACACAAGAAAGUAUUAACUUCUAUACCAUAGCAAAAAGUCUUUGAUAUGUCAUCUGUUGCUGCUGUGAUUCAACUGACAGCAUGGCAGCUGUUGCUUCUCUACCAAGAGCCAUUAUUGUAGAUUUAAGCUCCGUCUAUCUUGCUUCUGCAUUUCGAAGCUUCACAGCACUCUCUGCUGAUAUAUCAGAUUCCCUAAUCUUUGAUCGGCGCCUAAAUACUUCAGCUGCCUGGUGAAAAUAUUCAAUAUAAAUCUAACAUAAUUCUAAUCUUGCCUUAUACAUGCAUAUGUUACCUCAAAGCUUACCUGGGCUUCAACUUCAUGUCGAAGUUUGUCAUAACGAUGAGUCAGGUGUCGAGCAUCUUCCAAAGGUGUUCCGUUGAUUAACGCCCGUAGUGGCUCAGGUACCUACAUGUCCAAAAACCUGUAACAUAGUUAGAAAAAUGAAAAGAAAGAGCGAAACCUCAAUUAAAAAGUUCCUCCAACAUAAUCAUGGAAUUUGGGCCUACUUCAAGGAUAUAUAUAAGGAUAAUUUAUGCAAUUUUGGGUCUGAGGAUGAUUCAUAUUAGGUUAGUGUUCUUCUCUUCUGUAUUUAAGGUUAAAAUAGAAAUAAACCUAUGAAAAUAUCUAAAUUAGGGCUGUAAGACUUCCACAUGCAUCCUUCAGUCUCAUGGAUUUGAUUUUACUAUAGAUGCAAGUGUCUUUAAAGAAAAUGCUUGGAGUCAAUUGAGAGAACUCACGGCCAAAAACUUGUCACACGCUAGUCUUUGCUAGUGAUGUAAGAAGUCACAGGGUCUCUUCAACAUUUGAACCAAUAAAAUUAUUAAGUCAUGGAUGUCACUAGCAAUGAUUUUAAUAUAAAACAUUAAAUAUUUCAGAGUUGUAACUUUAAAAUGGAUUCUUUUAUUCAAUAUCAUAGAACUAAGUUUCCUUAUGAGAAGAUAAUAGUUUCGAUAAUAAUUUUACAUAUAAUUUUCUAUAUUUGAAUUAUUUUCUAGUUAGGGAUGAACUAACCUGAUCACGAAGAAUCCCGAGCAAAGUUUCCCUCUCAUUUUCCAUCAAAUCAUGUGAAGUGCCAAAUUGAAGAGCAGCUCUUGCAACGCAAGAAUUGUCACUUUGAUUCUCUGCUCCAUACUUGCAACAAUCUUCAGCCAACUUUCUCGCUACAAUAUUUGAAUACAAAAAUAUUGUACACAAGAACUAUAAAAAACUAAUGAAAAAUGCCAAGAUGGAGCAGAUGCUUCAAUACUGCCCGUACAAACCAUAAAAAACUAAUGAAAAAUAAAUAAAAUCAAGAAAUUUUACUAAUUAAAAGUCUAAAUAUAAUUUUGAAAAAAGAAAAGAAACGGACUUGCUGCUGCUUGGCGACUUGUUCUCGGAGCUUGAUUGCUUGUUUCUUGAUAGCUUCCAUACUGUUUCUUUCAAAAAGCGACGACGGCUCAGCUCAUGGAAGUGGAAAAAAAAAGUGUGAUCGAGAAAAAUGAAAAGGCGUGAAUAAUUUUUGACAAAAAGCGAAAAUCAAGGAAAGCCGGCUCUUUCCAGAAAAUAAAAAAAGAAAAAAGAAAAUCAUAAGUUUGAAAGGAGAAGAUGAUAGUGGAAGUAUGCAGUGUGGCUGCCAGGUACUUGGAUUGUAUUGUCGGGUAAGGUAAAAGUGGAGAAUUAUAAGUUUGAACAGAGCAUGUUGGACUUUUGUUGACCAAAUUCAAAAGCCCAAUGGGACGGUCCAGAAGCUUUUGAAUAGAAAAACUUGCUAGAAAGCAUCAGUUUAAAUCACUACUUAAACGCUUGCUUUAACUGCACCGCUUUGUACUGUUUUAUGUAUGUAGCGGUUGUGCGGUUGUAAUUCACGGCUGACGCUACGUGUUUGUUUGUACUGUUCUAUUCGGUGACAGAGUAUUAUUAGUUAGGCCAAAACUAUGUUGCAACAGUGGUACAAUAGCACUGUUGUUUUCAGUCAUUAGAUCUAUAGUUGUACAGUUGCAUUAACAAGAUCCAAUGGUUGAAAACAACAGUGGUACCGAACUACUGUUGCAACAUAGCUGGACCCUAUUAGUUAUUUCAAAGGGAUAAAUAAGAUUGGUUACAACAAACCUACUAAUUUUAUAAAAUUCAAGUAAUAUAGAAUAAAAUAAAAAAAUAAAUACAAAAUUGACUUUUAUUUUUUAUGGUUGACUAUAUUUUGUGUUCUCUUCGGGCACUGCUACAAUUCUUCCCUAUAUAUCAAUUACACCACAUACUAUCGACACAAGAAAUGAAAUCUAAUAUCACCUAUUUAGUUAAAAAAUCACUCAUGAAAAAAUUUUACCAUUUUGAUUUGAGGAUCCAUAUUUUGAACUACAAGCUAAUGUUCAUCAAGAAUCACUGAUGGCCGUUGAGUAGAAAAAUUAUUUUUGGACAAAUUAUUUUUGUUGAUAGAAGAAUUUCUUUAGGGACUACUAAAUUAUUAAUAAAAAUAUCGAACACACCCAAAUAUCAUCGACACAAUUGAUUUUGAGGAUCCAUGCUUUGAACUGCCGCCUAAUGUUCAUCAAGAAUAGAGUAUGGCUUGUGAGUAUAAAAUUUUCUUAUUUUGGCCCGAAAUAAAAAAAAAUUAAAUUGGAUGAGAAUCUGCCACUUUCUCAUGAAGAAAGGCAUACGGAGCAUACCAUGGUACCAUACAAUAUAAGGAGCCUCCGUUCUUUGGUUUUUCAAACUCUGAAGGGGCCAAUAUUGCCAAAUUCCCCCUUGAAAAUUCUGAUUACGACAUUAUUCAUCGCUUGAUGCAAUCAAAGUAGUGACAAAGUAAUUGCUAGGCAAGGUUGCUGAGAGCAAAAUUGUCCUAAGCAUUAUAUGCAUACAUGGUGCGGUACAUAGAGCACGUUGAAUUCCCCACUAUAACACAAAUCCAGAAAGACAAGUAAUAACUCAACUGAUAUAAAGACAAAAAGAAGAUAAAAUGAUAUAGAACAAAGAAUUUCAAAGAGACAGCAACAUACGAUAGACUGAAGCCACUUGAUCUGCUCAUUGAUUGCAGCCUUAAACUUGCAAAUAGUUACUGUACGCUAGUGCUCUAAGAAGUGAAAAUGAUGCAAGCCCUGAUUCCCUUUUGACUUCCAUUUACUGUCAAACAUUCUAGUAAUACAAAAAAUUGUUUAGAUAUCUUGCUAUAAAUAUAGCCGUUUGACUGUCAUAAUAAAGUCACAAAUAACCAUUCAUAUUGAUCUACUAUCACACAGCAUGCUUUAUGCAUACAACAGCUGUAUGUAUACCAACUCCUAACCUUAUCAACACAUUUGGCAAAAACUUAGGAAGAAAACUAUUUCUCCAUCUCUUUUUUGAAAUUUCACAAUAACCAGCACAAUGUGAAAGCUAUGUUCUAACCUUAUGAUAAAUGCUCCAGACUCCAAAAGGAUUUUAUAUAUGAGAGUUUGUUGCAGCAGAUAUAUUGACUUAUCAAGUAUGAAUCAUUGUCUGGAUGAACUAUCUUUAGAUAAAAGAAUAUUAGAACCACUGUAGAAUAUCUUUACGCUGCUGGUUCUAACAGGAAUCUGCAUGUGGCAACAAUUGCUAGAUCCACAACUCCCCAACUUGAAAUACAUAGUUGCACACCAUGAGAUAGUGCUACAAUCUACUGAGAUCUAACUUAUAUGGUACUUUAAGCUACUAAUGUUUGCAUAUUUCUACAUGUUAAAUUAACACUAUUAUCUAUAAUCACUCCAAAACAACAAAUGAUAAGCAACUUUUGGCCACUUAUUACUAGCAUCCACAAUUAUAAAUAAGAGAUCAUGGGUUUACUUGUUGCACCUACUUAAUUAUCUGCAGUUGACAUCCUGACGCAAGGUUUAAAUAGUGACUGCUUAGAACCCUUGUAGUUGGAUCUUGACCUCUCCCAUUGUAGCCAAGAUUGGUUACUCUGGUAAUGAAUCAACACUCUCCUGCUCAGGGCCAUGAAGAUCUGAAAGCUCAGCACUAGUGGAGAACUUCAUCAAUCUCUUCUUCUCAGCAUACUUGAGACAAGGCUGCCUUACGAGACCAAUCACCAUAGCACCAACGCUUAAAACUGCAACUUUUAAAGAAGAAAGAGCCAACACAACACAACACAACACAAAUCAAUAUGGUUGGAGGAAUACACAUGAUAAUGGCUCCAACAGUGACAGUGGGUAUCUUGUAGGGACGAGAUGCAGCAGGAUAUUGCAUCCUUAACCAUACAAAUGCUAUGAACUCCAUAAUCAUUCCAAAACAGUACAGGAAGUUCUCUGCAGCUACAAUAUCUCAAAAGCUCAGCCAUGAUAGCAAAACCACACCGGAUGCUGAGAAUAUGAUUCCAAUCAAAGGAGUCCCAUAACAAGACCUCUUAGCAAAAAACUCAGGUAGCGUUCCACGCUCAGCCAUCCCCAAAAGUUGGAAAGAGUCGCUGCUCAUCUCAGCCACAAACAUGCCCAUAUUGGACAUUGCUGCAGCCCCCUGGAUGCACCAUCUCAACCAAACUCCUCCAAGCACUUUAGCGAUAUCUGAAAAGUAACCAUCGGUCCACAAGUCGCGAUCUAAUGGAAUAGCUCCAGUUCCAACUAGAAGGGGAAAGAAAUAUCCAAAAACGACCAAGAUCAAAGCAUAAAACAAAGCCUUUGGAAGAGUCUUCUUUGGGUUAUCCACCUCUCCAGCUAGUUUACUUAUUGAGUCCCAGUAGUUGGAGAUUCCAAAACAGGGUGUUCAAAUACAAAUUCCAGUCCACUUCACCUAAAUUUACUACAAGCCAUCUUGAAGGCUCUAACUUGGGAAGGGACACAAGUCCCAUAACCACAAAAGGAAGGAAUGAGAAAAUCUCUAAAAGAACAGCAGCCCAUCCCACAAUGGUUAGACCCCUAUAGUUCAUGAAAGUGAGAACAAAAGUCAAAGCUAACGCCGCAAAGGCUCUAGGUAACCCAUCGCCCAAAGCAGGGAUAUACCAGACUUCAAGUAGUCAAGAAACAGAACUGGGUAUAAAGCAUUAUCAAUAACCCCACUUAGCCAUUUCAUCCAAACUUGCUGAAAACCCCAAUAUGGGCCUAAGGCAGAUGAAACCCAAACCACAUAACCACAAUUUUCAGGAAACACGGUACCCAUCUCGGCAGUAAUUAAAGCUUCAGGGACACUCCAUAUAAUCGGAAACACCAAGAAACCAAGAAGUGCUAAAAGAGGACCAGCUGCCUUUACACUAUCCUCAACACCAAACGCCCCCCCAGAAACCUCAUAGAAUAUAAGGAAAAUAAGUGGCAAGAUUGAUACUUUUUUAGCGCCAUGGACUCUAGGAGAAGAUGGUUGGUCAUUGAUAUUAACAUAUUCAACAGCAUCAGACUGCCCCAUUUCUACUGAAAGUUGCCUAUUCACAGUGUUCCUCAAUUUCUGCAUCAAGUUUAAGCAUAACUAUCAAAAGGGUAUCGGCAUCUAAAUUAUGAAACAAAAUGAGCAUUUACUUAUUAAAAAAAUUCAAAAAAACAGAAAUGGAUUUCACAGAACACAUGAAUUUAAGUUCAACAUUAAACAGGCGCUUAAGAAAACAAAAGGGUCUGGUCGUAAAGCCAUCAGAUUGCAAGAUUGAACAACAUUAACGGAAUCAAUAGAAUCGAUGUAAAGAGAUCUGAAAAGAAAAUAAAAUAAAAGAUGAAGAGGGAUAAAACGACCCAUCAAAUAAGUGCAUGCAGAGCAGAGAGGCAGAUACUAGAGAAGCUCCGUCAUGUUAGAGAGAGCCUAAAUCAAUCAGAGCUCACUGAGUUUCUUUUCAACUGACCGGCAGAUUUGGAGUAGCAUAACAUAAUAUUUUUGCUUUUAAUUUUCGGAACACUUUUGAAUGGAAUUUUUUGUUUUUCAAAACUAACGAAAUCGUAAAAAUAAAUAAACACGUGUUUGGUUUUGGGCUUCUUCUUUUGUUCAUUUAAUAUCAUUUGGUUCCCUGAUUUUUGACUAAUUAUCAACGGUAUCCUGUUAGUUUCCAAAUUGAAAUAAUAUUAGGUCAUGAGAUUAUUUACUCCAUUUAGCAAUGUAGACUUAAUAGUGUAUUGAAAAAGCUUUGUCAAAUAGUAGUAAUAGGGGCAUAAGAAAUAAGUUCUUCAGAAUUUAGAUAAUAUACUUGGCUCUAGGAAGAUUCCCCUCUUAUCACUCAAGUUAGGCUUUUACCUUAGAGUUGAGUAAAUUAUUAAAAUAAAUUAUAGCUAUCACAAAUUCGUCAGGAGACUUUCAAUUUUUUUCCAUCAAAUGGCAAUGAGGCAAAAUUACCUCAACUUAUAUUUCAAAACUAAUACUUCAAAUUCUGACAAUAAAUUUGAUGACAGUCAAUUUUAUGUAUAGUAAUUUUGACUCUUUUGUUUGGUCUAAAAGUAAUUAUUUAAAAUGACAAUAUAACUUAUUUAGAAGAAAUGGUAAACUUAUAGUUCGUAAUAUUAUUUACACAAAUAAUAAAGACUAAUUUGAUAAUAAUCUUUCAAAUAAUAAUGAAGUGUUAAUUACUAUUUAACAUUUUUGAUUAAUUUCUAAAUUUAAAACAAAUAUGAAAGUUGAUUGCUUUGAAGGUUGGAUCGUGACAAAUUGACAAAUGAAAAGAGAAGUAGAGAAUAUAUAUUCUGAUGAAAGGGACAAGAUUCAGCAAGGGGACAAUAUUCUCUAUUGGACCGACAAAUGGGGGAAAAGAAUAUAUAUAUAUAUAUAAUUUCUUAUUUGUGGAUUGGCCAACACGUGUAACAAAUAUGAAAAGAUAAAAUUUGGCGUGGUUUUAACCGAUAUAAGACAAGAAGAACAAAGCAAAGCCCAUGAAAAUUCACCUUUCAUGUGGGUUGGAUCGGAUAAAAUCAAUAUCUUGAAUCAAACAAAAUGUUUGGUACAUAAAGUUUUUUUUUUUUACAUGAUAUUAGAUUUUUAUCCCUCGAAUUUUUACAUGAUAUUAGAUUUUUAACCCUCACUAAUAUUCGAGAGAUAUCUACUCCUCAUUUUUGGGUAAGGGAGAAGACUACCUUCACUCAAUUAUAAUUAAGGAAUGAAAUACCCCCACAUUACACUUGUAGGGGUUCAAACUGUUGCCCUCCAACUUGGAGUGCAGCAGCGCUGACCACUCGGCCAAAGUCCGAGUGGCUGGUACAUGAAGGUUUUGAGUGUGUGUAAUGAGCCAAAAUUUACAUAAGGAUAUUUUAGUAAAUAUAAGAAAAAAAGGCUCAGGGAAUGGCCUAUAGAUAGAAGCACGCAGCCCAUGAGUGAUGAGAAUACAAUUUAACUGUUCAAACUAAUUAGAAGCAAAUUCUUUCAUAUCUUUCUUUAAUUUUUCCGCUUAGUUCCUUAGCAUCCAAUCAAGUUCAAGUUAAAACACUGUUGAGACAACAAUAUGCAGGCAUCAAUAAGCAUAGUAGUUUUUUAUAUGUAUUCUAUACGACAAUUAUAGAACUUUUUGCAGCAACUUUUUUUCAUUAACUAAUGUUUGAAGAACUUGUUAAAAAAAAUGGUAAAUUUAUAAUUUUGAAAAAAAAGAAAGAAAGUGACGUUACCUCAUCGUCAUUAGAGACUUGUUGCAAUGAUAGCUCAAAAUUAAAAUUUUUGAAGAAUUAGUAGACGACGAUGAUGUAAUAUUUAUACAGUCACCAACAUGUUGAUUUUUGUUUAAUGUUUGAUCGAUAGAAACGCUUGUCGUCGUCGCUGUUGUUGAAUUCAUACAUAGAACACAGAAGAGAAGGAGGGAGGAAAGGGAAGAGAAGAAGAGAGAAGUGGCAUAUAGCAAAUAUGAUAUGCUAGCUGCAUACCAGCCUUAGAGAGAUUUUUUUUAAUAUUUAUUAUAUUUUUGUUUUUGUUAUUGGUUUGUCAUAUGCUUCCAGGGAAGCAAUACGUUACAUCAUAAAUUGCACCUUUUAGGGGAGGUGGUAAAAAACGUGAGAGCACUACGCUCCAGCGCAUACAUAUAGAAAGAGUUUUCGAAUUUUAAAAAGUUUCUUUAUUUCUUCCAUGUUUUUGUGCUUAAAAUAAAAUUUAAUUGUAUUUUGCAUUAACUUAGAAAAGAAAAGCCAGUUCUAUAUAUAAACUCAUGCAUUAAUUAGAAGAGUUGAACUAUUGGCACCCCUCUAUAAUCUUUAUAAAAUUCCUCUCCUAUUGUAAUUACAUUAAAGGACAAAAUAAAUCUAAUUAUAUCAUUAUAUUUCUCUUUUCAACUCUUUACACCCGUGCAACUACACCAAAGUCUUUUACAAUUUUUGUUUCCUCACAAACAACUUUUUCUUGAGAGAUUUACAAAACUUAUUUUUAAUUUUAAAAAAUAAAUAAUAGUUAUUUGAGUCCACUUUAAUUUACAAAACUUUCUAAUAAUAAGUUUUGUAGACUUAUUUUUCAUUUACAAAACUUUCUGAACUUAUUUUUAUUUUUAAAAAAUAAAUAAUAGCUAUUUGAGUCCACUUUAAUUCUACUUAAUUCAUACAUGUAUUUGAUUUUUUUGAGUAAAAUAUGUAUGAUUUAAUAAUUCAAAAAUUUAUAAAAACAAUAUUUGUAAUUGGAGUUAUUUGGAAGAAACUGAAUUGUUUUUCUUUUUGAAUAAAAAAAAGCUGAAAAAAGAAAAAGGAUAUUUUAGGAAUUAAAAUAGAUUUUGAUAGAAAAGGGGUUUGAACAGAAAAUUACAGGGUGCUAAUAGUCCCACUCUAAUUAAAAAAUGAGUUCAUGUGGAUGCAAAUGUACAAUAAAAGAGAUUCUCUUUUGUAUAUUGGAAGUAACAUAACUAGUGAGUAUAAUAUGUAAAUACAAGUUACCAAGAAUUUGCACUAGUGCUAAUUAAUGGCACAACUUUUGAGCUAUGAAUUUCUUCUUGAUAGUUUAAUUAUAUUUUUGAGUUUUCGGUAAACCUAUUUUAAUAAUUAUUAAAUUAUUUUCACUUCUUACGCCUUAAUAAAAAAAAAUCAAUAUUUUCUGGUCUAUUCUAUAUUUUGAAACUUAAUUUUUAAUUCUUUAUAUUGCAAACCAAACUAAGUCAAACAGAGUAUGCUCUUCAAAGAAUUUUUCCAUUGGCCAUUGCCUUCAAGAAGAUUUUAUUUUAUUUUUAUAUAUUAAUUUAACAUUUUUCCGUGCACUUGUAAACCGGGCCGUCGGAUUCCACAUAAAGCAAAUGAUCAAACCGUUACAAGACCGACCCGGACCCACUGACUCUCAUUUUCUUUCAUUUGACCAUUAAAAGCUUUUGACCACCCCCGCCAAAUAAAUAAAUAAGCUCUUGUUCUCUUUUGUUCCUUCUUAAAGGAAAAUAUAUCUGAUCACCAGAUAAUGAUUCCGGUGUCACAAAAUAUCAAGACAACCCCUAAAUUCCCUUAAAUUUACGAUAACACCCCACCAUGGAUGAUUCCGUUGAAAUGCCGCCUUACGAUGAAAGGCCUUAGAAGGGUUUUAACUUCACACCCAUGCGCUUGAUCUUAACCCUCAUUUUCCCAAUUUUAACUUUCUUUUCGUUGGCAUUUUUGAUCGAGAUCGUUACUGUUUUAUUCGGCGAAUCAUCAGUUUCGAGUUCCAUUUUUGUCCCUUCCCAGUGCAAGAUAGUGCCAGCAGUAAGCUUUUUUAAAAUUUUCAAUUUUUUUCCAUUUAUGAAGCUCAAAAAUUUUAUUAAUUUUUGAAUUUUUUUUGAAUGAUUUUGCAGGUGUUGAUAUAAGGUCAUCAAAGGUUUGUGAACUUGGAGUGUUGAAUUAUAAGGCGAAGCGUGUGUUUUAUCCAUUUGAAGCAAGUAAAUUUCGCCGUCGAUAUGAUUACUAUUGGGCUUCUAUCUUCAAGGUAUUCAUACAUUUUCUCAACUUUAAUUACUUACCUGUACUAUUAGCUUCUUAGUGGCGGUCUUGUUUUGUGUUUUUGAUGAAUGUGUUUAAGGGUCAGUUUGGGAAUGCUGGUAAUAGGAUGUUGUUAGUGUUUGGCAGUAAAUUUGCUAUGCAUAAUUCAGCAAUGUGCUUGAUUUUGGUUAUUGUCUUUAACAAUUUUUAGGUAGAGUACUUAGAUCAUUCACUGGGACAAACGCAGAGCUUGGUUGACCAAAGAUAAGUUCCAGGCUGGGGUCGGCAAUGCAGAGCUUCUGCGUGUAUUAAAAUUUGAAGCCUAGUAAAUGAAUUUCUAAUUUAUUUAUAGUGUUUGUUUUAUCUUGAUAGAAAUGAAUGCUAACUCAAGAUUUUCCCAACUUUGAUUACUUACCUGUACUAUAAGCUUCUUAGUGGCGGUCUUGUGAGCGGUGUGGCUGACAGCUUCUUGAAAAUUAUAAGUUUGAACAGAGCAUGCUAGACUUUUGUUGACCAAAUUCGAAAGCCAAAUGGCACAGCUCAGAACCUUUUGAAUUGAAUAACUUACUAGAAAGCUCCAAUUUUUUGUUGGCUACGGUAAAAGGAUGUUGUUUUAUUCUUCUUAUACUUUACGCUUGCAUCAGCUUAAAUCACUUCUUAAACGCUUUGCUUUAACUCCACCGCUUCAUACUGUUCUAUAUAUGUAUCGGGUAUGCGGUUGUAGUUCACUGCUGAGACUACGUGUUUGUUUGACGUGGUAAUUACGUUACGAGUCUGUUAAACAUUCGGUGAUUAAAGUAUUAUCAGUUAUUUCGAGGGGACAAAAAAGAUUAGUUACAACACACCCACUAGUUUUAUAAAAUUUGAAUAAGAUGGAAUAAAAUAAAAAAAUAAAUAAGUAAAUUGACUUUUAAUUUAGUGGUUGAAUAUAUUUUGUAUUCUCUCGGGGUACUGCUGUAAUUGUUCCUUAAAUGUCAGUCACACCCACAUGUUACAGACACAAGAAAUGGAAUCUAAGAUCACCUGUUUAAUUAAAGAAUCACUCAUGAAAAAAUUUUGCCAUUUUGAUUUGAGGAUCCACAUUUUGAACAACCAACUUAUCUUCAUCAAGAACAGAUCAUGGCCUGUGAGUAGAAAGAUUAUUUUUGGACAAAUUAUUUUUGUUAAUAGAAGAAUUUCUCAAGGGACUAUUAAAAUUACUAAUAAAAAUGUCAGACACACCCACGUACCAUCGACACAAUUGACUAUGAGGAUCCAUGUUUUGAACUGCCACUUAAUGUUCAUUAAGAACAGAGUAUGGCUUGUGAGAAGAAAAUUUUCUGAUUUUGGCCUGGAACAAAAAAAAAUUAAAUUGAAGGAGAAUCUGGUACUUUCUCAUUAAGAAAGGCAGACGGGGCAUACUAUGGUACCAUAAAAUACGAAAAGUCUCCAUUCUCUAGCUUUUUAAACUCUGAAGGGGGCAAUAUUCCCCAAUUACCCCGUGAAAAUUCUGAUUACGACAUUACUCAUCGGUUGAUACAUAAGUACAAGUACUGACAAAAUUAGGAAAAAUAUGACUCAUAAGUAAUUACUAGGCAGGGCUCUUGAGAGCAACAUUAUACUAGGCUUUAUAUGCAUACAUGGUGUGGUACAUAGAGCACGUUGAAUUCCACACUAUAACACAAACCCAGAAAGACAAGUAAUAUCUCAACUGAUAUAAAGACAAAAAGAAAAUAAAAUGAUAUAGAAAAAAGAAUUUCUAAGAGACAGCAACAUACAAUAGACUGAAGCCAGUUGAUCUGCUCAUUGAUUGCAGCCUUAAACUUGCAAAUGUUUACUGUAGCCUGGUGCUCUAAGAAGUGAAAAUGAUGCAAACCUUGAUUCCCUGUUUACUUCCAUUUACCAUCAAACAUUCUAUUCAUAAGAAAAAAAAUCUUUAGAUAUCUUGCCGUAAAUAUAGCCAUUUGAUUGUCUUAAUAAAGCCACACACAACCAUUCAUAUUGAUCCACAUUGCCACAUAGCCUGAUUUAAGCAUACAACAGCUGAAUGUAUACUGACUCCUAACCUUAUCAAUACAUUGGCGACAACUUAAGAAAAAAACUAUUUCUCCAUCUCUUUUUUGAAAUUUCACAAUAAAACAGCACAAUGUAAGAGCUGGAAUGAAAAUGGACCGUUUGGAACUAUGGCGGAAGCUUCAACUAGUGUAGUGAGUUGACCUUCUUAUUAACCUAGCGAGAUCAAACACUGCCCUUGAUCUUGAACAUAUCAAUACGAUACGCACAACUUAUGAUUGAAUCCAGAAACAAUCAAAUCUUUAGCAAGAAUAAUUAAUCAGAAUCAAGAAACAAGUUUAAUGAAUAUAAACCUAUAAUUGGAACAAACACAGCCAAAGAACCCAAGAAUGACACAACGAACACCAAGGGAGAAGCUUUCCAGUGAGAUUAUAUUAAUGAUCAAAGAAGAAUCUUUUUACAAAGAUAACAAAAGAGAUUUCAGAGAAUAAGCUAUGACCCUCUCUCUCUUCAAUCUCUGUCUAGUUUGUUAACAGUGAUGACCCCAAUCUGCUUCGUUAGCCAGCUUCAUAACUGCGUCAGUGACAAACUAGCAAACCCAGAUUGAGCAGACUAACGACACGUGCAUAACGGCUUUAACGAACUUGGUUAAAGAACUGCUCACAUGUUCGUCACGCGUGUUGCUUAAAUGAUAGCCAAAACGACUUCAACCAAAUGCCGUUUUGAAGCUUAUGAAUUAUAAGUGAAAACACGUGCUUGUCUCGUGACAUUUAAAUGCAACAACAAGCCCAAAACACUGCCGGUUCACUAUGUUGAGUUUGCCAUCUCUAAGCUUCACAACUAGCAGCGGACAAGAUGAUAAUUUAAUUGACAUGGAGAGCUUUUAUAUCACUUUUACAACAUUCUAUAUAAUUGUGAUAUUGGGAAUCGUCGGUGUUGUAUAUGUGAACCCUCGUUGGCGACACUGGUGGUUUUAUCUUUAUUGAAAUAUGGAUGACUUUUCGUUACUAUUUUGUUGUACAUAACAUUAUUCUCAGGAGAUUUAAUCAUUGAAAUUAACAUGUUAGUUUCAUUAGAAGGCUGAGUGGUUAGGGCUGCUACCCUCCAACUUGGAGGGCAAUAGUUUGAACCCACAAGCGCAGUGUGGGGGUAUUUCAUUCUUUAAUUACAUUGUAUAAUUGAAUAAAGAUAAUAUUCUCUCUUACCCAAGUGUGAGUGGAGUAGACAUCCUUCGAAUAUUAGCGAGGGUUAAAACUUGGGCAGAGCUCAAUAAGUAUUGAUGUAAGUUGGUCCUAAUAAUAGUCUGAUUUGUAAAUAUCAGUUAUAGUCUCAUGUUUCCUUCCUUAAUUAUAUUGUAUAAUUAAGUAAAUGUACUCUUUUCUCUUACCCAAGUGUGAGUGGAGUAAACAUCCCUCGAAUAUUAGUGAGGGUUAAAAUCUGGGUAGAGCUCCAUAAGUAUUGAUGUAAUUUGAUCCUAAUAAUAGUAUGAUUUGUAAAUAUCAGUUAUAUUAUCAUGUAAUAUGAGUUGUAAUUUGAGUAAUAAUUUCAUGUAAUUACAAAAAAAAUGUUACUUUCAUUACUUUUUUCUUCGUUAAAAUUCUCAAGUAUCAAUUAUGUUUGCUUAAGAAAUAAAAUUUCGUUAUGAAAAUUGUAGCAGUAUUUCCGAGCACCUCACAUUUUCAAUGAUUUUUCAUAAAUCAAUUAAUCUGCCAUACCAAUAUCAGGUUUAGUUUUUCAGACUAAAUGAUCAAGAAAGCAAACAUACAAAUUCACAUUUUAGAGGGGUAAACUAGCUUUUAGAUUUUAGAACUAGGCUAGCUACCUCACCAAAUUCCAAUCUGUACAGUGAACUACAAGAUUAAGAAAAUAAUGUAUUUAUAGUUUAAUUGAAUCAUGAGAAAACAAUGUAGUCAUAGCUCAAUCGGACAUGAUCACGGAGAGGCAUAUUCUUUUCAAGUUAAUUUGAUCCAUUUAUAAGAAAUGAAGUGGAUUGAAGUUAAAAGUUCAAAUAACAAAUCCUUGUUCUUGAGUUUUACGACGUCGUUACUCCUUCAAGAGGCUGAUUAUGCAAGUGAAUGCGGAAACAGAAUGCAUUAUCCACGGGGAUGAUAAAUCAAAAGGCGGGAUCAUAGUCUAUGCCCGCAGAUUAACAAUUUCACUCAUAUAGAAAAUUAAUUUUUUUAUAUAUACUAAUCAACACUAGAUUGAUUAUGUUUUGUAUGUUUAUAUGCUAAUCAACAAUAAAUUAUAUUAAAUGAAGAAAUGCUUCAAAUUUUUCUAAUUUAAUUUAGAAAAUCAAUUAUUAACAUUAAUAUUCCUAAUAAAAAUUAUUUUCCAUCGGUAUUCAAAAUUUUCACUUAUAGAAAAUGUGUUUUACGUGAAUACAAGUUAUUGUGUAAAUUUGAAUGAUAGCGAAAAAUAAUUUUUUUAAUUAUUGUAAAAAUAAUUAACCAUAACAAAUCCCUUGUGUAAAUAAUAAUCAUUAUUUAAAAGGUAGAAAGAUGGUUAGUGCACAAUCAAAUUUUAAGCCCCUACCUCCUCGGCCCAAGAUUCAAACUUAGAUGAUCAGCCAAAUAAAAUUAUUUGAAAAUCAUUCAAUCAGGUUCUCGGGGAAAAAAUACAAGAUCCGUAUUUGCAUGAUAUAUAUGAAUUAAUGUAAUUUAUUUGAAUUAUCCAAAUUCAUUAGAGAUAAAACUAUAAAAGAUACCAAAAAAGUUAGAAGGAAGGGUGUGCUGGGAUAUUUUACAAACUAUAGGAAUCUGGUGAGAUUUUGAGCCAAACUGUAGGGAGUUGAAGGCAUUUGCCCAAUAUGUUUAGACGUACACUAACCGUUAUUUGAUCUUGUUGUUGGUCAUGUGAACUAAGAUGUAAAUUAAAGAAAAAGUAUAAAAUUAAAAAAAGAUAAGAUUUCUAAAAUGUGUGGAAGGUGAUUCAUGAUUCACUAAAAUUACUUGCCCCACAUAUAAAGGUAAACAUGUCUAAUUUCAUUAAAAAUAGGUGGAAAAAAUUAACUAAUAGAAAGCUACGGAAAUUAACCCCCACAAAAAUGACUUUUUAUAGAAGAAUUUAUGUUUUUUAAAAUAUGUUAUCAAAGUGUAUUUGAUCAAAUCUCAAUUGCUUAGUAUGGUUAGGAUUUUGUGAACAUAACUAAAAAGUGAAAAAUAUGAAUGAUAGGGGUGAUGCUUGCAAUAUGAAUAAAUAAUGGACUGAUUCAAUUGAUGAUUAAAUUUAUAUAUUAUUGAUUAUUUAUGAAUUUUCAGACUUGUUAUGAUGUAUAACUAUGUGAUUUUGAAACUUGAAACCGUGGCAAACAUUGAAAGGAAUUAUAACUUGAAAUCAUGACUCACGGGGUAUGUCAUGAUUCACGUGCACAAAAAAGGUAGAAUUGUGGAAAUUUACAACCCAACGACAAGUACGGAAAGAAAGGAAGAAAAUUAAAAGACUUCGGGCCUAGCCUGCGUGUAUUAAUUAUUAGAUUACUUUUUUUUAUAAGGGUAAUCAUCAAUUUACUCCAUAACAAUCUUUAAUUCAUUUCUUAAAAAUAUCAAAACUUUAAUUUAUCUUUUAAACAUCGUUACCUCUCUAUUGGUUUUAACAGUUCAAAGGGUAAAAUUAUAUUUGCAUAUUUUCUUGACCGCCAACUAAAUGAUAAAACUCAAAAUUCAAUCUUGUUAUCUUGUUUCAAUCCUCUAUCAAUCAAAUAAGAUUUCUAAAAUAUGUGGAAGAUAUUGCAUGAUUUCCUCAACCUACCUGGCCCGAACAUCAAGGUAAAUAUCUCUAAAAUAGUUGAUUAAAUCUCAGUUGCUAAGUAUAGUUAGGAUUGUGUGAACAUCACUGAAAACUAUGAUUGAUAGAAGUGAUCUUUGCAAUAUGAAUAAAUAAUUAACUGAAUCAAUUGAUUUAUAUAUUAAAGUUUAUGAAUUUUCGGGCUUGUUGCGAUAUAAUAAUAGCAUAUGAUUUUGAAACUUGAAACAGUGGUAAAUAUUGAAAGGAAUUAAUUUGAAAGCAUGAUCCGUGGGGAAUGUGAUGAAUCGUGUUUACAAAAAAGGUAGAAUUGUGGAAAUUUAUAACAGAACGAUAAAUAUGGUAAAAAGGAAGAAAAUUGAAAGACUUGGGGCCUGGCCUGGGUGUAUUUUCUAACUAUCCAAUGGACAAAAUUAUAUUUCUAUACUUUCUCUUACCUAAGUUUCAUAGAAUAGCUCAUUUCAUUUUUAUUUUUUAAAUAAUAGCCCAAAAUAUCAUUAUGUUAACUCAUUAUUAGUUGAAUGGCGUUUGUUAGUAAUUCAUUAAGGGUAAAAAAUGAUUUUCUAUCAAAGAGAAAAUUAGAAAAAUAAAUAAAAAUUGAUAUAUAACUAAAAAUUAUUUUAUCUAAUCCCACUAAAUAAGAAAUGCCAAAAAAGAUGAAAAAAUUAUAUUUCAAGCAAUUCUUUUUUCACUUAUUUCUAUUUUGGCAACAUGAAAGCCCUAUAAACCCUAGAUCUAAGUACCAAAAAUAUCACAAUUUUCUUAUUCAUAUAAGUAUACUCUCUAAUUGCAUUGUAAAAUGGCUUGAAUUGAAUUGAAGAUAAAGAAGAUAUUCAGCACAUGCAAGCACAUAAAAAUUGGUGGCAUUUUUGAGUUUUUCUUCCAAUGAUUUAAAGAUAUUGUUUUAAUUACAGUUUGUUCCUUAUGACAAUUAUUCAAUGGCGAUAUCAAACUAUAUCAUCGUUGAUUUCAUUUAAGAAAAAAGUUAAUGAAUUUUGCAUACUUUGUAGUGUUAUUUAAUUGUGUAAAAAAAUUAUUUUAAUAUAGUUUGUAUCGCUUUAAUGAAAAAUCCUAUUUUGCCCUCAAUGAAUUACUGGUUAACGAUUUUACACUAAUGGUGAGUUAAUGGAAAGAUAUUUUAGGCUAUUGUUUGAAAAGUAGGGAUAAAAUGAGCUAUUGCAUUAAACUCUAAGGAUGAAAAAUGAUUUUUCCCUUUUAUUAUCAAUCAACUAUCUGAUAAAAGUCAAAACUCAUAUUUUUUUUUCCCUUGUUUCAAUCCCCUCUCAAUCAAAAAAGUUUCCUUGUCUAAGCAAUGAGGAAUAUGGCUAGAAAGAUUGUUAUUAGAAAGAUUUAUCAAUAGUAAUUAGUUCACAACUGAACAGUUUUAGAUUAUUGUGAGUCAAUAUAGGUCCUGUUUAGGAUUGAAGUGUUGCAGUUUUUAAGCUACAGCUGCUGUAGAAAAAAAAACUAUAAUUAUGAAAUAAGAGUUAAUAAUAUAUAAUAAAUAUAAAUUUUAAAUAAUAAUUUUGACAAAAUUAUUAAAAAUAUAAUAGAUUUUUCAUAAUACAAAUAAAAAAAUCAUAUCAACAUAGCUUGCAAGGUACAACAGUUAGUAUGAUGUUAGUUUAUUUUUGCGUCAAUAUAAGUAGUCAAAUUGAAUAAGUUAGUGAAAUGCUGCCUCACUGUCCCAUUGAAUAUGAUUCAGCUAACAGGGCUAGAGCUUGUGGAUGCCAAUGGCACUGAACAAAGUAUUGGGUGGUAAUUUUAAGACCACGCUAUGCCCAAAACCCAAGUUAGGCGAUUACAAAUACGGGAAUCAAUGUCACUUUGCUAGGAAUGGAGAGGAUAGAUUGCUUAGUGAAAUGCAACUUUGUAGAAUGCUGAGAGAUGUGCUGAGAGAUGAGGAUAGUUGUCGAUUUCUUCAUGUAAAUGCUGAGAGAUGUGCGGAAGUUUCUACUCAGUUUAGGCUUAGUUUAAGAAUAGCCUGGUGAUAAACAUUUUGAGUGGUGGAUCUUCUGUGGAUAACAAAAGUAGGUCUAUUCAAUGGGAACGCGACAAGGGGCUGGCUAACUCGCUCAGGUUGUGCAAAUGUUAAAAGCAGAAUGCCAGUUGUAUGAAGUUAUGUCAUUUUCUUUAUAGAACUAUGAAAGCUUGGAGUCCACGAUUCAAUGGAAUCUCGGGCUGUGCCAAUGAUUGUUUCAAGUACUUUUUCUACUUUCAAUGUCCAGACUAAGACUAUUUCUAAGCAGCAAGUGCAGGAUAUAAAGUGCAAAUCAAAAUAGACAGAAGUGAAGAGGAAGAUACGUGGUAUAUAUGUUGAUUGGAUUGAAGAUAUACCACUUUUGCCUAGUUCUUAGAACAAAGCAGAAAGCUGUAGUUAAAAAUAUACCUUCUGCUAAAGAUAAGUAGUCAAUAGUUCUAUUAGUGCAUAACUUUGCGAUUAAGGAUGAUCGCUGUCUAUUUUAAGAGCUUUUAAUAGAAUUUAGUAGCCCUGAUUUUCAAUCUCAGUGUUUUGCGGCUGUUAUCGACAUCCCUCUGUUACAUUUUUCAAGUUUCAUUGAUAAAUUAGUAGUUAGCCUUAUGAAGAAUGCACACACCAUAACCAUGUACGUUAAAUAGCAAACCUGCAUUUUAUUGAACUGUGAACUACUGAUUCAAUAAAGCUCAACAUAAGCUAACAAGUCUUUGUGAAAUUGCUUCAUGGUACAUUGUUUGAAGUAUUUAAGCUAAUAUAUGAUUAUUAAUGGGCUCGUGAGCCAACCCCAUUAAUUAUAUGUACAUAUAUAUAAUGUUACCAUCAAUAUGAUAUGUGACAUCCCAUAACAGCUAAUUAUAGAUCUUUAUCCAUUUUCAUAAUUUGCCUUCUGGCUUCCACUGCUCGUCACUAAAUUCAAAAUCCAUUGCACCUCAAAACAACAUGAGAAAUCUUAUAGGCAAAUCAUGACCAGUUCAAAGAUAAUAGCGAUUAUAGGGAAAGAAAAUUAAAAUCGAAGACGCAUAUAAAAUAAUCAAGCUACUGAUGAACAAAAUAACAUGAAAGUGUAAGUAUUUAUACUAACCUUCACUUAUUAGGAAGUUUGUUUCGCUAUUGGGUAAGAUCAAGCUCUCUGCAUAUCCUAUUGGCAAAAGGAAAUCACGCACGUGUGAUCUCUCUCUCUCUCUCUACACACGCACACAUAUACACACGCAUAUACAUAUACAUGCAUGGUCAUCAUCUUAGAAACCGAUUGAGAAAUUAUUGUCAGAGUUUGAAUUUGCGCAAUGACUAGUCAUGUUGCUAAAAAGAAAAAAGAUUGAGAUUGAAAGAAAUUCAUUAUCAUCAAAUUGGUCCAAUAUCCACUUCACUGUGUGGAUCAAAUACGUUUUCGAAUAGUGCACUGAUCUACAAUCUACUGCAAUAAUUUGUUAGGACCCUACAUCAACAAAUUAUGGGAUUAGUUGGUUUAUUAACCCUAAUACAUCCGGACAAGUCAAUCCUUUCAUGAGAAACAAAAUGAAUUUUGCAUCCCAUGAAACACAACAUACUCAGCUAGUUGAAAUUGUGGAUAUACGGGGGUAACGUAAGCAUGCUUUCACAAUUUGAAAGAUUUAUUUUUUAAGAUUUAGUAUUUCUGGGAUCCUAUUGAGAUAGAGGGGUGGUGAAGGUCUAUAGAUUUUAACUUGACAGCUUCCUAUAACCAAAGAUACAUAACUAUACUAAAUGAGCAUCAUUGAAUUUCAAAGUUAUUCAUUAUAAAUACUUAAAGAAAGAAAAAUAGAUAUUUUGGUAAUAGUAAUACAUUAUACCUUUUCUCUUUUCCAAAUUUGCUUAACCUUACUACAAGGCAAGCUGAGUCCAAUCAGGUUCUCCAAUUCAAAAUCUGAUGUCAGUAUUUUCAAAAGAUAUUUAUGCCAAUGGAGAUUUCUCAAUUCUAUAGGAAGGCAUUUUUUUUUUUUGAAACUGAUUAAGCAUCAGUUGGUUACUGUAUUACACAGAGAUAUAUACAACUGCUAUGACAGCAGGUCAUUACACUGAUAUUUACAAUCAGAUAUAUACAUGUGACUUAUAUUAUUACAUUUUUAUUCUAUGAAGUACAUGCCCAUCCAAAUACCCCUCACAGAGGAGGGAUGUCUCUACUCCACUCCCAUUGCGCAAGGGAGAAAGACGUUGUAAGAAGUCUCCAUACAAUUAUAUUUAAUUGAGGGAGGUUGAGUCCGUGGGGACUCGAACCAUUGCCCUCAUAGUCAUGCUUAACUUUGAGGGCAAUGAUUCACCACUGGGCUACAAGCCCAAGUGGCUAUAGGAAGGCAUUCUAAACCUCAGUGAAGUUACACCCUGGAGCUUAUAAUUAGAACACCAUCAUACUCGGAUAUAUAAAAUUUCAGCAAUCUAAAAUUUGACAUUGUUUUAAAUGCUCCAGAAUCUAAACGUAUGUCUCUUAUCCUGGAGAAUUCAAGAAUAUACUUUCGGUUGCAUGUGUCCCUUCAGAAAAGAAGCAAAUAAUGAGUUCGCAUAAAUUUUCUCAGGAAAAAAAUCCUAAAAUUUAUAAAGAGCUCCUUAAAUGAAGACAAAACCUGCACUCGCUCAACUCUUUUUUUUUUUUUUUAUGUUGUUCUAGUCUUCUUCAAUCCCCCCCUCUAAAACUUUAAUCCAAGCGUUAAGUGUAAGUAAACUAAAAUAUGAUUUUCGUAUGCAAGUACAACACAACAUACCCAUAAAAAUGAAGAGCGGAAGUUAGAAUCAAACCUCCAGCAAUUGAUAUUUUGCAAACUGAUAUUUGAUUCUUCUGAGACUUAUGUAAUCGUUUUGAUGGUGCAGUUUUUGAAUUAGAUUACAUAGCCUCAGGUACUAAUACCAUUUUCACCAUUUUGUUUUUAUUUCAUCUUUCCAUCAAAGAUGAAGGGGUGGGAAAUUAUCAAAGCAGCUGUUAGAUGACACCUGCUUCUAGACCUGCAAGUAAAACCAAAGAAUGAGCUCCAUUAGAUACAUUUGAGUUAAUAAAAUCCCUUGUUCCUCCUAAUGAUUAUAGACAUUAAUUAGGAGGGAGAAAUGAAGUAAAUUAAAUUAAAUGAAGGACCUUCAUUCUCCACGCAUGCAGCCGGCUAUUUUGUUACCAAGUUGUUGAAAGGAAGUAAAUAGAGAAGCAUUCAGAUACCACUCUCCCAGAUCGAUAUUCCUAGUAAGACCAAGGUGUAGUUGUACCACUCGGCCUGUGGAGUUGCUGCAGUCAACCCUUUCCCUUUGUUCAUCUACCCAGUUUUGAAGUCUAUAAGGGGAAUUGAAGAAAUGUUUAAGCCACAAAAGAUCAAAUUCCUCAUGCUCCAAACAUCCCUCACUCCACCCCCCCCACCCCCCGGCGCCCUCUUCUAAUAUUAUUAAUACGAGAACUAACAUUGUCACCAUUUUGAAUUUUGAACCACCCAUUCUAGCUAUAUCUCUAACUAUUAAAAAACACACAUUCUCUCUUUCUCUAUAACUAUAAAUAACAAAAGGGCUCUAUGUUAUUUAUAACAAACACAUCUAACAAUUUAUACACUCAGGCCCCAGCUAGCUUUCAGUUGUCUUCUUUGGUAGUCUUCAGCCUUCUCAAAGACUUUCGUCAUGCCUUACUUUCAGCCUUCCUUUCCAUAUUUGUCAUUUUGCUUUAAUUUUCCACAAUUCUACCUUGGAUGGUAAUAUUUAAUUCGCCACGAAUUGAGUGAAACGCUGGUCCGUUACCCAUCCCACUUCAAUAUUAACAAUAUUAAUAAUAAUAAAUAAAUUCUUCAAGCAAUUGAGAUUUGACACCCACCCCACUUCAAUAUUAAUAUUAAUGGGAAAUCAUAAAUUCUUCUACAAAUGAGUCAUUAUUUUAAAAUUGUUAUAAGCUUAUUUAUUUAAAAAAAAAAAAACGAGAAGGGGAACUUGUUAUCUUAAAAUUAAAAGAUUCUGGUGUGGCUACCCGAAUCCGCACGUUUUUUAAGAUUUUUUUUCCAAUCUUGUGUACCGUUCAACACCUAUAUAUGCUUUGCAAUUGAUUAGUUAACAAAAUAAAAUUCUUGAUCAGUUGUGCGGUAAAAAUAAUAUUAUUUUACAAAGCUUUACCUGGUGCAGUCAAUACGGCUAGAAAUUAAAGGAUCCCCAGCAUGAUAAUUAAGGAAUAAUUAUUAUUCUAGAUUUGUGCAGUGGCGAAGCUAAUAGCAUUUUUCGUUUUCGAGUGAGCUGAACUUUUUCCCCCCCCUAAUUCAAUACAUUUUUAUCGUACAAUAUAAUUUUGUAAAUAAGAAAUUAUAGAUGCACCUAAUAAUGCGCGACAAAAUAAGCUUUACCUCUCAAAAUAUUUGUUCUAAACAUUAUUUAAAAUAAUUUAGACACAUAUUUAUUCACAAAAUGAUGAACAGACAAGAAUUUGAUGAUAAUUGAAGAGGCAGCAUAACUAAUUAAUAUAAAAAUUUUUAUAUAGGUUUCAAUAAAGGAAAUUUUGUAACUAAAUAAUUUUUUUUCUGAGAAGCCCGGCCUUGCCCUCUCCAAAAUUCGCCACUGAAUUUGUGGGGUGGUUACUGGAGUUCACACGUUUUCAAAUUUUUUUUUCCCGAUCAUUCAAUAGUAAUUUUGCUUUUUAGUUUAUUAUUAUUGUUGUUAUUAUUAUUAACUCAGGCAUUUAUUAAAGCUCGAACACAUAAUCUAAACUUUGAUAUAUUUUUUGCUGAGAGGAGUCAAAAUUUGGGAAUUAUAUGCGCAUCAUAACAUAAUAAACAACCGCAAAGUAUCCUACGGAAACUUUCAGUGCACUCUGACAGCAGCUUUUGGUAGUCAAAUAGUCUUGGAAUCAUUUUUUAGCGCAUAUUCUUUUCGGUAAUGUGAUGAAUUCAUAUCUAAAGAAUCAAAACUAUGAUGUGAAUUUGCUGCAAAAACUGAUCCAAGACUAUUCAUUCAUUAUUAAACAUAUGAUAUCGUCCGUAAGACUGGAGAAAUAUGAAUGAAUUUGUUGAUGAUAACUCAGAAGACGGUUAACGGUUAAAUAUGCUAUGUUGAAAUGCACUGUACAGUCAAUUAAUUUAGUUAGGACUCUGUUUCUAGAAAACAGAGUAUAAAAGAUGACUAACUGUUUUGGGAGAUGCUUUUGGAGGGACUUCUAGAUGAAAUUGAGAGAGAGAGAGUGUGAGAGAAACUCUGUAAAGUCUUCUCCAAUUGGUAACCCCUUUUGUUGCGAAUAAUAAAGCUUCAAGGCUGUUCAUUUAUUUGUACAUAAGCAGGGGGAAAGCCUAUGUAUAGACAGCUUCAAAUGAGGAAACUGCACCUAACUACGCAGCAGCUGUAAUGAAGAAGACAUUGAUGCAUUAGCUUCCUGUUCCGUCUUCUUGGUCUUCGGGGAGGUUGGUAGCAGCAACUUUAAUUGUUCAAAGCAAACACUUAUCUUUCGUUUCUCAUAAAACCUCGUGAGGUAAUGCUUUAGAUGACUGGUAUGCAAUAUUGUCAAUGACAAAAUGUAAUGUUGUAUUCUGCUGAUCAACAUGUAAAAACUACAUAUUACUUGAAUUAGUUUUUUUUUUUUUUAAUUUACUAAAUUUCAGAAUUUGUUAACGAUGUUUGUACUUGGUUUUAACUCGAUUAAAGCUCAUGAAACUUAAUUGAUUAAUUAAUCAUUUAGUUAAAUUUAUUCGCUUUCAUGCUAUGGAUCUUUGCUAUAAUAACAAAUGCUUAAUUAUAUGCGUAUGUGUGAUAUAAUAGCUGCGUCUUACAUAGCAUAACACUACACCAAAUAUGCCCCCCUCAGAUACUAAUUAAUUACACAAAUGUACUUUUAUUCAAUUUAUUAUUUAAAAUAAUAUUUGAAAAAAAAUGGACUUGAGCAGAGCAAAGUAGAGAUAAUAAACAAGGGUAGAUUAUGCAUGCGUCAAAAGAUUUUAAAAAAGAAAAAGAGAAAAUAUACGGAAAACAAGAAAAUUGCGGGGAGCCACUCUUGUCUUUUACUUUGGACUUGAAGUCGUUCCAGGUGGAUAAUGUUUUCCUUUUAAAUAUUUAGAAUUAUAUUGUGGCGCUAUUUAAAAUAAGUUAUAAUUUUCUUAAAAUCAGACUAUGAUUACGGUACUCCAUGGUCAGAGUGUCGUUGAAUAAUGCUGAGUCUAUUGAGUCCUUUUCAAAUCGAAACCAGAACUAAAGAAAAAUCCAGAACUGAAACAAGGGCACGAACCAGCAAGAUUUGAAGGAAAAAUUUACUUCGUUAGUGAUCAACAACUAAUCAAACGUAAGUGGAUUUACAGAAGACUUUGUACAGAUCACAAUGAAACAGAUUCUAUGCAAAUUGACGAACAACUGAAGAAGAAAAAGGAUCGUACAACAGGCACUGCUCAUAAGCUUCUAUUUAUACUGAUGUUUCUGGAAACGUUGUAACAGAUUAUAACUAAUUCGUGCCACGUCAGCAUAAAAUAUCUACUAGACCCAUUUAACUGAAGUCAAUCUGCACAACGACUCUGAACCUCUUCAUAUUUUCCAUUUCAGUCCACAGACUCAACUACACACGUCUCCAAAAAUAAUAAGUUUUAUUUAUUUAUUUUUAUUAAUAAAAUAAAUUUUUAUUAACUUUCGUUGAUUUUGGUAGAUUUUGUUUUUGAGCUGUUACUACACUGUCGGCUGGUGUGUCAUCAUACGUAGUAGCGUCAUCAACCCUCUCAUGACUUUGACGGCCGAAACAUGUUUCAUGGCACAAAUAAUGACAGAUUUGUUUGAGGUACGGCGGAGAUGCCUAUUCAAAUAUUUGAAGCCAGCCCCUCCUUGUUUAACAUUUUUUUUUUUAAAAGGGGAACAACUGCUUUAGCUGUAUAUAUCAAGAAAAUUAGCUAACAGUUUAUGCACUUAAUUAUUUAUUUUGCCACACAUUUGUAAGUGGUCAAUGCUGCCGUAAAAUUAUUAGACCCAAAAUAAAGUGUGAUGAGGGACAGGAAUUAAUGUUCCCAUUAGCUGUAGCACCUAUCUUCCAUCUCUAAUUUUAACUUUCGAUUGAUGAAGUGUUUUCAAAUUUGUCAAAUGUCUGUAAACUGUUUAAUAAUUGAAGAAAGUUAAAAUUCAUUUUCUAAAAAUUAUUUUCAUUCAAAAUUGCGAUUGGAUGGUAAUCAGGGUUAAUAUCAGAGCUUAAGAUACUAUAACCGUGAGAACCUAUUGACUGCCAAUUAAAAUAUCCAUUAAAAUGUCUAGGGAGUUAUGAAGGUGGGGGUAACUUCCAAUUUCUAAGGCCACAGAGUAGACAUCAUCCAGGAUCCUAGGAAAGUCCAGUUAACCUCCUGCUCGAUGCAAUUAAUAAAUUUGGUCAAUGCCACUGAAACCUGCUAACUGACGUCACAAUGCGACAUGAGCACUUCAAAAUGGGACGGACAGUCAGUAGCACUGAAUUUUUCUUGCCUAAGAUUGAGCAAUUGGUCUAACUACUAAUCCCUAUUGUAGGUUGAUCAUUAUUUUUUCAAUUAUGUUCAGUUUGACCCAAAAAGUUGCAGAAUCUUGAGCUGAAUAUUGUCACGGAACACUGUCAAUGUCGCUUAGCAUAGCCAACAAACUUGAUGUUAAAACAAACACACAGUGUGUCUCAUGUCUCACAAAUCAAAUUAUCAUCUGUAAUGAUGGAGAAUUUUUCCAAUGUAUGAAGUAUGCUUUGAUACGUGGGUUACCUUGGAGAAGAUAUCUCAAAAUAAAGAAUAUGGGGAGAAAACAGUUCAGUAGUUUAUUAUUCUGUAGUCAAGUUUUGUCUCGAAAAUGGUCAAAAUUUAAAUGAUUAAGGACAGGGGAUCUUCAUUCUUUUUCCCCUUUUUUAUACCAAGAUAUCUCUCAACCUUUAUAUAAUCCCCACUGGAUAUCUGCUUCUCAUAAUUAAAAUAAAAAUUUCACCGCUCUAACAAUAAAAAGUAACAUCUUUAGUCAAAUAAUUUUGCGGUUCCUCAUCAUCUUAGUGUGAGACUAUCAGUACUUCCAAAAACAUAAUAAAACUGGUUUGAUCCUGUUUAUUAAUGUUUAAAUGUUGUUCAUUGUGACAUGUAGAAAUGAUGAGGCGAAGUUUAUUUGGGCAUCAAUUAGUAAGAUCUUGUUCGAAGUUGUUUUCUGAAAUGAACUGCCAAAUGGUAGUUUUUUGGGGGCAUUUGAUGGCUCUUUUUUUUUCCUCAUUUUCAACAUGUGCCUGCUUGGAACAGGAAGGAUUAGGCUUUAGAGUUGUUAUUUAUUUUGAGAUGCUCUGGUCAUUGCACAAUUUGUUCACACUGGAAAUUAGAAUGAGAAAUUUGUUGAUGCUGUUUUGAGAGAUCUGCAUUCUAUGCACAAUAACAUGAUUAAUGAAAAUGUAUUGUAGGACUGGAAAGAUCUGUGGCAGCCUGAGCUCGCAGGAAGAAUUUCAAUGGUUAAUUCUCCCCGAGAGGUUAUUGGUUCAGUUUUGAAGUAUAGGGGAGCAUCAUACAAUUCAAACGAUAUUGAUUCGCAAGUUGCUGGUGGGAAGAUUGCUGUUCAGCAGAAUCUGGCAUUACUGGCAAACCAGGUACUCUUACAGAAAUGAUAUCUGGUCAUUGCAUGUUAUUGCCUGACAACUGAUUUUGUUUGUAAAAGUCUACUUCUUCAUACAUAUGAAUGCAUAUGUUAGUGUUUUCUUCUCGUUUUCAUACAUAUAAAUGCAUAUGUUAGUGUUGUCUUUUCCUUUUCAUACAUAUUACUACAUAUGUUGGUGUUCUCUCCUGAGAUGGAUGCAAUAAAGGCUUUUGCUCCUAAAUUUAGCUGAAGAAAUGGCAAGGGAUGUGAGAUUCUGUCUCAUUAAAUUAACAAAAACCCAAAGCAAUGAAAAUCCAUAAUAAUGUGGUGUGGGUAAAUUGGCUCCAUUUGGUUCGUUUCCUUAAUGUGAAUGCGCGAGCAAUAGAGACUAACAAAAUGAAGUGACAACAAGAAGUCAGUGUCCUUUGAUGGAUGCAUUUUUAGGCAGAAAUAGGUUUGUAAUUGACCAAAUUUGUCUGGCAUGCCAAUUUCAAAAAAAUUAAAUUAUGUGGUUAUUAGCUGUAAUGAAGGGGGAUAGUAGGUGCAAUCAGGUGGAUCCUGGAAAGUUCAAUAAAGUUUUGGUAUGGCGUAGUGAAAUUGGUUUGUGCAACUCAGGAGUCUUUCAGGUGAACGAUGAUAGGUUUUGAUUUAUGAAUAUUAUAAAUCUACUGUGCAUAGUAUUCUAGUAGAAUCAUCUAUAAGUUCUAGUUAUUGAAAUUGUAUACUUUGCCCGGUUUGAGUUAAGGGCACAUGUAAUAUGAAAGAUAGUUGUCGCAUCUUUUAGGUUACCUAACAUUUGAUCAAUCCUAUUAUGGGGGCUUCAAGAUGUCUAACAAUAUGUAGAAUGCCCAUGCUCCUCCCCAUUGUUUAUCUUCUACAAUAAUUUGUUUUAGAUGCUAAUAUCUUUGUCGAUACCGGUAACAAUAUUACAAUAUCUGCGUUUAUUGGGUUUUACAUAGGUUCGACUGUUUGACAGUACACACUAUCUGAAGGCAUUUGCAAUUGGAGAUGUAUGGGUUGCUGUUGGGUGGAUUAGUGAUGUUCUUCCUGCUGUCAAACAUAUGUCUAAUGUUGCUGUUGUUGUUCCCAAGUCUGGUGCUAGCUGCCUGCCAUUCUACUUCGAUAUUCACAUUGUUAUCUCCUUCAUAUUAGCGAUCAGUAAACACGAUAAUGUGACUAAUAAGUUCGUAUUCUCUUUAUAGGCAAUCCCUGCUGCCUCAAGACUUGAAACAAAACAAAUUGGAGGGCGAGUCGGAGGUCCAUCUCCGUUAAUCCAUCAAUGGAUAGAAUUCUGCUUGCAAACAGCGAGAGCAUUACCUUUCAAGCAAGAGGUAAUCCCAGGUGCAUCUCCCUCUGCCCUUGAAAGUACUCUGGUUAAGUUGCCUGAAGAACUUCUGGAGGGUAAACCAAGUCUGGAUACUAACUUAAUUGCUGGAGUACUCCCGGCUGAAAUUCUGGCCAGAUGUGAGUUUUUGGAGCCAUUAUCUGAAGCUACUUUGUCAGAUUAUGAGUGGCUGGUUGUUAAUCUGCAAAAACCUGCUCCUGUCUUGAUGAAAAGGGUGCAACAUUACUUGUCAUCAUUAAUCCAAAGCUUUCUAGCAAGAGCUACAUUGAAAAGUUAAUGGCGCUGCAUGCCAGUCAUUAUAAUGCUGUCAGGACAAUUGGGUCAGGGCAAUUAGGUCAGAGCAUAACUUCAUUAGGAAAGGGGGCUUCAGCUACGUUAAAUAUUACAGGAUGUACUGAGAUGGCUGAAGUUCUUGAGGUUUUAUGAGAAACGAAAGAUGAGUGUUUGUUUGAACAAAGUUGUUGCCAAUCUUGCAGAGUUUGAAAACAAAGAUCACGGAGCGAAUGCCACCGAUUUCUUCAUCAUUUUAGCCUCCAUAAUUGAAGUUUCCUCAUUUGAAGCUGUUUAUGCAUACGAUUUUUCCCUGCUCUAGUACAGGAAAUUGAAGAAUUAACCAGAUGUGAUAUGCUGAAAGAGGGAAGUUUUCUUCCUUGAAUGUGGCCUUUGUGAUUUGUCUUGAAGGAAUAGGAUGAUCACUGGCAAGAACCCUAUCAAGGUAGAUUUUAUGGUGUUAACAUAUUAUUCAGCAUUUUGUUACAUUAGCAAUGAUGCUUUCAUAGCAUGAAAGUGUUUAAAUUUAACUGAAUGAUCUUGAUUGAUCAAUUAUGAGUUUUAAUCGAGUAAAAACUAAAUACAAUAAUCGUAACAAANNNNNNNNNNNNNNNNNNNNNNNNNNNNNNNNNNNNNNNNNNNNNNNNNNNNNNNNNNNNNNNNNNNNNNNNNNNNNNNNNNNNNNNNNNNNNNNNNNNNUGCUACCUUUUGAUUUUAGUGCUUAAUAUUUAUUGAACUAUGAUGCAGGGAAUUUGAAAUCAAACUCGUAAUACAGAUUAUCUAAUUGCGAGUUGCUGUCCAUAGCUGCUAAUUUGUAGUGAUUAUCUAAUUGACUGAGGUGACAAUAAUUCUUUUAUUUUCAAUAGCACAAUGUGGAAUUCAAUAAUUAAAUUCUCCUGUUUAAUUUGUUUCAAGUUAAAUUAUUAAUUACUUAAACUCGGUUUUAAGUCUUUAAUUUUAUGUGUUUAUGCAGAAUUGGAUUCUUGAGCGUGUUGGACACGACCAACAAUGAAAUUGACAGUAAACAAACAUUAGAACAUGUGGACUCCGGUAAGCACCAAUGAAUUUCUAGCCCCGUUGACUCCGCCAACUAAAGUUUUGUAAAAUAAAAAAAAAUACAUAGAAUUCCACCAAAUGCAAAACGCGUAAAAUUUAAUUUUCGGCCGUGUGGACCAAAACAUAAUUUAACAAAAAAGAAAAAAAUGAUAAGAUUUUUAAAAUGUGUGGAAGGUGAUCCAUAUUUUACUGAAACGACUUGUUAAAUUUUUCAAGGAUUUAGAAUAUUUGGUCAUAAAUUACGUGCAUGUUAAUUUUUCCGCCAUUGACUAUCAUAUUCUAGACUUAAUGGUACCUUUUUUGAUGAAGGGUACUUAGUCUCUCUUCUCCUCUUAUAAAAAUUAUAUUAAUUGAUUUCUUGUUAUAGUUAAUAGUCUUCAAGAACGGAUAGAUUUAUUGUUUUCAUGACCAAAUUAUGCAUGCCUAACGUUGCAACUAUUAAUAAAAUUAAUAUUUAAUAUUUAUGUUAAAAGAUAUAAGAUUUUAUGCAUUCAUUAAUUGUUAUUAGCUAAAGGAUGAAUUAUUUUUUCCCAAUCAGUUGAUGCAUCUGCAAGAGUUUUUUUUUCUUUUAUUGACCAUAAUUAUAUUCCGGGUACAAUAAAUUGUCUUUGGUGCUUGGAAGAUAUGACAUCUCUCUGUCAACUUACUGGAAAUAUCUCCUCAUCUACUCUCAUUUAUCUAAUAUCAAUUGAAGAUCUCAUAUUUCCAAACUAUGACUUCCAAAUCUCAUUAUCAUUUGAGCAUUCAAAACUAAUCAAGUGUGGAAAUAAUCAAAUAUAUGCAAAAAUCGAGUCACAAUCUUUGGCCCCUCAAAAUUCUAAUUAUAUAACUUCUAUAUAUCUCAUACAUUUUCCAAAUUCCUCUUCCAUCAACAUCAUUAGGAGUAUGUUCAUCUCUCACACAUUAACUUGAGUGGAGAGUUUCCAAAUUGAUUGUCAGAAAACAACAAAAGAACUAGACACGCUUGAUCUGUCUAAUAAUUCUCUUUCGGUAAAAUUAAUUAAUUUUAGGGGAAUUCAGCCAACCUCUGUAAUUUUAUAGUGAUCAUUAAUUAAUUAAACAAUACAAAUAUCUAAAGUGAUUAGAUGUUUACUGACAAUACAAGUUCAUGGCUUGAAAUUUGAUCUCUAUCGAUUGGUUUUGUAGUGCUUAAUAUUUACAGAACUCCGGGAAUUUGAAAUCAAACUCGUAACUACAGAUUAUCUAAUUGUAAGUUUUUGUCCAUAGCUGCUGAUUUGUAGUGAUUAUCUAAUUGACUGAGGUGACAACAAUUGUUCUUUUAAUUUUCAAUAGCAUAAUGUGGAAUUCAAUAAUUAAAUUCUCCUUUUUAAUUUGUUUCCAAUUAAAUUAUUAAUUACUUAAACUCUAUUUUAAGUCUUUAAUUUUAUGUGUUUAUGCAGAAUUGGAUUCUUGAGCGUGUUGGACACGACCAACAAUGAAAUUGACAGUAAACAAACAUUACAACGCGUUGAGUGUCGACUCCGGUAGCUGCCCUACAAGUCUACAACUUUACAAAAAAUAAUUGAGUACACACAUUCGAUUCUCGGGACCCUUCAAUGAAUUUCUAACCCCGUUGACUCCACCGACAAAAGUUUUGGAAAAUAAAAAAAAAAUUUAUAGAAUUCCACCAAAUGCAAAACGCGUGGAAUUUAAUUUUCGGCCGUGUGGACCAAAACAUAAUUUAAUGAAAAAAAAGAAGAUAAAAUUUCUAAAAUGUGUGGAAAUUGAUCCAUAUUUUACUGAAACAACUUGUUAAAUUUUUCAAGGAUUUAGAAUAUUUGGUCAUAAAUUAUGCUCAUGUUAAUUUUUCCGCUAUUGACUAUCAUAUUCUAGACACAAUGGUACCUUUCUUGAUGAAGGGUACUUAGUCUCUCUUCUCCUCUUAUAAAAAUUAUAUUAAUUGAUUUCUUAUUAUAAUAAAUAGUCUUUAAGAACGUAUAGAUUUAUUGUUUUCGUGACCAAAUUAUGCCUGCCUAAGGUUGUGACUAUUAAUAAAAUUAAUAUUUAAUGUUUAUGUUAAAAGAUAUAAGAUUUUAUGCAUUCAUUAAUUGUUAUUAGCUAAAGGAUUAAUUAUUUUUUCAACCCAAUCUGUUGAUGCAUCUGCAAGAGUUUUUUCUUUUAUUGACCAUAAUUAUAUUCCGGGUACAAUAAAUUGUCUUUGGUGCUUGGAAAAUAUGACUUCUUACUUCAAGUUUGAUAUGUCUCUCUCCAUAAGCUUACUGGAAAUAUAUCCUCAUUUACUGUCAUUUAUCUAAUAUCAAUUGAAGAGCUCACUUUUUCAAACUAUCACUUCCAAGUCUCAUUGUCACUUGCCAUUCUUGGACCAUUCAAAACCAAACAAGUGUUGNNNNNNNNNNNNNNNNNNNNNNNNNNNNNNNNNNNNNNNNNNNNNNNNNNNNNNNNNNNNNNNNNNNNNNNNNNNNNNNNNNNNNNNNNNNNNNNNNNNNNNNNNNNNNNNNNNNNNNNNNNNNNNNNNNNNNNNNNNNNNNNNNNNNNNNNNNNNNNNNNNNNNNNNNNNNNNNNNNNNNNNNNNNNNNNNNNNNNNNNNNNNNNNNNNNNNNNNNNNNNNNNNNNNNNNNNNNNNNNNNNNNNNNNNNNNNNNNNNNNNNNNNNNNNNNNNNNNNNNNNNNNNNNNNNNNNNNNNNNNNNNNNNNNNNNNNNNNNNNNNNNNNNNNNNNNNNNNNNNNNNNNNNNNNNNNNNNNNNNNNNNNNNNNNNNNNNNNNNNNNNNNNNNNNNNNNNNNNNNNNNNNNNNNNNNNNNNNNNNNNNNNNNNNNNNNNNNNNNNNNNNNNNNNNNNNNNNNNNNNNNNNNNNNNNNNNNNNNNNNNNNNNNNNNNNNNNNNNNNNNNNNNNNNNNNNNNNNNNNNNNNNNNNNNNNNNNNNNNNNNNNNNNNNNNNNNNNNNNNNNNNNNNNNNNNNNNNNNNNNNNNNNNNNNNNNNNNNNNNNNNNNNNNNNNNNNNNNNNNNNNNNNNNNNNNNNNNNNNNNNNNNNNNNNNNNNNNNNNNNNNNNNNNNNNNNNNNNNNNNNNNNNNNNNNNNNNNNNNNNNNNNNNNNNNNNNNNNNNNNNNNNNNNNNNNNNNNNNNNNNNNNNNNNNNNNNNNNNNNNNNNNNNNNNNNNNNNNNNNNNNNNNNNNNNNNNNGUAUUUUACUUGGAAGAUAUGACAUCUCUCUGUCAACUUACUGGAAAUAUCUCCUCAUCUACUCUCUUUUAUCUAAUAUCAAUUGAAGAUCUCAUAUUUCCAAACUAUGACUUCCAAAUCUCUCAUUAUCAUUGAGCAUUCAAAACUAAUCAAGUGUGGAAAUAAUCAAAUAUAUGCAAAAAUCGAGUCACAAUCUUUGGCCCCUCAAAAUUCUAAUUAUAUAACUUCUAUAUAUCUCAUACAUUUUCCAAAUUCCUCUUCCAUCAACAUCAUUAGGAGUAUGUUCAUCUCUCACACAUUAACUUGAGUGGAGAGUUUCCAAAUUGAUUGUCAGAAAACAACAAAAGAACUAGACACGCUUGAUCUGUCUAAUAAUUCUCUUUCGGUAAAAUUAAUUAAUUUUAGGGGAAUUCAGCCAACCUCUGUAAUUUUAUAGUGAUCAUUAAUUAAUUAAACAAUACAAAUAUCUAAAGUGAUUAGAUGUUUACUGACAAUACAAGUUCAUGGCUUGAAAUUUGAUCUCUAUCGAUUGGUUUUGUAGUGCUUAAUAUUUACAGAACUCCGGGAAUUUGAAAUCAAACUCGUAACUACAGAUUAUCUAAUUGUAAGUUUUUGUCCAUAGCUGCUGAUUUGUAGUGAUUAUCUAAUUGACUGAGGUGACAACAAUUGUUCUUUUAAUUUUCAAUAGCAUAAUGUGGAAUUCAAUAAUUAAAUUCUCCUUUUUAAUUUGUUUCCAAUUAAAUUAUUAAUUACUUAAACUCUAUUUUAAGUCUUUAAUUUUAUGUGUUUAUGCAGAAUUGGAUUCUUGAGCGUGUUGGACACGACCAACAAUGAAAUUGACAGUAAACAAACAUUACAACGCGUUGAGUGUCGACUCCGGUAGCUGCCCUACAAGUCUACAACUUUACAAAAAAUAAUUGAGUACACACAUUCGAUUCUCGGGACCCUUCAAUGAAUUUCUAGCCCCGUUGACUCCACUGACAAAAGUUUUGGAAAAUAAAAAAAAAAUUCAUAGAAUUCCACCAAAUGCAAAACGCAUGGAAUUUAAUUUUCGGCCGUGUGGACCAAAACAUAAUUUAAUGAAAAAAAAAAGAUAAAUUUUCUAAAAUGUGUGGAAGGUGAUCCAUAUUUUAUUGAAACAACUUGUUAAAUUUUUUAAGGAUUUAGAAUAUUUGGUCAUAAAUUACGCUCAUGUUAAUUUUUCCGCUAUUGACUAUCAUAUUCUAGACUCACUGGUACCUUUCUUGAUGAAGGGUACUUAGUCUCUCUUCUACUCUUAUAAAAAUUAUAUUAAUUGAUUUCUUAUUAUAAUAAAUUGUCUUUAAGAACGUAUAGAUUUAUUGUUUUCGUGACCAAAUUAUGCUAGAUUAAGGUUGCGACUAUUAAUAAAAUUAAUAUUUAAUGUUUAUGUUAAAAGAUAUAAGAUUUUAUGCAUUCAUUAAUUGUUAUUAGCUAAAGGAUUAAUUAUUUUUUCAACCCAAUCAGUUGAUGCAUCUGCAAGAAUGUUUUCUUUUAUUGACCAUAAUUAUAUUCCGGGUACAAUAAAUUAUCUUUGGUGCUUGGAAAAUAUGACUUCUUACUUCAAGUUUGAUAUGUCUCUCUCCAUAAACUUACUGGAAAUAUAUCCUCAUCUAUUAUCAUUUAUCUAAUAUCAAUUGGAAGAUCGCACUUUUUCAAACUAUCACUUCCAAGUCUCAUUGUCACUUGGCCAUUCUUGGACCAUUCAGAACCAAUCAAGUGUUGAAAUAAGUCGAGAGGGGGGGCAAAAUUAGAGUCACAAUUUUUGGUCCCCCAAAUUCUAAUUAUAUAACUUCUAUAUAUUUCAUUGCCAGGUCACGAACUUGUUGGCACAUUUUCCAAAUUCCUCUUCCAUCAACUCUCACACGUUAACUUAAGUGGAAAGUUUCCAAGUUGAUUGCUAGAAAGCAACGCAAAAUCAGACACGCUUGACCUGUCCCCUAAUUCUCUUUUCUACGUUGAAAAAGAAAAAAAAAAUAUAUAUAUAUAUCUAUGUAAAAAUAAAUAAUAAACUGAAUAAAAGUACAUUUGUUUAAUUAACAUCUGAUCGUGGCAUUUUUGGUGUAAUUUCGUGCUGUGUAAGCCACAACUAAAAUCAAACAGCCCCUUAGCAUACUUCUUCCAUUUUAUCUGGUACUUUUGUGGAUCUUAUAGGGUGGGCAUGUGGACAGAAUUUAAAAGUUUUAAUAGUCUCAAAGAAUAAGAUAUGUUAAAGCUAAAGUUGUUGCACCUUCUAAUUAAAUAAAGUUGUACAAUUUCACCAACUUGGAAGAAUUGACAUUAAUGGACUGGUCCCUUCUCCAUAUAUGAAGCCUUCUUAAAAGUUAAUUUUUAUUUCAGAAAAAAAAAGUUAAAGUUACAUAUAUUAUAGUAAGAUUUUUUGAGACCAAUUCCCUUCUUGAAAUAAUAAUGGAAAAGUAUUAAUUUAAUAAUAAAAUGAAUAUGUAUUGAUUAUAUCUUGAUUUUCAUCGAUUAUAGUGAGAGUUUCUCCAAAUCAAUUCCCUUAUUCAAAUAAUAUCGAAAAAAUAGUAAUUUAAUAGUAAAAUAAACAGGUGUUGAUUAUAUAUUCUAAGUUUCAUCGAUUAUGUGAUCAAAGUGGCAUUGUUGAUUUAUUUCUUGUUCAAUGUUAAUUUUUAGGUUAUCUAAAUUUCAAGGAUUUAAAAUCUUUGAUCAUGGAUUACACGCUUGUUAAUUUUUCUGCCAUUGACUAUCAUAUUCUAGACUUAAUGAUACCUUUCUUGAUCAAGGGUAAUUACUCUCUCUUCUCCUCUUAUAAAUUCCUCUUCCAUUAACAUCACUAGGAGUAUGUUGAUCUCUUACAAAACAACAAAAGAACUAGACACACUUGAUCUGUCUAAUAAUUCUCUUUCGGUAAAAUUAAUUAAUUUUAGGGGAAUAUUCGACCAACCUCUGUAAUUUUAGAGUGAUCAUUAAUUAAUUAAACGAUACAAAUAUCUAAAGUGAUUAGAUGUUUGCUGACAAUGCAAGUUCAUGACUUGAAAUUUGAUCUCUAUCGAUUGGUUUACAAAUGGACAUACUUGUGCCUUUGUGGCGAUAAUCGAACAAGUUCCAAUGAUUAUUAUUUUUUCCAAAAACUUUUUUACAACAAAUUCAUCUCGCCAAAAAUUCUAUGUUGCUAGCUAACAAUAAUUGAGCACUUGGCCGCAUUGACUCCACGUCUCCACCUCUUUCUAAAUUCUAAGUAAAAACAUGGAAAUGUAAUUUCCACAAAAUGCCAAACGUGUGGAAUUUAAUUUUUUGCCUUGUGGAUCAAAAUACAAAUGAAAGAAACAGGAAAAAAAAAAAAGGCCCAAAGACUUCUAAAAGAUGAAGAAGUCUUUGGGCCUUUUUAUAAUGGUGGAUUUUUUAAAAGAAAAAAAUAACAACACUUUUAUGGUUGGUUUUGAUAAUCAUAUGUGCGUAUAUACUCUCUAAUUUUCAAAAUGGACACAUAAAUCUUUUUUUUUCACAAAAUAUAUAUUAUUCAUAUUUUUUAUUUUUUAUUAUCAUAUUUUUAUUUAUUAUAAAUGUUUAGAGUAAAUUUUUAGGUUGAAAUAUAAUAAAAGGGUAUAAUCGUUCUCUUAUUAAACACACAUACUUUUAUUAGUUUCUAUGCAUUUGUCAUCUCAAUCUCUCUCAAUUAUUCUUUAUUGCUAGCUCAAAACACGUUGCUGUUGCAAAUUAUAGCAAAAUGACAAAUAUGGAAAAAAAGGGAAGAAAAUUAAUGCAUGAAAGACUUGGAGAAAACAACAAAAUAAGCCAACUAUGAGCUAGUUGGGUGUAUAAAUUGUUAGAUGUGUUAUAUACAAAUAGCAUAGAGCCCUCUAGUUGGUUCUAGAGACAGAAAGAGCGUGUGUGUUUUUUCACAGUUAGAGAUAUAGUUAGAAUGGGUGGCUCAAAAUCAAAAAUGAUGAUAAUGUUUAUUAUGUUAUUAAUAAUAUUUAAAAGUGGGUGGAGUGAGGGAUGUUUGGAUCACGAGAGAUUUGCUCUUUUGCGACUCAAACAUUUCUUCACUGGUCCUUGUAAUUAUCUUUACGACUGGGUAGAUGGUGAGGGAGCUACUGAUUGUUGUCAGUGGGAAAGGGUUGAGUGCAGCAACACCACAGGCCGAGUGAUAACGCUAGACCUUUUUGACACGUAUGGGGGAGAGCACAACUGGUAUCUGAAUGCUUCUUUGUUUACUCCCUUCCAACAACUUGAGUCACUUGAUUUAACUUACAACAAAAUAACCGGUUGUGUUGAGAAUGAAGGUGCUUCGUUUAAUUUAAUUAAUUUACUUUCUCCCCCCUAAUUUAAGUUGAAUAUCAAGACCGAGCAAUUAUAUGCAUAUUCAUUCAGUUGACAAUUUUGACUUUUUUUUUAAAGAUUAAUUUUGAAAUUACACUAGUAUCUAUGAUCCUUUUUUUUUUUAUUUUACUUGCAGGUAUAGAGAGGCUAUCAAGAUUGAACAACUUGAAGAUGCUUAAUUUAAGUGAUAACUCGUUCAACAAUAGCAUUUUAUCAUCACUAACUCAUCUUUCAUCAUUAAGAUCAUUAAAUUUAUAUGGGAAUAGAUUAGAAGGAAGUAUUGACGUUAAAGGUACAUAAUUAAAACUUCAUCCCUUCUCCAAGCUCUUUCAUUAACUUGCUAAAAUAAGAUUCAAGGCUUUGAAUUCAAUUUUUUUUAUGAUUAGUAUUAAAAAAAAACAGUUUUAAGCAAUUUAUAAAUACAAGUUUUAAUCUUUCUCAUAAUUUCAUCUUGUACUUUCAUGUGUCUUGAAUUUAAGAUUAAAAAGAAAUCUAAUAGCAAACCAAACACCUCCACAACUUAUUAUUAUUAUUAUUAUUAUUUGCGGUGAGGUUUGAAACAUUCAACUCAAUUUGUACUUAUUACAGAAUUUGAUUCUUUGAGAGAUUUAGAGGAGCUAGACAUUGGCGAGAACAAGAUUGACAAAUUUGUGGUCUCAAAAGGUACUACAAAUACCAUAAAAAAAAAUGCUAACUUAUACAAAUUAGUUGGAUUCUUGGCCAUUUGGUUUAUUAUUUUACAGGUUUGAGUAAGUUGAAGUCUCUCUGUUUAAGUGGUAUCAAACUCAAUCGUAGCAUCUUCGCUUCUCUUUCUUCGUUAAGAGAAUUAGAUAUAAGUUAUACGGGAUUCAAAGGAACAUUUGAUGUUCGAGGUAAGUCUAAGCCUUGCUUUCUCAUUUUAUAUAUGCGAACUAGAUUUGUGUAUCAUCGACAUAAUUUAAUAUUUAAUUUAAUAAGUCUGAAGGUAUUACAUGCUAAUUUAAACAUACUUUUAUUUACUUUGUCAAUUAAUUAAUUAAUUAAUUAAUUACUAUUUGGCUUGGUUUGGACGAAAUUCUCAUGAUGUUUUAAUUUCUUUAAAUUAAUUAAUUAAUUAACUCUGUUUUUAAGUCUUAAGUCUGGGCAUGUUUGCAGAAUUUGAUUCCUUCAAUAACUUAGAAGUGUUGGACAUGGGAUACAAUGAAAUCGACAAUCUUGUGGUUCCUCAAGGUAAACAAUUAAAAUAUUAUUCAAUUACAUUAUUUUAAUUCAUUUGAUUAGAGAAGGCCAAAAAGGUCCCAAAAAAAUUAAUAAUAAAGAAACAGAUAAUUUGUAUUAUUUAAAAAAAACAGAAUGUAAUAAAGAUUUGAUUCCAGUUCUUUAAUCUUUAAAGCGAUUGAAAAACAAUGUUGCUCUUUUCCCAAAGUAUAAAAUACGAAUUGAAUGCCAAUUAACUUAAUCAUUCAUUUCGUUUAGCUCUAAAUUUAGACAAUGAAUUUUUAUAUUAUUUCAAAAACAGGACGUAAUAGAAUUUUUUUAAAAACAGAUUGUAAUGAAGAUUUGAUUCCAAUUUUUUAAUCUUUGCAGCGAUUGAAAAACCAUACCGCUCUUUUCCCAAAGCAUAAAAUACGAAUUGACUCCCAAUUAAAUUAAUCAUUUAUUUUGUUCAUCUCUGAAUUUAAAUAAUGAAUUUUGAUCUUCAAUCAUAUUCUAACUACUAUUAAAAAACAAGUUACAAAGGUUUGAGGAAGCUGAAAAGCCUUGAUCUAUCGGAAGUUGAAAUUAGAGAUGGAAGCAAGUUGUUACAGUCGAUGGGAUCAUUCCCAUCCCUCAACACUCUUUACCUGAAGGAUAAUAAUUUUACCGAUAUAGCGACAACUACUACUCAAGGUAAGUAAAAGGUACAGAUGUGGCCAAAUUUAUAAAUAAAUUGUUAAUUAAUUAAUUUUUCCGUAUUAUUAAUUAAGCUAAAUUCGUUGCUCCUUCCUUCUAAAUCUAAACAGAGUUGCACAAUUUCACCAACUUGGAAUAUUUGACAUUGACCGGUUCCUCUCUCCAUAUAAGCCUUCUGCAAAGCAUUGCAUCAAUAUUCCCUUUGUUAAAAAUUUUGCCGAUGAUUGGUUGUGAAGUCAAUGGCAUCCUACGUGGUCAAGGUAAAAGAAAAGCGUUGAAUGUGCACUCACUGAGUGUUGUCCUACGUGUUCAAUAUUUUCAUUUAUUCAUUUUAUUGUUUAAUGUUUCUGCUAGGUUUUACUCAUUUCAAGAGUUUGGAACAUUUGGACAUGGAUUACGCGCUCAUUGCACUCAACACCAGCUUUCUUCAAAUCAUCAGUGAAUCGAUGCCUUCUCUUAAGUACUUAUCACUAUCAAAUUCUACUCUUGGCACUAACAGCAGCAGGAUUCUUGAUCAAGGUUAAUCAGAUGCUCCCACCCCCCUUCUUAAUCUAUAAUAUUAAUUUUCAAUUAAAUAUUUAAUUACACAAACGAAUCACUUAUUAUAAAAGAAUAAUACGCAUUCAUUAAUUUUUAUAUUGUAUUAAUUGAUGAAUUUAAUAAAUUUUCAGGCCUCUGUUCGUUGAUGCAUCUGCAAGAGUUGUACAUUGAUAAUAAUGAUUUAAGAGGUAGCUUGCCUUGGUGCAUGGCAAAUAUGACAUCCCUCCGAUUAUUAGAUGUUUCUUCCAAUCAACUUACGGGAAGCAUCUCCUCAUCUCCCCUCGUUCAUUUGACAUCCAUUGAAGAGUUGAUGCUUUCAAACAAUCACUUCCAGAUCCCAAUUUCACUUGAACCACUUUUCAAUCACUCAAGACUCAAGAUUUUCAAUGCUUAUAACAAUGAAAUAAAAGCUAAAAUAACUGAGUCACAUUCUUUGAUCGCCCCAAAAUUCCAAUUAAAUACACUCUUGUUGUCUUCCAGUUACGGAGACAGUUUCAUAUUCCCCAAAUUCAUUUACCAUCAACAUGACCUGGCGUAUGUUGAUCUCUCACACAUAAAGAUGAAUGGAGAAUUUCCAACUUGGUUGUUGGAAAACAACACAAAAUUGAGCCAACUUUCUGUCGUCAAUGAUUCUCUUGCAGGACCUUUUCGGUUGCCAAUUCAUUCACACAAGCAGUUAAGACUGUUGGAUAUAUCCACCAACAACAUCCGAGGCCACAUUCCAGUAGAAAUUGGAGAUGUUUUGCCACGUUUAUACGUUUUCAACAAUUCCAUGAAUGCUCUAGACGGUAGCAUUCCCUCUUCAUUUGGUAAUAUGAAAUUCCUCCAAAUUCUGGACUUAUCCAACAAUCACUUGACUGGUGAAAUCCCCGAGCACUUGGCCGUGGGUUGCGUCAACUUGCAGGCUCUUGCAUUAUCAAAUAACAACCUACAAGGUUACAUGUUCUCUAGAAAUUUUAACUUGACAAACUUGAGAUGGUUACAAUUGGAGGGCAAUCGAUUCGUAGGUGAGAUCCCACAAAGUUUGUCUAAAUGCUCCUCACUAGAAGGAUUGUAUAUUAACAAUAAUAGUCUUUCGGGUAAGAUUCCACGAUGGUUGGGUAAUCUCACAUGGUUACAAUAUAUUAUAAUGCCCAAUAAUCAUCUUGAAGGCCUUAUUCCAGUGGAGUUUUGUCAGCUUGAUUCGCUUCAGAUUUUGGACAUUUCAGACAACAACAUAUCUGGAAGUUUACCAUCUUGUUUCCAUCCUCUCUCUAUCAAACAAGUUCAUCUUUCAAAAAAUAUGUUACAUGGACAACUAAAAAGAGGUACAUUCUUUAAUUGCUCUUCCCUUGUGACAUUAGAUCUUAGCUAUAACCGCUUGAAUGGCAACAUUCUGGAUUGGGUUGAUGGGCUUUCUCGGUUAAGCCACCUGAUCUUAGGUCACAAUAAUCUUGAAGGUGAAGUGCCAGUUCAAUUGUGCGAAUUGAACCAACUACAAUUGUUAGAUCUUUCUAAUAAUAAUCUUCACGGUCCUAUUCCUCCUUGCUUUGAUAACACCACACUUCAUGAAAGUUACAGCAAUAGUUCUAGUCCUGAUGAGCAAUUUGAAAUAUUUUUUUCCAUCGAAAGCCCUGUGGGAGAUGUAAAAGAGCAAAUCCAUGAAAUUUUUGAGUUAACAACAAAGAACAUUGCGUACAUUUACCAAGGAAAAGUGUUUAGCCUCCUAUCAGGACUUGAUCUUUCUUGCAACAAGCUAAUCGGUCAUAUUCCUCCUCAAAUUGGAAAUUUGACAAGGAUUCAAACAUUGAAUCUAUCGCACCAUAACUUGACAGGAUCGAUCCCAUCAACAUUUUCAAACUUGAAGCAUGUCGAAAGUUUGGAUCUUUCCAACAACAAAUUGAAUGGAAAAAUCCCUUAUCAACUAGUGGAGUUAAAGACAUUGGAGGUUUUCAGUGUGGCAUACAAUAACUUAUCAGGCGAAAUUCCAGAAUGGAAAGCACAAUUUGCAACCUUCAACGAGAGUAGCUAUGAGGGAAAUACUUUUCUUUGUGGACUGCCAUUGCCCAUUUGCAGAUCACCAGCAACUACGCCGGAGGGUUCAAUCGGCAAUGAACGAGAUGAUAAUUUAAUUGACAUGGACAGUUUCUUUAUCACAUUUACAACAUCGUACGUAAUUGUGAUAUUCGGAAUUGUUAUUGUUUUAUAUGUAAAUUCUUAUUGGCGACGUAAAUGGUUUUACUUUGUUGAAAUGUGGAUAACUUCAUGUUAUUAUUUUAUUGUAGACAAUCUUAUUACAACAAGAUAUUGUCAUUGAAAUUAAUUAGCAGUUUAAUUACGAUUCUUUAAGUUCUAAUCAAGUUUGCACUUGAUCGCCUAUUUUACUUUAAAAAAUAAUGAUUAUGGUGCUAUCAUCAUCUUCUUCACUAGCAACAUUAACACCAAAUCCAGCGAUGGACCCAGACAUUUUAUCAAGAUAUCCACCAUAACUUAUACUUCCCUAUACUGUGCAGCCUACUUAAAUAAGAGAACCAUCUCCAAUGUUAAAACCAGCCACUCUAUAACAUUCAUUUAGAAACUAUAUUUAGAACUCUCCAAUCCACCCACCAGAAUUUCAUAUCUCCUCAACAAUUUUAAGAACUAAAGAUAAUUAGGAUAUAACAUUAGUUUUUUAUAUAUUAGUUUCAUAAUUUACAAAUCAAUGAAGAUGAAGAUUAUGUUAAUGAAUUCAAAUUAUACCAUACAUUCUCGAGAUGCUACCAAAAAUUUCUAAGUCAAUCCCACAUAUUUCAUAAUUUUAAGACUAGAAAAUUUCAUUAGGUAGAAGUUUCAUUACCUUCAAGUGGAAGAUGAAGAACAUUAUACAAUUGAUUCAGAUUAUAUCAUACAUACUCCAAAUGCAACUAGAAAUUAACAAGUUCAUGCGCACAGAUUUCAUAACAUUAUGAAUGGAAAGUUUCACAAAGAGAAAUUAUAAAUUCAAUCUCUUGCAUCAAGGUAGUUUGAUUGAUUUGAGUUACUUUCUGAUCAAGCUAUUAAUAUAACAUUCAAGUCAGGGAGAAAGUAAAUUAAAACUGGGAAGAAAUAACAGUAAAAAUUUGUUGCUAAACAUGAUGUGUAUUUUUUUUUUAAGGCAAUUUGGAAACACAGUUGUUACUACAGAUAUUCUCCUCAACUUAGAGAUAAUACAAAUAUUAAAAUGCAUAUGAUCGCACAUAUUACUUUGGAAGCUUAGUAAGAUUUCAUUAAGAGAAGCAAAUCAAACCACUUAUUUCAUUGUUGCAUCGUUCUAUAAGCUAAAAUAGCAAUAUAAUACAAGAAAAAGAACAUAUAGAUACUUGGCAAGAGUUCAUUAAGAAGUCGCAUCACAUUCGGGUGAGUUUGCUUCUGAUAUCUUGCUAGCUGGGGCUUUUUCUUGUCUUUCUAUGUAUGCCGAGGGAAACCAACCAGCUUGGCCCUUGCAUUCACCUUCCGACCAUCCAGUAGGAGCCACCUUGAGAAGUUAUAACUAAAACAGUGAAUUAAACAACAGUUGACCAUUCAAAGACCUAAGGGGAAAACUAAUUCUUUUACGUAGGAAGAGUGAAUUAAUUCUGAUCACUGAAAUAACAGCAUAACUAUGGAAGCCUAAAAAGAUAUAAAUUCACACGUCUAUAAGGGUAAACUGGGUGGUUUAGAACUGAGCUAGCAACCCUACCAUAUUCUGAUUUGCACUUCAAUGUAAAAGGGAAUAUAUGGUAUGAAGAAAGAAAACCAACCAUCAUUUGUUAACCCAUUGCUUUUCAAUCAAAAUUUUAAGAACAAAAUGCCAUGUGCUUUGAACAUCAAAUAAGUAUAAGCAUUAGUUCUAAAUUCCACAUAUCAUAAGUUAGAAGGAUAAGUUAAUAGCAUAGUAGAAAAAUCUGUGUUGUUAUUUAGAGGGGAAAGUACCUGGCGAACCACAACAUAAUCAUCAAUUGAAAGACUUAACUCUCCAUUUGCUUGAGCAUCAAAUGGAUGUAUAACCUGCAAGAUAAUGGGAUAAAUAGAACUUAAUCUCAAAAAAAGCAUAACAAAAGCAGCAACAGUAUCAGCAGCGUUCAUUGUAACCACUAUGAUCAUGGCCAACAAAGAUAUAUUAGAAACAAAAUUCCAUUUUUACUACGGCAUUAAUAUGCACUAUAUGAUAUCAUGACGAUUGGGUUACCAAGAGCUAUCAAAGUCCAAUAAAUUCUGUAUAACUUUAUGUAGUUAUUCAAAUUAUGGAUCAGAUUUUAAAUCUGAAAUUUUGACUGCUCUCCACAAAACAUGGCCUAUGCACAAGAAGGUCAUAGAUAAUGAGGAUUACAAGUGUUUGACAUCUUUAGAGUGAUGGAUUUAAGAUGACAGCUUAUGGUCAGUCAAUUUCCUCCGCCUAGCAAUAUAAGCUUUCUCGGCCGGAUUUAUCAUCAAAUAUAUAGAUUGCCCCCAAGUCACAUCCAUAUAAACAUAGUUUUUCUAGGUAAACCAAGUAAGGAGAAUCAUAAUUCAGACAUAAUCAUAAAAAGGCCCAUCUAACUUAAGAGAAAAUCUCAAAAAGAGGAAUGUUGAGCUAUCAUUCUUGUAUCUAUAAGCAAUAUCAAGACUUUACAUCACCUGCUACAUCGUGAGUGGCUACACAACUUUCAGUGGUUUGUCUUUCUUUGGCAUGCCUAACUCAGCUUUGAUGUUGCUGAGAUAUUGAUGGUAGAGACACAUGAUACUUCUAGCUCAUGCAUUCUAUCUAGCUCAUUCGACAGCUAUCUCUUUUUUAAUUCAUUAGUGUUUGCUAAACCUCAUGCUUAAAAAUCAUGCUGUUCUAAACAAAGUUUCCUAAGAAUGACUUCCUCAGCACCACACUUAGACACUUUUAGAGCAAUUUUAUUUGGGGGAAAAGAAUUUUCAAGGUGUUAACUAAUAAAUUUUAAAAAAUAAUUACAAUUUGUCCUACGAUUAUAUGACAAUUUAUCUAGGAUGAAAGGAUACAGACAGACAUCUUCCACUUUCAAGACUAAUCACUACUUCCGUAGAUGUUUUGCAAUAACACAAAUACUUGACCAGAUGGUAGUGAUGGUAGAAAAUAUUUUAUUGCUCCAAAAUUAAAAUAAGAAUGCAAUAUGUUAAGCAAAAGACUGUGCAACAUCAAAUUAAUUGAUAAGUUUGUAAUUCAGUAAAUUAACAACUUUCAUGGUAAAAUACAACAAAUUUCUUUUCAAAAAAUUUUUUUAAAAGACAGCAUUCAAUUUUGUGCGCAUCUUAUUUCUUAAGAUUUUCCAGGAGGGCAAUAGAGGGACUUUCACCUAUGCAAGAGAGCAGAAGCCUUACUUUCGCUAUAAAGUAGACGUCAUUCUGAUUAAUAUGCGUUUGCAAAUCAACUCCAUUUGAAUCAGUAUUCUGAUAGACACAUGAGGCAUUUACAUCCAUUUCCAAAGUCACAUGUUGCGAGGAGGACUCAUUUGAUUGCUCCUCUAGGAUCAUCUAAUUCAAGUAGCAAGGGUUGGAAGAGAAUAAAAAGUCACAAUUAUUCUUUUGCAUAAGUGAGACGAAAAUGAUAAAUGCACUAUUAUCAGCAGUAAACAAGAAGAGAACACUCCAAGGAAUAGAUAGAUGCGGACAAGCAAGUUAAAAUGCACAGUUCCAAACCUCCGCAUACAACUUCUCUGAAAUAGCAAUAACGUGUUGAUGAUAUGUUUUCUCAGCAUCUACCUUUAAAGGCCCGAGACCAGGAAAACAACAAUAAAACCACUAGCUAAAGGAGAAAGUAAAGAAAGAAAUACACUUGACAUAAAUCUUGACAAGAAGCACAAUUUAAGACAUAACAAACCCCAAUCAUAUUGUUUAGGACUACCAUUCGUUAUUUCGUUAUUGUAGCAUUUAGAACAAGUGUUGACUUAAUUCAACAUUGUUGGAAAGAUAGGCUUUUAGAAGCGGAAGAAAGCCACUCAAACCAAAGUGAUUGCCCUUGAAUUGAUCAAGGGAUGUAAACAUAUUACAUUUCCAGGAUGAGUUUUAAUCACUCCCCUGAUUUAUUUGGGUUGCAGUAAAACUAAGCGAGCAACUGUUUGACUUUCAAGCAACAUCUAAAUCAGCUAUUAAAAUUCAAAUAAAAUCAUAAUAGAAUAAUAACAGGCCAUCUUGCAUCAAAAAUUAAGUUUAAUUUGUGAAUUGUUUUCUAUAGACAUGUUAGUUCCUGCUAUUGAAAUGUUAAAAGCAUUGAAAAAUGAUUCAAUAAAUUAUGCAAACAUUAAAAUAGAGGACAUAUUAAAAAGUUUCUAAUUACAAUGUUAAGAUUUCCUAUAUUUUAGCAUUUGCAUAUUUUAAUUUAUGUAAAAGCUACGUCGAUCAACUUUGGGCGUGAAGAUUUUAGCUUCUACGAGACUUGAUUGGAAUAUGCAUAAGGAAGAGUGUUAAAAUAUGAUGCAUCCAACGAAAGACAAACCACGUGUAGUCUUUUAAUUAAGCCAAAGUAGCAGCUCAAACAAAUGACACUUGGACCAACAUGCAAUCAUGAAGGGGCCGGAAAAAGGACAAAUGCAACUUUGGCUUAAAUAAAAAAUAACAUGUGACUUGACUUUUGCUGGACAUGCAUCAUGUUAUUACAAGACAACAGAAAUCAGUAUGAUAGUACUAAAAGUUGACAAUAACAUGAAGAUAAGAGGCAGAAUAUCAACACAUGCAUAGGCACACACAAGGAAGUAUUAACUUAUAUACCAUAGCAAAAAGUCUUUGAAAUAUCAAUAAAAAAAAAACAAUUAAUUAAAGGUCGAAGAUGGGUCCUUUACAUAUGUUUUUGUUUUCGUAUUAGGUAGGAGGUUAUUAUAUUAUAUCAUGUAAUUAAUUUAUAUUAUAUCAUAUUAUAUCAUAUAUAUAUGAAAAAAAAAAAGAAUUUCAAAGAGAUAGCAACAUACAAUAGACUGAAGCCAUUUGAUCUACUCAUUGAUUUCAGCCUUAAACUUGUAAAUACUUACUGUACGCUAGUGCUCUAAGAAGUGAAAAUGAUGCAAACCCUGAUCCCCUUUUGACUUCCAUUUACUGUCAAAUAUUCUAUUCAUACGAAAAAAAUGUUUAGAUAUCUUACUAUAAAUAUAGCCGUUUGACUGUCUUAAUAAAGUCACACACAACCAUUCUUAUUAAAUUAGCAAGAUCAAACACUGCCCUGGAUCUUGAACAGAUCCACGCAAGUUGCACAACUUACGAUUGAAUCCGGCCAGAAAAAAUCAACUCUUUAGCAAGAAAAAUUAAUCAGAGUCAAGAAACAAGUUUAAUGAAUAUAAACCUAUAAUUGAAACAAACAUAGCCAAGAAACAAAUAGAGAUUUUACAUGUUUCAGUUGUACCAAGGAUGGCACAACCUACACCACGGGAGAAGCUUUCUGGUGACCCCAAUCUGCUUAGUUAAUAAUAGAGAUUUCAGAGAAUAAGCUAUAACCCUCUCUCCCUCUUCAGUCUCUCUCUAUUUUGUUCCCAUUGAUGACCCCAAUCUGCUUAGUUAUCCAGCUUUAUAGCUGCAUCAGUAACAAACCAGCAAACCCAGAUUGAGCAGAUUGACGACACGUGGAUAACGGCUUUAACGAACCUGGUUAAGAACUGCUCACAUGUUCGUCACGCGUGCUGCUUAAAUGAUGGCCAAAACGACUUCAAACAAAUGUCGUUUUGAGGCUUAUGAAUUACAAGUGAUAACACGAGCUUGUCUCAUGACUUUUAAAUGCAACAACGUGCCCACAACGCCGUCGUUUUACUCUGUUGAGUUUGAUUCAUUACUAAGCUUUACGACUGGCAAUGGAGAAGAUGAUAAUUUAAUUGAUACGGACAGUUUUUAUAUCACUUUUACAACAUCCUAUGCAAUUGUAAUAUUGAGAAUUAUUGAUGUUUUAUAUCCUCAUUGGCAAAAACUAGUGGUUUUAUCUUUGUUGAAAUAUAGAUGACCUCUCGUUACUGUUUUAUUAUAAACAUAUAGUUUCAUAAGUGAAACUAUAUGUUUAUAAUAAAAUUAACAUAUAGUUUCGUUACAUUUCUGCCUCAUUAAGAUUCUCAAAUACCAGUCAGGUUUGCUUAAGAAAUAAAAAUUUUCCAUUAAAAUUGCAGUAGUAUUUCCAAGCAUAUCGCAUUUUCUAUGAUUUUUCAUAAAUUAAUUAAUCUGCGGUGCCAAUAUCAGAUUUAGUUUUUCAAACUAAAUAAUCAAGAAAGCAAACAUACAAAUAUACAUACAAAUAUACUAAGCCAGCUACCUCACUAAAUUCCGAUUCGUACAGUGAACUGCAAGAAAUUGAGAAAACAAUGUAUUUAUAAUUUAAUAGAAUCAUAAGAAAACAAUGUAGUCAUUGCUUAAUAUAAGAUGAUUUCGGAGAGCCACAUUGUUUUCAAGUUAAUUUGAACCGUUUAUAAGAGAUGAAGUGGAAUCAAGUUGAAAGUUUAAAUAACAAAUCCCUGUUCUUGAGUUUUACGACGUCGUUACUCCUUCAAGUGGCAGAUUAUGCAAGUGAAUGCAGAAACAUGUGCAGAGCAUGUCAACAUGGCACAUUUAACCAUCAUUCAAGUGAUGAUGGGUUUUAUAAGACUGCUUAUGGGUUUUAUCAAGUUCCUCUGCCUCUAAGCAAAAAAUUAAAUUCGUAAUUUGUAAACGAAUUUUCCUGACAUGUAUAGUAAAUGAAGUUGUUGAUCCUUUCUUUGGAUUAUUGCAGCUCUGGUUGUGGGUCACCGAUGAGCCAAAGUCUUAUGGGUUUUAUCAAGUUCCUCUGCCUCUAAGCAGAAUUACUAUUGAAGGGCCAAAAAGAAAAUGAAAACGUGUGAACUCCAACAACCACCCCACAAAUUCAAUGACGAUGCUCAGAGACGGUUACGUUGGGCCUCUGAGAAAAAAAAUUUAUUUAGUUAAAAAAUUACCCAUAUUGAAACAUGUAUAAAAAUUUUAUAUUAAUUAGUUAUGUUUCCUCUUCAACUAUGAUCAAAUUCUUAUUCGAGCUCAUUAUUUAAUGAAUAAACGCGUAUUUUAAUUAUCUCAAUUAAUAUUUAGAACAAAUAUUUUAAGAAAUAAAGCUCAUUACAUCUCCCAUCAUUAGGUAUCUCUUUAAUUUCUUAUUUACAAAAUUAUAUUGUACAUUAAAAAUGUAUUGAAUUAGAAGAAAAUAAAUUCAACUCACUCCAAAAAUAAAUAAAAAAUGCUGGUAGCUUCGUAAUAAUUACUGUAUUGACUGCACCAGAUAAAGUUUUGUAAAAUAAUAAGUUCCCAUUAGAGGUUUUUAAAUUUUUUUUUCCGGCACACCUGAUCAAGAAUUCUAUUUUGUUAACUAAUCAAUUGCAAAGCAUAAGUGUUGAACGGUACAAAAAAUUUGAAAAAAACACUUAAAACGUGGGGUGGGUAACGGUUCACUCAAUUCGUUAGGUAGAAUUUUGGAAAACUAAAGCGAAAUGAGAAAUAUAGAAAGAAAGGAAGAAAGUUAAGAUAUGAAAGAUCAGCAGUGAAAUUGAUAGUCAUGUUUGAUUCAUCCUUCUAUGAAUUUCUAGCUGUAUUGACCCCAACUGCUAAAGUUUUGUAAAAUAAAAAAAAAAAAAAACUGGAAUUUCAACAAAAUUCAAAACGUGUGAAAUUUAAUUUUUGGCCAUGUGGAACAAAAUGUAAAUUAAGGAAAAAAAGUAUAAAUCUGAAUUGCUUAGUAUGGUUAGGAUUUUGUGAGCAUCACUAAAAAGUGAAAACUAUGAAUGAUAGAGGUGAUGUUUGCAACAUGAAUAAAUGAUGAACUGAAUCAAUUGAUGAUCGUAAUUAUAUAAAAUUUUACAAAAUCAACAAAAGUUAAUAAAAUUUUAUUUAAAUAAUAAAAAAUCAAUAAAAACUUAUUAUUUUACGACGCUCUAACCAUGGAGUACCAUAAUCAUAUUCUUCUUUUAAGAAAAUUAUUCUAGAUAUUUAAAAGAAAACAUUAUCCACCUGGAAUGACUUGAAGUCUAAAGAAAAAGAGAGAAUGGCUCCCCGCAAUUUUCUUGUCUUCAGUAUAUUUUCUUUUUUUUUUCUUUUUUAAAAUCUUUUGCCGCAUACUUAAUCUACCCUUGUUUAUUAUCUCUACUUUGCUCUGUUCAAGUCCUUUUUUUUUUCAAAUCUUAUUUUAAAUAAGAAAAUUGAAUAAAAGUACAUUUGUGUAAUUAAUUAGUAUCUGGGGGGGGGGGGGGGGGAUAUUUGGUGUAAUGUUUUGCUAUGUAAGACUCAGCUAUUAUUAAACAGUUCCUUAACCUGUUUCGCAGUUUAUUUGCUAUCUUUGUGGAUCUCAUAGGCGUUGCAGAAUUUAAUAAUUUUAUUCGUCAGAAGAAUAGGAUAUUGGCUUCAAUAAAUUUAAUUUAAACCAACUUUUAUUUACUCCAUCAAUUAAUUAAUAUUAUGCAUUUAUUAAUUGUUAUAAUCUAAAAAAAAUUAAUUAGUUCAGGUCAAUCUGAGUUGAUGCAUCUGCAGGAGAUUUUUUUUAAAUUUUUUUUUCCCCUUAUUGACCAUAAUGAUCUAAGGGGUAUAAUUCGACCUUGGUUCUUGGGAAAAAUGACAUCUCCUUCAACAUGACUAUUGACUAGGAGCAUGUAAAAACAUGGAAACAGAAUUUCCACAAAAUGCCAAACGUGUGGAACUUAAGUUUUGGCCAUGUGGACCAAAUGCAAAUGAAGGAAAAAUGAUUUCCCCUGCUUAUGUACAAAUAAAGGAACAACCUCGAAGAAAAAGGGGUUACCAAUUGGAGAAGACUUUACAGAGUUUCUCUCACACUCUCUCUGUCAAUUUCAUCUAGAAGUCCCUCUGAAAGCAUCUCCCAAAACAGUUAGUCAUCUUUUAUGCUCUGUUUUCUAGAAACAGAGUCCUAACUAAAUUGAUUGACUGUACAGUGCAUUUCAACAUAGCAUAUUUAACCGUUUUAACUGUUAUUUGAACCGUCUUCAGAGUUAACAUCAACAAACUCAUUCACAUUGGUCCAAUCUUACGGACGAUAUCAUAUGCUUAAUAAUGAACGAAUUGGAUCAGUGUUUUGCGGCAAGAGCAACUCGACACAAUCUGGAUUCAACCUCCUCCUAUCUAACAAGGGAUUUCGAUUUGAGUUACUUUGUGCUCAAGCAAAUUCACAUCAUAGUUUUGAUUCUUUAGAUAUGAAUUCAUCACUUUACAUAUAUCAGAUUAAUGUGUAACAAAAUUUUUAAUUUACUGCGAAAAGAAUAUGCACUAAAAAAUGAUUUCAAGACUAUUUGACUACCAAAAGCAGCUGUCAGAGUGCACUAAAAAUUUCUGUAGGAUAUUUUGUAGCUGUUUAAUAUGUUAUGAUGGGCAUAUAAUUCUCAAAUUUUGAUGCCUCUCAGCGAAAAUCUAUCAAAGUUACAGAUGAUAUCACGUAAAACAUGCAUGGCUCAGGCUCAGGCUCAGGUAAGAAGCCACGGAAAAGGAAAAUCUCACUGUCACGACUCACGUCACGCAUCAUUCAAGUGAUGGAUUUAACAAGACUGCUUAUGUUCUAUCAAAUUCCUCUGCCUCUCAGAAGAUAACUUUUCUGGGCCAAAUUUCUCAUCUAAAGCAUAUUAUGCCCCAAAGUCACAGAUAACAAAAUGGGGCACUACCGAUUAUGAAAGAGAACUAGUAGUUGUCAGAAGCCUAAGUCAAAUUCCGGUAGUAAGAAGAGGCCUUUCUUGAGUUUAGAUUAUGUGUUCGAGUUUUAAUAAAUGCCUGAGUUAAUAAUAAUAACAACAGUAAUAAUAAACUAAAAAGCAUAAUUACUAUUGAAUGGUAAAAAAAAAAAAAUUGUGUGAACUCCAAUAACACCCCAGUGGCGAAUUUUGGAGAGGGCUAGGCCGGGCUUCUUAGAAAAAAAAAAUAUUUAAUUACAAAAUUACCUUUAUUGAAACCUAUAUAAAAAAUUUAUAUUAAUUAGUUAUGAUGCCUCUUCAAUUAUCAUUAAAUUCUUGUCUGUUCAUCAUUUGAUGGAUAAAUGUGUAUUUAAAUAAUCUUAAAUAAUGUCUAGAACAAAUAUUUUGAAUGGUAAAACUCAUUAUGUCUUGCAUUACUAGAUGUAUCUAUAAUUUAUUAUUUACAAAUUAUAUUGUAUGAUAAAAAUGUAUUGAAUUUUUUUUUUAAAGUUCGGCUCACUCAGAAAAAAAAAUGUUAUUAGACUCGCCACUGCACAAACCUAGAAUAAUAAUUAUUCCUUAUUAUAUUGACUGCACCAGGCAAUAAACUAAUAAGUUCUCAUCAGUGGUUUUUAAUCUUUUUAAUUCUUUUUACCGCACACCUGAUCAAGAAUUCUAUUUUGUUAACUAAUCAAUUGCAAAGCAUAUAUUAGUGUUGAACGGUGCACAAAAUUGAAAAAACAAAAUCUUAAAAAACGUGCGGACUCGGAUAGCCAGACCAGAAAUCUAUGACAAUAAUUAGAUUUGAUGCUGGGAAUCUAUUAAUUUCUGGCCGUAUUGACUCCACCAGUGAAGUUUUUAAAAUAACAAGUUCCCAUUCUCGGCUUAUAAUAAUUUUAGAAUAAUGACUUAUUUGUAGAAGAAUUUAUGAUUUCCCAUUAAUAUCAAUAUUGAAGUGGCAUGGGUCAAAUCUCAAUUGCUUGAAGAAUCUAUUUAUUAUUAUUAUUAAUAUUGAAAUGGGGUGGGUAACGGUUCACUCAAUUAAUAUGUGGGGAAUUAAAUAUUACCACCCAAGGUAGAAUUGUGGAAAAUUAAAGCAAAAUGAGAAAUAUGGAAAGGAAGGCUGAAAGUAAGGCAUGAUGAAAGGCUUUGAGAAGGCUGAAGACCACCAAAUAAGUCAACUGAAAGCUAGUUGGGGCCUGGUAUAUAUGUUAGAUGUGUUUGUUAUAAAUAACAUAGAGCCCUUUUGUUAGCUAUAGCUAUGGAGACAGAGAGAGUUUGUGUUUUUUAGUAGUUAAAGAUAUAGCUAGAAUGGGUGGUUCAAAAUCCAAAAUGGUGACAACGUUAGUUUUGUUAUUAAUAAUAUUAGAAGGGGGUGAAGUGAGGAAUGUUUGGAGCUUGAGAGAUUUGCUCUUUUGCGGCUUAAGCAUUUCUUCAAUUCUCCUUAUAGACUUUAAAACUAGGUAGACGAGCAAAGAGAUUGUUGUCAGUGGGAAACCGUUGAGUGCAGGAAAGUGAUACGACUACAUCUUAGUCUUACCAGGAAUAUCGAUCUGGGAGAGUGGUCUCUGAAUGCUUCUCUAUUUACUCUCUUUCAACAACUUGGCAACAAAAUAGCCGGUUGGGUUAAGAACGAAGGUCCUUCAUUUAAUUUAAUUUACUUAAUUUCUCCCUCUUAAUUAAUGUCUAUAACCAUUAGGAGAAAUAAGGGAUUUUAUUAACUCAAAUAUGUCUAAUGGAGCUCAUUCUUUGGUUUUACUUGCAGGUCUAGAAGCAGGUGUGUCAUCUAACAGCUGCUUUGAUAAUUUCCCACACCUUCAUCUUUGAUGGAAAUAUGAAAUAAAAACAAAUUGGUGAAAAUGGUAUUGGUACCUGAGGCCAUGUAAUCUAUUUCAAAAACUACACCAUCAAAACGAUUACAUAAGUCUCAGAAGAAUCAAACAUCAGUUUUGCAAAAUACCAAUUGCUGGAGGCUAGAUUCUAACUUCCCCUCUUGAUUUUUAUGGGCAUGUUGUGUCGUACAUGCAGACAAAAAUCAUAUUUUACUUUACUUAUUUCUUACUUUCACUUGCAACCCAAAGUGGCAAGAAAUAAAUAACAUGCUCCGAUUAGCUGGACAAAAGGAUGAUGACAAUCGAGUCGAUAUUAUAUGCAGAGUUUUCGAGAUAAAAUUAUUCCAACUAAUGCAAGAUCUGAAAAAAGAUCAACCAUUUGGAAAAAUAAUUGCAUGUAAGUUCACUUCAAAUUCGUAUACAUAACAAAUUCAACUCAUUUGUUAUUGAAAAGUGCAGGGAAGAACAAUAAUUUCACAAUUGAAAUCAAUGUUUCUAACUUUUAAAUUUUACUCCAUUUUGUGGCAGGUCUAUAGACAAUUGAGUUUCAAAAAAGAGGCUUGCUGUUGUGCAAAUUUUAAUGUACUCGCAAGCGCACGAAUCUAUUGUAGUAUAGAUCAAUGGUGACGAGUGUCGAUCCCACGAGGAGGUGGAUUUUAAUUGUGUAGAAUUAAUUUUGUGAAUGGGUGAUUGGAUUUUGUGGUGAAGGUGACUUAGAUUAUCCUAAAAUUGGAAUUGAAAUGGCGAGAAUAACUUGAAGAGAAUUCUAUUGAAAUGACGUACUUGGGUAUCUGGAUCCGUAUCAACAUGCAUCAUGGGCUAAAUAAUCUGUAUUAAUGCCAAUUAAAUCAUGAGGGGGGAAUCCACACUUCAUGAACCACGCUCUAAUCAAUAUGGUGCUAAGGGCUUAUCGUGCCAAAUAAUAAUAACCUUGUACUAGAGGGCCGGUGAAACCAAGGCGGUACUAGACAAGAUUAGUAUUAUUUAUCGACGAGAAGUCAAAACAUCCACAAAAACUAGAGGGGAAGAGAAAAUAAAUUUACCAAAUUAAGCCCAUGACACAUGUUGAGACUUCACCUUCAACCCAAGCUUGAAAGAAAAUUAGCCACUCAUAAUUGAACUAGGGGUAAAAUGGGAAUUUAUUACAAUACGAAGAAAAUACAAGAUGGAGAGGGAAUUACAGAAAACAGAGUCCAAAAAUGGAUUCAGAGGUAUCAAAUUAGGGGGGGGGAGGCCCCCUUUUUAUAGAUACAUGGAGUAAAUCAUGGCCAUCGGAUUAAAAACAGUUUGGACGCUCAGGAUUGCGCCACGUCAUCAGUCAACAGUCCACGGUUUGACCACGCGGAUGAACAGUAAUACGGUUUGACUCGGAUGAACAGUAACGUGGUUUGACUCGGAUGAACAGUAACGCAGUUUGGUUGAAAAUAAUCCUGUGUGAUGCAUGUACCGUACGCGAGAUUUUUCAUCCACUGAUAUGCUGCCACGUCACCAUCAACAGUACAUAAGAAUUUUAGCCCAACAGGAUCGUGACACCUCAUCAGUCAAUGCCACAUCAUCGGUCAAUGCCAUGUCAUCGAUCCGUCUAUGUGAACAGUGUUGUGAACAGUAACGUAGAUAGUACCGUACACGUGAAUAGUACCGUACAUAUGAAUAGUGCCAUUUUUCCUUUUAUGCUUCUCCUAAGGUUUUCGACCGUCCUGAGUUCAAAAGUGAUGUUCGUUUUGCCGUCUGAUCUCUCCUUUAUUGUGAAAUGACUAUAAUGCCCCUAAAAUACAUAAAAUACUUAAUUAAAAUAAAACACAUGUAAUUAAAUCACAAGAAGGUUAAAUACAUAAAAGUAAGGGUUGUUAGUAAGACUUGAAAUGUAAAAUGACGGUUUUCUCCUUUAUAAAUAUGCAUUUUCUAACACUCAACACACCCCCCAACCAGCUUAUUGCUAGUCCCUAGCAAAUAAAGCGAAAACAAAAUUUAAUUCAAAAUAUUUUUUUUUUUUAAUAAAAACACUCGUAUUUAUUCCAUCAGAUUAAUGAUAGCAAUCAAAUAAAAGUAUAAGCAUUAUCUCCAGUCUAAAGCAACAUCACACCCACAUCAACCAUCCACAUGAAUCAGCCCAGUAGACUUUUUUAUAGCUACUUUCAAGAAUGACAUGUCAAACCCCAAAAUCUCACUGGAAGUAGUGACACUCUCACAAAGAAAUUAAAACCAAUAAAAAUAGUCACUCCAAUGAAUGGUAAUUGAGAGAGAAAAUAAUAAAGAAGUGAUAUCACAUGCUCUCACCAAGAUGAAAUAAAUAUGCCCUUAGCUUAUAAAUAAUACGAUCUCAAGUCAAACAAAAAUGGUAGUCAACCCAAUUUAUUUAUCUUUUAUUUAUUUAUUUUUAUUAUGCACCACUACAUCUUUUUAGCCCAUAUAACUAGCUUCUACUUCAAACUAUAGUUCCCUAAAAUCAAGAAGGACUUUUAUUAGGACGUAACGUAGGCUAGGGAUAUGGCUAACAAAGAAAGGAAAUAAGGAAAACAAAGUGUAUGUUUGAGAAAAAUGCAGAGAAUUUUUUUUUUUUUUUGGAAGUUGCAAGGUGGAUUUCACCUAUUUUUAUUCUUUUGAAACAACAACUUUUGUUUUUGUUUUUUUUUUUGCUUUUAUUUGGCAUAACUUCACUGAACAAAAUAAUUAUUUACAUUUUCUCAAACAUAAAUAGGUGAUGGAACUUAUAAGAUAUCGGGUAACACUCCAAAUCGGAGUGGGUCAAGAUGAUAAGUUGACAAAGAAAAUGAUUUUUUUUUUAAAGGCUCAAAAUGGUUAACUAUGGAUAUUUAAUAAAAGGGAUGGCUAGAAAGGCUCAAACGGAUCAAAGAUGGCCUUUCCAUCGUCUUUUAGGGCUCUAAAUAAUCAUCCAUAUCUACUAGUUAGAUGGGCCUCCCAAUGUAGCAACACACAUUUUUUUUUCUUUUUUUUUAUUUUACCAUUUUUUUUUAAGGGUUAACGCAAAAGAAAUCUAGAGAUCGUGUAUAAAAUAAUAAACUGUUAAGCUGUAUAAAGAAUGGGCAAAAGGGUUACUCUCCAAGAAAAAUGAUAGGCUCAAAAACUCACUUAGUACUUAUUAUGACAUGUUCAUUCCUUCAAGCAACUCAUAUAUGUCUCCGACAUCAACAUGUAGAGUAGCAAACAUAAUGUAACAUCACUUAAGACCAAAGAUAAUACAAAUACUAAAAUUUGAAAUUAAUCAUGUCAUCCAAUGUUAAAACAAAUCACACAAUUUUUAUUUUUUUAAACAACAUUCUACCCCCCAACCUAUUCUAAACAUGAAAGGAAAAAUAUGCAUGCAGGAAUGUGAAAAUGAUGCAUAAAAACUAAUUAAAAAAAGUUACACUUAAAAUGAUAGAAAACGAAAAUGGGUUUUUUUUUUUUAACUUAGAAGAUGCGUUUCUAGAGGCACUACUCUCCAUAUUCAGCCAUCUUCGACUCAAAAUUUUGAAAAUAUAUAUUUAUAAGGAGAAAUUAAAAAGAAGAAGAAAAAUAAACAUCAAAACAUAAUAAAGAAAAAAAAAAUGUCUGAAUUUUUUUUUUUAGUUUUUUUUUUAAUUUUUUUUUUAAAACGAUGAAGAUGCGUUUCUAGAGUCACUACACUCCAUAUUCAGCCAUCUUCAACACAAAAAGUUAGCAACAGUUAGUUUCUACAACAAAAAAUUAGUAAAAACCUAACCAAAAUUCCACAAUUGUCGACUAUUCCCUCCCCCCAACCAGAAUGAAACAUUGUCCUCAAUGUUUGAAAGGAAAGAAGUAGAGUUUAGAAGACAUCACCUGGGUGGUGCAACACAGAAGAAAAUAUUUACAGGCGGAGAGUUAAAUCUAAUUUGUACUUCUUACUGCUGCUACUGUUACCAUCAUUAUUUGGACGCUCCAACACAAAGGUCCAGGGGUCUGGCUCCGGUCUAUAAGCUUGUAACAGAUCAAGUAGCUCAUUAGCAGUGUGAGCACAAAUAAAGAGUUUUUUCACAUUAGCGGGAAUGAAAUAGUUUUUUAUUGCAUGGUUAAGAAAUGCGAUAAAGCCAUCAUAAAAGUUAUUGACAUUUAACAAACCGAUGGGUUUCUGGUGGAUGUGGAGAUGGGCCCAAGAUGCUAGUGUGAUAAGUGCCUCUAGUGUUGCAAGAUCUCCUGGAAGGAAAAUAAAAGCAUCAGCAUGAUUAAGCAUUUCAGUUAUUCUUUCUUGCAUACCUGAGACAACUAACUCUUCUCCAGUUGAUGAGUCAGACGAACUGCCCAACGGUUUUAGGACUCUUGGGAUGAUGCCUAACACUUGGCUGCCUCUGAUUAAAGCUGCUUCUGAGACCAUUUUUGAUAACCCUCGAUUACCUCCUCCAUACACCAAGUGUAAUUUUCUCUCUGCUAUACUUCGACCAAGAUCUAUGGCUGCCUCAACGAACUCUUUAUGUUUGCCAUAGGUAAAUCCGGAAAGCACACAAAUGUUCUUGAAUUGUCUAUUGGGAGUAGCUACCAUUGCGAUACUUCUCAAAAACAAUUUGUGAGUGCUUGACAAAAGAUAUCACAUUUAAGAGUCUUGGUGAUAGUGGGUCAUGGUUGUGUAUGAGGUAAUAUGUCAGUGUCAAAUAACGCUUAAAGCACGUGGCUCGCAAGUAAAAAAGGAAACAGUAAAAAUGAAAAAGUAAACAGUAAUAAGAAAAAAGCAAACAGUAAUAAAAUUAUUAAGGACAAUAAUACACACAAUAAACAAUAGUGAAAUAAAAUAACAGUAAAGUGAAAGGAUAUUUACAGGUAGUUGCGACUGUGGCUCACAUCUUCCUCUGGUUUUAUGUCCAGAAAUGGCUUGAACGCCCUCUAUGGGUCGAGGAUAGGCUUCCUAUCCAGUUUUCUUAUAAACUGGCAAACAAGGUCGUUUAUAGUCAGAUUCCCAAGACUAUAUCGUGCAUGCUCUUUCUGGAAUAAUGGCCAUAACUGGAGAAUCGCUCCUUGCACAUAUCCACUGGGAUGCGUUUCAAGAGACAAAAGGAUAUCAUCCAAUGACUCCUUAUUCAAGCCAUCCCUAAUGAAUUGAAUCUUAUCUUCCCUGUUAUCAGACAUCAUUCCUAAAGAACAUGGGUUUUUAUUGCAACUCAUUCUGGCACACUUAUGACAAGCAACAGAAAUUCUUCGAGCUCGUCGUUUUCUUGCAUAAUUUCCUUUACCACAACCAGGCAUGUAUGUAAUAAAUUUUGGAGGUAACUCACCUGCCGAUCGUACUUUAGCCUCAAUUAACCAACGGAUGUCAGCAGGUAUGUUAUUCCUCAUAAGUAAUCGCAUGCGUUCGGACCGAGCUUUAUAGACCGUAAGGAGGGCAUUCUGAGGAAGUGAAGGGAAUCGCUUGUGAAGCUUCGCUAGAGUCUCGUUUCUGUCCAUACUUUCGCCUCAGAAUAUCAGUUAUUAUGGGAAACUGAAGUAACCGACUUGAUUGUCACGGAGUACCGUUAUCCGCCACUUCACCGGGGUAACAAACUAAAGCACACAAAUAGAAAAAAAAAAUUAAAACACACAAAGAAAAUUAAAAUCGUCCUCUUAUUGAAUAUACCUCAAGCUCCAACUGGAUGUCGUAAACACUUCUCUCAAUGUCUCUGAGUUGGAGUUCUAAACCCUCAACAUAGGCUACUAACUCUGGUGGUUGUAGAGCCCAAAUGCGUUGUGUUUUACAAAAUUGAAUCUGCCUUUUGAGAUGAGUUUUGACACGUUGAAGUGGUUUAAGAAUGUUCAGGAGGAACGGUCUAAGUAAUGUACUCAUGAUUAAAAAUGAUAAAAGAAAACAUACUAGUUAAACAAAUACACUUAUACAAAAAUAAUUUCAAUUAGCAAAAGAAUAAUAUAAAGAAAGAAAGAAAAAUCAAAUCAACGAAAAGAAAAAUCAAUUCAAAUCUGGUGGGUCACUCAAAUUUAUUUCGGUGUCUUCUCCAUGUGAUUGGUAUUCUAGAUAUGGCUUUAAUCUUUGACCAUUAACUUUAAACGUGACACCGUUCUUUGGGUCCUUAAUUUCAAUUGCCCCAUGUGGAAAAACAGUAUGAACAAUAAAUGGGCCAGACCAACGAGAGCGUAACUUACCUGGGAAUAGGUGCAAGCGAGAAUUGAAUAAAAGCACUUUCUGACCUGGAGUGAAAGAUUUUCUCAUAAUUUGCUUGUCAUGGAAGACUUUCAUUCGUUGCUUGUAAAUCUUGGCAUUUUCGUAUGCAUCAUUGCGAAUUUCUUCAAGUUCUGCCAACUGUAAUCUUCUUUCUGAGCUGGCUUGCUGCAUGUCAAAAUUGAAUUUCUUGAUGGCCCAAUAUGCACGAUGCUCGAGUUCCACAGGUAGGUGGCAAGCUUUUCCAUACACUAGCCUGUAGGGUGACAUCCCAAUCGGGGUCUUGAAAGCCGUUCUAUAUGCCCAUAAGGCAUCAUCAAGUCUUAAUGACCAAUCUUUUCUGUCUGGCCUCACCGUCUUUUCUAAUAUGUGCUUUAUUUCUCGAUUGGAGAUCUCAACUUGGCCACUGGUUUGCGGAUGAUACGGAGUCGCCACUUUGUGUGUGAUUGAAUACUUUGUCAAAAGAGAUUUGAAUGCUUUGUUACAAAAGUGGGCACCACCAUCACUAAUUAUUGCUCGAGGGAAUCCAAAGCGCGAGACAAUGUUGCUUUUCAAAAAUCCUAUCACCACCUUGUGAUCAUUAGUACUGCAUGGAAUUGCUUCUACCCAUUUGGAUACAUAGUCAACAGCAACCAAUAUGUAUUGAUGGCCAAAAGAAGGGGGAAAGGGUCCCAUGAAGUCGAUACCCCAUACGUCAAAAAUUUCAACCACUAAAAUUGGAUUUAAUGGCAUCAUGUUCCUUCGUGUAAUGCUCCCCAUUCGUUGACACCUAUCACAUGAAGAACAAAAAGUGUAAGCAUCUCGAAAUAUAGUUGGCCAAUAGAAACCACAUUGCAAAACUUUAGUAGCUGUUUUCUUAGCACUGAAAUGGCCUCCACAAGCUUGUUCAUGGCAGAAUGAAAGGAUAUUCUGAAUUUCAUUUUCUGGGACACAUCGUCUAACAAUUUGAUCAACACAAUACUUGAACAAAUACGGGUCAUCCCAAAAGAAAUUCUUUAUCUCUGCAAAGAAUUUAGCCUUAUCUUGCUUGGUCCAAUGCUUUGGAAGUUGACCUGUAACAAGAUAAUUCACGAUGUCAGCAUACCACGGUAAUACUUCCACAUUCAUCAAUUGUUCAUCAGGGAAUGACUCAUUUAAUGGUAAUGGCUCUGUAGUUGUGUCAAAAUGGAGACGAGAGAGGUGGUCCGCCACAACAUUUUCUGUCCCUUUCUUAUCUUUGAAUUCCAAGUCAAAUUCCUGCAAAAGUAACACCCAACGAAUUAGUCUAGCUUUUGCAUCUUUCUUUGUGAGAAGAUAUUUAAGAGCAGCAUGAUCCGUGAAUAUAAUUAUUUUACAACCAAUGAGAUAAGAUCGAAAUUUUUCUAAUGCAAACACUACUGCUAGCAUUUCUUUUUCAGUAGUUGAAUAGUUCAACUGUGCAUCAUUCAAUGUCAUACUAGCAUAGUAAAUAACGUGGGGAAUUCGAUCAACUCUUUGUCCUAAUACUGCUCCUACUGCAUAAUCAGAUGCAUCACACAUGAGCUCAAAUGGUAAGUUCCAGUUCGGGGGCUGAAUGAUGGGUGAUGAUGUCAACAAAUGCUUUAAUUUUUCAAACGCAACAAGACAUGAAUCAUAAAAAACAAAAGGUACAUCUUUAGCAAGUAGAUUGCAUAAGGGUCUAGAAACUUUGCUAAAAUCUUUAAUGAAACGUCUAUAAAAACCAGCAUGCCCAAUGAAAGAUCUUACUUCUCUGACUGUUUUGGGUGAAGGAAGAUUAGAAAUGAGAUCCACCUUAGCUUUGUCAACCUCAAUACCUUUGCUCGAAAUGAUGUGACCGAGAACAAUACCUUGUUUUACCAUAAAAUGACACUUCUCCCAAUUUAAGACCAAGUUCUUCUCGAUACAUCUCUGCAGAACUAGUGUUAGAUGAUGUAAACAUUGAUCAAACGAAUCACCAAAGACAGAAAAGUCAUCCAUAAAGACUUCAAGGAAUCGUUCAACCAUAUCAGAAAAAAUGCUCAACAUGCAUCGUUGAAAUGUAGCAGGUGCAUUACAUAAUCCAAAUGGCAUCCUCCUAUAUGCAAAAGUGCUAAAGGGCAAGUGAAAGUAGUUUUCUCUUGAUCUUUUGGUGCUAUGGGAAUCUGAUUAUAUCCUGAGUAGCCAUCUAGAAAGCAAUAAAAUUCAUGGCCUGCCAAUCUAUCAAGCAUUUGAUCGAUAAAUGGUAAAGGAAAAUGGUCUUUACGUGUGACAGAAUUCAACUUUCUAUAAUCAAUGCAUACACGCCAUCCUGUAGUCACUCUAGUGGGUAUCAAUUCAUUAUCAGCAUUGGUAACUACUGUGACUCCUGACUUUUUGGGGAUGACUUGUACAGGACUGACCCAUGAACUAUCAGAAAUUGGGUAAAUGAUACCUGCAUCUAAUAGCUUAAGGACUUCUGUUCUAACAACUUCUUUCAUAUUAGGAUUUAACCGACGUUGCAUUUCCCUAGUAGAUUUAGCAUUUUCAUCGAGGUGAAUGUAAUGCAUGCAGUCUACUGGAUUUAUACCUUUUAUAUCUGCUAUGGUCCAUCCUUAUGCUCCUUUGUGCUCUUUUAAAACAUCCAACAACUUACCUUUUUGUUCGUCAUUUAGGGAUGAUGAGAUGAUUACCGGCAGAGUACUUUCUUCUCCCAAAAACGCAUAUUCCAAAGUGUUGGGCAAUGGUUUGAGCUCGAGUUUCGGUGGUGAUUCUGAUGAUGGGAUGAGUUUCUUCUCUGAUGGUGCUACUCUUGACUUCCAUUUAUUAGUGUCCAUGGAUGGUGCUGAGUCAAGUAGGGCGUUGACCUCAUCGACCGAUCUGUCAAUAUCAAUAUCAAAAUCCAAACCAAAGUGAGUUAAACAUGUUUGUAAAGGAUCACCACUAAGGUUUGAAAGAAAAGUGUCAUCAACUAAUGAUUCAAUUAAAUCCACAUCAACAAUUCCAUCAUCUACACUGUGAGGUUGUUUGGCAAUGUUGAAAAUGUUUAGCUCCAUAGUCAUGUUGCCGAAGGACAACUGCAUAUUUCCAGUCCUGCAUUGAAUGUGAGCAUCCGCAGUUGCCAAGAAAGGUCGGCCUAGGAUAAUGGGGAUGUGCUUCCUUGAAUCCUGUAUUGGUUGAGUGUCAAUUACAAUGAAAUCAACAGGAAAAUAAAACUUGUCUACCUGGAUAAGCACGUCCUCCACAAUACCACGAGGUAUUUUCGUGGACCGAUCUGCGAGUUGUAACACCACUAGAGUUGGGUGCAAUUCUCCAAGUCCAAGUUUCACAAACACAGAGUAAGGCAAUAAAUUUACACUAGCUCCUAAAUCCAACAAAACAUUCUCAAUUGUGUGGUUCCCUAUACUACAUGAGAUAGUGGGGGAGCCUGGGUCUUUGCAUUUUAAAGGAAUUUUAUGUUGGAGUAUAGAACUAACGUUUUCUGUUAAAAAUGCCUUCUUUUGAACAUGCAUAUUUCUCUUUUUAGUACAAAGGUCUUUAAGAAACUUGGCAUAAGAUGGAACUUGCUUAAUAGCAUCAAGCAAAGGGAUGUUAACACUUACCUGUUUGAAGAUUUCAAGAAUCUCACUUGUGGAUUUUCCCUUUUUUCCUUUAGCUAACCUCUGAGGAAAUGGAGCUUUGGGAACAUAUUCCCGUGGGUUGGUUUCUUCUUUCUCCUCCGGUGAUGAGUCUUCAACAUUCACAGGUACAAUUUGAUUUUCUUUUGUCACCGGCAUCUCCACUUUGUUGUCGACUUCUUUUCCUUUUCAUAAGGUCAUGACUGCUUUGACCUCUCCAUGCUGCUGUGAUGAACUGGUACUUGCUUCAUGUACUCCUUUAGGAUUAGGCACUGGUUGACUUGGAAAUUUGCCUUUCUCAACAGUCAUUGCCAAUGUCUGAACUGAAGAAGCAAGUUGUCCCACCAUCUUCUCGAGGCUUGAAACUGAUUGAGCUUGUGAGUUGAAGCCUUCUCUCAACUCAUUUCGUAGUCCAUCAAUGGUGCGGUUCUGUUGCUCAAUCGUGGAGUGAGUAACAUUCCUGAAAUUCUGGAAUUCAUCCUCCCAUGGUCUAGGUUGAGAGUGGUUCUGGUUCUGAUUGUAUGGUCUAAAUGGUGGCUGAGAGGCUUGAGGAACUUGAGGAAUUUGUUGCAUUGGUGGAGCUGGAGCUGCUGGUCCAUUCUGUUGGAAUCCUUGAGACCAUGAAAAAUUGGGGUGGUCUCUCCAUCCAGGAUUAUAUGUGUUGGAGUAUGGGUUGUAAUUUGAUGGUUUUUUCAUUAUACCUAUGGCAUUGGCUUGAUCUGAGUAUGAGUCAAGGUCAUGUGGUUCAGUUGAUUUAGCAGUCGAUAACGAUGCUAUUUGUCGAGCAAGACCUUCAACCAUCUCCUUGACUUCUUUGAUUCCUGAAGUUGAUUCGCCAAUUUAAACCUCAUUCACUCCUUUAAUUCUUCUAGUAGUCCUGAGUGAUCGACUCCGUUGUUGGGAAUUAUCUGCUUGUCGUUGGAAGAAUUCCCAAAUUUCUGAUGCACUUUUUGACAUUAGCUCUCCUCCACUUGUUGCCAUUAGCCAUUCUUGCACAUUUGGUAGUAAUCCCUCCAAAAAGUAUUGGCAUUGGUGCCAUUUCUCGUACCCAUGAUGUGGACACUUCAAGAGUAGCCCAUUAAAUCGCUCCCAUGUUUCGAAAAAUUGUUCGUCCUCUCUCUGGGUAAACUCCGAGAUUUCCCUGCGAAUAGCAUUGGUUUUAUGCACUGGGAAAUAUUUAUUCAAAAAUUUAGUUACCAUUUGUUCCCAUGAUGAAAUGCUAUUAGCAGGUAAAGUAUUUAACCAUGAACGAGCUCUAUCUUUUAAAGAAAAUGGGAAUAGUCUAAGUUUAACAUUAUCGUCUGAAAAAUUUUCAUAUUUAAAAGUUUGACAAAUGGCAUGAAAAUCAUUCAGAUGAUUAUAUGGAUCCUCAUUUUCUAGGCCAUAAAAUGUUGGGAGACAAUUUAGCACACUGGGUUUUAAUUCAAAACUCCUAGCAGCUACAUUUGGGUAUCUUAUGCAUGAUGUGCUCAAAUUAGCUAAGGGACUGAAGUAGUCCUUAAAUGGCCUCUCCUGUGGUUGCAAAUCCAUUUUAUUUUUAAUUUGUUUGUGUGUGCGAAGUGUUCUUUCUAGUUCAAGGUCCAUAGGUUCAAGAUUAGGUAAUAAUGACCUACGACCAUGCAUGCAAAACAAAUAAAAAAAAUAAAGAUGGGAACAAAAAAAUAAAAUAAAAAUAAAGAAGAGGGAGAAAUUACGAUACUAACCUUAUUGCGCUAUUACAAUCUUUCUAUAAAAAUACACAAAAAUAAAUACGUGAAAUAAAUUAACUAAAAAUAAAUUAAUAAGAUAAACAAAAAAAAAUUACAAAGAAAAAUAAGUUGAAAAUGAAAUAAUAGAAUUUUAAAGAAGAGAAAAAGAAAAAAAAAUACUAACCUUUAAAUGUAGGUUCACUUUUUUUUCUUUUUUUUUUAAGAAAAAAAUAUAUAAGAAAACAAAUAAAAGAUAUUAUUCACACAAAUUAAUUCUAUGAAUUAAAAUUACUUACCUCCCCGGCAACGGCGCCAAAAACUUGUUGUGCAAAUUUUAAUGUACUCGCAAGCGCACGAAUCUAUUGUAGUAUAGAUCAAUGGUGACGAGUGUCGAUCCCACGAGGAGGUGGAUUUUAAUUGUGUAGAAUUAAUUUUGUGAAUGGGUGAUUGGAUUUUGUGGUGAAGGUGACUUAGAUUAUCCUAAAAUUGGAAUUGAAAUGGCGAGAAUAAAUUGAAGAGAAUUCUAUUAAAAUGACGUACUUGGGUAUCUGGAUCCGUAUCAACAUGCAUCAUGGGCUAAAUAAUCCGUAUUAAUGCCAAUUAAAUCAUGAGGGGGGAAUCCACACUUCAUGAACCACACUCUAAUCAAUAUGGUGCUAAGGGCUUAUCGUGCCAAAUAAUAAUAACCUUGUACUAGAGGGCCGGUGAAACCAAGGCGGUACUAGACAAGAUUAGUAUUAUUUGUCGAUGAGAAGUCAAAACAUCCACAAAAACUAGAGGGGAAGAGAAAAUAAAUUUACCAAAUUAAGCCCAUGACACAUGUUGAGACUUCACCUUCAACCCAAGCUUGAAAGAAAAUUAGCCACUCAUAAUUGAACUAGGGGCAAAAUGGGAAUUUAUUACAAUACGAAGAAAAUACAAGAUGGAGAGGGAAUUACAGAAAACAGAGUCCAAAAAUGGAUUCAGAGGUAUCAAAUUAGGGGGGGAGGCCCCCUUUUUAUAGAUACAUGGAGUAAAUCAUGGCCAUCGGAUUAAAAACAGUUUGGACGCUCAGGAUUGCGCCACGUCAUCAGCCAACAGUCCACGGUUUGACCACGCGGAUGAACAGUAACACGAUUUGACUCGGAUGAACAGUAACGUGGUUUGACUCGGAUGAACAGUAACGCAGUUUGACUCGGAUGAACAGUAACGCGGUUUGGUUGAAAAUAAUCUUGUGUGAUGCAUGUACCGUACGCGAGAUUUUUCAUCCACUGAUAUGCUGCCACGUCACCAUCAACAGUACAUAAGAAUUUUAGCCCAACAGGAUCGUGACACCUCAUCAGUCAAUGCCACAUCAUCGGUCAAUGCCACGUCAUCGAUCCGUCUAUGUGAACAGUGUUGUGAACAGUAACGUAGAUAGUACCGCACACGUGAAUAGUAAUGUACAUAUGAAUAGUGCCAUUUUUCCUUUUAUGCUCCUCCUAAGGUUUUCGACCGUCCUGAGUUCAAAAGUGAUGUCCGUUUUGCCGUCUGAUCUCUCCUUUAUUGUGAAAUGACUAUAAUGCCCCUAAAAUACAUAAAAUACUUAAUUAAAAUAAAACACAUGUAAUUAAAUCACAAGAAGGUUAAAUACAUAAAAGUAAGGGUUGUUAGUAAGACUUGAAAUGUAAAAUGACGGUUUUCUCCUUUAUAAAUAUGCAUUUUCUAACACUCAACACUUGCCCCAUGCACACAUACUGCUUUUUUUGCAUCCAACAAUGAAAAAUCCUUCUGCAAACCAUAUUGAUAAAAUAAUAAUUGCAGAAAUCCCUAACUUAAAUGUUGAUCCUGAUGGUUAUAAUGCAGUUAACAAAUUUAUGAUUCAUGGACCGUGUGGAAAACACAAUUCUCACUCUCCAUGCAUGAUGCAAGACAAGUGCACAAAACAUUUUCCAAAAAAAUUCAAUGAUCAAACAAUAGUGGAUACAUAUGGCUUUCCAGUCUUUAAAAGGAGAAAUACAGGUAUUCAUGUCGAAAAGAAAGGUGUCUUCUUGGAUAAUCGAUAUGUGGUCCCUUAUCACAGGAAUUUAAUUGUCAAAUUUGAUGCACAUAUUAAUGUUGAGAUUUGUAAUUACUCGAGACCAGUUAAAUAUUUUUUCAAGUAUGUCCAUAAAGGGUCUGAGAGAACAACUGCAACAAUAGAAUCUAUUGACACUACCCAAGAAAUGGACGAGUGAUGGGUGUUGAAGCCAACAAAAAUAAAUUCCUACUCUAAAUAAAUUGUGUAUAGUGAUUGAGCAGGGUCGUGUCCACAGAGAUCGGUAAUUAUUUAAAUCCUUUUGAAACGUAAAACGUAAAAUGGGGGAAUUGUUGACAAUAAUAAAAAUCAAAUUAAAAAUAACAAGAAUGCAAAUUAAAGUUGUAAUUCAAAUUGGAGAAAGCUCUGGUUGAAGGAAUUAACUCAGCUUGAUUCGACUACUGAUCAUUGAUUCAAAUAUAGAUGAUUAUUACUCAUGAAUAGACUGGUUAUAGCUACUGAGACCCUCUAAUAGCCAAUCUCUCCUUAACUAGUCGAUAACCAAGGUACGACCAUUGGUUAUUUCCCUAAUCAAUAGACAACCCUAGAUACGAUCAUAGAAUUUAAUCAAUUGACAGCCUGAAAAACCAGAGAGACCCAAAUCCUAAUCAACACAUAUGAUGAUUCAUUUAAAUUAGAUUGUUUAUUCUCACAACACAACUCUCUGCUAUGUUAUUUGUCACAAGCAUUAAAUUCUUCAUACGAUGAAUCCUUUAAUUGACAAUAGAUUAAGUUGAUAAUUAAAUAGUGGCCAAUUACCUAAUUAACAAACAUAAUCAUGAAAAUAAUUUAGAGAAUAAACAAAUACCCAAAAAGCAAUAAAACAAUUAAAGCACAAGAAAGAUCUCACAGUAGUGAUGAAUCAAAGCUUCGUUAUCCUUCAACUAGAAAAAUAGGUUUAGUUCUUCAUAGAGAGAAGAGAAAAAUUAAAUCUAGGGUUUCUUUCUUUUUCUCCAAUCCAAAAAAUCCCCCCUUUUUCACAAUUGAUUCCUCCCUUAAAUACUCUCUCUCUCUUCUCUUUUAGAGUUCUAUUUAAAAUAAAAUACUAAUAUCUAAAAUAUUAAAUUCGUAAUUACAAAAAUAGCCAAAAAUAUAAAACACGUUAAACUAAAAACUGCAGGUCCGCAAUUGACAGCACGCGCCCACGCCUUAUCAACAAAGUUCUUCUGCCGCUCAUAAUUUCUCCAAGGGAACAAUCAUCCCUAAACAUCAUCUUGUAGCUCAAUUUUAUCACCAAUCAAUAGAAUUGCACCUACAAAAGUAAAUCACAGGUAAAUCACUAUUAUUAAAUGCAAAACAUCGAUAUUAAGGGAAGUAAACAAUGCAAAACUAGUGCAUAAAUUGCACUCUAACAAAUUCCCCCACACCAAGAUGAUGCUUGUCCUCAAGCAUAUAACUCAAGAUUAAUCUCAAAUUUCCACUCAAUUCUCAUCUCAACUCAUCCAAAAACAAUUUUAAGCAAGCAUACCUCAAGAAAUUAAGUCGUUCAACGUUCGAGAGACAAGGAUUUUAAAGCAUAGAAUUUCGUAAGAUAGAAUAAGAACAUUCAACCACCAAGAAGAUCCAUUCAAAACUCAAGUGCAGCAAGAUUUAAUAGCCCUCUCAAUAACUUCACUCCAUGCACUCAAAGUGUUUAGGGUGUCAUUUAUCCACUCAAAUCAAAUCAAAGAAUGCUAUUACCAUAAGCUUGCUCAUAUAUCACAUCUCAAUCCACAAAACAUGAAUAAAAUGCAAAAAUCUAAGGGUCUUAAAAGGGUUGUAAUGGGGUUAAAUUGGAGAAAUGAAAAAGAAAGGUUUAUGAAAGAAAAAGAGAUCAAAAUGAGAAGAAUGAACUCAUUGAAUGAACUUAUGAUAUCAAAAUGCUUAUUUCUACUCAAGUCACCAAGAAUGUAAAAUUUUUUUUUUCGAUUUUUCUUUUUCUUUUUUUUUCUUUUUUUUCUUUUUUUUUCUUCUUUUUUUUUCUUUUUUUUUUGUUUUUGAUUUUUUUUUUGAAUCAAACAAAAGAAACGAACCUUGCACAAUUUAAUUCAAGCAUAAUGCUUGUUGAUCUAAUUGAGAAACUUUAAUACAAGGUAGAAAAAGCAACAAAAUAUAUCCACACAAUGAGUCCAAAAAUCUCCUUAAAUUGAGGCUCAAAAAGAAGAAAAAUGGUUAAGUCGACGGAGAGAAUUAGAUGGGUAAUGGUUAAGGCUCAAACAAAGGUAGCAAAUAAAGGUCUUCGGGUAGAGAAGGAAAAAAAAAUGCGAGAAUAGAAAAAUGGAAUAUGGUUUGCCCUUAUCAUUUUAAUGCAUAAAAUCCCGUAAUGUGGCUUCAACAUGCAUAAUAAAGCAAGUUCUAGAAUAAACAAAGUAGGAUUGAUAUUCACAUAACAAAAAUAAUUAGAGCAAAGUGGUUGCUCAUAGGCUCAAAUCCUCACAAAGUUGGUAAAUUUGCCAUCAAAUCAUGUACACUCUUCAAAUGAAUCAACCAUCAAUAGUGGUGUAGAAUGAGAAGAAGGUAUGAGUGAGAUGUAAAAGGAAAGGUAAAAAUGAUAAGAAGUGAGAAAGAUGUAUGUAGUAAUAUGAAAAGUGAAAGAUAAAAUGUGAGUGAUGAAAGAGUAUGAUAGAAUAAAAAUAGAUGUAAAUAAUUUGAGAUAGAUGGGAAAAGAGUAGUGAGAGAGAGAGGAAAAGAAAAUUAAUAAUAUAUGAAGCAUACUGCAAAAAUCAUUUAAGGAUGAGUAGAGUGAAAACAAUAAUUUCAGACAUCAAUAAUGCAAAAAUCCCUCCCCCACACUAAGAACUGACAUUGUCCCCAAUGUAAGAUAAUCAAAGCUCACAUAAAAAUUAAAGCGUAAGGAUAAAAGAUUAAGGGCAAAAACUUCCUUGAAUUGUGAGCUUUGAUCCUCAUAACGUCUAUGGGCUUGGCGGGAAUGGUGGGAUAAAUCCCACACUCUUGAAGUAUGCGGCCAAAUUCUGCUCCAUCUUGUCACGGAUUUCGAUUCACGGACCUGGAAUGCAGGUCGUAGGCUGGUUGCGUUGCGAUUGCUGCUCGGCUGGAGCUUGCUUGAUGGACGCGGGAUGGCACUGAUUGUGUUGCGCGCGCGCGCUGGGGCUGCUGGAUCUGCGCGUUGCGUGGGCUGUGUUGUGCGCGAGAGCUGGGCUGACGCUGGUGCUGCGUUGCGUUGCGCGCGCGGGACUGAUGCGCUGCGUGAUGGUGAUGGCUGGAGCUUGCUGCGUUGCGCGUGGCUGGUUUCGCUGGUGGGACUUCGUUGCGCGCUGCUGGGCUGCGAGACACGGGAUGCUGGUGCUUGCGCUCACGGGAUGGUGCGUUUUCCGGCGGGUUGGUUUGCUGCUGGUGUGCUGCAAGCGGCUGGAGAAGAAAACAAGUUCUGGAAAAUUAGGGAUUUUGUGAACAGUGAAUAGUGAACAGUGAUUUUCGAUUUUUGGUUUUUUUUUUAAUAAAUAAAUAAAUAAAAAGAAAGAAAGGAACGAAAAAAGAAAAAGAAAAAAAAAUAAUAAAUAAUUUUUUUUUUUUUAUAGUGAUGAAUCACUUUGAGACACUAAAAAUUUCAGAAGUACUUUUCUAAUAAGUACAUGGGCACGCCUUAUAAAAAAUUUUCUUCUGACCAAAAUAAGCAAACACAUUAAAUUUCAGAAGUACUUUUCUAUUAAGUACGUGGGCACGCCUUAAAACUAUGUUACUUUAAAAAUUACAGAAGUACUUAUUAGCUAAGACGUGGGCACGCCUUAUCAAAAAUUUUCUUCUGACCAAAAUAAGCAAAAUUUUUCUUUUUUUUUUUUGAAUUAAAAUUAAAAGAAGAUAUAACAAAAACCAAAACAAACAAAUCAUUUGGGUUGCCUCCCAAAAAAGCGCCUUUGUUUUAUGUCUUUGGCUAGACACAUUUAUGCAUCAAUCUCCAUAAUUGGGACUCUCGAGAGCCACAUCCUCCACAAUAUUCACCGAAAAACCUUCAUAAAAAGGUUUUAAGCGAUGACCAUUAACCUUAAAAACUUUGUCAGAGGUCGGGCUCCGAAUCUCAACUGCACCAUAAGGAAAAACAUUAGUAACAAUAAAAGGUCCAACCCAACAAGAACGUAAUUUACCCGGAAAAAGUUUAAGCUUAGGAUGAAAAAGAAGAACUUUUUGACCAACAGAGAACUCCUUUCUCAAAAUCAUUCUAUCAUGAAAUGUCUUCGUCUUUUCCUUGUAAAAAAUUUCCUGCGCUAUAGGGUUAAUAACAUCCACAGAAAAUACCGAAUGUUCCUCACUAGGAUAUUUCAUGGCAUCAUUCAUAUUGAAUUCUAUAACCUCUCCAUCAAACUCCAUAGUGAGAGUCCCUUUAUGUAUAUCCAUUUUAGUCCUAGCAGUCUUAAGAAAAGGUCUUCCUAGCAAAAUUGGGAUAGAAUUAGAGGAGUUAUCAUCUUCCAUAUCAAGUACAUAAAAAUCAGCAGGAAAAACCAACUCAUUAACUUGUACUAAGACAUCUUCUAAUACCCCAUCAGGAUAUGCAUUAGACCUAUCAGCUAGUUGAAUUAUCACACAAGUUUCUUUUAAUGGACCAAUAUUCAAAGAUGAAUAAAUGGAACGAGGCAUGACAUUAAUAGAAGCUCCUAGAUCUAACAAAGCCUUUUCAACUCUAACACUACCAAUUUUACAAGGGAUAGUAAACAUACCUGGAUCCUUGCACUUAGGAGGUAGUUUCUUUUGAAGAACUGCUGAAACAUUCUCCCCCAUGUGAACUUUUUCAUCUCCUCUUAAUUUUCUCUUGGAGGUGCACAGUUCCUUAAGGACUUUAGCAUAUCGAGGUAUUUGUUUUAUAGCAUCUAAUAAAGGAAUAUUUACCUCAACCUUGCGAAAUGUCUCAAGGAUGUCUUUCUCUUGUUCCUCCUUCUUGGAUUUUACAAAUCGGCUUGGAAAAGGAGGAGGUAUCACAAUAGGUAGGGGUUUCGCUUUGGUGGGUUGCGCAUCUUGAGAUUUAGGUAUCAAUUCAUUCUUCUCAAGCUCAUCUUCUACAUGCUUUGUCACUUUCUUACUAGGCUCUUGCAACUCCUUCCCACUUCUAAGGAUGACAGCACUAACGUUUUGCUUUGGAUUCACCUCAGAUUGUGAAGGCAAUCUUCCUAAUACUUGAGACUCCAGACGGCUUACUGUAGUCGCCAAUUGACUCAUUUGGUUCUCCAAGUUCUGAAUGCUUGUUGUAGUUGCCUGCUGAAAUUGUUGAGUGUUAGUCGCAAGUGAUUUAACAAUUUCUUCAAGAGAUAUACCUGACUUGGAGUUUGACUGUGGAGGUGUUGGUUGUCUUGGUGGAUACUGUUGUGGGAAUCCUGACGGCCUAAUGCCAUAGCUGAAGUUUGGAUGAUCCUUCCAUCCCGGAUUGUAUGUUUGUGCAUAAGGAUCAUACCUCCUCUGAGGCAUGCCUGGAAAUCCUCCAACUGCAUUGGCUUGUUCAACGGGUUCUUCUUGAAGUGUAGGACACAUAUCAGUUGAAUGACCCAUAUUGUAACAAAUACCACAAGUCUUCACCUGUUGCACAUUACCUACAACAAACUUUUCCACAAGAGAAGUGAGUUUAUCUAAACGUUGUUCAACAGAAGAAAUAUUUACCUCAUUCACAUUCCUUAAGGUGGCAUCUUGUCUGCUGCCAAAUUGUUGUGCAUUGGCAGCCAUAUUUGAUAUCAACUCCCUUGCUUGAGUAGGAGUCUUGUUCACCAACACACCUCCACUAGCAGCAUCUAUCAUACUCCUAUCCAUCAAUGAUAGUCCUUCGUAAAAAUAUUGAAUAAGAAGUUGAUCAGAAAUCUGAUGCUGAGGACAACUGGCACACAAUUGUUUGAAUCGCUCCCAAUACUCAUACAAAGUCUCCCCAGGAAGUUGUCUGAUCCCACAAAUAUCUUUUCUGAUGUUGGCAGCUCUUGAAGCAGGAAAGUACUUCUCGAGGAACUGCUUCUUCAAACCAUUCCACGUUGUAAUCGAUUCAGGAGGCAAGUAGUACAACCAAUCUUUAGCUAGCCCAUCUACAGAGAACGGAAAAGCACGCAGCUUAAUCUGCUCUUCAGUCACGCCUUGUGGCCUCAUACUUGAGCACACAACAUGAAACUCCUUGAGAUGUUUAUGAGGAUCUUCACCUGCAAAACCAUGAAACUUGGGUAAUAAGUGAAUAAGACCAGACUUUAAUUCAAAAUUUACCUCCAAGUCUACAUAUUGAAUGCAGAGUGGUUGUUGAUUCAAGUCUGGGUCAGCUAACUCUCUAAGAGUUCUUUCUACAGGUGCAGGUCUAUCCAUCACUUGUUCUUCUGAAUCGCUAGAUGAUUCAACUAAAUCAGGCACCGUAUCUGUUUCAGAAAGCAAAGGCGACGAGGAUCGUUGCUUAGCUCGUUUUGUCUGCUGUCUCAGCUGGCGAGCUGUCUUCUCAAUUUCAGGAUCAAACGAAAGUGUACCUGUACGAGAAGAACGAACCAUACACCAAGUAAAACGUAAAAAGGAUUAAAUAAAUGACACCAAUCCCCGGCAACGGCGCCAAAAUUUGAUGGGUGUCGAAGCCAACAAAAAUAAAUUCCUACUCUAAAUAAAUUGUGUAUAGUGAUUGAGCAGGGUCGUGUCCACAGAGAUCGGUAAUUAUUUAAAUCCUUUUGAAACGUAAAACGUAAAAUGGGGGAAUUGUUGACAAUAAUAAAAAUCAAAUUAAAAAUAACAAGAAUGCAAAUUAAAGUUGUAAUUCAAAUUGGAGAAAGCUCUGGUUGAAGGAAUUAACUCAGCUUGAUUCGACUACUGAUCAUUGAUUCAAAUAUAGAUGAUUAUUACUCAUGAAUAGACUGGUUAUAGCUACUGAGACCCUCUAAUAGCCAAUCUCUCCUUAACUAGUCGAUAACCAAGGUACGACCAUUGGUUAUUUCCCUAAUCAAUAGACAACCCUAGAUACGAUCAUAGAAUUUAAUCAAUUGACAGCCUGAAAAACCAGAGAGACCCAAAUCCUAAUCAACACAUAUGAUGAUUCAUUUAAAUUAGAUUGUUUAUUCUCACAACACAACUCUCUGCUAUGUUAUUUGUCACAAGCAUUAAAUUCUUCAUACGAUGAAUCCUUUAAUUGACAAUAGAUUAAGUUGAUAAUUAAAUAGUGGCCAAUUACCUAAUUAACAAACAUAAUCAUGAAAAUAAUUUAGAGAAUAAACAAAUACCCAAAAAGCAAUAAAACAAUUAAAGCACAAGAAAGAUCUCACAGUAGUGAUGAAUCAAAGCUUCAUUAUCCUUCAACUAGAAAAAUAGGUUUAGUUCUUCAUAGAGAGAAGAGAAAAAUUAAAUCUAGGGUUUCUUUCUUUUUCUCCAAUCCAAAAAAUCCCCCCUUUUUCACAAUUGAUUCCUCCCUUAAAUACUCUCUCUCUCUUCUCUUUUAGAGUUCUAUUUAAAAUAAAAUACUAAUAUCUAAAAUAUUAAAUUCGUAAUUACAAAAAUAGCCAAAAAUAUAAAACACGUUAAACUAAAAACUGCAGGUCCGCAAUUGACAGCACGCGCCCACGCCUUAUCAACAAAGUUCUUCUGCCGCUCAUAAUUUCUCCAAGGGAACAAUCAUCCCUAAACAUCAUCUUGUAGCUCAAUUUUAUCACCAAUCAAUAGAAUUGCACCUACAAAAGUAAAUCACAGGUAAAUCACUAUUAUUAAAUGCAAAACAUCGAUAUUAAGGGAAGUAAACAAUGCAAAACUAGUGCAUAAAUUGCACUCUAACAACGAGAUCAAAACAUAUUUGGAGUGCAGAUAUAUAUCAGCAACCGAAGCUUGCUAACGAAUCUUCUAAUUUGACAUACAUUAAAGAAAGCCGGCAGUUGAAAGAUUGCCGUUCCAUUUACCGGGAGAGCAUACAGUAAUAUUCGAAGAAUCCAAGUGCUUAGAAAAUGUGCUUACCAUACCUGGAAUAGAAAAAACAAAGUUCACAGAAUGGUUGCAGGCAAACAAGAAUUAUGAUGAUGCACGAGAGCUAACUUAUUCUAAUUUCCCUACAUGUUGGGUAUGGAAUUCAAAAGACAAAACUUGGACUAGGAGAAAAAAUGGCUUAGCAAUUAGAAGAAUUUACUUUGCACAUCCUUCAAGUGGAGAACGAUUUUAUAUGAGAAUGUUGCUCAAUUUUGUAAAAGGAAGCACUUCAUUUGAAAGUACUAGAACAGUAAAUGGAGUGACAUAUCCAACUUUUAAAGCUGCGUGCUAUGCUUUGGGAUUAUUAGACGAUGAUAAAGAAUGGAUCGACUGCUUGACUGAAGCUGCAAUAUGGGCGACUGGAAAUGAAUUAAGACAUCUUUUUGUCACGAUACUCAUUCAUUGUCAGGUUUCUGAUGCAUCCCAACUUUGGAAAUCUAAUUAUACUAGUUUAUCAUAAGGCAUAACUUCAUUGCAAAGGAAAAGAUUCAGAUUGAAAGAUCUUCAGUUAACCGAGCAACAAGUUGAAGCAUACACAUUGUUGGAGAUUGAAACUAUCAUGUUGAAAAUGGGAAAAAGUUUAAGAGACAUAGAUGGAAUGCCACUUCCUAAUUCUUCUUUGAUAAGAGAUUCAGGUAACCGAUUGGUCAAUGAAGAGCUUGAUUAUGAUCGUGAUCAAUUAAAGAAGUUGCAUGAGAAAUCAUUUACUGCUCUAAAUGCUUGCAAAAAAUCAGCCUAUGAAGCAAUAAUGCAUUCUGUUGAGAAUGAAGAAGGGUGUUUAUUUUUUAUCAAUGGACAUGGUGGUACUGGUAAAAUAUUUUUGUGGAAUACAAUUAUUGCAAAGCUCAUAUCACAUUCUAAAAUAGUCUUGCCUGUUGCAACUUCAGGUAUAGCAGCUUUGUUAUUGCCUAAUGGUAGGACAGCUCAUUCGCGAUUUCAUAUUCCUUUGGAUGUGAUAGCAGAGUGCACUUGUGAAAUCCGACAAGGCACCUUAUUAGCUGGACUUCUUAUGAAAACUUCUUUGAUCAUUUGGGAUGAAGCGCCUAUGGCACAUAAGUUCUGCUUUGAAGCUUUGGAUAAGACCUUGAGAGAUAUUCUAAGAACAAGGUAUGAAAAUACUUCUAUCAAACCUUUUUGAGGACUUACAAUAGUAUGUGGUGGUGAUUUCCGUCAAAUAUUGCCAGUUGUGCCAAAGGGGACAAGAGCAGACAUUGUUGACGCUUCACUUAACUCAUCCUACUUAUGGCCAUUUUUCAAAAUUUAUGAGCUCAAACAAAAUAUGAGGCUCUAUAAUGGAAGCAUGAGUGGCUCUGAGGCUGCUAAAAUAGCUUCUUUUGACAAAUGGUUGUUACAGAUUGGAGAUGGUUCAUUAUAUGAUGACAUUGAUAGAGAGUUAGUUAAACUACCUUCUGAUAUCUGUAAGAAACCAUAAAAAAAUCUAAUGAAAUCAAUAGUCGACACUAUCUACCCAUCAAUUCUACAUAAUUACAGUGAUCCAACAUAUUUGAAAGAAAGAGCAAUAUUAACGCCAAAAAAUGAAAUGGUGCAUGAAUUGAACGAGAUGAUUAUGAAUAUAAUACCUGGUCAAGGGAGAACCUAUUUUAGCUCAGACAGUAUAUGCAAAGCAAGCGCAAACACAAAUGAUGAAGAUGUUCUGUAUCCAACUGAAUUUUUGAAUAGUUUGAAAUUCAAUGGCAUCCCUAAUCAUGACAUACGACUUAAGGAAGGUGCUCCCGUAAUGCUUCUCAGAAAUCUAAAUCAAAUAGAAGGCCUAUGUAACGGCACAAGAUUGAUUGUAACUCGUCUUAGUAAAUGGUCCAUUAGAGGUGACAUCAUUUCUGGAACAAAUAUUGGACAAAAUGUCACAAUUCCAAGAAUUGUUAUGUCUCCUAAUGAAUCAAGAUGGCCAUUCAAGCUUAACAGACGGCAACUUCCUUUGGCACCAUGUUUUGCCAUGACGAUCAACAAAAGCCAAGGACAAUCUCUUAAACAUGUUGGCUUGUAUCUCCCUAAGCAAGUAUUCACACAUGGUCAAUUAUAUGUCGCCGUAUCUCGAGUUACCACAAGAGAAUGAUUGACCAUACUAAAUGCUGAUCAAGAGGUAGAAGACCGAACCUUCAUAAAAAAACAUUGUCUACAAAGAAGUAUUUCAAAAUAUUCACACAUUAGCUCACAAAAUCAAGGUAUCACAUUUUUAGAUUAUAUUUUAAAAUUUAAUUUAUACAUUGCAAGCUCUUACUUCACCCUAUAAUAAUGAUUUUUAUUAUGUGUUUUAAUUAUUCAGUAGACAAAUGAAUAAAUCAAAGGAACUAUCGAGACAGCAAAAUGGUAGUUUGGUUGAGUUUUCCAAGCUAUUAUGGAGAAUUUAAUCGCCAAAGAACAUAGUACGUGAAGAAGCAUUCCUUUUUACAUCAACUAUUUCUCCUUUCAUUCUCUCUAAUCCAUGGAGACAUGGUUUAUAUACAGAUAAAGAACAUUUUGGCACUAGGUGUUGCUGAUCCCCAUUGGAACUUGCCAUAGCUGCAAGCUUGAUAUAAACAACUGCUCACCUACGCAGCUACAAACGAUGCAAAAUAACUUACAGAAGUCUUUACAUGUAUUUUACUUAUUUCUUUUAUAAUUCAACGCAUUGCUAAGGAUCCUCAAUUACAAAAUUUAAUUUGGAACUUAUCAACUACAAAAGGUAUAAGGUCUGUACACCUAGACUAUACACGUUAAUAUAUAUAUUUAAAGUUAACAAAAAAAUAGUUAACUUUCAUAAAUAACAUUAGUUUUAUAAGGCUACCUCAUUUUAAAAAAAAUCAAUUUAUAUUUUUUAUCAGUUUUAUUGAGUAUAAAGAAAGAAAAAUUGAUAAUACUAAAUUCAUUUUCUAAAGCCGCGCGAAGCGCGGUUUUAUUUCCUAGUAUAUAUAUAAAGCUGGGACUAUAAGAGGUGAUGUGACAUCACCAUUUCUCAUCUUUGUAUAUUUUCUAUUAUCUAAUAAAUAGAGAAUUUUUCUUUCAAAUUUGGCUUUUCAUCUUCUCAUAAUUAAUUUGAUUGUUAUUACAAUUAUGUAAAUGUUUUAAUGAGGCAUAUUCUUUAUAAUGAACAUCCAAUGGGGAGUGUUAUAAAUUUAUUAAAAUAAAUGUGGAUGUUCAUAACAUAUAUCUCUUAGUCUCUCCACUAUCUCUCAUUAGCAACCUUUAGCUUCUCUGUAACUCCCACAAUCUCACAAGGAAUUAUGAUCCAUAAUUUUUCAUUAAUUUCAUGGAGUGAUUAUGUAACUACAAAAGGAGAGCUCAUCUUUUUGUUUUGUAUACACAAUUGGAAUGAAUAAAAUCACUCUAAAAUAUAUUCUCUCAUUUUAUUCUUUAUCUUGCGUUGCUUCUUUAUUUGUGUUGUUGGCUAAUAGUUUUUUUUUUAUUUAAACCACCCGGUUUCCGACGACCGCAUUGGAUACUUCUACUGCAUUCAACAUUUCUAAUUUUUAUUGGUUGAUAUACGUGUGAAUGACAACACAAUCCUCUGAGGUAUUUUUUUAAUUAUUAAUGUUUGUUAAUCUUUAAGUGUAUAUUAGAAAUUAUUGAUCCUUAUGUUUUAACAUAUUUAUGUUAUUUUCCCAUAAUAUUACAGAUGUUGUCGGAAGUUUAUGUGGUGUGGGUGAUAUUGAGAUUGUUGGAGCUGGUUGGAAAAAAAGACAUAUAAAAGUUCUAAAAGAUUAGCAAGUUGAAUAUAAUUUGGAACUUAUCAACAACUACAAAAGGUAUAAGGUUUGUACACUUACUAUACACAUUAAUAUAUAUAUAUUUAAAGUUAACAAACAAAUAAUUAACUUUAAUAAAUAACAUUAAUUUUAUAAGGUUGCCUCAUCUUUAAAAAAAAUCAAUUCAUAUUUUUUAUCAGUUUCAUCAAGUGUAAAGUAAGAAAAAAUGAUAAUACUAAAUUAUUUUUUUAAAGCCGCGUGAAAUGCGGUUCUAUUUUCUAGUAAUUUAUAAACCGAGGCCGGGCCCCAAGUCUUUUAAUUUUCUUCCUUUCUUUCCAUAUUUGUCGUUGGGUUAUAAACUUCCCCAAUUCUACCUUUUAUGUGCACGUGAAUCAUGACAUACCCCUUGAGUCAUGCUUUCAAGUUAUAAUUCCUUUCAAUCUUUGCCACGGCUUCAAGUCUCAAAAUCACACAGCAAUACAUCAUAACCCGAAAAUUUAUAAAUAAUCAAUAAUAUAUAAAUGUAAUCAUCUAUUGAAUCAGUUCAUUAUUUAUUCGUAUUGCAAGCAUCACCCCUAUCAUUCAUAGUUUUCACUUUUUAGUGAUGUUCACAAAAUCCUAACCAUACUAUGCAAUUGAGAUAUGAUCAAUAACACUUUGAUAACAUAUUUUAAAAAACAUAAAUUCUUCUAUAAAAAGUCAUUAUUCUGGGGGUUAAUUUCCAUAGGUUUCUAUUAGUUAAUUUUUUCCAACUAUUUUUGAUGAAAUUAGAUAGAUUUGCCUUCAUAUUUGGGGCAAAUAGUUUCAGCGAAUCAUGAAUAAGCUUCCACACAUUUUAGAAAUCUUAUCUUUUUUAAUUUUAUACUUUUUCUUUAAUUUGCAUUUUGGUUCACAUGACCAAAAAUUAAGUUCCAUGCGUUUUUCAAUUUGUGGAAAUUCAGUUUUUUUUUUUUGUGGAAAUUUCGGUGGAGUCAAUAUGGCUAGAAAUUCGUAGAAGGAUGAAUCAAAAUACUCAAUUAUUGUUGUAGACUUGUAAGGCAGCUAACGGAGUCCACACGUUUCAAUGUUUGUUUACAGUUCAGCUUUCCCUUUGAUUAGUUAUCAAAAUAGAAACAUGAUUAUCAAUUUCAACUGUAUGUCUUUCAUGCCUUAACUUUCUUCCUUUCUUUCCAAAUUUCUCAUUUUGCUUUAAUUUUCCACAAUUUACCUCCACGAAUUGAUUGACCUGUUACCCACCACACUUCAAUACUAAUAAUAAUAAAUAAAUUCUUCAAGCAAUUGACAUUUGACCCACCCCACUUCAAUAAUAAUGCUAAUGGGACAUCAUAAAUUCUUCUAUUCAAAUAUAAUACUCAUGACUUUGACGGCCGAAACAUGUUUCAUGGCACAAAUAAUGACGGUUUUGUUUGAGGUACGGUGGAGGUGUCUAUUCAAAUAUUUGAAGCCAGCCCCUCGUUUUAUCUAAACCACAAGCAGGCUCAGCCGAAAUUGUUUAAUAUUUUUAUUUUUUCAAGAAACUCUCACUAUAAGGCUUAUGUGAAAAUUUGGUUGACAGUUUAUGUAUUUAAUUAUUUAUUUUACCACACAUGUCAUGUGUAGGUUUUAUUUACCUUGAGCAGUGGUCAAUGCAUUAGACCCAAGAUAAAGUGUGUUGAGGUAGGGGAAUUAAUGAUCGCAUUAGCUGUAGCACCUAUCUUCAAUCUCUAAUUUUAACUUUCUAUAGAUGAAGUGUUUUCAAAUUCCUCAAAUGUCUGUAAUCUGUUUAAUAAUUGAAGAAAGUUAAAAUUCAUUUUCUAAAUUUAAGGUUAAACUCCCAAUAAAAAAUUUUAUUUUCAUUCAAUAUUGUCAUUAGAUGGUAAUCACUUUGUACGAGAGAUUCCAAAAAAUUUGUCUCAUUGCUCCUCACUAGAAAGAUUGUAUCUUAGUGAUAAUAAUCUCUUGGUAGGAUUUCACAAUGGUUGGAUAAUCUUUCAACAUUACAACAUUUUAUAAUGCUCAAGAAACACAUUCUUGAAGGUCUUAUUUCAAUGGAGUUUUAUCAGCUUGAUUCUCUUCAAAUUUUGGACAUUUCAAACAAUAAUGUAUUUAAGAGUUUAUUAUCUUGUUUACAUAAAAAUAUAUGCCUAUAGGCAGGUAAAAGAAGGUACAUUUUUUAAUUACUCUUCCUUAGGGACAUCAUAUCUUAGCUAUAGCCACUUGAAUGAGAUCAUUUCAAGUUGGGUUGAUAGGCUUUCUCAAGCAAGCCACUUCAUACUGACCCACAAUAAUCUUAAAGAUGAAGUAUCUGCUCAGUUGUGCCGAUUGAACCAAUUGCUAUUGAUAAAUCAUGCUGAUAACAGUCUUUCCAGCCAUAUUCUUCAUUGCUUAAACAAGUGAACUUGUUUCAUUGAGAGAGUAGUGAAACAAGGAAAAAAAAAAGUUUUGACUUUUAUCAGUUAGUUGACUGUUAAGUAAAAAGUAUGCAAAUAUCAUUUUAUACUUUAGAUUGUUAAAAACUAAUGGAAAAAUAACGUCAUUUGAGGAUAAAUUGAAAUUUUCAUACUUUUAAAAAGUAAAGUGAAAAUUAUCAUUCUAAGUGUGGAUAAAUUAAAGUUACACUCAUAAAAAACACAUCUAAUAAUUUAUACACCAAGGCAGGCCCAAGUCUUUCAAUUUUCUUCCUUUCUUACCAUACUUAUCGUCCUGUAAUAAAUUUCCACAGUUCUACCUUUUUUGUACACAUGAUUCAUGACAUACUCCAUGAGUCAUGCUUUCAAGUUAUAAUUCCUUUCAAUAUUUGCCACGUUUGCAAGUUUCAAAAUCACAUAGUAAUAUGUCAUAACAAGUCCGAAAAUUCAUAAAUAAUCAAUAAUAUAUAAAAGGAAAUUAUCCACCGUCUAUCCGUUUUUUCAACUUUUUCAAAAAUACACAAUUUUUUUUUUUUUUGCUGGAAUCCACCUGAAGUUACAUUUCUUUUCACUUUUCCACUUCCGUUUGGAAUCCGUUAAGGAAAUUAAGGGAAUAUUGUUAAAUGACUUUUUUACCCUCAAAUGUAAAAGAUAAUUUAUCCAUCGACCACUUGUUUUUUCGUAUUUUUUCAGAAAUACACAAUUCUUAAUUUUUUUUUUGCUGACCUCCACUCGAAGUUGUAUUGUUUUACACCUAUCCACCACUGUGUCGUUGUAAAAUGAUGAUUUACCCUUAUAAUGUUAGCAAAGUUAUAACGGUCUCCAAACGGAAGUGGAAAAGUGAAAAGAAAUGUAAUUUCAGGUGGAUUCCAGCAAAAAAAAAAAAGAAUUGUGUAUUUUUGAAAAGCAGUGAAAAACGGGUGGAUGGUGGAUAAUUUCCCAUAUAUAAAUAUGAUCAUCAAUUGAAUUUGAAUCAGUUCGUUAUUUGUUCAUAUUGCAAACAUCACCUCUAUCAUUCAUAGUUUUCACUUUUUAGUGAUGUUCACAAAAUCCUAACCACACUAAGCAAUUGAUAUUCAAUCAAAGACACUUUGAUAACAUAUUUUAAAAAACAUAAAUUCUUCUAUAAAAAGUCAUUAUUCUAGGGGUUAAUUUCUGUAGGUUUCUAUUAUUUAAUUUUUUUCCAAUUAUGUUUUAUGAAAUUAGAAGAUUUGUCUUCAUAUCUAGGGUACUUAGUUUUAGUAAAUUAUGCAUCACCUUCCACACAUUUUAGAAAGAUGAUCUUUUUUUUAAUUUUAUACUUUUCUUUCAUUUACUUUUUGGUUCAUAGGGCCAAAAUUUAAGUUCCAUGCAUAUGCAUUUUGUGGAAAUUCAGUUUUUAUUUUUUUAUUUUGUGGAAAUUUCGGUGGACUCAAUACGGCUAGAAAUUCUUAGAAGGAUGAAUCUAGGGCAGCUAGCAGAGUCUACGAGUUUUAAUGUUUGUUUACAGUUCAAUUUUCCAUUUGAUUAGUUAACAAAAUAGAAACAUGAUUAUCAAUUUCAACUAUAGUUCUUUCAUGCCCUUAACUUUCUUCCUUCCUUUCCAUAAAUUCUCAUUUUGCUUUAAUUUUUCACAAUUCUACCUUGGAUGGUGUUGAUUCAAAUUUUUUCUCAAUGUACAAUGAUUGAUUUGUGUUUCGGACAUUCUUCUAAAUCGAGUUCUGUGGCAUAUUUUUUUCCUUGAGGCGAGUGUCUCAAAUCAUAUGUCUCCUUGUGGUUAAUUAUUUUGUAAAAAGAAACAAUUAUCAAAGGGUGCCGACAUGCCGGCAAUAACCCUCCGACACUCAAGUUAGUUCUUUUUACUCAAGUUUUAAAGAGAGAGAAUCUAGAGCAAGAUGGGCAGAGUUUUGCUCGCAUUUUAUGCCUUUUUUCCUCUUACUUUCAAAUGCCGGUCUUGGCCUUUAUAUAGACAACUUAGAGUCAAUUGGAGAGAUUAUGUGGCACUUUUCUUGUGACAAGUGUCAGCCAAAGUCCAUGCAUGGCGACAUAUAUUCAUAUGUGUCAAUACUUGCUCAUGACAAAUAAUCUUUGGACAUUUGUCAUGUUUUUGGGCUAUUAACCUUUAAUGGACUUUAGCUUAAAUUCGGCACUUAUAUUGGUUUCUUACAAAGAGGAUUGAUUUUGCAACAUUUUGCCCAUAAGCACAUUCCGCAAAAUGUUUGUUAGCCAGUAGGUGUUGAGUGUUAGAAAAUGUAUAUUUAUAAAGGAGAAAAUCAUCAUUUUACAUUUCAAGUUUUACUAACAAUCCUUACUUUUAUGUAUUUAAGCUUCUUGCAAUUUAAUUAUGUGUGUUUGAUUUUAAUUAAGUAUUUUAUGUAUUUUAGGGGCAUCAUGGUUAUUUCACAAUAAACGAGAGAUCAGACGGCAAAACGAAUAUCACUUUUGAACUUAGGACGGUCGAAAACCUUAGGAGGAGCAUAAAAGAAAAAAUGGCACUAUUCACAUGUACGGUAUUAUUCACGUGUACGGUACUGUUUACGUUACUGUUCAUAAUACUGUUCACAUAGACGGAUUGAUGACGUGGCAUUGACUGAUGAGGUGUCACGAUCCUGUUGGGCUAAAAUUCUUAUGUACUGUUGAUGGUGACGUGGCAGCAUAUCAGUAGACGAAAAAAUCUCGCGUACGGUACAUGCAUCACACAGGAUUAUUUUCAACCAAACCGCGUCACUGUUCAACCCAGGUCAAACCGUGUUACUGUUCAUCCACGUGGUCAAACCGCGUACUGUUGACUGAUGACGUGGCGCAAUCCUGAGCGUCCAAACUGUUUUUAAUCCGAUAGCCAUGAUUUACUUCAUGUAUCUAUAAAAAGGGGGCCUCUCCCCCCUAAUUGGAUAGCUCUGAAUCCAUUUUUGGGAUCCAUUUUUUGUAAUUCCUUCUCCAUUUUGUAUUUUCUACAUAUUUUAAUAAUUCCCAUUUUGCCCCUAGUUCAAUUAUGAGUGGCUAAUUUUCUUUCAAGCUUGGGUUGAAGGUGAAGUCUCAACAUGUGUCAUGGGCUUAAUUUGGUAGAUUUACUUUCUCUUCCCAUCUAAUUUUUGUGGAUGUUUUGACUUCUCGUCGACAAAUAAUACUAAUCUUGUCUAGUACCGCCUUGGUUUCACCGGCUCCGUAGUACAAGGUUAUUAUUAUUUGGCACGAUAAGCCCUUAGCACCAUAUUGAUUAGAGUGUGGUUUAUGAGGUGUGGAUUUCCCCCUUAUGAUUUAAUUGAUAUUAAUAAGGAAUAUUUAGCCCAUGGUACAUGUUGAUACGGAUUCAGAUACCCAAGUACGUCAUUUCAAUAGAAUUCUCUUCAAUUUAUUCUCGCCAUUUCAAUUCCAAUUUUAGAAUUUAUUCUCGCCAUUUUAAUUUAAAUUUUAGCAUAUUCCAAAUCAUUUCCACCACAAAUCCAAUCACCCAUUUACAAAAUUAAUUCUACACACAAUUAAAAUCCACCUCCUCGUGGGAUCGACACUCGUCACCAUUAGUCUAUACUACAAUAGAUUCGUGCGUUUGCGAGUACAUUAAAAUUUGCACAGCAGUAGGCUCGCUCCGUGGAAUGUUUGUUGGCCCGUUGGCACAUUCCAUAAAAUGCAUAUAUUUGCCCGUAUGCACAUAUUGUAGAAUGUAUAUUUCUUCGUAGGCGCAAUCUGCCCGUAGCCGCCAUCCGUAGAAUGUGUAUUUGUCCAUAGGCCUAUUGCAUAGAAUGUGUGUUUGCCUGUAGACCCAUUCCGUAGAAUGUGCAUUUGCCCGUACGCCCAUUUCGUAGAAUGUGUAUUUGCCCGUAGGCUCAUUCUAUAGAAUGUAUAUUUGCCCGUAGGUGCACUCCGAGUAGCUCAUGUGCUCUUAGAAAUAUUUUUGAAGUGUCUAGAUCAUGAACGGACCUAGGUCAUUUUUUGUGAGGAAUGGACCUAGGUCGUUCUUUGUAAAAAAUAGACCUAGGUCCUUCUUUGUUGAAUCAUGCCUUUGGCACUUUGUGAAGACUCGUAAGGAAUGGACUUAGGUCAUUCUUUGUAAGCAAUGAACGUAGAUCAUUCUUUAAGACUUAGGUUUUUCUAUGAUAAAUCACGCUUUUGGCUUUUUGUCGUGUCUUGCAUUUAGACACUUUAGUUAGAAUUGUAAAUACCUUGGCCAUUCUUAUAGAGAACACACAUGGGUUAUUUUAUAUAAAAUAAUUUUAUUGGGCCUAUAUUUUUUGUGGGUUUUGGACCUUUCAUAAUUUGGGCUAACAGAGGCCCCCGAAGUCUUACUUUUCAAUUUUGAGAAGUGAGACUUUUUUUGUACUUUUUUUUAGGCUUUUCUUUGGCUUUUCUUAUUACAAAUUAAAUUUUAAGGCUUGAAAUUUCUCUAAGGCACCUAUCCUAUUAAAAUUAGUCUACAACCAAUCUCACAUACUUCAUUUAAUGAUUUGUAGCUCUCUACAAUCUAUCUUAAUUUAACAAUUAUUGAAAAGUAUAAAAAUAAGGAGUUAGUAAAAGUAUCAUUUAAAAAGAGAUACUUGACUUUUUCUAAAUAGUAUGUGAGAAUUUUCUGACAAUUCUUUGGCGAGCUACUGUUGAAGCUCUUCGAGUGCUCAUCGAUCUAAGAAGCAAUGCCAAAUCUUUUCCUGAAAGGUCAUCUUUGAAACUGAAUUGCUUCAAUGGUAAACAUUUUUGUAGAUAGCGAUCCCAGUCAAUUCUCAUAUAUACUUACCCUUAGGCAUUUUGGUUGAGAUCAACCAAAGCUGUAGUCAACAUCCGCCCUUGGAAGAUUUAGUCAAUAGUUGCCCCUAAGCUUUUUGACAUUGGCUUUAAGGUGUUUCUCGUCAACACUAACUCUCGGACGUUUUUAUCUAAAACAUGUCAUUAGGUGUUUCAGACAAUCAUUUGCCUUUUAAUGUUUCACUUAGAAUAUUUUCCCUCAGGUCUAUUAUUAUAAUUCGCUUGUGGACGGUUUCCUUCAAAAAUUAAUUUGAAGUAAUUGGACCUAGGUCAUCCUUUAAAAGAAAGGACCUAGGCCCUUUUAUCAUAAUUUACUCGUGGGCAGUUUCGUAGAACUUAGCCCGUAAGCAUUCUCUUUAGAAUGAUUUUUCUAAGAAUUGGACCUAGGUCAUUUUUUACAAGAAUGGACCUAGGUCUUUUUAUUAUAAUUCGCAUGUGGGCACUUUUUAUAGAAUACUAAUUCUAAGUGAUUGGACCUAGAUCAUUCUUUGAAAGAAAGGACCUAUAUCUUUUUAUCAUAAUUCAGCCAUAUAUGGUUUCCUUAGAAGAUUAAUUCUAAGUAAUUUGACGUAGGUCUCUUUAUUAUAAUCCGCCCGUAGGCACUUUCCUUAGAAAAUUGAUUUUAAGUAAUUGGGCUUAAGUCUCUUUUUAAAGGAAAUGACGUAGGUCUCUUUUUAAAUUGAUUCUAACUUUGUCACUACUUUGAUUGCAUCAAGUGAUGAAUAAUGUCGUAAUCAGAAUUUUCAAGGGGGUAUUUGGGAAUAUUGCCCCCUUCAGAGUUUUAAAAGCCAGAGAAAGAAGACUUUUUGUAUUGUAUGGUACCAUGGUAUGCCCCGUAUGCCUUUCUUAAUGAUAAAGUAGCAGAUUCUCCUUCAAUUUAAUUUCUUUUUGUUCCAAGCCAAAAUAAAAAAAUUUCUGCUCACUAGCCGUACUCUGUUCUUGAUGAACAUUAGGAGGCAGUUCAAGACAUGGAUUCUCAAAGUCAAUUGUAUCGAUGAUACUUGGGUGUGUAUGACAUUUUUAUUAAUAAUUUUAAUCAUUCAUUGAUAAAUUCUUCUAUUAACAAAAAUAAUUUCUCCAAAAUUAAUUUUUCUACUCGCAGACCAUACUUUGUUCUUGAUGAACAUUAGUUGGUACUUCAAAACGUGGAUCCUCAAGUCAAAACGGUAAAUUUUUUUCAUCAGUGAAUCAUUAACUAAACAAGUGAUCUUAGAUUUCAUUCUUGUGUCUAUGAUAUGUGGGUGUGACUGACAUUUGAGGAACAAUUACAAGAGUGAAAAAGGAGAAUACAUAAUAUAUUCAACCACUAAAAAUAAAAGUCAUUUUUAUUUUAUUCCAUCUUACUCGAAUUUGAUACAACUAGUGGGUGUGUUGUAACUAAUCUUAUUUGUCCCUUUGAAAUAACCGAUAAUAAUCUUAUCACCGAAUGUUUAACAGACUCGUAACGUCAUAACGUAACUACCACGUCAAGCAAACACGUGGACUCAGCCGUGAACUACAACCGCAUAACCGUUACAUAUAUAGACUAGUAUGAAGCGGUGGAGUUAAAGCAAGCGUUUAAGAAGUGAUUUAAGCUGAUGCAAGCGUAAAGUAUGAGACGAAUAAAACAACAUACAAUUCAACAAAAGUCUAACAUGCCCUGUUCAAACUUAUAAUUUUCUACUAUUACCUUACCCGACAAUACAAUCCAAGUAGCUGGCAGCCACACCGCAAACUUCCACUAUCAUCUUCUCCUUUCAAACUUAUAAUUUUCUUUUUUCUUUUUUAUUUUCUGGAAAGAGCUGGCUUUCCUUGAUUUUUGCUUUUUGUCAACAAUUAUUCAUGCCUUUUUAUUUUUCUCCAUCACACUUUUUUUCUUUCCCAACUUCCACGAGCUGAGCCGUCGUCGCUUUUUGAAAGAAACAGUAUGGAAGCUAUCAAGAAACAGGCAAUCAAGCUCCGAGAACAAGUCGCCAAGCAGCAGCAAGUCCGUUUCUUUUCUUUUUUUGUUUUUAAAUUAUUUAGACUUUUAAUUAGUGAAAUUUCUCGAUUUUAUUUAUUUUUCAUUAGUUUUUUAUGGUUUGUACAGGCAGUAUUGAAGCAUCUGCUCCAUCUUGGCAUUGAAAAUGUUGCGGUUGAUAAAGCUGACAUUGAGUGUCACCAACAACUUCAAAAUCUAUACAAUUCCACCAGGGCAGCUAAGGCACCAUCCUCCUUUAGCUAAUAAUAAGACUCUGUUUGAUAUUGAUUUAUUGUGGCUUUUGGUAAUUAGAUAUGAUUUUUAAAUAAUAAUUUUGUCAAAUAUGGUACAAACAACUGUAUUUUCUAGACUGAAGUUGCAAGUAUUUACCAACGGAGCUUAAUGUAUGUUGAACAAUUAUGAUGGUUUGUAUGGUUUUAUCUGAACAAUAAUUUGGAAUAUAUGCUCUGUAGCGCAGCAUUUUCAGAGGAAUAUUGUCCGUGGCGUUGAAGGGUUUGUUGCAGUAAGCUUGAAACAAAUGGAAAUAUGUUGUUUGUUUGCUCUUGCUCUUGUUAUAAUAUUUGAUUUUUUUUUAUUUAUUUUCUUGACUAGUUCUUGUGUACAAUAUUUUUGUAUUCAAAUAUUGUAGCGAGAAAGUUGGCCGAAGAUUGUUGCAAGUAUGGAGCGGAGAAUCAAAGUGACAAUUCUUGCGUUGCAAGAGCUGCUCUUCAAUUUGGCACUUCACAUGAUUUGAUGGAAAAUGAGAGGGAAACUUUGCUUGGGAUUCUUCAUGAUCAGGUUAGUUCAUCCCUAACUAGAAAAUAAUUCAAAUAUAGAAAAUUAUAUGUAAAUUACUACGGAAACUAUUAUCUUCUCAUAAGGAAAUUUAGUUCUAAGAUAUUGAAUAAAAGAAUCCAUUUUAAAGUUACAACUCUGAAAUAUUUAAUGUUUUAUAUUAAAAUCAUUGCUAGUGACAUCCAUGACUUGAUAGUUUUAUUGGUUCAAAUGUUGAAGAGACCUUGUACUUCUUACAUCACUAGCGAAGACUGGCGUGGGACAAGUUAUUGGCCGUGAGUUCUCUCAAUUGACUCCAAGCAUUUUGGAUAAAGACAUUUGCAUCUGUAGUAAAAUCAAAUCCAUGAGACUGAAGGAUGCAUGGGGAAGUCUUACAACCUUUAUUUGCAUAGGUAGAUGCUGAGAAAACAUAUCAUCAACACGUUAUUGAUAUUUUAGAGAAGUUGUAUGCGGAGGUUUGGGACUAUGCAUUUUAACUUGCUUGUCCCCAUCUAUCUAUUCCUUGGAGCGUUCUCUUCUUGCUAUUUUCGUCUCACUUAUGCAAAAGAAUAAUUGUGACUUUUUAGUCCCUUCCAACCCUUGCUACUUGAAUUAGAUGAUCCUAUAGGAGCAAUCAAAUGAGUCCUCCUCGCAACAUGUGACUUUCGAAAUGGAUGUACAUGCCUCAUGUGUCUAUCAGAGUACUGAUUCAAAUGGAGCUGAUUUGCAAACGCAUAUUAAUCAGAAUGACGUCUACUUUAUAGCAAAAGUAAGGCUCCUGCUCUCUUGCAUAGGUGAAAGUCCCUCUAUUGCCCUCCUCCUGGAAAAUCUUAAGAAAUAAGAUGCGCACAAAAUUGAAUGCUGUCUUUUAAGAUUUUUUUUUUUAAAAAAAAAGAAUUUUGUUGUAUUUUACCAUGAAAGUUGUUAAUUUACUGAAUUACAAACUUAUCAAUUAAUUUGAUGUUGCACAGUCUUUUUCUUAACAUAUUGCAUUCAUAUUUUAAUUUUGGAGCAAUAAAAUUUUUUUUCUACUAUCACUACCAUCUGGGCAGGUAUUUGUAUUAUUGCACAACAUCUACGGAAGUAGUGAUUAGUCUUAAAAGUUGAAGAUGUCUGUCUGUAUCCUUUCAUCCUAGAUAAAUUGUCAUAUGAUCGUAGGACAAAUUGUAAUUAUUUUUUAAAAUUUAUUAGUUAACACCUUGAAAAUUCUUUUCCCCCAAAUAAAAUUACUCUAAAAGUGUCCAAAUGUGGUGCUGAGGAAGCCAUUCUUAGGAAACUUUAUUUAGGAGAACAGGACUUUUAAGCAUGAGGUUUAGCAAACACCAAUGAAUUAAAAAAGCGAUAGAUGUCGGAUGAGCUAGAUAGAAUGCAUGGGCUAGAAAUAUCAUGUGUCUCUACUAUCAAUAUCUUAGCAACAUCAAAGCUGAGUUAGGCAUGCCAAAGAAAGGCAAACCACUGAAAGUUGUGUAGCCACUCACGACGUAGCAGGUGAUGUAAAGUCUUGAUAUUGCUUAUAGAUACAAGACUGAUAGCUCAACAUCCCUCUUUUUGAGAUUUUCUCUUAAGUUAGAUGGGCCUUUUUAUGAUUAUGUCUGAAUUAUGAUUCUCCUUACUUGGUUUACCUAGAAAAACUAUGUUUAUAUGGAUGUGACUUGGGGGCAAUCUAUGUAUUUGAUGAUAAAUCUGGCCGAGAAAACUUAAAUUAUUAGGCAGAGGAAAUUGACUGACCAUAAGCUGUCAUGUUAAAUCCAUCACUUAAAAGAUGUCGGUCACUUGGAAUCCCCAUUAUCUAUGACUUUCUUGUGCAUAGGCCAUGUUUUGUGGAGAGCAGUCAAAAUUUCAGAUUUAAAAUCUUAUCCAUAAUUUAAAAAUGGAAUUUUGUUUCUAAUAUAUCUUUGUUGGCCAUAAUCAUUGUAGUUACAAUGAACGCUGCUGCUACUGCUGCUGCUUUUGUUAUGCUUUUUUAAAGAUUAAGUUCUAUUUAUCCUAGUAUCUUAUAGGUUAUACAUCCAUUUGACGCUCAAGCAAAUGGGGAGCUAAGUCUUUCAAUUGAUGAUUAUGUUGUGGUUCGCCAGGUACUUUCCCCUCUAAAUAACAACACAGAGAUUUUUCUACUAUGCUAUUAACUUAUCCUUCUAACAACUUAUGAUAUGUGGAAUUUAGAACUAAUGCUUAUACUAAUUUGAUGUUCAAAGCACAUGGCAUUUUGUUCUUAAAAUUUUGAUUGAAAAGCAAUGAGUUAACAUAUGAUGGUUGGUUUUCUUUCUUCCUACCAUAUAUUCCCUUUUAUAUUGAAGUGCAAAUCAGAAUAUAGUAGGGUUGCUAGCUCAGUUCUAAACCACCCAGUUUACCCUUAUAGAUAUGUGAAUUUAUAUCUUGUUAUGCUUCCAUGGUUAAUGUUGUUAUUUCAGUGAUCACAACUAAUUCACUCCUCCUACGUAAAAGAAUUAGUUUUCCCCUUAGGUCUUUGAACGGUCAACUUUUGUUUAAUUCACUGUUUUAGUUAUAACUUCUCAAGGUGGCUCUUAUGGAUGGUCGGAAGGUGAAUGCAAGGGCCAAGUUGGUUGGUUUCCCUCGGCAUACAUAGAAAGACAAGAAAAAGCCCCAGCUAGAAGGAUAUCAGAAACAAACUCCUCACCCAAAUGUGAUGCGACUUCUUAAUAAACUCUUGCCAAGUAUCUAUAUGUUCUUUUUCCUGUAUUAUAUUGCCAUUUUAGUUUAUAGAACGACUGCGACAAUUGAUAAGUGGUUUGAUUGCUUCUCUUAAUGAAAUCUUACUAAGCUCCAAGUAAUAUGUGCGAUCAUAUGCAUUUUAAUAUUUGUAUUUAUCUCCUAGUUGAGGAGAAUAUUUGUAGUAACAACUGUGUUUCCAAAUUGCCAAAAAAAAAAAAAUACACAUCAUGUUUAGCAACAAAUUUUUACUAUUAUUUCUUCCCAGUUUUAAUUUACUUUCUCCGUGAAUUGAAUGUUAUAUUAGUAGCUUGAUCAGAAAGUAACUCAUAUCAAUCAAACUACCUUGAUGCAAGAGAUUGAAUUUAGAAUUUCUCUAUCUUUGUGAAACUUUCCAAUCAUAAUGUUAUGAAAUAUGUGGGCAUGAACUUUUUAAUUUCUAGUUGCAUUUGGAGUAUGUAUGAUAUAAUCUGAAUCACUUGCAUAAUGUUCUUCAUCUUCCANNNNNNNNNNNNNNNNNNNNNNNNNNNNNNNNNNNNNNNNNNNNNNNNNNNNNNNNNNNNNNNNNNNNNNNNNNNNNNNNNNNNNNNNNNNNNNNNNNNNUUCUAACUAAUGAAAUUUUCUAGUCUAAAUUAUGAAAUAUGUGGGAUUGACUUAGAAAUUUUGGUAACAUGUCGAGAAUGUAUGGUAUAAUUUGAAUUCAUUAGCAUAAUCUUCAUCUUCAUUGAUUUGUAAAUUAUGAAACUAAUAUAUAAAAAACUAAUGUUAGAUCCUAAUUAUCUUUAGUUCUUAAAAUUGUUGAGGAGAUAUGAAAUUCUGGUGGGUGGAUUUGAGAGUUUUAGCUUUGAGAAUAUUGCUUCAUCUCUACUUUGAUGUUGUUGUGCCCCUUGUUGUGGCGAGGCAUUAAUCUUCCUAAAUUUUUUGUCAAGCUUCAACUUUAUUAUAUAUAUACCUUUCUUGAUAAAAUGUCUGGGUCCAUCGCUGGAUUUGGUGUUAAUGACACUAGUGAAGAAGAUGAUGAUAGCACCAUAAUCAUUAUUUUUUAAAGUAAAAUAGGCGAUCAAGUGCAUCUAGGUGUUUCAUUUCUUGUGUAUGAUUAUAAAACUAUUCUGAAUAUAGUUUCUAAAUGAAUGUUAUAGAGUGGCUGCUUUUAACAUUGGAGAUGGUUCUCUUAUUUAAGUAUGCUGCACAGUAUAGGGAAGUAUAAGUUAUGGUGGAUAGAUAUGAGUUUGGAAGUGUGGAGACAAAUGUGAAGUGCUUGGAAGUUGGAAGCUAUAUAACGCUAAAUACUUCUACAAUUUUAAUAAAAAAUAAAAAUAAAUUUAUUUCCUAAGCAAACUUGAUUAGUACUUAAAGAAUCAUAAUUAAGCUACUAAUUAAUUUCAAUGACAAAAUCUUGUUGGAAUAAGAUUGUCUACAACAAAAUAAUAACAUGAAGUUAUCCACAUUUCAACAAAGUAAAACAAUUUACGUCGCCAAUAAGAAUUUACAUAUAAAACAAUAACAAUUCCAAAUAUCACUAUUACGUACGAUGUUGUAAAUGUGAUAAAGAAACUGUCCGUGUCAAUUAAAAUGUCUGGGUCCAUCGCUGGAUUUGGUGUUAAUGUUUCUAGUGAAGAAGAUGAUGAUAGCACCAUAAUCAUUCUUUUUAAAAGUAAAAUAGGCGAUCAAGUGCAUCUAGGUGUUUCAUUUCCUGUGUAUGAUUAUAAAACUAUUCUGAAUAUAGUUGGCGAUCAAGUGCAUCUAGGUGUUUCAUUUCUUGUGUAUGAUUAUAAAACUAUUCUGAAUAUAGUUUCUAAAUGAAUGUUAUAGAGUGGCUGCUUUUAACAUUGGAGAUGGUUCUCUUAAAUAAAGUUUGCUGCACAGUAUAGCGAAGUAUAAGUUAUGGUGGAUAGAUAUGGGUUUGGAAGUGUAGAGACAAAUGUGAAGUGCUUGGAAGUUGGAAGCUAUAUAACACUAAAUACUACUACAAUUUUAAUAAAAAAUAAAAAUAAAUUUAUUUCCUAAGCAAACUUGAUUAGAACUUAAAGAAUCGUAAUUAAACUGCUAAUUAAUUUCAAUGACAAUAUCUUGUUGCAAUAAGAUUGUUUACAACAAAAUAGGAACAUGAAGUUAUCCACAUUUCAACAAAGUAAAACCAUCUACGUCGCCAAUAAGAAUUUACAUAUAAAACAAUAACAAUUCCGAAUAUCACAAUUAUGUACGAUGUUGUAAAUGUGAUAAAGAAACUGUCCAUGUCAAUUAAAUUAUCAUUUUUUGUUGGGGGGGGGAAAAAAGGGGCCCCCAAAAAAAAAAAAAAAAAAACUUUUUUUUUUUAAAAAAAAAAAAAUUUUUAAAAAUUUUUGGAAGGCGUUAAAUGUUGCAAAUUGUNNNNNNNNNNNNNNNNNNNNNNNNNNNNNNNNNNNNNNNNNNNNNNNNNNNNNNNNNNNNNNNNNNNNNNNNNNNNNNNNNNNNNNNNNNNNNNNNNNNNNNNNNNNNNNNNNNNNNNNNNNNNNNNNNNNNNNNNNNNNNNNNNNNNNNNNNNNNNNNNNNNNNNNNNNNNNNNNNNNNNNNNNNNNNNNNNNNNNNNNNNNNNNNNNNNNNNNNNNNNNNNNNNNNNNNNNNNNNNNNAUCAGCUUGUUGCAAGAAAGAUCAAGUCCUGAUAGGAGGCUAAGCACUUUUCCUUGGUAAAUGUACGCAAUGUUCUUUGUUGUGAACUCAAAAUUUUCACGGAUUUGCUUUUCUACAUCUCCGUCAGGGCCGUCGAUGGAAAAAGAUAUUUCAAAUUGCUCAUCAAGACUAGAACUAUUGCUGUAACUGUCAUGAAGUGUGGUGUUAUCAAAGCAAGGAGGAAUAGGACCGUGAAGAUUAUUAUUAGAAAGAUCUAACAAUUGUAGUUGGUUCAAUUCGCACAAUUGAACUGGCACUUUACCUUCAAGAUUAUUGUGACCUAAGAUAAGGUGACUUAACUGAGAAAGCCCAUCAACCCAAUCCGGAAUGCUGCCAUUCAAGCGGUUAUAGCUAAGAUCUAAUGUCACAAGGGAAGAGCAAUUAAAGAAUGUACCUCUUUUUAGUUGUCCAUGUAACAUAUUUUUUGAAAGAUGAACUUGUUUGAUAUUGAGAGGAUGGAAACAAGAUGGUAGACUUCCAGAUAUGUUGUUGUCUGAAAUGUCCAAAAUCUGAAGCAAAUCCAGUUGACAAAACUCCAUUGGAAUAGAACCUUUAAGAUGAUUCUUGUGCAUUGUAAUAUGUUGUAAACUUGUGAGACUGCCUAACCAUCGUGGAACCUUACCCGAAAGACUGUUAUUAUUAAGGUACAAUCCUUCUAGUGAGGAGCAUUUAUAUAAACUUUGUGGGAUCUCUCUUAUGAAGUGAUUGUCCUCCAAUUGUAACCAUAUUAAAUUUGCCAGGUUAAAAUUUCUACAGAACAUGUGACCUUUUAGGUUGUUGUUUGAUAACGCUAGAAACUCCAAGUUAACGCAACCGACGGCCAAGCGCUCAGGGAUUUCACCAGUCAAUUGAUUGCUGGAUAAGUCCAAAAUUCUGAGGAAGUUCAUUUUACCAAAUGAAGAGGGAAUGCUACCAUGCAAGGCAUUCGUGGAAAUGUUAAAAGAAAAUAAACUUGGUAAAAUAUCUCUAAUUUCUACUGGAAUAUGGCCUUGGAAGUUGUUGUUGGAGACACCCAAGAAUCUUAACCGCCUGUGUGGAUGAAUUGGCAAUUAAAAAGGUCCUCCAAUAGAAUCAUUGAUGAGAAAAAGAGUUUCUAAUUUUGUGUUGUUUUCCAACAACCAAUUUGGAAAUUCUCCAUUCAUCUUUAUAUGUGAGAGAUGAACAUCCUCCAGGUCAUGUUGAUGGUAAAGGAAUUUGGGGAAUGUGACACCAUCUCCACAACCGGAAGACAACAAGAGAGAUUGUAAUUGGAAGUUUGGGGCGGUCAAAGAAUGUGACUCAGUUAUUUCAGCUUUUAUUUCAUUGUUGUAAGCCCAUAAGCUCUUGAGUCUUGAGUGAUUGAAAAGUGGUUUAAGUGAAAUUGGGAUGCAGAAGUGAUUCUUUGAAAGUAUUAGCUCUUCAAUGGAUGUCAAAUGAACGAGGGGAGUGAUAACUCUAGGAAAUGAGAGUUAUUACAUCAAUUCUAAACUUGAAUCAGGAUCUUUUAGAGAACAAAUAAGGUGUUUUUAUUACAUUUUGCUUAAACAUUCAUUUUAGUUGAGUAUUAAUAAGUUUUGCUUGAAUUAUAGUAAUUUGUGCUAAAAACAUAUGCAUAAUUGUAGGUUCUUGGAAAGUCUUAAUUCAUGAGGGGAUGUUGAGGCAUUAGAUGAGCAAGAGGAGGAAAUAAGCCAGUCAUAAAAGAACAAAAGCACAAUCGGGAGUAAUGCAGUGCUGUUACGGAUGUUAGAGCAACCCGUUCUGUAGCAAUCUGGAAGUAAAUGCGAGAGAAAACUUGGGCGCGGGUCAGCACAUGUUUCUUAAUUUAACGCAUGCACACUCAUAGGCUUGUGUUUACCCUAAUUUGCAAUAUAAAAGGGAGGCAAUACCACAAAGAAAGGCGGCAAGGAAAUUAUCACUAGAAUAAUCACAAAGGAACGAAGAAGAAGAAGAUCAGAAUUAAAGAGUUUUGUUUUGGAAACAUUGGAGAAUCGUGCAGAAUUACUUGGCUUUGAUUUUCGCCGUGCUCAACUUAUAUUUAUCUUCUUCCUUUAAUUAUUUUGAUGUAUUCCGGGAUCAAUAUAUUUAUGAUUAUUUUUGUCAUCCAGAUUAUGAACUAAAUUUACUUGUAGUUGAGUGACAAAUAAUCCAAUGGGUUCUUGAUUGUUCUUAUAUGUUGUUAUGGUAAUGCUGUAGCAUUUUACUCUAGUAGUUUUUAUGAGUAUAACUGUUAUUUCGGUUGACCACCCAUUUAAUAGUUUCAGUUAAGAGCAGCAAAGGGGCAUGUCUUAGCGGACAUUAUUAGAGUAUUACUUGUUCUUAAAUUGAGUUUCCUGGAUUAGGUUAUCUUGAAUCCCAUAAGGGCAAUACUUGAAGUUAAGAUUUGUGACACUCUGGACAUAGGUGUUCACCUUGUAGGGUAGAGAGAUUAAAGGAUAUAAUGACGUACCAUAAAUAUAUGAGCAACUGGUCAUUGUUAGUAGAUUUAAAGGUAUGAGAUUUCUAACAUGCGAUAGCUGAGGAUGCAGAUUUAUUCUGCCCAGUGCUGCAGCACUUAUUGUAACAACUGGUGCUAAUUUGGUAAACACCAAUCACCCCAUUAGGAGAGUUUGAUUAUUCAACUACUAUAUUCUCAAUUGAAUCUUAGACACAGUUAACUUAGUUUAUUUCAUUACAGUAUUGUUUUAUUUCCAUCUCUCGCAAUUAUUAAUUACGAUAGAAUUAUUUAACAAUUGUUUGUUUCGGUUUUAGUUAAUUUGCACUAUUGUGAUUGCUUUAGCAUUUUGAGUAACAUCAAUCCCUGUGGAGACGAUCUUGAAUACUCAUCACUUUAUUACUUGUUGUGUAUAUGAUGAAGAGUAGGAAUCCAUAUUAUACUAGGAUUAGUUUCCUUAUUAACUAAAGUUUAAGACUUUUAAAUUCCUUUCUAAUUUAGAAUUUUGUUUCCCUUUCAAUUUAGGAUUUUGUUUUUACUUCAUGAAUUAGGAUAAUUACUACUACUAUAAAUAGCUUCCUCUUGUAACCUUUGAAUGCAUAAUUUUGAGUUCAAUAAUAUUUCAAUUUUCAAAUCUCUUUGUGAGUAUUUGAACAGUUAACUCUCGGUAUUCUGCGGAAUCAACGAGUCUUAAUCCCUAAAUUCACGGUAUUCUUUUGAAUCAACGUGAAUUUAAUUAUUAUUUUGUUCCGGUAUUCUCUAGAAUCAACGGAAUAUUUUGAACAUUAAACUUCCGCUGCAUCAGUAUAUUUGCACAUCGGCAUUGGUAGUAAUUGAUUAUAAAAAUAAAUCAAUAAGUGUUUGGGGUCGUUGCCGGGGAUUGAUUGUUUAUUUUUAAAGUGUAAAGUAAAUCUUGAUAGCGCCAAAUUUGAUUUGAUUUAUUCUAUUUAUUAGGAGAUCGGUACAUGCAUGCGCAAAGACAGGUCUGUGGUAUUCUAAUUCGAUCCUGAGAUUGAAAGGACUGUCAGGAGAUUGCGAAGAGAACAAAGGAAUUCAGAAAUUGAUUCAAGCAUGAAUAAUUUGCAGGAUGCGGGAAAUUUGAAUCCUCACGGGCCCUUACAACCAGUAAACAUUCAAGGAGAGCAGAAUGAACAUGUUAACGGGAGACAGCCAGGCAAUAACAAUAUUAUUUACAUGGCUGAUGACAGAGACAGAGCUAUAAGAGAUUAUGCUGUGCUAACUCCUCAAGUUGUACAUCCUGACAUCAUCAGACCUGAAGUAGACGUUGCAAAUUUUGAGUUAAAGCCAGUGAUGUUUCAAAUGUUGCAAACAGUUGGUCAAUUCAAUGGAUUGCCAGAUGAAGAUCCUCAUCUCCAUCUUAAAUUGUUCUUGGAAGUAAGUGAUACUUUCAAGAUUGCUGGAGCAAUACAAGAUGCUUUAAGGCUGAGACUCUUUCCUUAUUCCUUAAGAGAUCAAGCAAGAGUAUGGUUAAAUUCGUUACCAUCUGAUUCCAUCACUACAUGGAAUGAAUUGGCUGAUAAAUUCCUAAUGAAAUAUUUCCCACCAACAAAAAAUGCAAAGUUGCGGAAUGAGAUUACUUUCUUCCAUCAACUUGAAGAUGAAAUGCAAAAAAUGCAAAAAAUGCAAUGUUAGUUAAUGAGUGACCUCAUUAACUAACAUAGUAAAGGCCUUGACAUCUGCUCCAGCAACAGUAAAGCAAGUUACUGAACUUUCUUGUGUAUACUGUGGUGAAGAGCAUAACUUUGAUAAUUGUCCUGGAAACCCAGCUUCAGUAAACUAUGUGGGUAAUUUCAGUUGAUAACCUCAGAACAACCCAUAUUCAAAUACUUACAACCCUGGCUAGAAGCAACACCCAAAUUUUGCAUGGAGCAGUCAGAAUCGAAAUGCUCCAGCAUUAAAUAGACAAAAUAAAAACACACAACCACUUGGUUUUCAUCAGCAGAGUCAAGGGCAAAAGCAUAACAGUCAGGAUCCAAUCACUUCACUGGAAGCACUGAUUAAAGAGUACAUUGUAAAGAAUGAAGCAAUUGUGCAGAGUCAAGCUGUAUCCUUGAGAAACCUGGAAAACCAAAUGGGACAACUAGCCACAGUAAUAAGCAGCAGAACUCAAGGAAGCCUACCUACCAACACAAAAGACCCUAGGAGGGAGGGCAAAGAACACUGCAAAGUAAUUAAUUUGAGGUCUGGAAAGAAUGUUGAUAUCCCAGCUGAUGUAACAAAAAAUGGGAUGGAAUUCAAUUCAGCACAAAAAUUACCUCAAAAGGGAAGCAUGUUACAACAACCUCCUCUUCAAGACACUGGUUACAUGGGCCAAGUUACAGCAACUACAGAGGAAAUUCAACCAAAACAUGUUGAAAAAGAAAUUGCAACACCAGUAGUCACAACCUGCACCAAACCAAACAAACAGAGUUUGAUAUCUCCUGAAGCUACCUAGCAGUUUAGACAUCCACCACCUUUCCCACAAAGGAUCCAGAAGCAAUAACAAGACAAGCAGUUUAGCAAAUUCCUGGAAGGGCUGAAACAACUGCACAUAAAUAUACCUUUUGUGGAAGUUUUGGAGCAAAUGCCAAAUUAUGUGAAAUUUUUAAAAGAUAUCUUAGCAUGAAAAAGAAAGCUGAGAGAGUUUGAAACUGUUGCUUUAACACAGAAGAGCAGCCAUAUGCUCAAGAGUAAAAUUCUCACAAAAGUAAAAGAUCCAGGGAGUUUUACAAUACCCUGCGCUAUAGGAACUAGGUAUGCUGGCAAAGCACUUUGUGACUUGGGAGCUAAUAUUAAUUUGAUGCCAUUAUCUGUAUUUAAGCAGCUGGGAGUAGGGGAGUGCAGACCAACAACAGUCACUCUGCAAUUAGCUGAUAGAUCUCAUGCAUACCCUGAAGGAAAAAUAGAGGAUGUAUUGGUGAAGGUUGACAAAUUCAUUUUUCCAGUGGAUUUCAUUGUACUGGACUUUGAAGUUAAUAAAGAGGUACCCAUUGUAUUGGGAAGACCUUUUCUAGCAACUGGAAAGACUUUGAUAGAUGUGCAGAAAAGAGAGCUCACCAUGAGAGUGAAUGAUCAGCAAGUCACAUUUAAUGUCCUAGAGGCUAUGAGAAACCCCGAUGAAGUAGAAGAUUGCAAUUUCCUAAGUGCAGUGGAUUUUGUUGUAGCAAACAAAAUGGACAGAUGCUACAAUAAUGCACUUGACAAAGUCACCACCUUUGAAGAUGUUGCAGCAAUCCAAACAUAUUAGAUGGACAAACAGCAAUCUAAUAGGCACAACAUGUUUAUUGAACACCUGAAUGUUUCAGACAGGGAAGUAAAAACAACUUUACCAUCUAUUGAAUCACCUCCUAGUUUUGAAUUAAAACUGUUACCUUCACAUUUGAAGUAUGCAUAUCUUGGUCAAAACAACACACUCCCUGUAAUCAUUUCUUCUACUGUGGAUGCAGGUCAAGAACAGAGUCUAGUAGAUUUACUGGGAAAAUACAGAAGAGCAAUUGGAUGGACCAUGGCAGAUAUAAAGGGGAUAAGUCCAUCAAUAUGCAUGCAUAAAAUCCUGUUAGAAGAUUGUUCCAACAAUUCGGUGGAGCACUAGAGAAGGAUGAAUCCUAUUAUGAAAGAAGUGGUGAAGAAGGAAAUCAUCAAAUGGUUGGAUGCUGGAAUCAUAUACCCAAUAUCGGACAGUUCAUGGGUAAGCCCAGUUCAAUGUGUUCCAAAGAAAGGAGGGAUAACAGUAAUGGCUAAUGAAAAGAAUGAACUUAUUCCUACAAGGAUAGUGACUAGAUGGAGAGUGUGUAUGGAUUACAGGAAACUCAACAAAGCCACAAGGAAAGACCAUUUCCCACUUUCAUUCAUAAAUCAGAUGUUGGACAGACUUGCUGGAAAACAAUACUAUUGUUUCUUAGAUGGGUACUCAAGUUACAACCAUAUUGCUAUAGCUCUAGAAGAUCAAGAGAAUACUACAUUUACUUGUCCCUAUGGAACAUUUGCCUUCAGAAGAAUGUCAUUUGGGCUAUGCAAUGCUCUAGCAACUUUUCAGAGAUGCAUGAUGUCUAUAUUUUCUGAUAUGGUAGAGCAGACUUUGGAAGUUUUCAUGGAUGACUUCUCAGUUUUUGGAGAAACAUACAAUGAUUGUUUACACAACUUGGAAGAAGUUCUUAAAAGAUGUGAGAUGACCAACUUAGUACUCAAUUCGGAAAAGUGUCAUUUCAUGGUGCAAGAAGGAAUAGUGUUGGGUCACAAGAUAUCCAAGGAUGGUAUUGAGGUAGACAAAGCUAAGAUAGAGGUAAUAGAUAAACUGCCACCUCCAACUUCAGUAAAGGGAAUUAGGAGUUUUUUGGGCCGUGCUGGAUUCUACAGAAGAUUCAUUAAGCAUUUUUCCAAAGUAGCUAAACCACUGUGUUCAUUGCUGGAGCAUGACAAACCGUUUCACUUUGACAAAGAUUGCCUUCAAGCAUUUGGAGAAUUAAAGAAAGCUUUGAUCACUGCUCCAGUAGUUAUAUCUCCAGACUGGACUUUACCAUUUGAAUUGAUGUGUGAUACUAGUGAUCACUCUGUGGGGGCAGUAUUAGGGCAAAGAAAGGAUAAAGUUUUUCACUUCAUCUACUAUGCAAGAAAACUCUCACUCAAACUCAAAUCAAUUACACCACUACAGAGAAAGAGUUGCUAGUAGUAGUAUUUGCUUUUGACAAAUUCAGAGCCUACUUAGUAGGCACUAGAGUGACUGUAUAUACAGACCAUGCAGCAAUCAAAUACUUAAUUUCAAAGAAGGAUGCCAAGCCAAGAUUAAUUAGAUGGAUUUUAUUGCUUUAAGAAUUUGAUCUGGAAAUUAAAGAUAGAAAGGGGACUGAGAAUCAAGUAGCAGACCACCUGUCACGGCUGGAUGCAGACACAAGCACAUUGACCAGAAACGACAUCACUGAAACUUUUCCUGAUGAACAGCUGUUGGUAGUACAAUAAGCACAGAUGCUGCAGCAGUCAGAAUCUCCAUAGUAUGCAGAUUUUGCUAACUAUUUAGUAAGUGGGUUGCUACCACCUGAGCUAAAGUUUUAAGAGAAAAAGAAAUUUCUUCAUGAUGUUAGAAGUUAUCAGUGGGAUGACCCACAUUUAUAUAAGCUAUGCUCAGAUCAAGUAAUAAGAAGAUGUGUUGCAGCAGAAGAGAUACCCCAUAUACUGGAGUCAUGUCAUGCUGCAGCAUAUGGAGGACAUUUUGGUGGUCACAGAACAGCUGUCAAAGUUCUGCAAUUAGGUUAUUAUUGGCCCACUAUUUUUAAAGAUACUUAUGAAUUUGUUAAAUGUUGUGACAGGUGUCGAAGGACAGGGAACAUAAGUAGAAGACAUGAAAUGCCACUGACCAACAUCCUGGAAGUGGAAGUUUUUUAUGUCUGGAGAAUAGAUUUUAUGGGACCCUUCCCGCCAUCUUUUGGGAACUUAUAUAUCCUUGUUGCUGUGGAUUAUGUCUCCAAGUGGGUAGAAGCUGCAGCAUUACCUACCAAUGAUGCUAAAACAGUUGUGGCUUUUCUUCAGAAAAAUGUUUUCUCUAGGUUUGGCACUCCUAGAGCAAUUAUUAGUGAUGAGGGCACACAUUUUACAACAAAAUCUUUGCUGCAGCAAUGAUGAAAUAUGGAGUCAGGCUGAAGUGUCCAACAGAGAAAUUAAAAAGAUCUUAGAAAAAGUGGUGAAUCCAAUAAGGAAGGAUUGGUCUUUACACUUGCAUGACUCUCUAUGGGCCUACAGAACAGCAUACAAAACUCCACUCGGAAUGUCUCACUACCGAAUUGUUUAUGGCAAAGCUUGUCAUUUGCCACUAGAGCUAGAGCAUAAAGCACAUUGGGCACUGAAGAAAUUAAAUUGGGAUAUGCAUGCUGCAACAGAGCAAAGGAAACUUCAACUUUGUGAGCUUGAUUAAUUACAACUAUUUUCAUAUGAAAAUGCAAGAAUCUAUAAAGAGAGGACAAAACACUGGCACGACAAGCAUAUUCAGCACAGGAAAUUCAACCCUAGUCAAUUAGUGUUGCUCCACAAUACAAGACUAAGAUUAUUUUUGGGAAAGCUCAAGUUACGAUGGUCUAGCCCGUUUAAGUUGUUAAAAUCUUAUUCUCAUGGAGUUGUUGAUCUUCUAGAUGAACAAACAGGCCACGAAUUCAAAGUUAAUGGACACAGGGUUAAGCAUUACAUACAUCCAGCAGUAGAAUGUUCAAAGGAGAUGUUACUCCUUAAAGAACCCAGCUAUUGAACAAUGAAGGAAGGUCAGGCUGAAGGACCUUAAAUCAAGCGCUCCAUGGGAAGCAGCCCAUUUGGGAGACAACCACUUCAAACCAAUUUUGAUCUCCUUUGGUUUAGUUGACAGCUCUCCCUCCUUACCAUUUUAUUUAAUUUUGUUCUUUCAUUCUAGCUAUUUAAUUUUAUCUUUUCAAAUUAUUGCAUUCUUUAAUUUUGCUAUCAUUUAAUCUAUUUAUUUUUAAAUGUUAGAAUUAAUUUGAAUUUGUGGGAAGUAUGUGUAACAAUUGAAUUCCAUACUGACAAGUGAGGUUGUAUGGUGGCAGAGUAUAGAGGUGAGCCACGUGUCAGAGGCUUUAGUGUGGAGUAUGUACCGUUGCUAGAGUAAGCGAAUGGGUGCUGCAGCAACCAAUUUUACCGUUGCAAUAAAUUGAAAGAUGAAGCCUCUCACUUACCGUUGGAGAUAAAUCAUGACAGAUGGAGGCUUGGAUGUGGAUAGAAAUUGCAAAUAAAUCUCUGAAAUUAAUGCCUUAAAUUACCUAGCCGAUGUUUUUGGGAUACGCGCUUUAAAUUAAAAAAUAUUUUCUUCCCUCAUUUAUCUUUAGUUACCGUAUUUAUCUCCAAUUAAAAGUCCACUAUAAAAAAGUCAUUGUACUUAGUGCUCUACACCACUAUUCCCCAUCUCCUUCGCAAAUCCAACUCUCCUAAUUCUUAGCCUCUUCUUCUCUUUUUACUCUCAGGAACAGUAGACUAAAUUUGUUACUGCUACAGUAAUGCCGAGAUAUAAGAAAACAGCAAGCCGCCUCAAAGAUCCGUCACGAUUCUAAAGUUACCACGCCGAAAAAAAAUAUGAAGAAUUCAUAGAGCCGCGUAGGAUUCUGGAAGAAAAAAGGUUUCAAUUUCCAGACCAACUCACGGGAAUUGUGCAAACAAUUCAUAAUGCUGCAGCAAAGCGAGGAUGGCUAGAGUUUUACAAACACCCUCGGGAUCCUGUGCUGCCUGUAGUAAAAGAAUUUUACGCCAAUUUGGUAAGCCCUGAUCAGCACAACAUUUGGAUAAGAAAUACACUUGUCCCAUUAGACUCUCGUGUUAUCAAUGCUUUUUAUAACUUACCUGCUGAAAUUACUUGUGAGUAUGCUAAGUUGCGUGAUAAGUUAACCCCGAAAAAGUGGAACACCAUUUUUACAACUCUUACAAUCGAAAGAGCAUCAUGGGCUAACAAGGAAGGGCGUGUAGUUAAUAGGAUAGAUUUGAAACCUAUUGCUAAGAUGUGGGUGAAAUUUCUGAAAUCUAGGCUUAUGCCCACCACUCACACUACUACAGUUUUGCAAGAAAGGUUGGUCUUGUUAUAUGUCAUAGUUCGCGGGCUUCCCAUAGAUGUGGGUAGCAUCAUCGCAAAAGAAAUCCGAGAUUGUGCAGUCAAGACUCACCGAACUGCUGCUUUGCUAUUUCCAUCACUCGUUACUAGCAUUUGUGUAGUUUCAGGUGUUCAUCUUGACGCCAGAGAUGACCAUGUCAAUAAUGAUGGUGCCUUUACGGCAUGAACCAUUGAGAGAGUUGCUGGUGAGAGUGCUGGAACAACCACUGAACCAGCUGCUGAGACAGGAGCAAGAUGAGCUAUUGGCUUAGAAAAGACCAUCCAGGCACUCAGCACAAGUAUAACUCAAUGUACGGAACCACAGCAGUGGGAAAACGAUCGAUUUUGGAGCUAUCUCCAGCACCUGGACAACCAACUACACCAAUUUUCUCUGUACAUGAAACGCACUCACCGGAACUUCCUUGAUGCACUGCUCCAGCAGUACAAUUUUGACACCAACACCACAAAUGCAUCAACAGAGGCUAGUGCAGAAGCCACUGCCACAGAGGAACCAGCAGAAGAUGCUACAGCCGAACCUCAAGCAGAGGAAGAAUCAGAAGAUGCUGAACCAUCUGAUUAGCCUGAGGAAGAAGGUGACAAGUCUGAGAUUGAUAGCUCACCUACAGAGGAAGAAGACAACUCGGAGAAAGACCGUGAGGAACCAACCAUCCUAACCCAGCCCAAAACCAGAAAAAAAAAAAGCACGUUAUUCAAGAAAAUGAGGAGGAAGACCUUGAAGAGGAGCCGUAUAUUCCAGUCCUUGCAGGCAAGAGAAAGGACAAGGGUAAAGCAAAAAUGGCAACAACUCCAGCCUCUGAAGAUGAGAUGGAGCAAGUCGAUGCUAAGCUGGCUGCUGCAGCAGCCAGAGCUAUGCCUACACCUAAGCAAGCUAAGCAACUACUUGCGGUUAUUGCUGCCAUCACAACUGAGGGCCAGGCAGCUGAUGCAUUAACUCAACAACCUCCACAGCAAACUCCUAGCCAGCCUAUUCGCACAAGUCCAAGACAAUCCAGCAAACAAAAAGGCAGUACGUCUACAAGUACUUCUACAGCAACCCCAGCCACAACUCCUCUCACCAGCCGCGCAGUGAAAAAGACAAAGACAUUGCCAGCUACUUCCCCAAAAGCUUCACCAAAGGAUGAGCUGCGCAGUGCAUCCAAGAAGUGCUGAUAGCAUCCCGUCAUGCACUCCAGUCCCCACCACAGGGGAGUACUCUAUCCUUACUAGUUCAUAUUUAAAAAAAAAAAAUUAUGUUUGUCAAUUUGUAUGCCUUUGUUAUGUAUGCUUGUGAGGACACAGCAUCUCUCAAGUUUGGGGGGAUUGUGUCCGAAUGCAUGUGUUUAUGUAUGUGUUUAUGUUUGUGUUGUGUGAAGCUCUGUUAUCUGUUAUUUGUGUAUGGAUUUGAAAACCUAAUAAAGAUAAAUUGAGUGUUAUUCAGUAUUUAUGAGAAUGCCAAGUAGAGAUAGUUAUAGAUAGAAGUGAAAUUAUGUCCCAACACUUAGACUUUGGUUGAAUUGUAUGAGACUGUUAGAGCAAAGCCAAAAGAAUAGAAAAUAUCUUAAGUUUGAAGGGAGAAGCAAGUUGAUUGACUGUGAUAUUUAUGAGAUAAAACUCUACUCCAAUGGCUCAAGUUGCUGAGUAACCAAAUCUGAGUAUGUACCCCAUAUGCAGAAUUGUGUAAAAGGUAGCAAGAGUUAUGAGCAAUGCUGUAGCAAAUAAAAAAAAAAGUCCUAUGUCUAAGGCAUUGAGUAGUCAGGUCUGUUCAUGAACCCCAUGUUCAGCCUUGAGUAAAAGAUACCUUUAGAUGAGAUUAUACCGCAAAUAUUGCUGCAGCAACUCUGAUCUGGGCAUGGUUUAAGUAAUUGGGUGUCAUCAUUACAAGUGAUUGACAUUCACAUGAAAGAUAAAUGUUACAGUAAGGAGGUUGAUUACUCCCCAGUUUAUCAAUGUAAAACAAUCACAGUUUGAAUAUGUGAAAUUUAUGCUACCCCAUUUAUGAAUGAAGUAUAUCACUGCUGAAAUUUAUGCAGUCCUUUGGUGAUGUUACAGCAUAUCUGGAAUUCAAUCAAAGGAAGCACACACACACAAUGGACAGAAAGAAGCUUAAGUCUAGAACUGAUUUACUAUGGCAUUUUGUAUGAUUGGGAUUGUGAUCUGAAGGUGGAAGAAUCCUUGCAAAUUUGAUAAAAGAGCUAAAGUUGUGUGCAUGUUUGUUUGCGGAAAAUGUUAGUAUGUGUCAUUACUUGAAGGCAAGUAAUGGUUUAAGUUUGGGGGUGUGAUAACUCUAAGAAAUGAGAGUUAUUACAUCAAUUCUAGACUUGAAUCAGGAUCAUUUAGAGAACAAAUAAGGUGUUUUUAUUACAUUUUGCUUAAACAUUCAUUUUAGUUGAGUAUUAAUAAGUUUUGCUUGAAUUAUAGUAAUUUGUACUAAAAACAUAUGCAUAAUUGUAGGUUCUUGGAAAGUCUUAAUUCAUGAGGGGAUGUCGAGGCAUUAGAUGAGCAAGAGGAGGAAAGAAGACGGUCAUAAAAGAAGAAAAGCACAAUCGGGAGUAAUGCAGUGCUGUUGUGGAUGUUAGAGCAACCCGUGCUAUAGCAAUCUAGAAGUAAAUGUCGGAGAAAACUUAGGCUCAGGUCAGCACAUGUUUCCUAAUUUAACGCACGCACGCUCAUGGGCUUGUGUUUACCCUAAUUUGCAAUAUAAAAUGGAGGCAAUACCACAAAGAAAUGCGGCAAGGAAAUUAUCAUUAGAAUAAUCACAAAGGAACGAAGAAGGAGAAGAUCAGAAUUGAAGAGUGUUGUUUUGGUAACAUUGGAGAAUCGUGCAGAAUUACUUGGCUUUGAUUUUCACCGUGCUCAACUUAUAUUUAUCUUCUUCUUUUAAUUGUUUUGAUGUAUUCCGAGAUCAAUAUAUUUAUGAUUAUUUUUGUCAUCCAGAUUAUGAACUAAAUUUACUUGUAGUUGAGUGACAAAUAAUCCAAUGGGUUCUUGACUGUUCUUAUAUGUUGUUAUGUUAAUGCUGUAGCAUUUUACUCUAGUAGUUUUUAUGAGUAUAACUGUUAUUUAGGUUGACCACCCAUUUAAUAGUUUCAGUUAAGAUAGAGCAGCAAAAGGGCAUGUCUUAGCGGACAUUAUUAGAGUAUUACUUGUUCUUAAGUCGAGUUUCCUGGAUUAGGUUAUCUUGAAUCCCAUAAGGGCAGUACUUGAAGUUAAGAUUUGUGACACUCUAGACAUAGGUGUUCACCUUGUAGGGUAGAGAGAUUAAAGGAUAUAAUGACGUACCAUAAAUAUAUGAGCAACUGGUCAUUGUUAGUAGAUUUAAAGGUAUGAGAUUUCUAACAUGCGAUAGCUGAGGAUGCAGAUUUAUUCUGCCCAGUGCUGCAGCACUUAUUGUAACAACUGGUGCUAAUUUGGUAAACAACAAUCACCCCAUUAGGAGAGUUUGAUCAUUCAACUACUAUAUUCUCAAUUGAAUCUUAGACACAGUUAACUUAGUUUAUUUCAUUACAGUAUUGUUUUAUUUCUAUCUCUCGCAAUUAUUAACUACGAUAGAAUUAUUUGACAAUUGUUUGUUUCGGUUUUAGUUAAUUUGCACUAUUGUGAUUGCUUUAGCAUUUUGAGUAACAUCAAUCCCUGUGAAGACGAUCUUGAAUAUUCAUCACUUUAUUACUUAUUGUGUAUACUUGCACAUUGGCAUUGGUAGUAAUUGAUUAUAAAAAUAAAUCAACAGGGAGAUAAGGAGAUGCUUCCAGUAAGUUGAUUGUAAGAAACAUCUAAUAUUCGGAGGGAUGUCAUAUUUGCCAAGCACCAAGGCAAGCUACCUCUUAAAUCAUUGCUUGCAAUGUACAACUCUUGUAGAUGCACCAACGAACAGAGGCCUGAAAAUUUAUUAAUUCAACCAUUGGUACAAUAAAACAAUUAACAAAUGCAUAACAUUCUUUUAUAAGUGAUUGGUUUGUGUAAUUAUAUUUUUAAUUGAAAAUUAAAAUUAUAGAUCAAGAGGGGAGGGUGGGAGCAUCUGAUUAACCUUGAUCAAGAAUCAUGCUGCUGUUAAUGCCAAUAGUAGAACCUGACAGUGAUAAGUACUUGAGAGAAGACAUCGAUUCACCGAUGCUUUGAAGAAAGCUGGUGUUGAGUGCACUGCGCAUGAAUUCCAUGUCCAAAUGUUCCAAACUCUUGAAAUGAGGAAAGCCUAGCAAAAACAAUAAAAUAAAUAAAUAAAAAUGUUGAACACUUAAGACGACAUUGAGUUCACAAUCAACACUUUUCUUUUACCUUGACCACGUACGACACCAUUGACUUCACAACCAAUCACCGACAGAUUUUUUAACGAAGGGAAUAUUGAUGCAAUGCUUUACAGAAGGCUUAUAUGGAGAGGGGAAUCGUUCAAUUUCAAAUAUUCCAAGUUGGUGAAAUUGUGCAACUCUGUUUCGAAGCAAUAAUUUUAGCUUUAUUAACAAUACGGAAAAAUAAUUAAUUAUUUAACAGUUUAUUUAUAAAUUUGGCCACAUAUGUACCGUUUAUUAAUAAUAUGGAUAAUUAAUUAAUUAAUUAGCUGCUUAUUUAUAAAUUUGGCCACAUUUGUACCUUUUACUUACCUUGAGUAGUAAUUGUCACUGUUUCCGUAAAAUUAUUAGACGAAAGGUAAAGAUUGUUGAGGGAUGGGAAUGAUCCCAUUGACUGUAACAACUUGCUUCCAUCUCUAACUCCAACUCUCGAUAGAUCAAGGCUUUUCAACUUCCUCAAACCGCUGUAACCUAUUUAAUAACAAUAAUUAGGAUAGGAUUUAAGAAAAUCAAAAUUCAUUGUCUAAAUUUAGAGCUAAACGAAAUAACUGAUUAAUUUAAUUAGGAGUCAAUUUGUAUUUUAUGCUUUGGGCAAAGAUCAGUAUCAUUUUUCAAUCGCUGCAAAGAUUAAAAAAUUAAAAUGAAAUCUUUAUUACAUUUUGUUUUUGAAAUAAUAAUAUUACGUCCUAUUUUUGAAAUAAUAUAAAUUCUAUGUUUCUUUAUUUUUAUUUUUAUUUUUUUGUACCUUUUGGGCCUUCCCUAAUCAAAUGAAUAAAAUUUAUGUAAUUGAAUAAUAUUUUAAAUGUUUACCUUGAGGAACCACAAGAUUGUUGAUUUCAUUGAAGCUCAUGUCCAACAAUUCUAAGUUGUUGAAGGAAUUGAAUUCUGCAAACAUAAACAGACUUAAGACUUAAAACAGAGUAAAUUAAUUAAUAAAUUUAAAGAAAUUAAAACGUCAUUAGAAUUUCGUCUAAACCAAACCAAAUAGUAUUUAAUUAAUUGAUUGAAAAAGUAUGCUUACUUUGUAUGUAAUUCCUUCAGGCUAAUCAAAUUAAAUAUUAAAUUAUGUCGAUAAUACAGAAGUCUAGCUGGCAUAUAUAAAAUGAGAAAGCAGGGCUUAGACUUACCUCGAACAUUGAAUGUUCCUUUGAAUCUCGUACCACUUAAACUAAGAGACUUCAAUUUACUCAAACCUGUAAAAUAAUAAACCAAAUGGCAAAGAAUCCAGCUAAUUUGUAUAAGUUAGCAUUUUUUAUGGUAUUUGUAGUACCUUUUGAGACCACAAAUUUGUCAAUCUUGUUCCCGCCAAUGUCUAGCUCCUCUAAAUCUCUCAAAGAAUCUAAUUCUGUAAUAAGUACAAAUUGAGUUGAAUGUUUCAAACCUCACCAAAUAAUAAUAAUAAUAAUAAUAAUAAGUUGUGGAGGUGUUUGGUUCACUAUUGGAGUUUUUUUUUAAUCUUAAAUUCAAGACAUAUGAAAGUACAAGAUGAAAUUACGAGAAACAUAAAAACUUGUAUUUAUAAAUUGCUUAAAACUGUUUUUUUUAAUAUUAAUCAUAAAAAAAUUGAAUUCAAAGCCUUGAAUCUUAUUUUAGCAAGUUAAUGAAAGAACUUGAAGUUUUAAUUAUGUACCUUUAACGUCAAUACUUCCUUCCAAUCUAUUCCAAAAUAAAUUUAAUGAUCUUAAUGGUGAAAGAUGAGUUAGAGAUGAUAAAAUGCUAUUAUUGAAUGAGUUUCCACUUAAAUUAAGCAUCUUCAAGUUGUUCAAUCUUGAUAGCCUCUCUAUACCUGCAAGUAAAAUAAAAAAAAGAUCAUAGAUACUGGUGUAAUUUCAAAAUUAAUCAUUUAAAAAAAAAGUCAAAAUUGUCGACUAAAUGAAUAUGCAUAUAAUUGCUCGGUCUUGAUAUUCAACUUAAAUUAGGGGGGAGAAAGUAAAUUAAUUAAAUUAAACGAAGCACCUUCAUUCUCAACACAACUGGCUAUUUUGUUGUCAGUUAAAUCAAGUGACUCAAGUUGUUGGAAGGGAGUAAACAAAGAAGCAUUCAGAUACCAGUACUCUCCCCCAUACGUGUCAGAAAGGUCUAGCGCUAUCACUCGGCUCAUGGUGUUGCUGCACUCAACCCUUUCCCACUGACAACAAUCAGUAGCUCCCUCACCAUCUCCCCAGUCGUAAAGAAAAUUAUAAGGAUCAUUGAGGAAAUGUUUGAGUCGCAAAAGAGCAAAUCUCUCAUGAUCCAAACAUCCCUCACUUCACCCACCUUCAAAUAUUAUUAAUAACAAAACAAACAUUAUCACCAUUUUUUUAUUUUGAACCACCCAUUCUAACUAUAUCUUUAAGUUUUAAAAAACACACACACUCUUUCUAUCUUUGUAACCAACCAGAGGACUAUACGCCAUUUGCUUAUAACGCAUGUAACUAUUUAUACACCCAACUAGCUUAUAGUUGACUUUUUUAGUUGUUUCUCCAAGUCCUUCAUGCAUUAAUUUUCUUCCCUUUUUUUUUCAUCUUUGUCAUUUUGCUAUAAUUUGCAACAGCAACGCGUUUUGAGCUAGCAAUAAAUAAUAAUUGAGAGAGAUUGAGAUGACAAAUGGAUAGAAACUAAAAGUAUGGGUGUUUAAUACGAGAACGAUUAUACCCGUUUAUUAUAUUUCAACCUAAAAAUUUACUCUAAGCAUUUAUAAUAAAUAAAAAUAUGAUAAUAAAAAUAAUAAAAAAAUAUGAAUAAUAUAUAUUUGUAAAAAAAAAAGAUUUAUGUGUCCAUUUUGAAAAUUAGCGAGUAUAUGUAAAUAUAAUUAUCAAAACAAACCAUAGAAGUGUUGUUAUUUUUUCCUUUCAAAAAAUCCACCAUUAUAAAAAAAGCCCAAAGACUUUGACAUCUUUUAGGAGUCUUUGGGCCUUGUUUUUUUCCCUCUUUUUCUUUCAUUUGCAUUUUGAUCCACAAGGCCAAAAAUUAAAUUCCACACCUUUGGCAUUUUGUGGAGAUUACAUUUCCAUGUUUUUACUUAGAAAGUAGGUGGAGACGUGGAGUCAAUGCGGCCAAGUGCUCAAUUAUUGUUAGUUAGCAAAAUAGAAUUUUUGGCGAGAUGAAUUUGUUGUAAAAAAGUUUUUGGAAAAAAUAAUAAUCAUCGGAACUUGUCUUGUGUCUUUAUAACAAUUUACUACUGCGAAAUCUUUACAACUUCACAUCUUUGAUUCAAUUAUCGCCACAAAGGCACAAGUACGUCCAUUUGUAAACCAAUCGAUAGAGAUCAAAUUUCAAGCCAUGAACUUGUAUUGUCAGCAAACACCUAAUCACUUUAGAUAUUUGUAUCGUUUAAUUAAUUAAUGAUCACUCUGAAAUUACAGAGGUUGGCCGAAUAUUCCCCUAAAAUUAAUUAAUUUUACCGAAAGGGAAUUAUUAGACAGAUCAAGUGUGUCUAGUUUUUUUGUUGUUUUGUAACAAUCAAUUUGGAAACUCUUCACUCAAGUUAGCAUCUUAGAGAUCAAGAUAAACAAACUCCUAGUGAUGCUAAUGGAAGAGGAAUUUAUAAGAGGAGAAGAGAGAGUAAUUAUGCUUGAUCAAGAAAGGUACCAUUAAAUCUAGAAUAUGACAAUUAAUGGUAGAAAAAUUAACAAGCAUGUAAUCCACGAUCAAAGAUUUUAAAUCCUUGAAAUUUAGAUAACCUAAAAAUUAACAUUGAACAAGAAAUAAAUCAACACUGCCACUUUGAUCACAUAAUCGAUGAAACUUAGGAUAUAUAAUCAACACCUGUUUAUUUUACUAUUGAAUUACUAUUUUUUCUGUAUUAUUUGAAUAAGGGAAUUGAUUUGGAGAAACUCUCACUAUAAUUGAUGAAAAUCAAGAUAUAAUCAAUACAUAUUCAUUUUAUUUUUAAAUUAAUACUUUUCCAUUAUUAUUUGAAGAAGGGAAUUGGUCUCAAAAAAUCUUAUUGUAAUAUAUGUAACUUAAACUUUUUUUUUCUGAAAUAAAAAUUAACUUUUAAGAAGGCUUCAAAUAUGGAGAGGGGACCAGUCCAUUAAUGUCAAUUCUUCCAAGUUAGUGACAUUGUGCAGCUUUAUUUGAUUAGAAGGUGCAACAUCUUUAGCUUUAACAUAUCUUAUUCUUUAAGACUAUUAAAACUUUUAAAUUAUGUCCACAUGCCCACCCUAUAAGAUCCACAAAAGUAGCAGAUAAAAUGGAAGAAGUACGCUAAGGGGCUGUUUGAUUUUAGUUGUGGCUUACACAGCACGAAAUUACACCAAAAAUGCCCCGACCAGAUUUAAUAAAACAAAUGUACUCUUACUCAGUUUAUUAUUUAUUUUUACAUAGAUAUAUUUUCUUUUUUUUCUUUUUUUUUCUUUUUCAACUUAGAAAAGAGAAUUAGGGGACAGAUCAAGUGUGUCUGAUUUUGCGUUGCUUUCUAGCAAUCAACUUGGAAACUUUCCACUCAAGUUAACAUGUGAGAGCUGAUGGAAGAGGAAUUUGAAAAAUCGUGACUCUAAUUUUGCAUAUAUUUGAUUAUUUCAACACUUGAUUGGUUUUGAAUGGUCCAAGAAUGGGCAAGUGACAAUGAGACUUGGAAGUGAUAGUUUGAAAAAGUGAGAUCUUCAAUUGAUAUUAGAUAAAUGAGAGUAGACUAGGAUAUAUUUCCAGUAAGCUUAUGGAGAGAGACAUAUCAAACUUGAAGUAAGAAGUCAUAUUUUCCAAGCACCAAAGACAAUUUAUUGUACCCGGAAUAUAAUUAUGGUCAAUAAAACAAAAAACUCUUGCAGAUUCAUCAACUGAUUGGGUUGAAAACAUAAUUCAUCCUUUAGCUAAUAACAAUUAAUGAACGCAUAAAAUCUUAUAUCUUUUAACAUAAAUGUUAAAUAUUAAUUUUAUUAAUAGUCGCAACCUUAUGCAGGCAUAAUUUGGUCAUGAAAACAAUAAAUCUAUCCGUUCUUAAAGGCUAUUAACUAUAACAAAAAAUCAAUUAAUAUAAUUUUUAUAAGAGGAGAAGAGAGACUAAGUAUCCUUCAUCAAGAAAUGUACCAUUAAGUCUAGAAUAUGAUAGUCAAUGGCGGAAAAAUUAACAUGCGCAUAAUUUAUGAUCAAAUAUUAUAAAUCCUUGAAAUUUAACAAGUCAUUUCAUUAAAAUAUGGAUCACCUUCCACACAUUUUAGAAAUCUUAUCAUUUUUUUUCUUUUUUCAUUAAAUUAUGUUUUGGUCCACACAACCGAAAAUUAAAUUCCACGCAUUUUGCAUUUAGUGGAAUUCUAUGUAUUUUUUAAUUUUACAAAACUUUAGUCGGUGGAGUCAAUGGGGCUAGAAAUUCAUUGAAGGGUCCCGAGAAUCAAAGGUGCUUACUCAAUUAUUAUUUGUAAAGUUGUAGACUUGUAGGGCAGCUACCGGAGUCCACACGUUGUAAUGUUUUGUUCACUAUCAAUCUCAUUGUUGGUCGUUUCCAACACGCUCAAGAAUCCAAUUCUGCAUAAACACAUAAAAUUAAAGACUUAAAACAGAGUUUAAGUAAUUAAUAAUUUAACUGGAAACAAAUUAAAAAGGAGAAUUUAAUUAUUGAAUUCCACAUUGUGCUAUUGAAAAUUAAAAAAAAAAAUUGUUGUCACCUCAGUCAAUUAGAUAAUCACUACAAAUAGUUCUUUAUGUAGAUGAUAUUCUUCUAAUUGGAAAUGAUAUAGGAAUAUUGACUACAAUAAAGAGUUGGUUAGCAAAACAAUUUGAUAUGAAAGAAAGACAUGAGAGAAGCAAGUUAUAUUCUUGGUAUCAAAUUACUACGAGACCGGAAGAAUAAAACUUUAGCCUUGGCUCAAGUGGUCUAUAUCGACAAGAUAUUGGUUAGAUUUAGCAUAGAAAAUUCCAAGACUGGUUUAUUACCAUUUAGACAUGGAAUUGUAUUCUCUAAGGACCAAUCACCUAAAACAUCUAAAGAGAUGGAGAAAAUGAGACGAGUUCCCUAUGCAGAAGUUGUGGGAAGUCCCAUGUAUGUCAUGCUUUGCACUAGGCUAGACAUCUGUUUUGUGGUAGGAAUGGUUAGCAGAUAUCAAAUCCUGGACCUGAACACUAGACUGUAAUCAAGCAUAUAAUGAAGUAUCUUAAAAAAACUAAAACUUAUAUGCUUGUGUAUUCUAGUGAUGAACUCAUUCCAGUGGAUUCUAGAAAAUCAACUUUCGGCUAUAUGUUUACAUUAGGAAGUGGAGCUAUUAAUUGGAGGAGUGUGAAACAAUUUGUAUCACAGACUCCACAACUGAAGCUGAAUAUGUGGAUGCAUCUGAAGCUGCAAAAGAAGUUGUAUGGCUUUGCAAGUUCCUACAAAAUCUUAAGGUGGUACCUGUUGUAACUGCACCCCUUAAACUAUUUUGUGAUUAUGGUGGUGCAGUAGCUCAAUCUAAGGAACCACAAGAAACAAAAACAUAUUGAGAGGAAACAUCAUCUUAUAAGGGAAUAGUAUAGAAAGACUAUAUGACAGUACCCCAAAUGACAUUAGAUGCUUUAUGGUAGAUUUUAUUACAAUGGCCAUUAGUGGGAAACCUUUAUAACCUGCACUUAGAGCCCCUAGAGCAUGUGCAAUAUGCCAGAUAUGCUUUAAAGAGCUAGUGGGAGAUUGUUGGGAUUAUGUGCUCUUUUAAAAGUAUUAUUAAUUUAUUUUCUGAUUAAUAAAAUAUUUGAGAUAUUUCAAUUGCAUAAAUAUAUUGAAUAAGGUCCGUUUAAUCAUAUUAUAUUUUCUCUUGCUAGUUGCUUUUAGUAGUGAUAAAAGCACCCACACGUCAAGUGCAGAUCAAACUUGAGUCAUAACCCAGAAGAUUAUUUGGUGACAGAUCGUGAUCUAACAAGCGUGGUGGUGACAGAUCGUGAUCUAACAGGCGUGAUGGUGACGGAUCAUGAUCUGGGAAGCCUGGAUUAAUUUCAAUUGUUCAUCUUCUCAGUUGCACUCAAUGUGUAUUAGAAUCCACGAAGGUCCGAUCCNNNNNNNNNNNNNNNNNNNNNNNNNNNNNNNNNNNNNNNNNNNNNNNNNNNNNNNNNNNNNNNNNNNNNNNNNNNNNNNNNNNNNNNNNNNNNNNNNNNNAACGUAGAACCCUGUAGUUGGUUGCAGAGAUAGAAAGAGUGAGUGUGUUUUCCAUAGUUAAAGAUAUAGUUAGAAUGGAUAGUUCAAAAUCAAAAAUGGUGAUAAUGUUUGUUCUGUUAUUAAUUAAAUUUGAAGGUGGGUGGAGUGAGGGAUGUUUGGAUCAUGAGAUAUUUGCUCUUUUUCGACUCAAAUAUUUCUUCAAUGAUCUUCAUGAUUGGGUAGAUGAUGAGGGAGCUACUGAUUGUUGUCAAUGGGUAAGGGUUGAAUGCAACAACACCACAGAUCGAGUGAUAGCACUAGACCUUUCUGAUACUAGGAAUUGGGAUUUGGGAGAGUGGUAUCUGAAUGCUUCUUUGUUUACUCCCUUUCAACAACUUGAGUCACUUGAUUUAAGUUGGAACAAAAUAGCCGGUUGUGUUGAGAAUGAAGGUGAAUUUACUUCUCCCUCCUAAUUUAAGUGGAAUAUCAAGACUGAGCAACUAUAUGCAUAUCGAUUCAGUUGACAAUUCUGACAUUUUUUUUAAGUGAAUAAUUAAUUUUGAAAUCACACAAGUAUCUAUAAUCCUUUUUUAUUUUACUUGCAGGUCUAGAGAGGCUAUCAAAAUUGAACAAUUUGAAGAUGCUUGAUUUAAGUGAAAACUUGUUCGACAAUAGCAUCUUAUCAUUUGUAGGUCGUCUUUCAUCAUUACGAUCAUUAAAAUUAUCUUACAAUAGAUUGGAAGGAAGUAUUGAUGUUAAAGGUACAUAAUUAAAACUUUAUCUCUUCUCCAAGCUCUUUCAUUAACUUGCUAAAAUAAGAUUCAAGGUUUUGAAUUCAAUUUUUUAAUGAUUAAUAUUUUAAAAAAAUAGUUUUUAGCAAUUCAUAAAUACAAGUUCUAGUGUUUCUCAUAAUUUCAUCUUGUACUUUCAUAUGUAUUGUAUUUAAGAUGAAAAAAAAAUUCUAAUUGCGAACCGCACACCCCCACAACUUAUUUUUUUGUGAGGUUUGAAACAUUCAACUCAAUUUGUACUCUUUACAGAAUUAGAUUCUUUGAGAGAUUUAGAGGAGCUAGAUAUUGGCUGGAACAAGAUUGACAAAUUUGUGGUCUCAAAAGGUACUACAAAUACCAUAAAAAAUAUAAACUUUUACAAAUUAGCUGGAUUCUUUGCCAUUUGUUUUAUUAUUUCGUAGGUUUGAGGAAGUUGAAGUAUCUCGGUUUAAGUGGCAACAAACUCAAUCAUAGCAUCUUAUCUUCUCUGACUAUCUUUUCUUUGUUAAGAGAAUUAUAUCUACGUGAUACGGGAUUCAAAGGAACAUUUGAUGUUCGAGGUAAGCCUAAGCCUUGCUUUCUCAUUUUAUAUAUGUCAGCUAGACUUGUGUAUCAUCGACAUAAUUUAAUAUUUAAUUUGAUUAGUCUGAAGGAAUUACAUGCUAAUUUAAACAAACUUUUAUUUACCCUGUCAAUCAUUAAUUAAACACUAUUUGGUUUGGUUUAAACCUACUUUUUUAUUUUAUAUGCUAGCUAGACUUAGAUACUAACUAUUUUGAUGAGUCUGAAGGAAUUAGAUACUAACUAAACAUACUUUUAUGUACUCCCUCAAUUAAUUAAUUAAUUAUUUCACUUGGUUUGGACGAAAUUCUCAUGAUGCUUUAAUUUCUUUAAAGUUAUUAAUUAAUUAAUUCUGUUUUUAAGUCUUAAGUCUGGGUAUGUUUGUAGAAUUCAAUUCCUUCAAUAACUUAGAAGCGUUGGACAUGAGCAACAACGAAAUCGACAAUCUUGUGGUUCCUCAAGGUAAACAAUUAAAAUAUUAUUCAAUUACAUAAAUUUAAUUCAUUUGAUCAGGGAAGACGCAAAAGGUACAAAAAUAAUAAUAAUAAAAUAAAGAAACAGAGAAUUUAUAUUAUUUCAAAAACAGGACGUACUAGUUAUUUCAAAAACAGAAUGUAAUAAAGAUUUGAUUCCAGUACUUUAAUCUUUACAGUGAUUGAAAAACGAUACUAAUCCUUUCCCAAAGUAUAAAAUACGAAUUGACUCCCAAUUAAAUUAAUCAUUUAUUUAGUUCAUCUCUAAAUUUAAACAAUGAAUUUUGAUCUUCAAUCCUAUUCUAAUUACAAUUAAAAAACAGGUUAUAGAGGUUUAAGGAAUUUGAAAAGCCUUGAUCUAUCAGAAGUCGGAAUUAGAGAUGGAAGUAAUUUGUUACGGUCAAUGGGAUCAUUCCCAUCCCUCAACACUCUUUACUUGACUUCUAAUAAUUUUAUCGAUACAACGUCAGGUACAGAUGUGUCCAAAUUUAUAAAUAGGCUGUUAAUUAAUUAAUUAAUUUUCUGUAUUGUUGAAAAAGCUAAAUUUGUUGCUUCGAAACAGAGUUGCACAAUUUCACCAACUUGGAAUAUUUGGCAUUGGACUCUUCCUCUCUCCAUAUAAGCCUUUUACAAAGCAUUGCAUCAUUCACUUCGUUAAAAAUAUUGACGAUGACUAAUUGCGAAGUCAAUGGCGUCCUAAGUGGUCAAGGUAAAAGAAAAGUGUUGAUUAUAAAUAAACUAUUAAUUAAUUAAUUAAUUUUCCGUAUUAUUGAUAAAGCUAAAUUUGUUGAUCCUUCCUUUUAAUUCUAAACAGAGUUGCACAAUUUCGCCAACUUGGAAUAUCUGGCAUUGGACUUUUCCUCCCUCCAUACAAGCCUUCUGCAAAGCAUUGCAUCAUUCACUUCGUUAAAAAAAUUGUCGAUGACUAAUUGUGAAGUCAAUGGUGUUCUAAGUGGUCAAGGUAAAAGAAAAGUGUUGAUUAUGAAUAAGCUGUUAAUUAAUUAAUGUUGUUGCUCCUUGCUUCUAAAAUGAGUUGCGCAAUUUCACCAACUUGGAAUAUUUGAAUUGGACUCUUCCUCGCUCCAUAUAAGCCUUCUGCAUCUGCAAUUGCUUGAAGAAUUUAUUUAUUUAUUUAUUAUUGUUGUUGUUGUUGUUGAAAUGGGGUGGGCAAGCGUUCACUCAGUUAAUAUGUGGUGAAUUAAAUAUUACAAUCCAAGUUAGAAUUGUGGAAAAUUAAAGCAAAAUGAGAAAUAUGGACAGAAAGGAAGAAAGUUAAGGGCAUGAAAGACUAGGAGAAGACUGAAGACCACCAAAUAAGUCAAUUGAAAACUAGCUGGGGCUUGGGUGUACAAAUUGUUAGAAGUGUUUGUUAUAAAUCACAUAGAGCCCUCUUGUUGGUUGCAGAGCCAAAGAGACAAAGAGUGUGCAUUUUAUUAAUUAAAAAAAUAUAUAGAAUGGGUGGUUUAAAAUCCAAAUGGUGAUAAUGUUAGUUUUGUUAGUAUUAAUAAUAUUAGAAGGGGGUAGCGUGAGGGAUGUUUGGUGCAUGAGAGAUUUGCUCUUUCGAGACUUAAAAAAUUUCUUCAAUUCUCCUUAUAAUUUUUGUCACGACUGACCAUUGUCAAUGGGAUGGGGCUGGGUGCAGCAACACCACAGGGCGAGUGGUAUCUGAAUGUUUCUUAGUUUACUCUUUUUCAACAAAUUGAGUGGGUUAAUUUAAGUUGGAACAAUAUAGUUGGUAGUGUUGAGAAUGAAGGUGUUUCGUUUAAUUUAAUACUUUCUCCCUCCUAAUUUAAGUCGAAUAUCAGGAUUGAGCAACUAUAUGUAUCUUUAUUCAGUUGACAAUUUUGACAUAUUUUUUUAAAUGAUUAAUUUUGAAAUUACAUCAAACUGAUGUGAUCUCUGUUUUGAUUUUACUUGCAGCACUAGAGACGCUCUCAAGAUUAACCAACUUGAAGAUGCUUGAUUUAAGAGGAAACUUGUUCAAUAAUAGCAUUUUAUCAUCUCUAGCUCAUCUUUCAUCAUUAACAUCAUUAGAUUUAUCUGAGAAUAAAUUGGAAGGAAGUAUUAAUGUUAAAGGUACGUAAUUAAAAUGUCAUCGCUUCUCCCAACUCUUUCAUUAACAUGCUAAAAUAAGAUUCAAGGCUUUGAAUUCAAUUUUUUUUAAUGAGUAAUAUUAGAAAAAUAGUUUUAAGCAAUUCAUAAAUACAAGUUUCAAUGUUUCUCAUAAUUUCAUCUUGUACUUUUGUAUGUCUUGACUUUAAGAUUAAAAAAAAAAAUUAUUCUAACUGUGAAGCAAAUACCCCACGACUAAUUUAUUAUUUUGUCUAGUUAAAAAUGAUAAAAUUUAUUAUUUGCUUAUAUUGAUUAAUUAACUCUAUUUUUAAGUCUUAAGUCUUGGCGUCUUGGCAUGUUUGCAGAAUUUGAUUCCUUGAGCAACUUAGAGGAGUUGGACAUGAGCGGCAAUGAAAUAGACAAUUUUCAGGUUCCUCAAGGUAAACUAUUAAAAUAUUAUUCAAUUACAUUAAUUUAAUUCGUUUGAUUAGGGAAGGCCAAAAGGUACAAAAACAUAAUAAAAAACUAAAGAAACAAAGAAUUUAUAUUAUUUCAAAAAAUAAAAUGUAAUACUAUUAUUUCAAAAAUAGAAUGUAAUAAAGAUUUGAUUCCGGUUCUUUAAUCUUUACAGCAAUUGAAAAACAAUGUUGCUCUUUUUCUAAAGCAUAAAAUAUGAAAUGAGUCAUAAUUGAAUUAGUCAUUUAUUUUGUUUAGCUCUAAAUUUAGAUAAUAAAUUUUGAUUUUUUUCAAUCCCAUCCUUAUUAUUAUUAUUAUUAUUAUUAUUAUUAUUAUUAUUAUUAUUAUUAAACAGGUUACGGAGGUUUGAGGAAGCUGAAAAGCCUGCAUCUAUCGAGAGUUGGAAUUAGAGAUGGAAGCAAGUUGUUACGGUCAAUGGGAUCAUUCCCAUCCCUCAACACUCUUUACCUUUGGGGUAAUAAUUUUACGGAAACAAUGACAACUACAACUCAAGGUAAGUAAAAGGUAUAGGUUUGGCCAAAUUUAUAAAUAAAUUGUUAAUUAAUUAAUUUUCCACAUUAUUAAUGAAGCUAAAUUCCUUGCUCCUUCUUUGUAAUUCUAAACAGAGUUGCACAAUUUCACCAACUUGGAAUAUUUGACAUUGGACCAUUCCUCUCUCCAUAUAAGCCUUCUGCAAAGCAUUGCAUCAAUAUCCCCUUCAUUAAAAAAUUUGUCGAUGUGUGGUUGUGAAAUCAAUGGUGUCGUACGUGGUCAAGGUGAAAGAAAAGGGUUGAAUAUGAACUCACUCAAUGGUGUCCUAUGUGUUCAACUUAUUUAUUUUUUUAUUAAUUUUAUUUUUUAAUGUUUCUACUAGGUUUUCCUCAUUUCAAGAGUUUGGAACAUUUGGAGAUGGAUGACGCGCGCAUUGCACUCAACACCAGCUUUCUUCAAAUCAUCGGUGAAUUGAUGCCCUCUCUUAAGUACUUAUCACUAUCAUAUUCUACUCCUGGCACUAACAGCAUCGAGAUUCUUGAUCAAGGUUAAUGAGAUGCUCCACUCUCCCCGCUUAAUCUAUAAUAUUAAUUUUUGAUUAAAUGUUUAAUUACACAAACGAAUCACUUAUUUUAAAAGAAUAAUACGUAUUCAUUAAUUUUUAUAUUGUAUUAAUUGAUGAAUUUAAUAAAUUUUCAGGCCUCUGUUCGUUGAUGCAUAUGCAAGAGUUACACAUUGCUCAUAACGAUUUAAGAGGUAGCUUGCCUUGGUGCUUGGCAAAUAUGACAUCCCUCAGGAUAUUAGAUGUUUCUUCCAAUCAACUUACUGGAAGCAUCUCUUCAUCUCCCCUCAUUCAUUUGACAUCCAUUGAAGAGCUGAGGCUUUCAGACAAUCAUUUUCGGAUUCCAAUUUCACUUGAACCACUUUUUAAUCACUCAAGACUCCAGAUUUUCGAUGCUUACAACAACGAAAUAAAUGCAGAAAUAACUCAAUCACCUUCUUUGACCCCAAACUUCCAAUUAUCACAUCUCUCAUUGUCUUUCGGUUAUGGAGAUGGUGUCACAUUCCCCAAAUUCCUUUACCAUCAACAUGACCUUGUGAAUGUUGAUCUCUCACACAUAAAGAUGAAUGGAGGAUUUCCAAAUUGGUUGUUGGAAAACAACACAAGAUUAGAAACUCUUUCUUUGGUCAAUGAUUCUCUUGCAGGACCUUUCCGAUUGCCAAUUCAUUCACACAAGCAGUUAAGACUGUUGGAUGUCUCCAACAACAACUUCCAAGGCCACAUUCCAGUAGAAAUUGGAGAUAUUUUACCAAGUUUAAUAUCCUUUAACAUUUCAAUGAAUGCUUUAAACGGUAGCAUUCCCUCUUCAUUUGGUAAUAUAAACUCCCUUCAAAUUCUGGACUUAUCCAACAAUCAAUUGAUUGGUGAAAUACCCGAGCACUUGGCUGUGGGUUGCGUCAACUUGGAGUAUCUUACAUUAUCAAACAACAACCUAGAAGGUCAUAUGUUCACUAGAAAUUUUAACCUGACAAACUUGAGAUGGUUACAAUUGGAAAGCAAUCACUUCGUAGGAGAGAUCCCACAAAGCUUGUCUAAAUGCUCUUCACUAGAAGGAUUGUAUCUUAAUAAUAACAGUCUCUCGGGUAAGAUUCCACGAUGGUUAGGUAAUCUCAAAGGGUUAAAACAUAUUAUAAUGCCCGAGAAUCAUCUUGAAGGUCCUAUUCCAAUGGAGUUUUGUCAACUUUAUUCGCUUCAGCUUUUGGACAUUUCAGACAACAACAUAUCUGGAAGUUUACCAUCUUGUUUCCAUCUUCUCUCUAUCGAACAAGUUCAUCUUUCAAAAAAUAUGUUACGUGGACAGCUAAAAAGAGGUACAUUCUUUAAUUGCUCUUCCCUUGUGACAUUAGAUCUUAGCUAUAAUCGUUUGAAUGGCAGCAUUCCGAAUUGGGUUGAUGGGCUUUCUCAACUAAGGCACCUUAUCUUAGGUCACAAUAAUCUUGAAGGUGAAGUGCCAGUUCAAUUGUGCGGAUUAAACCAACUGCAAUUGUUAGAUCUUUCUAAUAAUAAUCUUCAUGGCCAUAUUCCUCCUUGCUUUGAUAACACCACACUUCAUGAAAGUUAUAGCAAUAGUUCUAGUCUUAAGCCAUUUGAAAUAUCUCUUGUCAUGGAAAGCGGGAUGAUCUAUGCAGAAAAGCAAAUCCAUGAAAUUUUUGAGUUCACAACAAAGAACAUUGCGCACAUUUACCAAGGAAAAGUGCUUAGCCUCCUAUCAGGACUUGAUCUUUCUUGCAACAAGCUAAUCGGUCAUAUUCCUCCUCAAAUUGGAAAUUUGACAAGGAUUCAAACAUUGAAUCUAUCACACAACAACUUGAUAGGAUCGAUCCCAUCAACAUUUUCAAACUUGAAGCAAAUCGAAAGUUUGGAUCUUUCUUACAACAAAUUGAAUGGGAAAAUCCCUCAUCAACUUAUGGAGUUAAACGCAUUGGCUGUUUUCAGUGUGGCAUACAAUAACUUAUCAGGCGAAAUUCCAGAAUGUAAAGCACAAUUUGCAACCUUCAACGAGAGGAGCUAUGAGGGAAAUACUUUUCUUUGUGGACUGCCAUUGCCCAUUUGCAGAUCACCAGCAACUAUGCCAGAGGCUUCAAUUGGCAAUGAACGAGAUGAUAAUUUAAUUGACAUUGACAGUUUCUUUAUCACAUUUACAACAUCAUACAUAAUUGUGAUAUUUGGAAUUGUUAUUGUUUUAUAUGUAAAUUCUUAUUGGCGACAUAGAUGGUUUUACUUUGUUGAAAUGUGGAUAACUUCAUGUUACUAUUUUGUUGUAGACAAUCUUAUUCCAACAAGAUUUUGUCAUUGAAAUUAAUUAGUAGUUUAAUUACGAUUCUUUAAGUACUAAUCAGGUUUUCUUGGGAAAUAAAUUUUUUUAUUUUUUAUUAAAAUUGUAGUAGUAUUUAGCAUUAUAUAGCUUCCAACUUCCAAGCACUUCACAUUUGUCUCUACACUUAAAAAGCGAGUGAUCAUGUUUUGUAGAUCUGGAUUUGGAGCAGGAUGGAUCCAAACCCAUAUCUAUCCAUCAUAGCUUAUAGCUUCCCUAUACUGUGCAGCAUACUUAAAUAAGAGAACCAUCUCCAAUGUUAAAAGUAGCCACUCUAUAACAAUCAUUUAGAAACUAUAUUCAGAAUAGUUUUAUAAUCAUACACAAGAAAUGAAACACCUAGAUGCACUUGAUCGCCUAUUUUACUUUGAAAAAGAACAGUUAUGGUGCUUUCAUCAUCUUCUUCACUAGCAACAUUAACACUAAAUCCACCGAUGGACCCAGACAUUUCAUCAAGAAAGGUAUAUAUCUAAUAAAGUUAAAGCUUGACAAAAAAUUCAGGAAGAUUAAUGCCUCGCCACAACAAGGGCCACAACAACAUCAAAGUAGAGAUGAAGCAGUAUUCUCAAAGCUAAAACUCUCAAAUCCACCUAGGGGUGUUUAGAAUCCAAUUUGAUCCGCUCAAUCCGUCUAAUCCAUAGAAAUCCAAUUUGUAAAAAUCUGAUCCGUGGAUUGGUGGAUUAGAUUAGAUUGAAAAUUUGAUAAUCCGCAAUCGGUGGAUUAGAUACGGAUCUACUUCUGUAAAUCUAUAAAAAUCUGUGAAUCCGCAAAAAAAUAAAAAGUAUUUAUUUAAUUAAAAAAUAAAACUUGUAAAUAUGGUAUUAGUACUUACUAGUACAUAAAUAAGUUAAAAUAUAGUUAUAUUAACAGUAUGUUAUAUCUUAUCCGAUAAUAAUAAAAAAUAAAAAAAUAAUUAAAUAAACAAAUAUAGCUUUCUAAAUAGUUAAUUUCUAUGUACUGAUCUAAACGAAUGAGAUUUUUUUCGUUUUGAUGUGUUAUAUUUCGAAACUUUAAAUGAAUUUUUUAAGCUUUAUUUAAACAAUUAAUUUAUUUAAAUCUUAUUUAAUUUUAAAUUUGAAGUCCGUAAACCAAUCCGCAAAAUAUUAGAUUUGGUCAAAUCUGCAUCCGAUCCGUAGAUGUAUGGAUUGGAUUUGGAUUGAAUUUUACCAAUCCGUGGAUUGAAUUGAAUUGAAGAUUUAUAAUCCGCAAAAUCGUAGAUCGGAUAUGGAUUGAGGUCUAAUCCAUAAAAUCCGAUCCACGAACACCCUUAGUUGGAUUCUUGAGUGAGAACAAUUCCUAGGCCAAAUCCAAAUUGUCUACAAGAAAUCCAACGUCCUCAAGAGAUCAUAUAUAGUUUUCAAAUUGCGGGAAAGCUCUAAAACUUGUGAAUUGAGAAAUUGUACAUGCAUGUCAAGCUUUAACCAAUGAAUUUGCUUUAAUUUAUCAACAAUAAGAAUAUAAGAUGAGAUUUGACCUAGUUGUUACUCUUGUGAAUAAAAAAAUUGUGUGCCUGAACAUGAUUUAACUAAUGAAAUGAAUUUUCUUUAAUUUUUUUUAAUAAUAGGAUGAGACUUUCCUGAAACGAAAAGUACGGAUAUAUAAUUUGUUGGCUUUAGUUACCUUACAUAAUAAUGUAUGGUACAUAACCGUUUGAUGAAAAUCCAACAGUCGUGGAAAUAAUAAAAUUUUAUUAUCUUAUAUUUUCACAACUGUUGGAUUUUCAUCAAACGGUUGUGGAAAAUCAAAUGGUUGUGGAAGAGUCAUUUACCUUACAUUAUUAUGUAAGGUAACAAGCUCCUAAUUUAUUUAGUAUGAUUGAAAAUUAUGAAUGAAAAUAGUUUUGCCAAAAUUGACAAAAUCAAAAUCUUUAAAUUAGUGAAAAGUCUUCAAGUCCUAUGUGAUAUAAACACGUAUUUGGCCUACUUCUUAGAACUCUUAUGGCUAUAGUCAAGCUAGAUGAAAAAGAGAUUUACUAAUUCUGAGUUAGAGAUCAUGAUGGUAACAUCUACACCUUACUCAAUAAAAUUCUUUGCUUAUUUUUUUAUUACUUAUGGUUGAAUUAGAAAUUCAAUUAUUCUUUUAUAACGUGGUUUAAAAUAUUUAAUAAAAGGAAAUUCUUAAAUACUUUGGAGAUUUCAGAGCUUUUUUUUUAAUUUUUAAAAAAGAUAGAGAUGUGACAAAACUAAAAAAAAAAAAUUAAACUCAGAUGACCAACUAAAAGUUAUCUGAUCACUUUAUUUGAACGAAAACUUUAAUGCUGUUAUGAAAAUGUGUAGAUCAAGCAAUGAAAAAUUCCAAAAUAUUGGUAAUAACUUCAAAUUACAACGACGGAGGUAGGUUGACGGCGACCUUAUGUAGCGGAGGCAGCCAUAAAUUUUAAAUUUUGUUUGCGUUGAAGUCAAAAUUCAACUGUCGCCGACCCAUUUGGUUUGAACUCUAUGUCAAUCGGGUCUGCCCAAAACCAAACACAACCCAAACCAUAGCCAGCAUAGGUGCUAAGAAGAUUCUUUUACUUUGUCACUUGUCGCCUACAAUGAAAUUGACAUUAAACAAACAUUAAAACGUGUGGACUCCGAUAGCUGCCCCACAACUGUACAAUAAUAAUUGAGUAUGCACUUUUGAUUCUCGGGACCUUUCAAUGAGUUUCUGCCCCGCUGAUUCUAUCAACUAAAGUUUUGUAAAAUGAAAAAAAAAAAGUACAUAGAAUUCCACAAAAUGCAAAACGUGUGGAAUUUAAUUUUUGGCCGUGUGGACCAAAAUAUAAUUUAACGAAAAAGGGCAAAAAUGGUAAGAUAUUUAAAAUGUAUGGAAGAUGAUCCAUAUUUUACUGAAACGACUUAUCUCGAACAUUAAGAUGAUUGAUUUUUUCUUUUUGAAUAAUAUCAACUUCCAUAUCUUUCUACCGGAGAACAUGCUCACAUUAAAGUCUAUCUUACUAAUUUGAAAAAGAAAAUCAAAUCAACACCAAAGCAAUGAAAAGUAAAGCUUUUGAAUUUUAACUCCGGCUGGCAAACGUAUUCAGGAAUUCUUCCCAUUGCAUAUCUUAUUCCUCCAUCAAUGCAAUAUUAAGUAAUUUUUCUUUAUCAUAUUCUUUUCUUUGCAUUUCUUCUUCCUCUAUCAAUGCAAUAUUUGAACAAUUAAGAAAGAGUUUAAGAACAUAAAAGAUCUCCUAGAUUUAUACGGUAUAACAAAUUUAAAUUCUCAAUUAUAAUGGAUAAUAAUUAAACUAAUAAUUAUUUAUUUACUUAUUUUAAUAGUUUCACCUAAGAAUAAUAUUGUAAUUAGAAAAAAUCUAAAAAGCGGGGUGGUUUUAUACAAAAUCAAUUGCAUACACAUAUCCAGAAGCAUAUGCGGAUGCAAAUAAUAUUUUUUAUUCUUUUUUUAUAAGAAAAUUGUGUAUUGAGAUGAAUAAAAUGUUUAAUUUAAUUAAUUUCCUUACUUUCAUAUACAUUGUCUUUCUAUCUAAAGAAAGCUCAUGUUUGUUAGUAUUCAUUCUUAGAGAGGUGAAAAAAUUACAAAUCUUGAACAACAAGGAGUAGUUUAAUUGCCACUAACUUUACUUGGCCUUCUUUAGUUGGAGCUGUGUUUUCUGAUAAGCCAAAGAAUUAGUAGCUGUUAGAAAGCUGAAAUGAGAUUGUAAACUUUGUUUGGAAGCUAAGAAAAUGAAAAGAAAAUGUUCUGGAAAUUUCUUGAUUUUAUUCAAUUUUUCUCAUUACAUAACAAAUACAAUCACGAUAGUAUUUAUACUAAAUCAAGUCUCUAAAACAAAAAUAAUAGUUUGCUUAACAGCUGACGAACAGGACGUAAUGCAUGCUUAACGGAAUUGCUGAGCUGGCUUCUUUUCUUAACUAACUGCUGACGUGUCAUUGGCACACACGUGUUGAAUAUGCAGCUCCCUUUUGUACAAUGUGUGCUUCCUUAACAGCCCCCCUCAAACUCAAGGGGCAGGGAUGCACAUUGAGUUUGCUUCUAAAGUAGUUAAAGUGAAUGAAUGUGAGAGGCUUGGUCAAGAUGUCUGCAAUCUGCUCUUCACUGGGAAUGUAAUUGAUCUCCAGCUCUCUUGCCAACACUUUAUCUCUUAUGAAGUGCAUGUCUAGUUCAAUAUGUUUAGUUCUCGAGUGGUAGACAUGAUUUUUGGCUAGCUCAGUUGCACUUAUAUUAUAGCACUAUUUUGUAGGCACUGAAACACAUUCUAUCUUGAUCGUCUUGAAUAAUGACUGCAACCAUGUAAUUUCUGCACUUGCAAAAGCAAGAGCUCUGCACUCACUCUCUGCACUUGAUCUUGUGACUAUUGAUUGCUUCUUGGAUGACCAAGAUAUCAAAUUAUGCCCCAAGUAAAUGCAGUAUGCCCCUAUUGAUUUUUCUAUCAUCAACAUCAUAUGCCCAAUCUGCAUCUGCAUAUUCUAUUAGCUUUAUUUCUCCACCAGCUGUACACUUUAAUCCAUAGUCUUCUGUUUCUUUCAAAUAUCUAAGUAUCCUCUUACAAGCCAUGAUAUGUUGAAGUGUUAGUGUAGACACAUAUUGACUUAAUUUGUGCACUGCAAAAGCAAUUUCUAGCCUAGUCAGGACUAAAUACUGUAACUCUCCAAUCAAGCUUCUAUAACUAGUUGCAUCUUCAACAUACUGACCCAAAGAUCCCUUAACUUCUUUAUGAAGUUUUGUUCUUGUAACCAUUGGAGUAUCACACCCUUUGCAGUCAAGCAUAUCAACUUUUCUCAGCAAGUCUUUAAUAUAUUUUUUUUUGGGACAGAUAUAUAUCAUUCUCAGUAUAAGAGACUUCUAUACCAAGAAAAUAUGAAAGCUUUCCUAAAUCUUUUAAUGCAAACAUUUUGCUCAAACCUGAGAUAAAUUUUUCAAGUUCAUCACUAUUAGGUCAUGUUAUCAAUAUGUCAUCAACGUAAAUCAGGAUUAGUAUCAUUGAAUUCUGUUCUCCCUUGAAAAAUAGUGAAGUGUCGGCUCUGGAAUUUUGAAAACCCCAAUUUGUAACCAAACAACUCUUCAGUUUGUCAAACCAUACUCUAGGAGAUUGUUUCAACCCAUAUAAGGCCUUCUUCAACUUGCAUACAUAAUCAGGUCUUAUCUCAUCAACAAAUCCUUCAGGUUGGCACAUGUAAACAUCCUCUGUCAAGUCUCCAUUUAGGAAAGCAUUACUAACAUCUACUUGUCUGAUCAUCCACCUAUGCAUUACAGCCAAGCUCAAUAUAACUCUCACUGUAGAAGCCUUUAUAACAGGGCUAAAUCUUUCAAAAUAAUUGAUUCCUUUAGUUUGUUGGAACCCUUUUGCAACCAACCUAGCUUUAUAUUUGGCAAUACUGCCAUCACUAUUUUGUUUGACUCUAAACACCCAUUUGUUUCCAACAAUUUUGUAUUCAGCUGGAGGUGGUAUAAGAGACCAAGUCUCAUUUCUGAUCAAGGCUUCAUAUUCCUCUUUCACGGCCUUAUACCAGUGUUUAUCAUUAAGAGCUUCUCGAACUGUGUUAGGUUCUUUGUUGAUCAAGGUGGUUGUGUACAACUUAGGCUUGAAUAUUCCAGACUUCGAUCUAAUGGUCAUUUUGUGUGUGGGUUGUGAAGUCAGAAUUCUGUUUGGACUGAGUUCAGUUUGUUGUUGACUGGUUACAUGUGGUUCAAAUUGUGUUUGAGUUGGUUCAGGAAUAUGACGGAUAGUUUGUGAUGUUGAUGAUUUUGAUAUGAAUGACUAGAUGAUUCUUGUUGAUGCUGAUUAUUUGUAUGCUCAGGUAAUACAGGUGUUUGUUCAUUACUCGGUACUCUUGCUGAGUAAGUAUCUUCAAAGCUGCUGUUGAGUAAGGGUAAUGUUGAGAGAUGAUAGAUUUGUUGUUUAGAGAAAUUUGACACUGGAGUUUCUGAUUGGAUGACAUUUUCAGAAGAAGAAGUGGCAAAGAUUGUUGCAUAUGGAAAUACAGUCUCAUCAAAGACAUCAUGCCUAAGAAUAUGAACUUGACCUGAGCUUGUAAGACAUUUGCAUCCUUUAUGAGAUGAGCUAUAUCCAAUAAAGAUGCAUUUGCUAGUAUGAAAAUCAAACUCAUGUCUGUUAAAGUCUCUCAUGUAUGGAUAACAAAGACAACCAAAUCAUUUAAGGAAAUUGUAAUCAGGUUUAUGCUUGAAAAGUUUCUGAUGUGGGGAUAAGAGUCUCAAUACAGGUGUUGGCAACCUGUUUAUGUGAUAUACUGCUAUAUGAACAGUUUCCCACCAGAAUUUGAAAGGAAGAUCAGCUUGAGUUAAAAGAGUCAAGGCCAAUUCAAUUAUAUGCCUAUGUUUUCUUUCUACCAGUCCAUUCUGGUGAUGAGUGUAAGGGCAUGAGUGUUUGAAAAUGAUCCCAUUUUGGUUCAAAAAAUCAGUGAAUACUCAAUAUUCUCCCCCUAGUCAGAUUACAUCAUCUUAAUUGUUGUAUUGAACUGAUUCUAUAAUUCUGUCUUUAGAAAUGCAACUAAAUUUUUAAUCUCUUACUCUACAUAAAAUUGAAAUUCGAGUGGCUUAUCAAAUAAAAUUAAAACUAUUAAUUAACCAAAUAAAAUUAUUUAAAACCAUUGGGUAUGGUAGCAGGAGUUCUUGAAACUAUCGAUGCCAUGAAAUUUACUGGCGAAAAGGGUUUUAGAUGUCUAUUUUAUAAAUCUUUUAAUAAUUUUUUUAUUUACCAUUUUACUAUCCAUGGUAAAAGUGUCGCAUCGACAUUGAACAGUUCAACAUAUCAGUCAUUUCUCAUUCAGUCAUUAAGAAUUUACGUUUGGGGUAUUUUUGUAAUUAUGAGAAGGUAAACUAAUCGCAAAAUUCAUUUGGCUUGCACUUGCUCGCCUUUGCUGUGUGUUUGGUUAUGGCGUUAUCAUUAUCAUCUUCUCCACUCCUGCUGACACCAGACCUUAACCGUUCAGAUUCCCUUUCUCGACUGUCAUACCCUACGCCCCGUCUCCGUGUCUCCGAUAAACAGUGCUCAAUUAAGACCAUCAGAUUAUCCCGGACCCACAUUAAUCCAACGGCUCACAAUGACCGACAACCUCUCCAUCUCCAUUACAAGCUCCCUCUUCAGCUGGCUUCUUCUUCCGUCCUACUCUUUCUCGGAUUCGGAGCCCGUAUAUGCUCGGCUGGUCCCACGCAGCUCCCUCUCACUCCAGCUGUCAACCAACAAGACCAAUUGCUUGAUCAAGACACAGAACAAAAAGAGGAUGAGAAAUUGAAUCAAGAAUUUGAGAAUUGGAAAUGGAAGACGUACGCAUUGACCGUGCCUUUGAGAGUCGUUUCUCUUCAGAAUUCAGUGCCUCAAUCUUGGGUUAAGGAUUUUAUGCGAAGUCAAGGAAAGAGAUUGAAGUUUCAGAUGAAUUUGUGUGCUAGCAUUGAUGGGAUCGUUAACAAUUUAUCUACGCCCUUUAACAAAGUUAAGGCUAAGUCAGCUUCGUAUAUGGCUGCUGAUUUGGUUAGUGUUGGUGAUUCAUGGCUCAGUUUUGCGAUUAAAAAGAGAUUGAUCGAGCUAAUAGCUGAAGCUGAAGAUCAAGAUUGGUUCAAAUGCUUAAGUCACAAAUGGAAGGUAACAUCUUUAUCUUUUACCCGAUAAUUUUUAUUGUCUUACCUUGAAAUUUGGUAAUGUAAUUUGUUCUCUAUCUGUGUUACCCUUUAUAGUCAUUUUAUUUAUUUGUUUAUUGCUUUUAUUUGCACUAACGAAAUCUCAGGUAUAUCUACGCAGCAAUGAUGCAGGAGAAAUUGAUCCUCGAGGUCAAAUAUGGGCGGCACCAUACAGGUGGGGCACAAUGGCGAUAGGCUACAAGAAAAGUAAAUUUCAAAACCAUAAUUUGGCUCCGAUUGAGGUAAUAAUUGUACUUAAACUCAUUUAGUUUAAUAUCAAGCAAAAUCAAGACUGCCUUUCUCUUCAAUAUUUUCAAUGAUAAUAUCUUUAGAAGCAUCUCAUUGACGGGUAACAAUGGUAUCCCUGAAAGAGUCUAUAAACUCAAUGAUAUUAUCUUCUACAAUGGCUCAUUAAACUUUGUCGUUGCAGUCAAAUGUACACUCAGAGCAAUGAAAAGCUAUGCCACUGUAGCAUGUAGUGAUGGCACUUAAUAAGUGAAUUGCUAGGAUGUGAACUAGAAAAAUUAAAUAUUGUCUCCUUGGGUAUGCUAGCUCGUAAGUCAGGGUUACUAUUAGAGCUUAAGAUACUAUAACCAUGAGAAGCUAUUGACUGCCAAUUAAAAUAUCCAUUAAAAUGUCUAGGGAGUUAUGAAGGUGGAGGUAGCUUCCAAUAACUAACUUGAGUUUGGUAAAACAAACAGACAGUGUGUCUCAUGUCUCACAAUUCAAAUUAUCAUCUGUAAUGAUGGAGAAUUUUUCUAAUGUAUGAAGUAUGCUUUCAUACGUGGAUUAGCUUGGAGAAGAUAUCUCAAAAUAAAGAAUAUGGGGAGCGAAUGGGAAAAAAACAGUUCAGUAGUUUAUUAUUCUGUAGUCAAGUUUUGUCUUGAAAAUGGUCAAAAUUUAAAUGAAUAAGGACAGGGGAUCUUCAUUCUUUUUUCCCUUUUUUAUACCAAGAUAUCUUUCAACCUUUAUAUAAUCCCCACUGGAUAUCUGCUUCUAAUAAUUAAAAUAAAAAUUUCACCCACACAAAUAAAUACUGACCAAGCUCUAACAAUAAAAACUAACAUCUUUAGUCAAGUAACAUCUUUAGUCACGUAAUUUACAGUUCCUCAUCAUCUUAGUGUGAGCUAUCAGUACGAUCUAAAAACAUAAUAAAACUGGUUUGAUCCUGUUUAUUGAUGUUUAAAUGUUGUUUAUUGUGACAAGUAAAUUAGUAAGAUCUUGUUUGAAGUUGUUUUCCGAAAUGAACUGCCAAAUGGUAGUUUUUUUGGGGCAUCUGAUGGCUCUUUUUUCCUCAUUUUAAACAUGUGCCUGCUUGGAAUGGGAAGGAUUAGGCUGCAGAGUUGUUAUAUAUUUUGACAUGCUCUGGUAAUUACACAAUUUGUUCACACUGGAAAUUAGAAUGAGAAAUUUGUUGAUGCUGUUUUGAUAGAUCUGCAUUCUAUGCACAAUAACAUGAUUAAUGAAAAUGGAUUGUAGGACUGGAAAGAUCCGUGGUGGCCUGAGCUCGCAGGAAGAAUUUCAAUGGUUAAUUCUCCCCGAGAGGUUAUUGGUUCAGUUUUGAAGUAUAUGGGAGCAUCAUAAAAUUCAAACAAUAUUGAUUUGCAAGUUGCUGGUGGGAAGAUUGCUGUUCAGCAGAAUCUGGCAUUACUGGCAAACCAGGUACUCUUAAAGAAAUGAUAUCUGAUCAUUGCAUGUUAUUGCCUGACAACUGAUUUUGUUUGUAGAAGUCUGCUUCUUCAUACAUAUGAAUGCAUAUGCUAGUGUUUUCUUCUCCUUUUCAUACAUAUGAAUGCGUAUGUUGGUGUUGUCUUUUCCUUUUCAUACGUAUUAAUAAUACAUAUGUUGGUGUUCUCUCCUGAGAUGGAUGCAAUAAAGGCUUUUGCUCCUAAAUUUAGCUGAAGAAAUGGCAAGGGAUGUGAGAUUCUGUCUCAUUAAAUUAACAAAAACCCAAAACAAUGAAAAACCAUAAUAAUGUGGUGUGGGUAAACUGGCUCCAUUUGGUUCGUUUCCUUAAUGUGAAUACGCAAACAAUGGAGACUAACAAAAUGAAGUGACAACAACAAGUCAGUGUCCUUUGAUGGAUGCAUUUUUAAGCAGAAAUAGGUUUGUAAUUGACCAAAUUUGUCUGGCAUGCCAAUUUCGAAAAAAUUAAAUUAUGUGAUUAUUACCUGUAAUGAAGGGGGAUAGUAGGUGCAAUCAGGUGGAUCCCGGAAAGUUCAACAAAGUUCUGGUAUGGUGUAUUGAAAUUGGUUUGUGCAACUCAAGAGUCUUUCAGGUGAACGAUGAUGGGUUUUGAUUUAUGAAUGUUAUAAAUCUACUGUGCAUAGUAUUCUAGUAGAAUCAUUUAUAAGUUCUAGUUAUUGAAAUUGUCUACUUUGUCCGGUUUGAGUUAAGGGCACAUGUAAUAUGAAAAAUAGUUGUCGCAUCUUUUAGGUUACCUAACAUUUGAUCAAUCCUAUUAUGAGGGCUUCAAGAUGUCUAACAAUAUGUAGAAUGCCCAUGCUCCUCCCCAUUGUUUAUCUUAUACAAUAAUUUGUUUUAGAUGCUAAUAUCUUUGUCGAUACUGGUAACAUUAUUACAAUCUCUGCUUUUAUUGGGUUCUACAUAGGUUCGACUGUUUGACAGUACACACUAUCUGAAGGCAUUUGGAAUUGGAGAUGUAUGGGUUGCUGUUGGGUGGAGUAGUGAUGUUCUUCCUGCUGUCAAACGUAUGUCUAAUGUUGCUGUUGUUGUUCCCAAGUCUGGUGCAAGCUUAUGGGCCGAUCUUUGGGUAUUCCCAUGCCUGCCAUUCUACUUCGAUAUUCACUUUGUUAUCACCUUCAUAUUAGUGAUCAGUAAACACGAUAAUGUGACUAAUAAGUUUGUAUUCUCUUUAUAGGCGAUCCCUGCUGCCUCAAGACUUGAAACAAAACAAAUUGGAGGGCAAGUCAGAGGUCCGUCUCCAUUAAUCCAUCAAUGGAUAGAGUUCUGCUUGCAAACAGCAAGAGCAUUGCCUUUCAAGCAAGAGGUUAUCCCAGGCGCAUCUCCCUCUGCCCUUGAAAGUACUCUGGUUAAGUUGCCUGAAGAACUUCUGAAGGGUAAACCAAGUGUGGAUACUAACUUAAUUGCUGGAGUACCCCCCCGCUGAAAUUCUGGCCAGAUGUGAGUUUUUGGAGCCAUUAUCUGAAGCUACAUUGUCAGAUUAUGAGUGGCUGGUUGCUAAUCUGCAAAACCUGCUCCUGUCUUGAUGAAAAGGGUGCAGCAUUACUUGUCAUCAUUAAUCCAAAGCUUUCUAGCAAAGCUACAUUGAAAAGUUAAUGGCACUGCAUACAAUCAUGAGUUUUAAUGGAGCAAGAACUAAAUACAAUUAUCGCUAACAAAUACUGAAAACACAACCCACACAGGAAAUCACCCUUCGCGUGGGGAUGGAGAUGUUUACUGGAGCGAUAUUGAAUAUGUGCAAGGUGUUGUCCACUGCUCUUUGGGUUAUGGUGUGACUUGCGAUUUCAAGAUUGCCCAGAAACAAUGGAAAAGAUUAACAUAUCCUCCCAUGAGUGAAAACGGCUUGACUAAUUCUAAUUACCGAAUUGACUCAGGAUCAGGUAGCAAUAAUAACAGUUAACUAACAUUGCACAGUCCCGAGUACUUUUCCAGGAUCAGAUACAACGUGGUCUAAUGUUGAUAAUAAUACCUUAUUAAAGGACAAAUCAUUGUUCUUGGGUGUUGAUAGUAAUAGCUUAUUAAAGUAGAAGAUGAAGGUUGUGCAGGUGAUUUCAGAAAUAAAAUACAUUCUGAGAGAUGAUGGUCUACUAUUGCAAGCCCCCAGAUUUCAGAAUCUUUUGAUUGCGGCAUUUGGCAACGAUUCCACAAAUUCUAGAUUCCAACUGAGUUAUCAAUUGAAAAUGAAGUUGAAUUGAAAAAGAACAACAAAUACACAGUGAAGUUGAAUUGAAAAUGAAGUUGCAAGUUGCGCCCAUAGCUGCUGACUAAUAAUAAAACGAGACAAAUUAAUUAAACUCAGAUCUCUAUGUACAUGUCAACCUAACUUUACUUUUCCUUGUUUGUUAUAUUCACUUAACACUUGAUGCCUAAACCAUUAAAACCAAAUGACCAUAGAGGUAUUUGUAAUAUGUAAAAACAAACAAAAACACGUAAAAAAUUUUAAAAACAAUUAAUAAUCACACUCUAAAUUUACCACUCAACUCUAAAUAAUAACCAUACUCAAACAAUUUACAACUUUUGACGGGAGUAGCUAUGAGGAAAAUCCUUUCUCAAUGGAUUGCCAUUGCCCAAGAGUUGCAAUGAAAACGUACCACCUGCAGCUGUGCCGGAAGAUUCAACUAGGUCUGAAAAAGAUGAUAAUUUAAUUGAUAUGGACAGUAAUUGUGAUAUCGGAAAGCAUUAGUAUUCUAUAUGUGAACCAUUAUUGGCGACAUCGAUAGUUUUAUAUUAUUAAAAUGUGGAUGACUUCCAUUUACUAUUUUGUUAUAGACAAUCUUAUUCAAUUAACAUAUAGUUUUAAACUAUUAUGUAAAUCAAUCUAUUAAUUUUCAUGAUAUUUAACUGAGUUAAAACUAAGUGCAAUCAAUAAAUCUCUUUUCCUUUAAAAAACCGCUACGUUUUAAUUUUAGUGCUUAAUAUUUAUUGAACUCUGAUACAGGAAAUUUGAAAUCAAACUCGUAACUACAAAUUAUUUAAUUGCGAGUUGCUGUCCAUAGCUGCUGAUCUGUAGUAAUUAUCUAAUUGACUGAGGUGACAACAAUUUUUUUUUUUUUCGGAAAAAUGUCAAUAGCACAAAUUCAAUAAUUAAAUUCUCAUGUUUAAUUUGUUUCAAGUUAAAUUAUUAAUUACUAAAACUCUGUUUUAAGUCUUUAAUUUUAUAUCUUGGCGUAUAUGCAGAGUUGGAUUCUUGAGUGAGUUGGGCAUUAAAAUGUGUGGACUCCGGUAGCUGUCCCACAAGUGUACAACUCUACAAUAAUAAUUGAGUACACACUUUUAAUUCUGGGGACCCUUCAAUGAAUUUCUAGCCCCGUUGACUCCACUGACUAGAGUUUUGUAAAAUAAUAAAAAAAAAGUACAUAGAAUUCCACCAAAUGCAAAAGCAAAAUGUGUGGAAUUUAAUUUUUGGCCGUGUGGACCAAAAUACAAUUUAACGAAAAAAGAAAAAAAAAAUUGUAAGAUUUCUAAAAUAUGUGGAAAGUGAUUCAUGUUUUACUGAAAUGACUUGUCUCAUGAUUGAUUUUUUUUUUUUUUUGAAAAAUAUCAACGUCCAUAUCUUUCUACCCUAGAACAUGCUCACAUUCAAGUCUAUCUUUGCUAAUUUGAGAAAGAAAAUCAAAUCAAAUCAAUACCAAAGCAAUGAAAAGUUAAGCUUUUGAAUUUUAACUUCAGCUAGCAAACGUAUUCAGCGUUUUCAAAUUCUUCCCAUUGCAUAUCUUCUUCCUCCAUCAAUGCAAUAUUAAGUACUUUUUCUUCAUUAUAUUCUUUUCUUUGCAUUUCUUCUUCCUCCAUCAAUGCAAUAUUUGAACAAUUAAGAAAGAGUUUAAGAACAUAAAAAAUCUUCUAGGUUUAUACGGUACAACAAAUUUAAAUUCUCAAUUAUAAUAGAUAAUAAUUAAACUAAUAAUUAUUUAUUUACUUAUUUUGGUAAUUUCACCUAAGAAUAAUAUUGCAUUAGAAAAAAUCUAAUAAGUGGGGUGGUUUUAUACAAAAUCAACUACAUACAGUAAUAAGUGAGUACGCACCUUUGAUUCUCGGGACCCUUCAAUGAAUUUCUAGCCCCGUUGACUCCACGGGCUACGGCUAAAGAUCUGUAAAACAAGUAAAUAGAAUUUCCACAAAAUGCAAAACUUGUCGAAUUUAAUUUUUGACCAUGUGGAUCAAAAUGUAAAUUAAAGAAAAAGACAAAACAAAAAGAGGUAAAAUUUCCAAAACGUGUGAAAGAUGACUCAUGAUUUAUUAAAACGACCUGCCUCGAAUAUCAAGACGAUUAAUCUUUUUAAAUUUUUUUUUUUGAAAUAAUAUCAACUCUCAUAUUUUUCCACUCGCAGAACAAGUUCACAUUCAAGUCUAACUUGCUAAUUUGGAAAACGAAAUCAAAUCAAAUCAAUAUCAAAGCAAUGAAAAGUAAAACUUUUGGAUUCUAACUCCAGCUAGCAAACGUUGGAAUGCAAUAAUUAAAUUCUUCUGUUUAAUUUGUUUUAAGUUAAAUUACUAAUUACUUAAACUCUGUUUUAAGUAUUUAAUUUUAUGUGUUGGUGGGUAUGCAGAAUUGGAUUCUUGAGUGACUUGGACAUGACCACAAUGAAAUUGAUGGCAAACAAACAUUAAAAUGUGUGGACUCCGGUACCUGCCGCACAAUUCUACAAUAAUAAGUGAGUACGCACCUUUGAUUCUCGGGACCCCUUCAAAAAAUUUCCAGCCUUGUUGACUCCACUGGCUAAGGCUAAAAUUUUGUAAUAGAAAAAAGGUCAAUUCUUGUGGAAUUUAAUUUUUGGCCUUGUAGACCAAAAUGUAAAUUAAAGAAAAAGACAAAAAAGAAAAGGGGCAAGAUUUAUAAAACGUGUAGAAGGUGGUCCAUGAUUUAUUCGAAUAACCUGCCUCGACUCGAAUAUUGUAAUGAUUGAUUUUUUUUAUUUUUUUAAAAUAAUAUCAAUUCUCAUAUCUUCCCACUCCUUGAAAAUGCUCACAUUCAAGUCAAAUUAAAUGGACACCAAAACAAUGAAAAUUGAAAAGUAAAACUUUUGAAUUCUAACUCUAGCUGGCAAACGUAUUCAGUAUUUUUAAAUUCUUCGAAUCGCUUAUCUUCUUCCUCCAUCAAUGCAAUAUCAAGUAUUUUUUUCUUUUUCGUAAUCUUUUCUUUGCAUUUCUUUUUGCUCCAUUAAUGUAAUUUAACUUCUUUUUUUAUUUGAACGGCUCGGAAAGAGUUGAAGAACAUAAAAAAGCUCUUGGUUUUAUACGGUAAAACAAAUUUAACUUAUAAUUAUUCAACUAACAAUUAUUUAUUUACCUAUUUUAGUAAUUUCACCGAAGAAUAAUAAUCUAAUUACAAAAAAUCUAGUCAGUUGGGUGGUUUUAUACAAAGAGUAAUGAUAUAGCCACAAACUCUUGUACAAACUUAUUUUGUACAAACUGAUGUGGCGUUAAUUCAUUGGUUGAAUUAAAUAUCUCUUGGCCCACAUGAUUUGUUUAUAUUAUUUUAUAUUUCUAUUCAACCAAUGAAUUAAUGCCACAUCAGUUUGUAUAAUAUAAAUUUAUACAAGAGUUUGUGGCUGUAUCAUUACUCUUAUACAAAAUCAACUACAUACCCAUAUACAGAUGCAAAUGCAAAUAAUAUUUUUAAAUAAGAAAAUUGUAUAUUGAGAUGAAUAAGAUGUUUCUAUGAUUCUAUCUUAGGAAAGCUCGGUGGUGGUAACGACAUGAAGUUGCGAGUUGCCGCACACAGUUGCUAGUAAUAUAAUAAAACAAGACAAAUUAAUUAAACUCAGGCCUUUACGUAUAUGUUAUCUUAACUUUACUUGCCCUUGUUUGAUGAUAUUCAUUCUUGGAGCUAAGGGCGCAUGUAAUAUUUGUAAUUGUAUUAAGUAUAUAUUAAUGUGAUUUUCAAAAUCAGGUUUUAAAAUCUGUAGGAUAGGCUGAUUUUGGUAGUUUUGGGUCGGCCGUUGCAGUCAUUGGGACUGACUUAUUAUUAUUAUUAUUAUUAUUAUUAUUAUUAUUAUUAUUAUUAUUAUUAUUAUCAUCAUUAUUAUUAUUAUUAUAAUUAUAAUAUCAACUUCCAUAUCUUUCUAAACCCGGAAUAUGCUCACGUCACGUUCAAGUCUAUCUUGCUAACCUGAAAAAGAAAAUCAAAUCCAAUCAACACCAAAACAAUGAAAAUUAAAGCUUUUGAAUUUCAACUCCAGCUAGCAAACAUAUUCAGCGUUCCCAAUUUCUUCCCAUUGCAUAUCUUCUUCCUCCAUCAAUGCAAUAUUAAGUACUUUUUCUUGAUCAUAUUCUUUUCUUUGCAUUUCUUCUUCCUCCAUCAAUGCAAUAUUUGAUCGAUUAGGAAAGAGUUUAAGAACAUAAAAAAUCUCCUAGGUUUAUACGGUAUAGCAAAUUUAAAUUCUCAAUUAUAAUAGAUAAUAAUUAAACUAAUAAUUAUUUAUUUACUUAUUUUAGUAAUUUCACCUAAGGAUAAUAUUGUAAUUAGAAAAAACUAAUUAGAACAAUUUAAUUUUUGGCCGUGUAGACCAAAAUAUAAUUUAACGAAAAAGGAAAAAAAAAAGGGUAAAGAUUUUUAAAAUGUGUGGAAAGUGAUCCAUAUUUUGUUCGACUUGUCCCGAACAUCACGACGAUUGAUUUUUUUAUUUUUUUUUUAAUAACAUCAACUUCCAUAUCUUUCUACCCUCAGAACAUGCUCACAUCCAUAUUUUUUAUGUACUUAUUUUAGUAAUUUCACCUAAGAAUAAUAUUGUAAUUAGAAAAAAAUCAAAUAAGUAGGGUGGUCUUAUACAAAAUCAACUGCAUACAUAUAUGCAGAUGCAGAUAAUAAUUUUUAAUUCCUUUUUUUAAUAAGAAAAUUGUGUAUUGAGAUGAAUAAGAUGUUUAAUUUAAUUAAUUUCCUUACUUUCAUAUACAUUGUCUUUCUAUCUAGAGAAAGCUUGGUGCUCAGAACGACAUGAAGUUGCGAGUUGUCGCCCAUGGCUGCUGAUUAAUAAUAAAACGACACAAAUUAAUUGAACUCUGGCCUCCAAGUAUAUGUUAUCCUAACUUUACUUGCUCUUGUUUGUUAAUAUUCAUUCUUAGAGAGGUGAAAAAAAUUACAAGUCUUGAAUAACGAGGAGUUUAAUUGCCUCUAACUUUACUUGGCCUUCUAUAAUCUCAUUAAUAAUACAGAGAAUUAAUUAUCUUUUUAUUAUUAAACCAAAGAAUUAGUAGCAGUUAAUAUUAAUAUUGCCCACCCAAGAAAUAUGAGUGAAUUAAAGUAUUGGCAAGAGUUCGCUCAGAGGAGCAUUUAAACCACUUCCUUAUCAAUUGCGGCAGCCGUCUAUUAACUAAAACGCCAAUCUAAUACACGAAGAAAGAACAUUUACAGACUUGGCAAUUGAGUUCAUUAAGAAGUAGCAUCGCAUUCGGGUGAUGAGUUUCCUUUUGUUAAUAAUUUUAGUCUAAUUUCCAUUGUACUGAGAUCGCUUCUCGAGGUAAGUGAAAGUUACAGAUGUGGCAAAAUAAAUAAUUAAAUUAACAAAAUGCUAACUAAUUUUCCUAAAUACCUAGGGUUGUACAAUUUCAUCAACCUGGAAGAAUUGACAUUAAUGGACUGGUCUCCUCCCCAUAUAAUUAUAAUCCUUCUAGAAAGCUAAUUUUUAUUAAAUAUUUUCUUUUAAGUUAAUUUCAAUUAAAAUUUUUUUUAAGUUAUAUAUACUCUAAUGAGAUUCUGAAUUCCUUUCUUCCAAUAAUAAUGAAAACGUAUUAAAUUAGAAAUGAAAAAAUUGGUGUUGAUGAUUCAACCUGUUUGGAUAGAUUACGCGAAUAAAAUUGAAAUUUUGAUUUAAUUUUUGUUUAUUGUUAAUUCUCAGGCUAUCUUAAUUUCAAGAAUUUAGAAUGUUAAUUUGGUCAUGGAUUUCAACCCAUGAGUGUCAUAUUCUAGACUUAAUGGUACCAUUCUUUGAUUGAGGGCAAUGACUCUCACUCCUCUUGUAAAAAACUAUUUUCAACUAUUUUGAUGACUUAAAAAUUGAUAGAUUUAUUGUUGUCAUGACCAAAUUAUUCAUUUUAAUUAAACAUAAUUAAUGCAUCAAAGUUACCAGGUUUAUGUUCUAUCUUAAUGCGCUUUUUUUUUUUUUUCAGUUAUCAGCUAUGCCCCUGAGGCAUUUUGUAGAGUAUAGCUUCUGCUUACCUCUGUUUCAUUUUUUUUAAUAAAAAAAACAAGGGAAGGUUUUUCCGAGUCGUCCAUUAUUUGAUUACCGUCAAUCAAGAAAACGACCAAAUUAAUUUCUCUCCAAAAUUUCCAAAAGCUAGAAAAUUUUGUUAUUUGAAAAUAACAUCAUUAAUUAUAGAGUGGAUCAAACCGCGUUAUUGUCUUUUAUAAAAUUGAUGUCUUUUUAAGAGUCAAUGCAUUUUAUUUACACAAACCAGUCGACAUCAACUUGAACUUCCAUAUUUUUAUUAUUAUGUUAUUUAUUUUAAUCCCCGAUUAUUUGAUUAGCCACUAUAUAUAUCAAGAAAGCGACAAAAUUUAUUUCUCAUGACUUCCAAAAACUAGAAAACAACAUCAUUUAUUAUUUUUUUGCAACCCUAAUUGACAUCAACUUUAACUUUAUUAUGUUAUUAUUUCAAUCCCCCAUUAUGACCUUUCUAAUCCUCCAUUAUGCAUCUUUUAUAGUGCAAAUUUAAUUGCACAUCUAAAUAAAUUGAUUAUUGUCACUCCACCACCAAUAUUUCAAAUAGUCACUAGACCAUUUCUGCCUUUAAUUUUCCCUUAACUAUUGACUGUUUUUAGCAUCUUAAAAUAUACAUUUAUUCCUUGAUUAUGUGAUAAAAUUAUGAAAAUAUCCAUUUUAGCUUAAAUUAAUUGAAAUAACCAUAAGCGUAACUUAAAUUAAUAGAACAAAAUUAUCAAGUGUAUGUUCUAUGUUACAUUUUGAAGAAUUUAACAUAUACAAUGCUAUACUAUUAAUUCAUUUAUCAUUUAAUAUAUAUGUUCAAAUAUUUUAUAUAUUUAUUAAUUGUUAUAUAGUCAAAGGAUGAAUGAUUUUUCAGGUCUACAUGAGUUGGUGCAUCUGCAAGACUCAAUUUUGACAACAAUGAUCUAAGGGGUAAUUUACCUUGGCGUUUGACAAAUUUAACCUCUCUUCAAGAUUUACUUCCAAUCUACUUACUGUAAAUAUCUCCUCAUCUCCUCUCAUUUAUAUGAUAACCCUUGAAGAUCUCACAUUUUCAAACAAUCAUAUUAGGGUUUUUAUUAUUAGCAUCAUCGUGUCAAUAAUAUAUGUUGCAGUAAGAUUUUUUCAGACCAAUUCCCUUCUUCAAAUAAUAAUGGAAAAGUAUUAAUUUAAAAAUAAAAUGAAUAUUGUAAAAUAAAGAACAGAGUUUAUGAAUAAAACUCUUGUAUUCCUUGCAUUAACGUUGCUACAUAUAUAUAUAGAUGUACAACCCUAAAGAAUAGAAUCCCAGGUAGAAAAGCAUUACAGAUUCAUAAUAUAUAUACAAAUCUAAUUGCUUUAAAUAUGAAACCGAAUUCUAUACGACUUCUAUAUACAAAACCGAAUGCUAUACGAAUUCUAUACGUUAAUAAAUAUGCAUUGAUUAUAUCCUAAUUUUCAUCAAUUAUAGCGAGAGUUUCUCCAAAUCAACUCCCUUAUUCAAAUAAUACAGAAAAAAUAGUAAUUUAAUAGUAAAAUUAACAAGUGUUGAUUAUAUAUCCUAAGUUUCAUCGAUUAUGUGAUCAAAGUGGCAUUGUUGAUUUAUUUCUUGUUCAAUGUAAAUUUUUAGGUUAUCUAAAUUUCAAGGAUUUAAAAUCUUUGUUCAUGGAUUACACGCUUAUUAAUUUUUCUGCCAUUGACUGUCAUAUUCUAGACUUAAUGGUACCUUCCUUGAUCGAGGAUAAUUACUCUAUGUUCUCCUCUUAUAAAUUCUUCUUCCAUUAACAUCACUAGGAGUAUGUUGAUCUCUCAGACGUUAACUUCAGUGGAGAGUUUCCAAAUUGAUUGUCACAAAACAACACAAAAACUAGACACACUUGAUCUGUCUAAUAAUUCUCUUUCGGUAAAAUUAAUUAAUUUUAGGGGAAUAUUCGACCAACCUAUAUAAUUUUAGAUUGAUCAUUAAUUAAUUGGACGAAAAAAGUACUUGUGCUUUUGUGGCGACAAUUGAACCAGAGAAGUGAAGCUGUAAAGAUUUGGCAGUAGUAAAUUGUUAGAAAGACAUAAAGACAAGUUCCCAUUAUUAUAAUUUUUUCAAAAAACUUUUUUACAACACAUGCACCUGGCCAAAAAUUUUAUUUUGCUAACUAACAAUAAUUGAUUAGCUGACCGAAUUGACUCCACCUACUUGCUAAAGUAAAAAAAUAGAAAUAGAAUUUCCACAAAAUGGCAAACAUGUAAAAUCUAAUAUUUGGCCGUGUGGAACAAAAUACAAAUGAAAAAAAAAAUAGAAAAAAGGCCUAAAGACUUUUAAAAUGUGUGGAAGUCUUUCUGCCCUUUUAUAAUGGUGUGUUUUUCAAAGGAACAAAUAAUAAUAAUGACACUUCAACGGUUUGUUUUGAUAAUCACACCUAUACUCUUUAAUUUGAUAAAUGGUUACACAAAUUUUGUUUACAAAAAUAUAUUAUUCAUGUUCUGUAUUAUUUUUUAACAUCAUAUUUUUAUUUAUUAUAAUUGUUUAAAGUUAAUUGUUGGGUUGAUAUAUAAUAAAAAUGUAUAAUCGUUCUCUUACUAAACACACAUACUCAUAGUUUCUGUUCAUUUGUCAUCUCAAUCUAUCUCAUUUAUCCUUUGUUGAUAGCUCAAAACGCGUCACUGUAGAAAAUUAUAGCAAAACGACAAAUAUGGAAAAAAUGGGAAGAAAAUUAAUGCAUGAAAGAGUUGCAGAAGACAACCAAAUAAGUCAACUAUACGCUAGUUGGGUGUAUAAAUUGUUAGAUGUGUUAUAAACAAAUAGCAUAGAGCCUUGGUUGGUUACAGAGAUAGAAAAAGUGUGUGUUUUUUAGAACUUAAAGAUAUAGUUAGAAUGGGUGGUUCAAAAUCAAAAAUGGUGAUAAUGUUUGUUCUGUUAUUAAUAAUAUUAGAAGGUGGGUGGAGUGAAGGAUGUUUGGAUCACGAGAGAUUUGCUCUUUUGCGACUGCAACAUUUCUUCAAUGAUCCUUAUAAUUAUCUUCCCAACCGGGUAGAUGAUGAGGGAGCUACUGAUUGUUGUCAGUGGGAAAGGGUUGAGUGCAGCAACACCACAGGCCGACUGAUAGCGCUAGACCUUUUUGGCACGUAUUGGCGAGAGUACAGCUGGUAUCUGAAUGCUUCUUUGUUUACUCCCUUCCAACAACUUGAGUCACUUGAUUUACAUGGCAACAACAUAGCCGGUUUUGUUGAGAAUGAAGGUGCUUCGUCUAAUUCAAUUAAAUUACAUUUCGCUCUCCUAAUUUAAGUCGAAUAUCAAGACUGAGCAGCUAUAUGCAUAUUCAUUCAAUUGACAAUUUUUACAUAUUUUUUAAAAUGUUUAAUUUUGAAAUUACACCAAACAUCAUAUGUGAUCUUUGUUUUGAUUUUACUUGCAGGUCUAGAAAGAUUGAGCAACUUGAAGAGGCUUGAUUUAAGUUAUAACUUGUUCAACAAUAGCAUCUUAUCAUCUGUGGCUCGUCUUUCAUCAUUAGCAUUAUUAUAUUUAAGUGGUAAUAGGUUGGAGGGAAGUAUUGAUGUUAAAGGUACAUAAUAAAAACGUCAUCUCUUCUCCCAACUCUUUCAUUAACAUGCUAAAAUAAGAUUCAAGGCUUUGAAUUCAAUUUUUUUUAUGAGUAAAUAUUAGAAAAAUAGUUUUAAGCAAUUCAUAAAUACAAUUUUCAAUGUUUCUCAUAAUUUCAUCUUGUACUUUUGUAUGUCUUGACUUUAAGAUUAAAAAAAAAAUUACUCUAACUGUGAAGCAAAUACCCCAUGACUAAUUUACAAUUUUGUCCAGUUAAAAAUGAUAAAAUUUAUCAUUUGUUCAUAUUGAUUUAUUAACUCUAUUUUAAGUCUUAAGUCUUGGCGUCUUGGCAUGUUUGCAGAAUUUGAUUCCUUGAGCAACUUAGAGGAGUUGGACAUGAGCUACAAUGAAAUAGACAAUUUCGAGGUUCCUCAAGGUACACAAUUAAAAUAUUAUUUAAUUACAUUAAUUUAUUUCGUUUGAUUAGGGAAGGCCCAAAAUGUACAAAAACAUAAUUAAAAAAAAUAAAGAAACAGAGAAUUCAUAUUAUUUCAAAAAACAAAACGUAAUACUAUUAUUUCAAAAAAAGAAUGUAAUAAAGAUUUGAUUUCGGUUCUUUAAUCUUUACAGCAAUUGAAAAACGAUGUUGCUCUUUUCCUAAAGCAUAAAAUAUGAAAUGAGUCAUAAUUGAAUUAGUCAUUUAUUUUGUUUAGAUCUAAAUUUAGACAAUAAAUUUUGAUUUUUUUUUCAAUCAUUUCCUAAUUAUUAUUAUUAAACAGGUUACAGAGGUUUGAGGAAGCUGAAAAGCCUGCAUCUAUCGGGAGUUGGAAUUAGAGAUGGAAGCAAGUUGUUACAGUCAAUGGGAUCAUUCCCAUCCCUCAACACUCUUCACCUUUCGUUUACUAGUUUUACGAAAACAGUGACAACUACUCGAGGUAAGUAAAAGGUACGGAUGUAGCCAAAUUUAUAAAUUAAUUGUUAAUUAAUUAAUUUUUCCGUAUUAUUAAUUAAGCUAAAUUUGUUGCUCCUUCCUUCUAAAUCUAAACAGAGUUGCACAGUUUCACCAACUUGGAAUAUUUGAGAUUGGACGACUCCUCUCUCCAUAUAAGCCUUCUGCAAAGCAUUGCAUCAAUAUUCCCUUCAUUAAAAAAUCUGUCGAUGUUGGGUGGUAAAGUCAACGGUCUCCUACGCGGUCAAGGUAAAAGAAAAGCUUUGAUUGUGAACUCACUCAAUGGUGUCCUACGUGUUCAACAUUUUUAUUUAUUUAUUUUAUUGUUUAAUGUUUCUGCUAGGUUUUCCUCAUUUCAAGAGUUUGGAAUAUUUGAAUAUGGAUUUCACGCGCAUUGCACUCAACACCAACUUUCUUCAAAUCAUCAGUGAAUCGAUGCCUUCUCUUAAGUACUUAUCACUGUCAGAUUCAUAACAGUAAAAAUUUGUUGCUCAACAUGAUGUGUAUUUUUUUUCAAGGCACUUUGGAAACACAAUUGUUACUACAGAUAUUCUUCUCAACUUGGAGAUAAAUACAAAUAUUAAAAUGCAUAUGAUCACACAUAUUACUUCGAGUUUAGUAAGAUUUCAUUAAAAGAAGCAAUCAAACCACUUAUCAAUUGUCGCAGUCGUUCUAUAAACUAAAAUAGCAAUAUAAUACAAGAAAAAGAACAUAUAGAUACUUGGCAAGAGUUCAUUAAGAAGUCGCAUCACAUUCGGGUGAGGAGUUUGCUUCUGAUAUCUUGCUAGCUGGGGCUUUUUCUUGUCUUUCUACGUAUGCCGAGGGAAACCAACCAGCUUGGCCCUUGCAUUCACCUUCCGACCAUCCAAUAGGAGCAACCUUGAGAAGUUAUAACUAAAACGGUGAAUUAAACAAAAGUUGACCGUUCAAAGACCUAAGGGGAAAACUAAUUCUUUUACGUAGAAUGAGUGAACUAGUUGUGAUCACUGAAAUAACAACAUAACUAUGGAAGCAUAACUAGAUAUAAAUUCACAUGGCUAUAAGGGUAAACUGAGUGGUUUAGAACUGAGCUAGCAACCCUACUAUAUUCUGAUUUGCACUUCAAUGUAAAAGGGAAUAUAUGGUAGGAAGAAAGAAAACCAACCAUCAUUUGUUAACUCAUUGCUUUUCAAUCAAAAUUUUAAGAACAAAAUGCCAUGUGCUUUGAACAUCAAAUAAGUAUAAGCAUUAGUUCUAAAUUCCACAUAUCAUAAGUUGUUAGAAGGAUAAGUUAAUAGCAGAGUAGAAAAAUCUAUGUGUUGGUAUUUAGAGGGGAAAGUACCUGGCGAACCACAAUAUAAUCAUCAAUUGAAAGACUUAGCUUUCCAUUUGCUUGAGCAUCAAAUGGAUGUAUAACCUGCAAGAUAAUGGGAUAAAUAGAACUUUAAAAAAGCAUAACAAAAGCAGCAACAGUAGCAGCAACGUUCAUUGUAACCACUAUGAUCAUGGCCAACAAAGAUAUAUUAGAAACAAAAUUCCAUUUUUACUACGACAUUAAUAUGUACUAUACGAUAUCAUGACGAUUGGGUUACUAAGAGCUAUCAAAGUCUAAUAAGUUCUGUAUAACUUUAUGUAGUUAUUUAAAUUAUGGAUCAGAUUUUAAAUUUGAAAUUUUGACUGCUCUCCACAAAACAUGGCCUAUGCACAAGAAAGUCAUAGAUAAUGAGGAUUACAAGUGUCCGACAUCUUUUGAGUGAUGGAUUUAACAUGAGAGCUUAUGGUCAGUCAAUUUCCUCUGCCUAGCAAUAUAAGCUUUCUCGGCCAGAUUUAUCAUCAAAUACAUAGAUUGCCCCCAAGUCACAUCCAUAUAAACAUAGUUUUUCUAGGUAAACCAAGUAAGGAGUAUCAUAAUUCAGACAUAAUCAUAAAAAGGCCCAUCUAACUUAAGAGAAAAUCUCAAAAAUGGCUACAUCGUCUUGUAUCUAUAAGCAAUAUCAAGACUUUACAUCACCUGCUACAUCGUGAGUGGCUACACAACUUUCAAUGGUUUGUCUUUCUUUGGCAUGCCUAACUCAGCUUUGAUGUUGCUGAGAUAUUGAUAGUAGAGACACAUGAUACUUCUAGCUCAUGCAUUCUAUCUAACUCAUCCAACAACUAUCUCUUUUUUAAUUCAUUAGUGUUUGCUAAACCUCAUGCUUAAAAGUCCUGUUCUCCUAAACAAAGUUUCCUAAGAAUGACUUCCUUAGCACCACAUUUGGACACUUUUAGAGCAAUUUUAUUUUGGGGAAAAGAAUUUUCAAGGUGUUAACUAAUAAAUUUUAAAAAAUAAUUACAAUUUUUCCUACGAUCAUAUGACAAUUUAUCUGGGAUGAAAGGAUACAGAUAGACAUCUUCCACUUUCAAGACUAAUCACUACUUCCGUAGAUGUUGUGCAAUAAUACAAAUACUUGAUCAGAUGGUAGUGAUGGUAGAAAAAAAUUUUAUUGCUCCAAAAUUAAAAUAAGAAUGCAAUAUGUUAAGCAAAAGGCUGUGCAACAUCAAAUUAAUUGAUAAGUUUGUAAUUCAGUAAAUUAACAACUUUCAUGGUAAAAUACAACAAAUUUCUUUUGAAAAAAAUAAAUCUUAAAAGACAGCAUUCAAUUUUGUGCGCAUCUUAUUUCUUAAGAUUUUUCAGGAGGAGGGCAAUAGAGGGACUUUCACCUAUGCAAGAGAGCAGAAGCCUUACUUUCCCUAUAAAGUAGACGUCAUUCUGAUUAAUAUGCGUUUGCAAAUCAGCUCCGUUUGAAUCAGUAUUCUGAUAGACACACGAGGCAUUGACAUCCAUUUCCAAAGUCACAUGUUGCGAGGAGGACUCAUUUGAUUGCUCCUAUACGAUCAUCUAAUUCAAGUAGCAAGGGUUGGAAGAGAAUAAAAAGUCACAAUUAUUCUUUUGCAUAAGUGAGACGAAAAUGAUAAAUGCAAUAUUAUCAACAGUAAACAAGAAGAAGAUGAUAGUGGAAGUAUGCGGUGUGGCUGCCAGGUACUUGGAUUGUAUUGUCGGGUAAGGUAAUAGUAGAGAAUUAUAAGUUUGAACAGAGCAUGUUGGACUUUUGUUGACCAAAUUCAAAAGCCCAAUGGCACGGCCCGGAAGCUUUUGAAUAGAAAAACUUGCUAGAAAGCAUCAGUUUAAAUCACUACUUAAACGCUUGCUUUAACUGCACCACUUUGUACUGUUUUAUGUGUGUAGCGGUUGUGCGGUUGUAAUUCACGGCUGACGCUACGUGUUUGUUAGGUCAAAACUAUGAUACAAUAGUGGUACGGUACCAUUGUUACUUUCAAUCAUUGGAUCUAUAGUUGUACAGUUGCAUUAAUAAGAUCUAAUGGCUGAAAACAACAGUGGUACCAUACCACUGUUGCAACAUAACAGGACCCUAUUAGUUAUUUCAAAGGGAUAAAUAAGAUUGCUUACAACAAACCUACUAAUUUUAUAAAAUUCAAGUAAUAUAGAAUAAAAUAAAAAAAUAAAUACAAAAUUGACUUUUAUUUUUUAUGGUUGACUAUAUUUUGUGUUCUCUUCGGGCACUACUACAAUUCUUCCCUAUAUAUCAAUUACACCACAUACUAUCGACACAAGAAAUGAAAUCUAAUAUCACCCGUUUAGUUAAAAAAUCACUCAUGAAAAAAUUUUACCAUUUUGAUUUGAGGAUCCAUAUUUUAAACUGCAAGCUAAUGUUCAUCAAGAAUUACUGAUGGCCGUUGAGUAGAAAAAUUAUUUUUGGACAAAUUAUUUUUGUUGAUAGAAGAAUUUCUUUAGGGACUACUAAAUUAUUAAUAAAAAUGUCGAACACACCCACAUAUCAUCGACACAAUUGAUUUUGAGGAUCCAUGCUUUGAACUGCAGCCUAAUGUUCAUCAAGAAUAGAGUAUGGCUUGUGAGUAGAAAAUUUUCUUAUUUUGGCCCGAAAUAAAAAGAAAUUAAAUUGGAUGAGAAUCUGCCACUUUCUCAUGAAGAAAGGCAUACGGAGCAUACCAUGGUACCAUACAAAAUAAGGAGCCUCUAUUCUUUGGUUUUUCAAACUCUAAAGGGGCCAAUAUUGCCAAAUUCCCCCUUGAAAAUUCUGAUUACGACAUUAUUCAUCGCUUGAUGCAAUCAAAGUAGUGACAAAGUUAGGAAAAAUAUGAGUCCUAAGUAAUUGCUAGGCAGGGUUCCUGAGAGCAAAAUUGUCCUAAGCAUUAUAUGCAUACAUGGUGCGGUACAUAGAGCACGUUGAAUUCCCCACUAUAACACAAACCCAGAAAGACAAGUAAUAACUCAACUGAUAUAAAGACAAAAAGAAGAUAAAAUGAUAUAGAAAAAAGAAUUCAAAGAGACAGCAACAUACGAUAGACUGAAGCCACUUGAUCUGCUCAUUGAUUGCAGCCUUAAACUUGCAAAUAGUUACUGUACGCUAGUGCUCUAAGAAGUGAAAAUGAUGCCAGCCCUGAUUCCCUUUUGACUUCCAUUUACUGUCAAACAUUCUAGUAAUACAAAAAAUUGUUUAGAUAUCUUGCUAUAAAUAUAGCCGUUUGACUGUCAUAAUAAAGUCACAAAUAACCAUUCAUAUUGAUCUACUGUCACACAGCAUGCUUUAUGCAUACAACAGCUGUAUGUAUACCAACUCCUAACCUUAUCAAUACAUUUGGCAAAAACUUAAGAAGAAAGCUAUUUCUCCAUCUCUUUUUUGAAAUUUCACAAUAACCAGCACAAUGUGAAAGCUAUGUUCUAACCUUAUGAUAAAUGCUCCAGACUCCAAAAGGAUUUUAUAUAUGAGAGUUUGUUGCAGCAGAUAUAUUGACUUAUCAAGUAUGAAUCAUUGUCUGGAUGAACUAUCUUUAGAUAAAAGAAUAUUAGAACCACUGUAGAAUAUCUUUACGCUGCUGGUUCUAACAGGAAUCUGCAUGUGGCAACAAUUGCUAGAUCCACAAUUCCCCAACUUGAAAUACAUAGUUGCACACCAUGAGAUAGUGCUACAAUCUACUGAGAUCUAACUUAUAUGGUACUUUAAGCUACUAAUGUUUGCAUAUUUCUACAUGUUAAAUUAACACUAUCAUCUAUAAUCACUCCAAAACAACAAAUGAUAAGCAGCUUUUGGCCACUUAUUACUAGCAUCCACAAUUAUAAAUAAGAGAUCAUGGGUUUACUUGUUGCACCUACUUAAUUAUCUGCAGUUGACAUCCUGAAGCAAGGUUUAAAUAGUGACUGCUUAGAACCCUUGUAGUUGGAUCUUGACCUCUCCCAUUGUAGCCAAGAUUGGUUACUCUGGUAAUGAAUCAACACUCUCCUGCUCAGGGCCAUGAAGAUCUGAAAGCUCAGCACUAGUGGAGAACUUCAUCAAUCUCUUCUUCUCAGCACACUUGAGACAAGGCUGCAUUACGAGACCAAUCACCACAGCACCAACGCUUAAAACUGCAACUUUUAAAGAAGAAAGAGCCAACACAACACAACACAACACAACACAAAUCAAUAUGGUUGGAGGAAUACACAUGAUAAUGGCUCCAACAGUGCCAGUGGGUAUCUUGUAGGGACGAGAUGCAGCAGGAUAUUGUAUCCUUAACCAUACAAAUGCUAUGAACUCCAUAACCAUUCCAAAACAGUACAGGAAGUUCUCUGCAGCUACAAUAUCUCGAAAGCUCAGCCAUGAUAGCAAAACCACACCAGAUGCUGAGAAUAUGAUUCCAAUCAAAGGAGUCCCAUAACAAGACCUCUUAGCAAAAAACUCAGGUAGCAUUCCACACUCAGCCAUCCCCAAAAGUUGGAAAGAGUUGCUGCUCAUCUCAGCCACAAACAUGCCCAUAUUGGACAUUGCUGCAGCCCCCUGGAUGCAUUAUCUCAACCAAACUCCUCCAAGCACUUUAGCGAUAUCUGAAAAGUAACCAUCGGUCCACAAGUCGCGAUCUAAUGGAAUAGCUCCAGUUCCAACUAGAAGGGGAAAGAAAUACCCAAAAAUGACCAAGAUCAAAGCAUAAAACAAAGCCUUUGGAAGAGUCUUCUUGGGGUUAUCCACCUCUCCAGCUAGUGUACUUAUUGAGUCCCAGUAGUUGAGAUUCCAAAACAGGGUGUUCAAAUACAAAUUCCAAUCCACUUCACCUAAAUUUACUACAAGCCAUCUUGAAGGCUCUAACUUGGGAAGGGACACAAGUCCCAUAACCACAAAAGGAAGGAGUGAGAAAAUCCCUAAAAGAACAGCAGCCCAUCCCACAAUGGUUAGACCCCUAUAGUUCAUGAAAGUGAGAACAAAAGUCAAAGCUAACGCCGCAAAGGCUCUAGGUAACCCAUUGCCCAACGCAGGGAUACCAGACUUCAAGUAGUCAAGAAACAGAACUGGGUAUAAAGCAUUAUCAAUAACCCCACUUAGCCAUUUCAUCCAACCUUGCUGAAAACCCCAAUAUGGGCCUAAGGCAGAUGAAACCCAAACCACAUAACCACAAUUUUCAGAAAACACGGUACCCAUCUCGGCAGUAAUUAAAGCUUCAGGGACACUCCAUAUAAUCGGAAACACCAAGAAACCAAGAAGUGCUAAAAGAGGACCAGCUGCCUUUACACUAUCCUCAACACCAAACGGCCCCCCAGAAACCUCAUAGAAUAUAAGGAAAAUAAGUGGCAAGAUUGAUACUUUUUUAGUGCCAUGGACUCUAGGAGAAGAUGGUUGGUCAUUGAUAUUAACAUAUUCAACAGCAUCAGACUGCCCCAUUUCUACUGAAACUUGCCUAUUUACAGUGUUCCUCAAUUUCUGCAUCAAGUUUUAGCAUAACUAUCAAAAGGGUAUCCGCAUGUAAAUUAUGAAACAAAAUGAGCAUUUACUUUUUAAAAAAAAAUCAAAAAACAGAAAUGGAUUUCGCAGAGCACAUGAAUUUAAGUUCAACAUUAAACAGGCGCUUAAGAAAACAAAAGGGUCUGUUCGUAAAGCCAUCAGAUUGCAAGAUUGAACAACAUUAACGGAAUCAAUAGAAUAGAUGUAAAGAGAUCUGAAAAGAAAAUAAAAUAAAAGAUGAAGAGAGAUAAAACGAACCAUCAAAUAAGUGCAUGCAGAGCAGAGAGGCAGAUACUAGAGAAGCUCCGUCAUGUUAGAGAGAGCCUAAAUCAAUCAGAGCUCACUGAGUUUCUUUUCAACCGACCGGCAAAUUUGGAGUGGCACAAAAUAAUAUUUUUGCUUUUAAUUUUUGGAACACUUUUGAAUGGAAUUUUUUGUUUUUAAAAAAGGUAAGGGAGAUUAGGGCAUCAUAAAAAGAUUUUUUAAAUAAAAUUUUAUUAAUUAUUUAAAAAAUUAUUUUAAUAUUUAAUAUUUUAAAAAAUAUUUUAAUUAAAAUUUUUUAAAUAAAAAAUAAUUUUUUUUAAAUUUAGAGAAUUAAUUUUUUUUAUAAUUUUUUUUAUUAUUUUUUAUUGAAAAAAAAGAGAUAAAUACUUUAAUUGUUAUUAUUUUUUUUAAAUAAUUAUUUGAUUAAAAUAAUAUUAAAUUAUUUUUAUUUGAAGAGUUUUUUAAAAAAUAUCAUAUUUUUUUAUCCUUCUAUUUGCCACAUGAGUAAACAAAUAGAUAUUUAAAGAAUAAAAUUUAUAUAAUCUUUUGGAAAUGCUCUUAAUAUUUAUUUAGUCUUAUAUUUUUUAAAAUAUUUUUAAAAUAUUUUUGUCGUUAAAAUAUUGAUAUUAUUAUUAUUUUUUUAUAUUUUUUAAUUUAUUUUUAUAAUAUUAUUUUUAUAAUAAUUUUUUAUUUAGAUAUUAAUAAAAAAAUAAUUUAAUUAAUAAUUUAAUCCUAAAAUAAAUAAACACGUGUUUGGUUUUGGGCCUUUUCUUUUGUUCGUUUAAUAUCAUCUGGCUCGCUGAUUUGUGACUAAUUAUCAACGGAAUCCCGUUGGUUUCUAAAUUGAAAUAAUAGAAGGUCAUGAGACUAUUUACUCCAUUUAGCACUGCAGACUUAGAGUAUAUUGAAAAAGCUUUGUCAAAUAGUAGUAAUAGGGGCAUAAGAAAUAAAUUAUAGCUAUCACAAAUUCGUUAGGAGAAUUUCAAUUUUUUCCGUCAAUAAUGGCUAUGAAGCAAAAUUACCUUAGGUUAUAUUGCAACACUAAUACUUCAAAUCCUGAUAAGGGGUGAUAAAAUUAAGGUUGUUCAAAUCCCUUAAAAUGCUCCUUUGUUUAGUUUAAAAGUUGUUCUUAAAAUGGAAACGAUGACUUAUUUAGAAGAAAUGGUAAAUUUAUAAUUUGUAAUAUUAUUUGCACAAACAAUAAUAAUGAAGUGUUAAUUACCACUUAACAUUUUUAAUUAAUUUCUAAAUUUAAAACAAAUAUGAAAGUUGAUUGCUUCGAAGGUUGGAUCGACAAAUUGACAUUUGAAAAGAGAAGUAGGGAAUGUAUAUUCUGAUGAAAGGGACAAGAUUAAGUAAGGGGACAAUAUUCUCUAUUGGACCUACAAAUGGGGGGAAAGAUAUAUAUAUAUAUAUAUAUAUUCUUAUUUGUGGAUUGGGCAUCACGUGUAACUAAUAUAAAAGGAGAAAAUUUAGCAUGGUUUUAACAUAUAUAAGAAGAGAAAAUUAAUUGUUCAAACAAAUUAGAAGCAAAUUCUUUCAUAUCUUUCUUUAUUUUUCCGCUUACUUUCUUAGCAUCCAAACAAGUUAAAGUUAAAACGCUGUUGAGCCAACAAUAUGCAGGCAUCAAUAAGCAUAGUAGUUUUGUAUAUGUAUUCUAUACGAUAUUCUGGGGAUGUCAAUUGUAGAACAUUUUGUGGUAACUUUUUUACAUUAAUUAAUGUUUGAAGAACUUGUUAAAAAGAAAAUGGUAAUUUUAUUAUUUUGAAAGACAAAAAAAAAUAAAAAUAAAAGAGUGAAAGUGGCGUUACCUCAUGGUCAUUAGAGACUUGUUGCAAUGAUAGCUCAAAAUUAAAAAUUUGUGAAGAAUUAGUAGACAACGACGAUACUAUAUUUAUAUAGUCACCAACAUGUUGAUUUUUGUUUAAUGUUUGAUCGAUAGAAACUUUUGUCGUCGUCGUCGCCGUUGUUGAAUUCAUGCUUAGAAUACCACAAGAGAAGAAGAAGGGAUGAAAGGGAAGAGAAGAAGAGAGAAGUAGUGGAUAGCAAAUAUGAUAUGCUAGCUACACACAGGCCUUAGAGAGUUUUUUUUUUAAUAUUUAUUGUAUUUUUGUUUUUGUUAUUGGUUUGUCAUAUGCUUCCAAGGCAGCAAUGUGUUACAUCAUAAAUUGCACCUUUUAGGGGAGGUGGUAAAAAACAUGAGAGGAAUGCAUUCUAGCGCAUACAUGCAGAAAGAGUUUCCAAAUUUUCAAAAGUUUGUUAUUUCUUCCACCUUUUUUUUGCUUAAAAUAAAUUUUAAUUGUAUUUUGCAUUAACUUAGAGAAAAAAAAAAUCAAGUUCUAUGCAUAAACGCAUACAUUGAUUAGAAAAUGAGUUUUAUGGACACAAAGGGACAAUAUAAGAGAUUCUUUUUGUUUAUUAGAAGUAACAUAACUAGUUAGUGUAACAUGUAAUUAUAAGCUACCAAGAAUUUGCACUGAUGAUAAUUAACGGUAUAGAUUUUGAGCUAUGAAUGUCUUGUGGCUAGUUUAAUUGGAUUUUCGAGUUUUCAGCAGAUCUAUUUUAAUGAUUAUUAAAUUAUUUUCACUUCUUAUGCUUUAAUAAAAAAAAUUCAAUAUUUUUUGCUGUAUUCUAUAUUUUAAAACUUAAUUUUUAAUUCUUUAUAUUGCAAACCAAACUGAGUCAAAUAGAGUAUGCUCGAAUUUUUCCAAUGCCUUCAAGAAGAAUUCAUUUUAUUUUUAUAUAUUAAUUUAACACAUGUAAACCGGGCCGUUGGAUUGCACAUAAAGCAAAUGAUCAAACCGUUACAAGACCGGCCCAGGCCCACCGACUCUAUUUUCUUUCAUUUGACCAUUAAAAAGCUUUUGGCCACCCCCACCAAAUAAAUAAGCUCUUGUUCUCUUUUGUUUCCCUCUCAAAGGAAAAUAUCUGAUCACCGGAUAAUGAUUCCGGUGACACAAAAGAUCGAAACACCCCCCUAAAUUCCCUAAAUUUACAAUAAUACCCCACCAUGGAUGAUUCCGUUGAAAUGCCGCCUUACGAUGAAAGGCCUAAAAAGGGUUUUAACUUCACCUCCAUGCGCUUGAUCUUAACCCUCGUUUUCCCAAUUUUAACUUGCUUUUUGUUGGCAUUUUUUAUUGGAAUCGUAGCUGUUUUAUUCGGCGAAUCAUCAGUUUCCAGUUCCAUUUUUGUCCCUUCCUAGUGCAAAAUAGUGUCCAGCAGUAAGCUUUUUUUAACAUUUUCAAUUUUUUUUCCAUUUAUGAAGUCCAAAAAUUUUAUUAAUUUUGAUUUUUUUGAAUGAUUUUGCAGGUGUUGAUAUAAGGUCAUCAAAAGUUCGUGAACUUGGGGUGUUGAAUUAUAAGGCGAAGCGUGCGUUUUAUCCAUUUGAAGCAAUUAAAUUUCGCUGUCGGUAUGAUUACUAUUGGGCUUCUAUCUUCAAGGUAUUCAUACAUUUUCCCCUGUACUAUAAGCUUCUUAGUGGCGGUCUUGUGAGCGGAAGUGAGCGGUGUGGCUGACAGCUUCUUGAAAAUUAUGAACAGAGCAUGUUAGACUUUUGUUGACCAAAUUCAAAAGCCAAAUGGCACAACUCAGAAGCUUUUGAAUUGAAUAACUUACUAGAAAGCUCCAAUUUUUUGUUGGCUACAGUAAAAGGAUGUUGUUUUAUUCUUCUUAUACUUUACGCUUGCAUCAGCUUAAAUCACUUCUUAAACGCUUUGCUUUAACUCUACCGCUUCAUACUGUUCUAUAUAUGUAUCGGGUAUGCGGUUGUAGUUCAUUGCUGAGACUACGUGUUUGUUUGACGUGGUAGUUACGUUCCGAGUCUGUUAAACAUUCGGUGAUUAAAGUAUUAUCAGUUAUUUCAAAGGGGCAAAUAAGAUUAGCUACAACACACCCACUAGUUUUAUAAAAUUCGAAUAAGAUGGAAUAAAAUAAAAAAAUAAAUAAGUAAAUUGACUUUUAAUUUUUGUGGUUGAAUAUAUUUUGUAUUCUCUCAGGGCACUGCUGUAAUUGUUCCUUAAAUGUCAGUCACACCCACAUGUUACAGACACAAGAAAUGAAAUCUAAGAUCACCUGUUUAAUUAAAGAAUCACUCAUAAAAAAAUUUUGCCAUUUUGAUUUGAGGAUCCACAUUUUGAACAACCAACUUAUCUUCAUCAAGAACAGAUCAUGGCCUUUGAGUAGAAAAAUUAUUUUUGGACAAACUAUUUUUAUUAAUAGAAGAAUUUCUCAAGGGACUAUUAAAAUUACUAAUGAAAAUGUCAGACACACCCACGUACCAUCGACACAAUUGACUAUGAGGAUCCAUGUUUUGAACUGCCACUUAAUGUUAAUCAAGAACAGAGUAUGGCUUGUGAGAAGAAAAAUUUCUGAUUUUGGCCUGGAACAAAAAGAAAUUAAAUUGAAGGAGAAUCUGGUACUUUCUCAUUAAGAAAGGCAGACGGGGCAUACUAUGGUACCAUACAAUACGAAAAGUCUCCGUUCUCUGGCUUUUAAACUCUAAAGGGGGCAAUAUUCCCCAAUUACCCCGUGAAAAUUCUGAUUACGACAUUAUUUAUUGCUUGAUACAUAAGUAAAAGUAGUGACAAAAUUAGGAAAAAUAUGACUCAUAAGUAAUUACUAGGCAGGGCUCUUGAGAGCAACAUUGUACUAGGCUUUAUAUGCAUACAUGGUGUGGUACAUAGAGCACGUUGAAUUCCACACUAUAACAUAAACCCAGAAAGACAAGUAAUAUCUCAACAUAUAUAAAGACAAAAAGAAGAUAAAAUGAUACAGAACAAAGAAUUUCUAAGAGACAGCAACAUACAAUAGACUGAAGCCAGUUGAUCUGCUCAUUGAUUGCAGCCUUAAACUUGCAAAUGUUUACUGUAGCCUGGUGCUCAAAGAAGUGAAAAUGAUGCAAACCUUGAUUCCCUAUUUACUUCCAUUUACCAUCAAACAUUCUAUUCAUAAGAAAAAAAAUGUUUAGAUAUCUUGCCGUAAAUAUAGCCAUUUGAUUGUUUUAAUAAAGCCACACACAACCAUUCAUAUUGAUCCACAUUGCCACAUAGCCUGAUUUAAGCAUACAACAGCUGAAUGUAUACCUGACUCCUAACCUUAUCAAUACAUUGGCGACAACUUAAGAAGAAAACUAUUUCUCCAUCUCUUUUUUGAAAUUUCACAAUAAAACAGCACAAUGUAAGAGCUGCAAUGAAAAUGGACCGUCUGGAACUAUGGCGGAAGCUUCAACUAGUGUAGUGAUUUGACCUUCUUAUUAACCUGGCAAGAUCAAACACUGCCCUUGAUCUUGAACAGAUCAAUACGAUACGCACAACUUAUGAUUGAAUCCAGAAACCAUCAAAUCUUUAGCAAGAAUAAUUAAUCAGAAUCAAGAAACAAGUUUAAUGAAUAUAAACCUAUAAUUGGAACAAACACAGCCAAAGAACCCAAGAAUGACACAACGUACACCAAGGGAGAAGCUUUCCAGUGAGAUUAUAUUGAUGAUCAAAGAAGAAUCUUUUUACAAAGGUAACAAAAGUGAUUUCAGAGAAUAAGCUAUGACCCUCUCUCUUUUCAAUCUCUGUCUAGUUUGUUAACAGUGAUGACCCCAAUCUGCUUCGUUAGCCAGGUUCAUAACUGCGUCAGUGACAAACUAGCAAACCUAGAUUGAGCAGACUAACGACACGUGCAUAACGGCUUUAACGAACUUGGUUAAAGAACUGCUCACAUGUUCGUCACGCGUGUUGCUUAAAUGAUAGCCAAAACGACUUCAACCAGAUGCCGUUUUGAAGCUUAUGAAUUAUAAGUGAAAACACGUGCUUGUCUCGUGACAUUUAAAUGCAACAACAAGCCCAAAACACUGUCGUUUCACUAUGUUGAGUUUGCCAUCUCCAAGCUUCACAACUAGCAGCGAACAAGAUGAUAAUUUAAUUGACAUGGAGAGCUUUUAUAUCACUUUUACAACAUUCUAUAUAAUUGUGAUAUUGGGAAUCGUCGGUGCUGUAUAUGUGAACCCUCAUUGGCGACACUGGUGGUUUUAUCUUUGUUAAAAUAUGGAUGACUUUUCGUUACUAUUUUGUUGUACAUAACCUUAUUCCUACGAGAUUUAAUCAUUGAAAUUAUGUUAGUUUCAUUAGAAGGCUGAGUGGUUAGUGCUGCUACCCUCCAAUUUGGAGGGCAGUAGUUUGAACCCCCACAAGCGCAAUGUGGGGGUAUUUCCUUCUUUAAUUACAUUGUAUAAUUGAGUAAAGGUAAUUUUCUCUCUUACCCAAGUGUGAGUGGAGUAGACAUCCCUCGAUGGUUAAAACCUGGGCAGAGCUUCAUAAGUAUUGAUGUAAGUUGGUCCCAGUAAUAGUCUGAUUUGUAAAUAUCAGUUAUAGUCUCAUGUUUCCUUCCUUAAUUAUAUUGUAUAAUUAAGUAAAGGUACUCUUUUCCCCUACCCAAGUGUGAGUGGAGUAAAUAUCCAUCGAAUAUUAGUGAGGGUUAAAAUCUGGGCAAAGCUCCAUAAGUAUUGAUGUAAGUUGAUCCCAGUAAUAGUAUGAUUUGUAAAUAUCAGUUAUAGUCUCAUGUAAUAUGAGUUGUAAUUUGAGCAAUAGUUUCAUGUAAUUAAAAAAAAUGUUACUUUCAUUACAUUUUUCUUCGUUAAAAUUCUCAAGUAUCAAUUAUGUUUGCUUAAGAAAUAAAAUUUUGUCAUUAAAGUUGUAGUAGUAUUUCUAAGCAUCUCACAUUUUCAAUGAUUUUUCAUAAAUCAAUUAAUAUGUCGUACCAAUAUCAUGUUUAGUUUUUCAGACUAAAUAAUCAAGAAAGCAAACAAAUUCACAGUUUAGAGGGGUAAACUAGCUUUUAGAUUUUAGAACUAGGCUAGCUACCUCACCAAAUUCCAGUUUGUACAGUGAACUACAAGAUUGAGAAAAUAAUGUAUUUAUAGUUUAAUUGAAUCAUGACAAACAAUGUAGUCAUAGCUCAAUCGGACAUGAUCACGGAGAGGCAUAUUCUUUUCAAGUUAAUUUGAUCCAUUUAUAAGAAAUGAAGUGGAUCGAAGUUAAAAGUUCAAAUAAAAAAUCCUUGUUCUUGAGUUUUACGACGUCGUUACUCCUUCAAGAGGCUGAUUAUGCAAGUGAAUGGAGAAACAUAAUGCAUUUAUAAUUUUUUUAAUAAUUAUAAAAAUAAUUAACCAUAACAAAUCCCUUGCGUAAAUAAUAAUCAUUAUUUAAAAGGUCCAAAGAUGGUUAGUGCACAAUCAAAUUUUAAGCCCCUACCUCCUCGGCCCAAGAUUCAAACUUAGAUGAUAAGCCAAAUAAAAUUAUUUGAAAAUCAUUCAAUCAAGUUCCGGGGCAAAAAUACAAGAUCCUUAUUUACAUGAUAUAUAUGAAUUAAUGUAAUUUAUUUGAAUUGUCCAAAUUCAUUAGAGAUAAAACUAUAAAAUAUACCAAAAAAGUUAGAAGGAAGGCUGUGUUGGGAUAUUUUACAAACUAUAGGGAUCUGGUGAGAUUUUGAGCCAAACUGUAGGGAGUUGAAGGCAUUUGCCCAAUAUGUUUAGACGUACACUAACCGUUAUUUGAUCUUGUUGUUGGUCCCGGAUGAGCUGUAGUCUUAUUUUAAUUUUAUUUAAACUCACCAUAAGAUUCGCGGAGCUCCUAACUAACUUAAAUGACUCUGCAGAGCAUGUCAACACAUACCAUGUUUAACCGUUUUAUUUGUAGAAGAAUUUAUGAUUUCCCAUUAGCAUUAUUAUUGAAGUGGGGCAGGUCAAAUCUCAAUUGCUUGAAAAUUUUAUUUAUUAUUAUUAGUCUUGAAGUGGGGUGGGUAACGGUUCGCUCAAUUCGAGGGGAAUCAAAUAUAUCAUCCAAGGUAGAAUUGUGGAAAAUUAAAGCAAAAUAAGAAAUAUGGAAAGACAAGAAGAAAGUUAAGGCAUGAAAGACAUAUACAGUUGAAAUUGAUAAUCAUGUUUCUAUUUUGUUAACUAAUCAAAUGGAAAGCUGAACUGUAAACAAACAUUAAAACGUGUGGACCAAGCUCGCUGUCCUACAAGUCUACAAUAAUAAUUGAGUACUUUGAUUCAUCCUUCUAUGAAUUUCUACCCAUAUUGACUCCACCGAAAUUUCCACAAAAUAAAAUUAAAAAAAAAAACUGAAUUUCCACAAAAUACAAAACCCGUUGAACUUAAUUUUUGGUCAUGUGAACUAAGAUGUAAAUUAUAAAAAAAAGUAUAAAAUUAAAAAAGAUGAGAUUUCUAAAAUGUGUGGAAAGUGAUUCAUGAUUCACUGAAAUUACUUACCCCAGAUAUAAAGGUAAACCUAUCUAAUUUCAUUAAAAAUAGUUGAAAAACAUUAACUAAUAGAAAGCUACGGAAAUUAACCCCCCACAAAAAUGACUUUUUAUAGAAGAAUUUAUGUUUUUUAAAAUAUGUUAUCAAAGUGUAUUUGAUCAAAUCUGAAUUGCUUAGUAUGGUUAGGAUUUUGUGAACAUCACUAAAAAGUGAAAACUAUGAAUGAUAGGGGUGAUGCUUGCAAUAUGAAUAAAUAAUGGACUGAUUCAAUUUCUGAUUACAUUUAUAUAUUAUUGAUUAUUUAUGAAUUUUCAGACUUGUUAUGAUGUAUAACUAUGUGAUUUUGAAACUUGAAACCGUGGCAAACAUUGAAAGGAAUUAUAACUUGAAAGCAUGACUCACGGGGUAUGUCAUGAUUCACGUGCACAAAAAAGGUAGAAUUGUGGAAAUUUACAACCCAACGACAAGUACGGAAAGAAAGGAAGAAAAUUAAAAGACUUUGGGCCUAGCUGCGUGUAUAAAUUAUUAGAUUACUUUUUUUUUUAUAAGGGUAAUCAUCAAUUUACUCCAUAAAAAUCUUUAAUUCAAUUAAAAUUUAUGGUAUUUUAUAUAUUAAAAAUUCUAAAAUAAUUAUGUAUUCACUUGAAUAUAGUUUUAGUUAUAAAUGUUAAAAUAUUGUGGUAUUUAAUAUAUUAUUUAUUUGACAUUCAAAUUUAAUAAGGAUACAAAUGUAAAAGUAUAUAUUUUUCAGCUUUUUAAGUUGAAAAAAACAAACAACUUAAUACUUAUUUUUUGAGAUUCAGACAAAAAAAUAAACAUAUUAUUCAGAUUCAGACAUUCAGAUCUAUUCAGAAUUCUCACUAAUUCAGAUCUAUUCAGAUUUCAGAUAAAAAAAAAAAAAACAAAACGCCACCUAAGUAUAGUUAGGAUUGUGUGAACAUCACUGAAAACUAUGAUUGAUAGAAGUGAUCUUGGCAAUAUGAAUAAAUAAUUAACUGAAUCAAUUGAUUUAUAUAUUAAUGAUUGUUUAUGAAUUUGCGGACUUGUUGCGAUAUAAUAAUAGCAUAUGAUUUUGAAACUUGAAACAGUGGUAAAUAUUGAAAGGAAUUAAUUUGAAAGCAUGAUCCGUGGGGAAUGUGAUGAAUCGUGUUUACAAAAAAGGUAGAAUUGUGGAAAUUUAUAAUAGAACGAUAAAUAUGGUAAAAAGGAAGAAAAUUGAAAGACUUGGGGCUUGGCCUGGGUGUAUUUUCUAACAGUCCAAUGGACAAAAUUAUAUUUGUAUACUUUCUUUUCAGGAAAAAGUUAUUCUCAUCCCUAGGUUUCAUGCAAUAGCUCAUUCCAUCCUUAUUUUUUAAAUAAUAGACCAAAACAUUCUUCCGUUAACUCACUGUUAGUUGAAUGUCGUUUGUUAGUUAUUCAUUAAGAGUAAAAAAUGAUUUUCUAUCAAAGAGAAAAUUAGAAAAAUAAAUAAAAGUUGACAUAUAACUAAAAAUGAUUUUAUCUAAUCCCACUAAAUAAGAAAUACCAAAAAAGAUGAAAAUUUUAUAUUUCAAGCAGUUCUUUUUUCACUUAUUUCUAUUUUGGCGGUAUGAAAGCCCUAUAAACCCUAGAUCUAAGUACCAAAAAUAUUGCAAUUUUCUUAUUCAUAUAAGUAUACUCUCUAAUUGCACUAUAAAAUGACUUGAAUUGAAUUGAAGAUAAAGAAUAUAUUCAGCACAUACAAAGCACAUAAAAAUUGGUGGCAUUUUUGAGUUUUUCUUCCAAUGAUUUAAAUAUAUUAUUUUAAUUACAGUUUGUUCCUUAUGACAAUUAUUAAAUGGCUAUAUCAAACUAUAUCAUCGUUGAUUUCAUUUAAAAAAAAAAGUUAAUGAAUUUUGCAUACUUUGUAGUGUUAUUUAAUUGUGUAAAAAAAUUAUUUUAAUAUAGUUUGUAUCACUUUAAUGAAAAAUUCUAUUUUGCCCUCAAUGAAUUACUAGUUAACAGUUUUACACUAACGGUGAAUUAACAUAAGGAUAUUUUAGGCUAUUGUUUGAAAAGGAGGGAUAAAAUGGGCUAUUACAUUAAACUCUAAGGAUGAAAAAUGCUUUUUCCCCUUUCUUAUCAAUCAACUAACUGAUAAAAGUCAAAACUCAUAUUUUUUUUUCCUUGUUUCAAUCCCCUCUCAAUCAAAAAAGUUUCAUUGUCUAAGCAAUGAGGAAUAUGGCUAGAAAGAUUGUUAUUAGAAAGAUUUAUCAAUAGUAAUUGGUUCACAAUUGAACCGUUUUAGAUUAUUGUGAGUCAAUAUAGGUCCUGUUUGGAAUUGAAGUGUUGCAGCUCUUAAGUUAUAGAUGCUUUGGAAAAAAAACUAAAAUUAUGAAAUAAGAGUUAAUAAUAUAUAAUAAAUAUAAAUUUUAAAUAAUAAUUGUGACAAAAUUAUUAAAAAUAUAAUAGAUUUUUGAUAAUACAAGUAAAAAAAUCAUAACAACAUAGCUUGCAAGCUACAACAGUUAGUGUUUAACAAAUACUUUAAUACUGUGGCUUUUAAGUUACAGCUGUUCAAUACCUCAAUUCCAAACGCACCUAUAAAAUGGCUUGCUUCAAAAGUCUAUCAACCCAACUUGGAAUGCUCUCAUUCAAGUGGCUAUAACUAAGAUAAAACUUCGCUAAGGAAGAGUAAUUAAAAAAUGUAACUUUAACAUGUCCAUAUAGCAUUUUUGUUUACAAGUGAAUUUGUGUGAUAGAGAGAGGAUGUAAGCAAGAUAGUAAAGUCCUAAAUAUAUUAUUGUGUAUAAUGUCUAAAAUUUAAAGAGAAUCAAGCUGAUAAAACUCCAUUGAAAUUAGACCUUCAAGAAUACGGUUCUUGGGCAUUAUAAAAUGUUGUAAUGUUGAGAGAUUACCCAACCAUUAUGGAAUCCUACCAAGAUGAUUGUUACCACUAAGAUACAAUCCUUCUAGUGAACAACAAUCAGAUAAAUUUUUUGGGGAUCUCUCUUACAAAGUGAUUACCAUCCAAUCGCAAUUUUGAAUGAAAAUAAAUUUUUUUUAUUGGGAGUUUAACCUUAACAUUAAAUUUAGACAAUGAAUUUUAACUUUCUACAGUUAUUAAGCAGAUUACGGACAUUUGAGGAAUUUGAAAACAUUUCAUCCAUCGAAAGUUAAAAUUAGAGAUGGAAGAUAGGUGCUACAGCUAAUGGGAACAUUACUUCCUGUCCCUCAUCACACUUUAUUUUGGGUCUAAUAAUUUUACGGUAGCAUUGACCACUGCUCAAGGUAAGUAAAACUUACAAAUGUGUGGCAAAAUAAAUAAUUAAGUACAUAAACUGUUAACCAAUUUUCUUGAUAUAUACAGCUAAAGUAGUUGUAUAUUAGUGUCCUGAAACAUGUUUAUUAUGAUAGACACCUCCACCGUACCUCAAACAAAUCUGUCAUUAUUAGUGUCCUGAAACAUGUUUCGGCCGUCAAAGUCAUGAGAGGGUUGAUGACGCUACUACGUAUGAUGACACACCAGCCGACAGUGUAGUAACAGCUCAAAAACAAAAUCUACCAAAAUCAACGGAAGUUAAUAAAAAAAUAUUUUAUUAAUAAAAAAACUUAUUAUUUGUGGAGAUAUGUGUAUUUGAGUCUGUGGACUGAAAUGGAAAAUAUGAAGAAGUUCAGAGUCGUUGUGCAGAUUGACUUCAGUUGAGCGGGUCUAAUAGAUAUUUUAUGCUGACGUGGCACGAAUUAGUUAUAAUCUGUUAUAACGAUUCCAGAAAUAUCGGUAUAAAUAGAAGUUGAUGAGCAGUGCCUGUUGUACGAUCCUUUUCUUCUUCAGCAGUUCGUCAAUUUGCAUAGAAUCUGUUUCACUUAUGUUUGAUUAGUUGUUGAUCGAUAACGAGAGUAAAUUUUUCCUUCAAAUCUUGCUGGUUCGUGCCCCUGUUUCAGUUUUGGGUUUUUUUUUUUUUUUAGUUCUGGUUUCUUAAUUCAAUUGAAUUUCUUGGUGCUUAAUUCAUCAAGAUUCAGUGGAAUUGACUUGAAAAGGACUCAAUAGACUCAACAUUAUUUAACGACACUCGGACCGUGGGGUACCGUAAUCAUAAUAUUAAAAGAUUUAAAAUUUUAUGCAUUUAUUAAUUGUUAUAAUCUAAAAAAAAAUUAAUUAAUUCAGGUCAAUCUGAGUUGGUGCAUCUGCAGAGCCUUUUUUUUUUUUCCCCUUAUUGACCAUAACUUUCGACUUAUUAAUAGUUAUAUCAAAGGGUGUGGGUGUUUUACCUCAUCAUGUCUUCAAGCGGAAGAUGAAGACUAUGCAAGUGAAUACAGUGCAUUUCAACAUAGCAUAUUUAACCGUUUUAACAGUUAUUUGGACCGUCUUCAGAGCUAACAUCAACAUACUCAUUCAUAUGCUUAAUAAUGAACGAAUAGUCAUGGAUCGAUGUUUUGCAGCAAGAGCAACUCGACACAAUCUGGAUUCAACCUCCUCCUUUCUAACAGGGUGAUACGCCGCGGAGGUCGUCAAGGAUUCCAAAGCCUAGCAACAAGUAUGCUGGGUACAUUUGAAUUAUGCAUGGAUGCUUGGAAGUCGAACGGUCACAUGGCUCAAGACUUAUGCAUACGUUACAUGCAACAUGCAGCACGUUGGAAGAAUGGUCAUUGGAGCAGUCUACAUGGAUCAUGGGGGGGAUUCGGUCAACAUGGGAUCACUUGCUGAUUUAAUGGAGAUUUAUCAUUUGGUUUAAUUCAUUUUCGGUUGUUUAGUUAAGCUAAAAGAAUAAGUUAAGUUGUUAGCUUAGGACCUGCCUACAAUCUCGAGUGAUAGUUAGAUUGUUUGGCUAAGUUGUUUUAAGUAUAAAUAAGCUCCAACGGACUUGAAUAAAGGGCAUUGACUAUUAUCCAAAAAUCAAAUAUCUUGUGGUCUUAUUUCUCACCCUAAGUAGAAAUAUAUUCAACCACUUACGCUUUGACUGGGACCCCUAUCAGUGGUAUCAGAGCGAGGUUACUAUGUCAACCAACAAGGAACGCAUAGAGCGUGUGGAAGCCGAGAUCGGAAGCUUGCAAGAUGGAAUGAAGCGUAUGGAACUAGGGCUUACUGACAGAUUGCACCGCCUAGAAGAAACAAUGAGCAAACUGGUAGAUUCACUUCCAACUUCAAAAGGGAUGCCAAGUCACAACAAUUCUGAUCACGUUGGAUCCUCACAGCCUAGCCGUGGAGAUAGUGAAGGGAGCCGCCAUCAGCUAGCAUCAAGACUUACCAAACUGGAGUGUCCACGAUAUUCCGGCGACGACCCAACGGAGUGGUAUAAUAGGAUCAUGCAAUUUUUCGAGUACCAGAAAGCAACCAAUGAACAGAAAGUCUCCUUAGCUUCUUUUCACCUCGAAGGAGAGGCCAACCAAUGGUGGCAGUAGAUGCGACGAACUUAUCAAGAAGACGAAAAAAUAGUAACGUGGGAAAUUUUUGUGGAGGAGCUUUGGGCACGGUUUGGCCCUACUGAGUGCGAAGAUUAUGAUGAGGCGUUGUCCAGGGUUAAGCAGACAGGGUCACUACGUGAUUAUCAGAGGGAAUUCGAAAGGCUUGGGAACUGGGUACGAGGCUGGACGCAAAAGGCCUUGGUCGGGACCUUUAUGGGAGGAUUGAAGCCGGCAAUCUCAGAGGAAAUUCGGAUGUUUCGGCCCAAAACUUUAAAAGAAGCUAUAAGCCUCGCACGUAUGAAGGAUGAUCAAUUAACGCGACAAAGGAAGUUGCUACGACCACAGUACCUCAACCGUACACCACCAACACCAACAAACAAUACCCGUGCCCAACCAACGAGACCCAUCAAACGGCUGACUUGGGACGAAAUGCAGCGGCAUCGAGUAAUGGGACUUUGCUUCAAUUGCAACGAUCGGUUUACAGCAGGUCAUAAGUGCACCCAACCUCAGCUAUUGCUCCUUGAAAGUGAGACAAUGAAUGAUGAAACUACAUAUGAGGGAAUUCCUGAAGUCUUAUGAACAAAACCUGACACUAAAGAGCCUACCGAUCCAAAAAUCACUUUCUAUGCCCUCACUGGAUGGGCAGCCCCAAGAACCAUGCGGGUCACGGCAACGGUAGGACCAUAUGAGAUUAUGGUUCUGAUCGAUAGCGGUUCAACUCACAAUUUCAUCAGCUCCCGAAUGGCCAACAUGUUACGGCUGCCAAUCAUUCCCACAGCAGGAUUUUUGGUGCGAGUGGCAAACGGAGAAACGCUAUCGUGCAAGGGAAAAUUCGAACGGGUUCAGGUAUUAUUACAAGAAGUUCCAUUCACUUUGACUCUUUAUUCACUUCCAAUUACAGGGUUGGAUAUGGUGCUUGGAGUCUAGUGGCUUGAGAUGCUAGGCUCAGUGGUUUGCAAUUGGAAACAACUUACCAUGGAUUUCACUUGGGAGAACAAAAGUUGCCGGUUACAAGUCAUCGGGCCUCAAUCAAUCCAAACAGCAUCCUUGACCGAAAUUACCAAAGAGCUGAGACAAGGGCAGUCCGGUUUUGCUAUUUGUUUCCAUGUGAAUGUAGAAGACUCUCUCAACACAACAACUCCAGAUAUGCAAGACUUGUUAAAGGAAUACAACACUUUAUUUCAAAAGCCAACAAAACUGCCACCUAGACGAGAAAUCGACCAUAACAUCACAUUGAAAGAGGGAACUGAGCCAGUCAACGUACGGCCAUACCGUUAUGCCUAUUUCCAGAAAGCCGAAAUUAAAAAACAAGUCCAGGAGAUGCUGAAUUCGGGACUCAUUCGGCCUAGUACCAGCCCUUUUUCAUCACCAGUACUACUUGUCAAAAAAAAAGAUGGAAGUUGGCGAUUUUGCACCGACUAUCGGUCUCUCAAUAACGCCACUGUUAAAGACCGAUUUCCAAUCCCUACAGUCGAUGACAUGCUGGACGAGUUACAUGGAGCAGCAUACUUCACUAAAUUGGACCUAAGGGCCGGAUACCAUCAGGUACGUGUAAACCCAGCCGAUAUCCACAAAACGGCUUUUCGUACAUACAAUGGACAUUACGAAUACUUAGUAAUGCCGUUUGGCUUAUGCAAUGCACCAUCGACAUUCCAGGCCAUCAUGAACUCUAUCUUCCGUCCCUAUCUCAGGAAAUUUAUCCUUGUUUUCUUUGACGAUAUAUUGAUAUACAGUCCCUCUUGGUGUAGCCACCUUACUCAUGUUAAGCAGGCAAUGGAGGUUCUUAAACAACAUCAAUUUUUUCUUAAAGCAAGCAAGUGCACUUUUGGCCAACAAGAACUCGAGUACCUUGGCCACAUAAUUACCAGCCAAGGGGUAAAAGUAGAUGAGACAAAAAUUGCGGCCAUGGUCUCCUGGCCUCAACCGAAGAACAUCUCAGAGUUACGGGGAUUCCUUGGCCUUACAGGUUACUAUAGAAAGUUCGUCCAAGGAUAUGGAGUUUUAGCUCGGCCACUCACGAAUCUUCUAAAAAAAGGACAGUUUGAAUGGAAUGCAGAAGCGGACAAAGCUUUUAUCAAUUUAAAAAAGGCAAUGACAAGUACACCCACAUUAGCCAUGCCUAAUUUUAAUGAAACUUUUAUUAUUGUGACAGAUGCAUCCGGUGACGGCAUCGGCGCAAUACUCCAGCAACAAGGGCAUCCCAUCGCAUUUAUGAGUCGUGCCUUGGGAGUCACAAAAAAAUCUUAGUCCACAUACGCAAAAGAGAUGUUGGCGAUUAUAGAAGCUAUCCGUGUGUGGCGACCUUAUCUGGUGGGACGAAAGUUUAUCAUCCAAACCGAUCAACGCAGCCUUAAGUACCUUUUGGAACAAAAAAUAACGACACCCGAAUAGCAACAGUGGCUGGCCAAAUUGAUGGGGAUUGAAUAUGAAAUCCAAUAUAGGCCCGGCCGUGAGAAUGUUGCCGCCGACGCCCUUUCACGACGACCUGACAGUUCUGCUCUUAACAGUUUAUUUGUGGCGCAGGUAUCUAUUUGGAAUGAAAUAAAAACGGCUGCCCAAGAUGAUGAUUACAUGCAGCAAAUUACACAUCAGGCUCUGACUCAACCUACUGGCCCUUAUUUCAUGCGUAACGGGCUAAUUUUCUUCAAGGGCCGAGUUGUAGUUCCUCUUCGACUCCGUCAAUCUUUAAUUUUUUAAGCCCAUGACACUAAGAUGGGAGGUCAUUCAUGAGUUCUACGUACUUACAAACGUUUGAAACAACAAUUCUAUUGGCCUUCAAUGUUUCAAACGGUUCAUGACUAUGUAGGUAAAUGCGAGAUUUGUCAAAAAACGAAAGCAUCAACCCUUAAGCCUGCGGGUCUCCUCCAGCCCUUGCCAAUUCCUUGCCAAGUGUGGGAUGAUAUCACGCUCGACUUCAUUGAAGGGCUGCCAAACUCACACGGUAAAAAUUCUAUUCUAGUGGUGGUGGAUCGGCUCAGCAAGAGUGCACACUUUAUGGCCUUGACUCACCCAUUCACAGCAAAAACAGUGGCUGAGAAGUUUAUUGAUGGAGUGGUAAAAUUACAUGGCAUGCCGAAAUCAAUAAUCAGUGACCGAGACCCUAUUUUUAUUAGCAAGUUUUGGCAGGAGUUUUUUCAUAUGUCCGGUACACAACUCAAUAUGAGUUCUGCGUACCAUCCGCAAACCGACGGUCAAACGGAAGUUAUUAAUAGAUGUCUUGAACAAUACCUGCGAAGCUUUGUUCACCAAUGGCAGAAGCAAUGGAACUCUUACCUACCUUGGGCAGAAUACUGGUACAACACAACGUACCAUGAGUCCACAAGCAUGACUCCUUUUUUGGCUUUGUAUGGGCGACAUCCACUGGUAGUACCAAUGUAUCAUGUGGAAUCUUCUCCAGUGCACAAGGUAGAUCAAGCUUUGUUGUCUAGGGAUGAGCUGCUGCGACAAUUAAAACAGAAUUUGAAAAUGGCAACCAAUCGCAUGAAACAAUUUGCGGAUACAAAAACGCGCGACGUGGAGUUUAAGGAGGGUGACAUGGUAUUCCUAAGACUUCCACCGUAUAGGCAGACUACUGUAUUCCGUCGUGCUCAUCAGAAGUUGACCAGCAAAUACUCUGGGCCAUAUCCAAUUCUGCGAAGAGUGGGACAAGUGGCUUAUGAGCUUAAACUACCGACGGGAUCUCGAGUGCAUCCGGUAUUUCAUGUGUCCUUACUCAAAAAAUACGUUGGUGAGAUGCCUCAAUUCAGUGCAGAUCUUCCAUAUGUCAAUGACGACGGAGUACUCGUUUUAGAACCGGACAAAAUUAUUGAUGUUCGUUGGCUUAAAAGAGGUGGCAAGUUGGUGGAACAAAGUCUUGUCCGUUGGAAACGCCUUCCACAUGAGGACGCAACAUGGGAAGAUUCAGAGUUCCUGGCAAAGCAAUUCCCUCACCUGACCCUUGAGGACAAGGGUCCUCUUCGUGGAGGCGGUAUUGAUACACCGCGGAGGUCGUCAAGGAUUCCAAAGCCUAGCAACAAGUAUGCUGGGUACAUUUGAAUUAUGCAUGGAUGCUUGGAAGUCGAACGGUCACAUGGCUCAAGACUUAUACGUUACAUGCAACAUGCAGCACCUUGGAAGAAUGGUCGUUGGAGCAGUCUACAUGGAUCAUGGGGGGGAUUCGGUCAACAUGGGAUCACUUGCUGAUUUAAUGGAGAUUUAUCAUUUGGUUUAAUUCAUUUUCGGUUGUUUAGUUAAGCUAAAAGAAUAAGUCAAGUUGUUAGCUUAGGACCUGCCUACAAUCUCGAGUGAUAGUUAGAUUGUUUGGCUAAGUUGUUUUAAGUAUAAAUAAGCUCCAACGGACUUGAAUAAAGGGUAUUGACUAUUAUCCAAAAAUCAAAUAUCUUGUGGUCUUAUUUCUCACCCUAAGUAGAAAUAUAUUCAAUCACUUACGCUUUGACUGGGACCCCUAUCACAGGGGAUUUCGAUUUGAGUUACUUUGUGCUCAAGCAAAUUCACAUCAUAGUUUUGAUUCUUUAGAUAUGAAUUCAUCACAUUACAUAUAUCAGAUUAAGUGUAACAAAAUUUUUAAUUUACUGCGAAAAGAAUAUGCACUAAACAAUGAUUUCAAGACGAUUUGACUACCAAAAGCAGCUGUCAGAGUGCACUAAAAAUUUCUGUAGGAUAUUUUGUAGCUGUUUAAUAUGUUAUGAUGGGCAUAUAAUUCUCAAAUUUUGAUGCCUCUCAGCGAAAAAUAUAUCAAAGUUUAGAUUAUGUGUUCGAGCUUUAAUAAAUGGUCGGAAAAAAAGCUGCUGUCAGAGUGCACUGAGUGAAUAAUAAUAACGACAAUAAUAAUAAACUAAAAAACAGAAUUAAUUACUAUUGAAUGGUCGGAAAAAAAUUUGAAAACGUGUGAACUCCAAUAAUCACCCCACAAAUUCAGUGGCGAAUUUUGGAGAGGGCAAGGCCGGGCUUCUCAGAAAAAAAUUUAUUUAGUUACAAAAUUAUCUUUAUUGAAACCUAUAUAAAUUUUUUUUUAUAUUAAUUAGUUAUGUUACCUCUUCAAUUAUCAUCAAAUUUUUGUCUGUUCAUCAUUUGGUGAAUAAAUGUGUGUCUAAAUAAUUUCAAAUAACAUUUAGAACAAAUAUUUUGAGAGGUAAAGUUUAUUUUGUCUCCCAUUAUUAGGUGCAUCUAUAAUUUCUUAUUUACAAAAUUAUAUUGUACGAUAAAAAUUUAUUGAAUUAGGGGGAAAAAAAAAGUUCAGCUCACUCAAAAACAAAAAAUGGUAUUAACUUCGCCACCGCACAAAUCUAGAAUAAUAAUUAUUCCUUAUCAUGCUGGGGAUCCUUUACUUUCUAGCCGUAUUGACAGCACCAGGUAAAGCUUUGUAAAAUAAUAAGUUACUCAUUAGUGGUUUUUAAUCUUUUUAAUUCUUUUUACCGCACACCUGAUCAAGAAUUUUAUUUUGUUAACUAAUCAAUUGCAAAGCAUAUAUAAGUGUUGAACGGUACGCAAGAUUGGAAAAAAAAAUCUUAAAAAACGUGUGGAUUCGGGUGGCCACACCAGAAAUCUAUUACAAUAAUUAGCUUUGAUGCUGGGAAUCUUUUAAUUUCUGGCCGUAUUGAAAUUUUUAAAAUAACAAGUUCCCCUUCUCGUUUUUUUUUUUAUAAAUAUAUAAGCUUAUAACAAUUUUAGAAUAAUGACUCAUUUGUAGAAGAAUUUAUGAUUUCCCAUUAAUAUUAAUAUUGAAGUGGGGUGGGUCAAAUCUCAAUUGCUUGAAGAAUUUAUUUAUUAUUAUUAAUAUUAUUAGUAUUGAAGUGGGGUAGGGAACGGACCAGCAGUUCACUCAAUUCGUGGCGAAUUAAAUAUUACCAUCCAAGGUAGGAUUGUGGAAAAUUAAAGCAAAAUGACAAGUAUGGAAAGGAAGGCUGAAAGUAAGGCAUGACGAAAGGCUUUGAGAAGGCUGAAGACUUACCAAAGAAGUCAACUGAAAACUAGCUGGGGCCUGAGUGUAUAAAUUGUUAGAUGCGUUUGUUAUAAAUAACAUAGAGCCCUUUUGUUAUUUAUAGUUAUAGAGAAAGAGAGAAUGUGUGUCUUUUAAGAGUUAGAGAUAUAGCUAGAAUGGGCGGCUCAAAAUCCAAAAUGGUGACAAUGUUAGUUCUCGUAUUGGUAAUAUUUUGGGUGGGGGGGGGGGGGGGGGGGGGGGGGGGUUGUGAGGGAAGGAAGGUCCACAGGCCGAGUGGUACAACUACACCUUGGCCUUACUAGGAAUAUCGAUCUGGGAGAGUGGUAUCUGAAUGCUUCUCUAUUUACUUCCUUUCAACAACUUGGUAACAAAAUAGCCGGCUGCAUGCGUUGAGAAUGAAGGUCCUUCAUUUAAUUUAAUUUACUUAAUUUCUCCCUCCCAAUUAAUGUCUAAUGGAGCUCAUUCUUUGGUUUUACUUGCAGGUCUAGAAGCAGGUGUCAUCUAACAGCUGCUUUGAUAAUUUCCCACCCCUUCAUCUUUGAUGGAAAGAUGAAAUAAAAACAAAAUGGUGAAAAUGGUAUUGGUACCUGAGGCUAUGUAAUCUAAUUCAACAACUGCACCAUCAAAACGAUUACAUAAGUCCCAGAAGAAUCAAACAUUAGUUUGCAAAAUAUCAAUUGCUGGAGGUUAGAUUCUAACUUCCGCUCUUGAUUUUUAUGGGCAUGUUGUAUUGUACUUGCAUACGAAAAUCAUAUUUUAGUUUACUUACACUCAAUGCUUGGAUUAAAGUUUCAGGUGGGGAAAAUUGAAGGAGACUAAAAUGACUCAAAAAAAUAGUUGAAUGAGUGAGGGUUUUGUCUUCAUUUGAGGAGCUCUUUAUAAAUUUUAGGAUUUUUUUUCCCGAGAAAAUUUAUGCCAACUUAUUCUUUGCUUCUUUUCUGAAGGGACAAAUGCAACUGAAAGUGUAUUCUUGAAUUCUCCAGGAUAAGAGACAUAUGUUUAAUUAGAUUCUCGAGCCUUCAAAACAAUAUAAAAUUUUAUAUAUCUGAGCAUGAUGGUGUUUGACAUGACUUAAAAUUGUUUAAUUUACUCUCACGUACAAGAAUGCCUAGUUAUAUUGUCGCUCAGAGUCCGAGGUUAAUCCAUAAAGAAAUGAUUUAAUUUGUUUAUUUAAGAUUAUCCCAAAAAAUAAAAAUAAAAUUUAAAUAUAUGUAAUUUAAUUUGAAAAAAGUUAUGAAAUUAAAUUAUUUAGAGUCAUGGAUCCACUCUUAGUAAUAAAUACAAUUUAAUAAAUUCUUUUUAUUUUUAUUUUAUUGCCCAAAAGAUUAAUUAUAUAAAUUAUAAUUAUUUUUCCAUUAAUUUUAUUAUGGAUUAAGUACUUAAUGUGCCAAAACUUAACUUGUCUACAAUAUGUCAAAAUACCAUUUUACCAUACUUUAUGCUAAGAUAUUAAGAAUUCAUGUGCCAAACUCCCAUGUUUGUCUACAAUAAAUCCAAAUUUCAAAACAUAAAAUAUGGAUCAAAUUAAAUAAAAAAUAAUUUAAUUUAUAUAAUUAAAAAUAGAAUUUGAUUAAAUCAUAUUUUUCUACUUAGAGUUUUACCUCACCCUAACUAUUAGUAUUUAGCUAAACAUAUUUGAAAUAAAUGAAAUUAUUAAAAUUGAAAAAUACAUAAUUAAAAAAAUGGUAUUUGAAAAUUAGAAAUAAAACUAAUUUUAUUUAUUGAAAAUGUAUUACAAAGAGAGAUGAGAAGAAGAAUUUGAGGGAAAAGAAGAGAAGAAAAUGUGUGGAGAGGUGUGUGAAAUUAUAUUGUAAAGAUGUUACACAAACAAAUGAAUAAAAAAAAACUAAAUGAAAAUUACACAAAUUAAAAAGAAAAUGAAAAUUAAAUAAAAAAGAUAAAUGUGUAAGAAAAAAAUGCGCAAUAAAAAUAAAUAAACUGAAAAGUAAUUAACUAAAAUUAAAAUAACUAAAUAGGCGGUAAACAAAGUAAAUGCCAAAAAUAAAAUAAGUGCGAAAAUUAAAUUACAGAAAUUAAAAGAAGAAAGAAAGAAAAAAAUAAUUAUCUCAAAGUGUAAACUCUUUUUCUUUUUCUUUUCAAAUUUUAAAUAUUACCAGCCAAUUAAGUGAUUAAUUCAAAUUAUUAGGCUUUAAUAGUAAUUUUUAAAAUCAAUAUUCAGUUUAUUGAGUCCAAAUAAGGUCCAAAGAAGUUCAAGUUGUUGGUCUAAAAUUGAGAAUUUUGGGAAAUAUUGGCAACGGACCUAUUCAAAAAGCUCUAUAAUUUUGUGGUCAAACUGCAAUUAUGAGAAGAAUGAUCCAAAAAUUAGAAUUUUUGGGGUGAGUGAGAUUUAGAAAGAUUUUGUGGAUAUAACAUAAUUUAAGAAAGAAAAAGGAGGUAAAUGAAAAUUUACACAAAAAGUAUAAAAAGAAAGAAAAAAGAAAACAAAAUAAAUACCUCUCCCAGCAAUGGCGGUAAAAACUUAACACGACUUAAAAGCAUUUAAUUUACUCUAAAGUAUAAGAGUACCUAGUUAUAUUAUAUCGCGAGAAGUCCGAGAUCGAUCUACAGAAAAAUGAUUUAAUUUAUUUAUUUAAGUUUAUCUAAAAAAUAAAAAUAAAAUUAAAUACAUGCAAUUUAAUUUGAGAAAAACUAUGAAAUUGAAGUAGUUAGGAUUAUGGAUCUACUCCUAGUAAUAAAUGUAAUUUAAUAAAUUCUUUUUAUUUUUAUUUUAUUGACCAAAAGAUUACUUGUAUAAAUUACAAUUAUUUUCCCAUUAAUUUUAUUAUGGAUUAAGUACUUAAUGUGCCAAAGCUUAACUUGUCUACAAUAAGUCAAAAUACUAUUUUACCAUACUUUAUACUAAGAUAUUAACAAUUCAUUGUGCCAAACUCCCAUGUUUGUCUACAAUAAAUCAAAAUUUCAAAAUAUAAAAUAUAGAUAAAAUUAAAUAAAAAAUAAUUUAAUUUAUAUAAUUAAAAAUAGAAUUUGAUUAAAUCAUAUUUUUCUACUCAGAGUUUUACCUCACCCUAACUAUUAGUAUUUAGCUAAACCUAUUUGAAGUAAAUGAAAUUAUUAAAAUUGAAAAAUACAUAAUUAAAAAAAUAGUAUUUGAAAAUUAGAAAUAAAACUAAUUUUAUUUAUUGAAAAUAUACUACAAAAAGAGAUGAGAAGAAAAAGUUGAGGGGAAUGAAGAGAAAAUAAGGUGUGGAGAGGUGUGUUCCUCCCCCCACUUCUCUAUUUAUACUAAUACAUGAUUAAUCUAUACCACACAAAUAAAUAAAACUAAUUACAUCUUAGGCAUACAUUUGUCCCACUAACAAAAUAUAAACCUAAGUUAAUCCACUUAAGCACAUCCAACACAUUUCACUAACAAUUACCACACCUAACAUGAUAAAAACUUAUAAUUUCACAAUUACCACAUUUACUUUUACAACAAAAACCACGAAUCUUCUCGACAAUAACCUAAUUUCUCGGACUUUCGGAAUCUAAAAAUUUAAAUAAUAUUAAAUUUAUCUAAUAUAAUUAAAUGUAUUAAAUAAAAUAAUGUUUCAUUUUAUAUUUACCCUCCUUUUAUUAAAUUUACUAUAAUUAUAUUUAAUAAAAUAAAUAAUAUUAUAUAUUUAAAUAAUAUUAGUUAUAUUUAACUAAAUUAAAGCAAAAUGACAAGUAUGGAAAGGAAGGCUGAAAGGAAGGCAUGACAAAAGGCUUUGAGAAGGCUGAAGACUACCAAAGAAGUCAACUGAAAGCUAGCGGGGGCGUGAGUGUAUAAAUUGUUAGAUGUGUUUGUUAUAAAUAACAUAGAGCCCUUUUGUUAUUUAUAAUUAUAGAGAAAGAGAAUGUGUGUUUUUUAAUAGUUAGAGAUAUAGCUAGAAUGGGUGGCACAAAAUCCAAAAUGGUGACAAUGUUAGUUCUCGUAUUGAUAGGGGGGGGGGGAGAGGUCGAGUGAGGGAUGUUUGGAGCAUGAGAAAUUUGAUCUUUUGCGGCUGGAUGUUUGGAGCAUGAGAAAUUUGAUCUUUUGCGGCUUAAACAUUUCUUCAAUUCCCCUUAUACACUUCAAAACUGGGUAGGUGAACAAAGGGAAAGGGUUGAGUGCAGCAACUCCACAGGCCAAGUGGUACAACUACACCAUGGCCUUACUAGGAAUAUUGAUCUGGGAGAGUGGUAUCUGAAUGCUUCUCUAUUUACUUCCUUUCAACAAUUUGGUAACAAAAUAGCCGGCUGCAUGCGUUGAGAAUGAAGGUCCUUCAUUUAAUUUAAUUUACUUAAUUUCUCCCUCCCAAUUAAUGUCUAAUGGAGCUCAUUCUUUUGUUUUAUUUGCAGGUCUAGAAGCAGGUGUCAUCUAACAGUUGAUUUGAUAAUUUCCCACCCCUUCAUCUUUGAUGAAAAGAUGAAAUAAAAACAAAAUGGUGAAAAUGGUAUUGGUACCUGAGGCUAUGUAAUCUAAUUCAAAAACUGCACCAUCAAAACGAUUACAUAAGUCCCAGAAGAAUCAAACAUUAGUUUGCAAAAUAUCAAUUGCUGGAGGUUUGAUUCUAACUUCUGCUCUUCAUUUUUAUGGGCAUAUUGUGUUGUACUUGCAUCCGAAAAUCAUAUUUUAGUUUACUUACACUCAACGCUUGGAUUAAAGUUUUAGGGGGGGCAUUGAAGAAGACUAAAAUGACACAAAAAAAGAGUUGAGCGAGUGCGGGUUUUGUCUUCAUUUAAGGAGCUCUUUGUAAAUUUUAGGAUUUUUUUCCUAAGAAAAUUUAUGCCAACUCAUUCUUUGCUUCUUUUCUGAACGGACAGAUGCAACCGAAAGUAUAUUCUUGAAUUCUUUAGGAUGAGAGACAUACGUUUAGAUUCAUCGAGCCUUUAAAACAAUAUCAAAUUUUAGAUUGCUGAAAUUUUAUAUAUCUGAGUAUGAUGGUGUUCCAAUUAUAAGCUCCAGGGUGCAACUUCACUAAGGUUUAGAAUACCUUCCUAUAGAAUUGAGAAAUCUCCAUUGGCAUAAAUAUCCUUUGAAAAUAUUGCCAUCAGAUGUUGAAUUGGAGAACCUGAUUGAACUCAGCUUGCCUUGUAGUAAGGUUAAGCAAAUUUGGAAAAGAGAAAAGGUAUAAUGUAUUACUAUUACCAAAGUAUCUAUUUUUCUUUCUUUAAGUAUUUAUAAUGAAUAACUUUGAAAUUGAAUGAUGCUCAUUUAGUAUAGUUGUGUAUCUUUGGUUAUAGGAAGCUGUCAAGUUAAAAUCUAUAGAUCUUCACCACCCUCUGUAUCUCAAUAGGAUCCCAAAAAUACUAAAUCUUAAAAAAAUAAAUCUUUCAAAAUGUGAAAGCAUGCUUACGUUACCCGCGUAUAUCCACAAUUUCAACUAGCUCAGUAUGUUGUGUUUCAUGGGAUGCAAAAUUCAUUUUGUUUCUCAUGAAAGGAUUGACUUGUUCGGAUGUAUUAGGGUUAAUAAACCAACUAAUCCCAUAAUUUGUUGAUGUCGGGUCCUAACAAAUUACUGCAGUAUAUUGUAGAUCAAUACACUAUUUGAAAACGUAUUUGAUCCACACAGUGAAUGUUUGAGGGUGCAUUUCUCGCGAACCAGCCAUACCCUAAACGAGGAGCCGGUCUCCUUGUAAUUGAGCAGGCAGGUGAAGUCUGGUAGCAAAUAUCCAAGAGCAGGAAUUCUAUGCUCAAUCACAAGGACAUCCUCUUUUGGACUAUAAUUCGAACAAGGUUCCUGCUAGGAGCCGAGAGCCUUUCCUGCUGGAGAGCGGGGUCGGCAGGCCUAGUCUAUAACGGUUAGCGAGACGUGCACUCCUAUUCGAGAAUCUAGGCACGAAACCAACUCAGCUGCAACUACGACAUUCAGGCAUCCACUUCCGUAAGCUGAGGGAGGUGAUGGACGUGGAUCGUAGGGCGUCGGAUUUGUAAGACGGCUAUAAAACGGUAAUCAACGAAGGUAAAGGGGUUAGACACUUUUACACUAGAACUUAAGAAAUAAGACCAUUUACUAAAAAAGGAGAGAAACACUCAUAGGUGUUCCACUGCCUAAGAGAUCAUGAGAGAGCCACGAGAUCAGUGGCCGAGUUUCCCAAAAAGUAAACCUAAAUUUCUGACUUGAGCGUAGGAGGAUUUUUCCGGCGUGCUCUGACAAGUUUUUGUGUGCGCAUGAGUCUGCUAAGUCAUACAAGGCAUAGCUUUGCUCGGUUAGAAGAGUUACGUGAAGUAUCCUAGGUUGGUCGUGAGUUCGGGAGUUAAGGAGAGAUCCUGGUUGCAGACGAGCAGACACCAGAAUCUCGCAUCAACAGUGAAGAUGAUUCAAUAUUAAGCAUGUCAUAUAAUCUAGAAGUGGAUAUUGGACCAAUUUGAUGAUAAUGAAUUUCUUUCAAUCUCAAUCUUUUUCUUUUUAGCAACAUGACUAGUAAUUGUGCAAAUUUAAACUCUGAGAAUGAUUUCUCAAUCGGUUUCUAAAAUGAUGACCAUGCAUGUAUACGUGUGUGUGUGUAGAGAGAGAGAGAGAGAGAUCACACGUGUGUGAUUUCCUUUUGCCAAUAGGAUAUGCAGAGAGCUUGAUCUUACCCAAUAGCGAAACAAACUUCCUAAUAAGUGAAGGUAUAGUAUAAAUACUUAUACUUUCAUGUUAUUUUGUUCAUCGGUAGCUUGAUUAUUUUAUAUGCGUCUUCGAUUUUAAUUUUCUUUCCCUAUAAUCGCUAUUAUCUUUGAACUGGUCAUGAUUUGCCUAUUAGAUUUCUCAUGUUGUUUUGAGGUGCAAUGGAUUUUGAAUUUAGUGACGAGCAGUGGAAGCCAGAAGGCAAAUUAUGAAAAUGGAUAAAGAUCUAUAAUUAGCUGUUAUGGGAUGUCACAUAUCAUAUUGAUGGUAACAUUAUAUAUAUGUACAUAUAAUUAAUGGGGUUGGCUCACGAGCCCAUUAAUAAUCGUAUAUUAGCUUAUAUACUUCAAACAAUGUACUAUGAAGUAAUUUCACAAAUACUUGUUAGCUUAUGUGGAGCUUUAUUGAAUCAGUAGUUCACAGUUCAAUAAAAUGCAGGUUUGCUAUUUGAAGUACAUGGUCAUGGUGCGUACAUUCUUCAUAAGGCUAACUACUAAUUUAUCAUUGAAACUUGAAAAAUGUGAUAGAGAGAUGUAGAUAACAGCCGCAAAACACUGAGAUUGAAAAUCAGGGCUACUAAAUUCUAUUAAAAGCCCUUAAAAUAGACAGCGAUCAUCCUAAAAUAUUAAUUGCAAAGUUAUGCACUAAUAGAACUAUUGACUACUUAUCUUUAGCAGAAGGUAUAUUUUUAACUACAGCUUUCUGCUUUGUUCUAAGAACUAGGCAAAAGUGGUAUAUCUUCAAUCCAAUCAACAUAUAUACCACUUAUUUUCCCCUUCACUUCUGUCCAUUUUGAUUUGCACUUCAUAUCCUGCACUUGCUGCUUAGAAAUAGUCUUAGUCUGGACAUUGAAAGUAGAAAAAGUACUUGAAACAAUCAUUGGCACAGCCCGAGAUUCCAUUGAAUCGUGGACUCCAAGCUUUCAUAGUUCUAUAAAGAAAAUGACAAAACAUCAUACAACUGGCAUUCGGCUUUUAACAUUUGCACAACCUGAGCGCGUUAGCAAGCCCCUUAUUGCGUUCCCAUUGAAUAGACCUACUUCUGUUAUCCACAGAAGAUCCACCUCUCAAAAUGUUUAUCACCAGGCUAUUCUUAAACUGAGCCUAAACUGAGUAGAAACUUCCGCACAUCUCUCAGCAUUUACAUGAAGAAAGCGACAACUAUCCUCAUCUCUCAGCACAUCUCUCAGCAUUCUACAAAGUUGCAUUUCACUAAGCAAUCUAUCCUCUCCAUUCCUAGCAAAGUGACAUUGAUUCCCGUAUUUGUAAUCGCCUAACUUGGGUUUUGGGCAUAGCGUGGUCUUAAAAUUACCACCCAAUACUUUGUUCAGUGCCACUGGCAUCCACAAGCUCUAGCCUUGUUAGCUGAAUCAUAUUCAAUAGGACAGUGAGACAGCAUUUCACUGACAUAUUCAAUUUGACUACUUAUAUUGACGCAAAUAUUAGAAUUUGAAAUCACUUCUUUUAUUGGAAUAUUAUAUUAAAAUGACCCCAAAUGAAAGUUCUUGAAUGGAAAUGAUUUUUAUUUAAUUUUCCAACAGAUUCAAGAAAACCCAGAGAACAUUAAUUUACACAGUAAUAUGAUUAAGAGCUGAGAACGUACAUGUAGUAAAUGUCUAUCAAAAAACACCCAAGGGUUUCUUUAAAAUUAGAAACUAGUAAACAAAAAGAAAGAAUCAUUUUACAUUUUUAUCAACUUUGGGGUGAGUGAGGAGUGAGAAAUUGAAACCCUAAAGUAAUGACAACAGUAAGAUUCAGUAUGAAGUGAAACCCCAAUUUGAAAUGUAGGCAUGAGUUGCUGAGUCAGUAGAUGAAGCUGUAAAUAGGCAUUCGGUUUCCUUCUUUUCGGUUUGGAGGGCCAUGGAAUAGUGUAUUGGAGUGGGCUCCAAGUAAUAGCCUCUAUCACUGGAAUGACACAUCUAUAAAAUGUGAUACAUGGGGAAGGAUUGGACAUUAUAUUCUUAGAUUAGCGCCUUAUUUAGGGUGUAUAUUAAGCAGAUUAUAUAUUACAUGGAGAUGGAGUUUAUGAAAUAGAUUAAAAAGAAAAGGAAAUUUUGGUGCCUAAAGUUUGCCACUUGGAAUAUUUCGGUGUCUAAAAAUUCACUCACCACUUAUUUCAUGUUUGAUUAUAUGUUGAAAAGAUAUUAAAAUAGUAUAAUGCUAUUAAGGCUUAACGUAUAUUUUUUAUUAGUAGAGUGUAGAAUUUUUAAGAAAUAAAUUAUUAAAUUAUUAUAACUAACAUAUUAUUUUAAAGUUGUGUUAUGAAAAAAAUGAAAUAAAAAUGUACAGUAAAUAAGAAUAUUUUAAAACUUUUAUCUUUUUAAAAUUAUUUUUUAACAUAAGGUGAACUAUUUUUUUUUUAAAUCACAUAUUCUAGUUAAAAUCAAAUAUGUAUUUAUAUGAAGCUUGUAAAUUUUUUUUUUAGUACUGAUAUUUGGAUAUUACCAAUAAAAAAAAAGGUAAUGUGCAUGCUGAAUUAUUUUUGUAGCACACAAAAGGACAACACCGUUUAUGUUAUCAUACUAUCACUUCUGUUAUGAUAAUAUUUUUUUGUGGCCAAAUAUCUUCUUUUUUUUUUUAAGUAAAAGUGUGGACAAAAUGCAAAUCAGUUUUUAAUCCUCAAUCUCUCCCAAAAUAUAAAUUCGUAGGUACAUGGGUUGUUAAAACUAUAGCUGACAAAAAGUUACUAACAAAAACAGAAUGUCCAUUUUAUAACUUUCUUAAAAAACUUUCCUUAACUUUUUUAAAAAGUUACCAAUAAAAAGUUAUUUCUAAUUUUUAUUUUGUUAUAAUUUUUAUAACAAAAUUCGUAGUUCGUAGUUAACUAAACUCUUCUUAUUCCCUUUCUCAACUGCCAUACCCUAACCUUGUUCCCCACACUAAACCACGCUCAAUUAAGGCCAUCAGAUUCUCCCGGGCCCACAUUAAUCCAACUGCUCACAGAGACCGACAGCCUCUCUAUCUCCAUUUCAAGCUCCCUCUUCAACUGGCUUCUGCUACCGUCCUACUCUUUCUCGGCUUCGGAGUCCGUAUUUGCUCGGCCUGUCCCACGAAGCUCCCUCUCACUCCAAUUGUCGCCCCACAAGACCAAUUGCUUAAUCAAGACACCGAACAAGAAAAGGAUGAGAAGUUGAAACAAGAAUUUGAGAAUUGGAAAUAAAAAACGUACGCAUUGACCGUGCCUUUGAGAGUCGUUUCUCUUCAGAACUCAGUGCCUCAAUCUUGGGUUAAGGAUUUUAUGCGAAGUCAGGGAAAGAGAUUGAAGUUUCAGAUGAAUUUGUGUGCUAGCAUUGAUGGGAUCUUUAACAAUUUAUCUGUGCCCUUUAACAAAGUUAAGGCUAAGUCAGCUUCUUAUAUGGCUGCUGAUUUGGUUAGUGUUGGUGAUUCAUGGCUUAGUUUUGCCAUUAAAAAGAGAUUGAUUGAGCCAAUGGCUGGAGCUGAAGACCAAGAUUGGUUCAAAUGCUUAAGUCACAAAUGGAAGGUAACAUCUUUGUCUUUGAUCCUCGAGGUAAAAUAUGGGCGGCACCGUACAGGUGGGGCACAACGGUGAUAGCCUACAAGAAAAGUAAAUUUCGAAAGCAUAAUUUGGCUCCGAUUGAGGUAAUAAUUUUCUUUAAACUCAUUUAGUUUUAUAUCAAACAAAAUCAAGACUGCCUUUCUUUUCAAUAUUUUUUAUGAUAAUAUCUUUAGAAGCAUCUCAUUGACGGGUAACAAUGGCAUCCCUGAAAGAGUCUAUAAACUCAAUGAUAUUAUCUUCUACAAAUGGUUCAUUAAACUUUGUCGUUGUACUCAAAUGUACACUCAGAUCAAUGAGAAGCUAUGCUACGUUAGCAUGUAGUGAUGGCACUUAAUAAGUGAGUUGCUAGGAUGUGAACUAGAAAAAUUAAAUAUUGUCUCCUUGGGUAUGCUAGCUGGUAAGUCAGGGUUAAUAUCAGAGCUUAAGAUAGUAUAACCGUGAGAACCUAUUGACUGCCAAUUAAAAUAUCCAUUGAAAUGUCUAGGGAGUUAUGAAGGUGGAGGUAACUUCCAAUUUCUAAGGCCACAGAGUAGACAUCAUCCAGGAUCCUAAAAUAUCCAGUUAACCUCCUGCUCGAUGCGAUUAAUAAAUUUGGUCAAUGCCACUGAAACCUGCUAACUGACGUCACAAUGCGACAUGAGCACUUCAAAAUGGGACAGAUGGUCAGUAGCACUAAAUUUUUCUUGCCUAAGAUUGAGCAAUUGGUCUAACUACUAAUCCCUAUUGUAGGUUGAUCAUUAUUUUUUCAAUUAUGUUCAGUUUGACCCAAAAAGUUGCAGAAUCUUGAGCUGAAUAUUGUCACUGAACACUGUCAAUGUUGUUUAGCAUAGCCAACUAACUUGAUGUUAAAACAAACACACAGUGUGUCUCAUGUCUCACAAUUCAAAUUAUCAUCUGUAAUGAUGGAGAAUUUUUCCAAUGUAUGAAGUAUGCUUUGAUACGUGGGUUACCUUGGAGAAGAUAUCUCAAAAUAAAGAAUAUGGGGAGAAAACAGUUCAGUAGUUUAUUAUUCUGUAGUCAAGUUUUGUCUCGAAAAUGGUCAAAAUUUAAAUGAAUAAGGACAGGGAAUCUUCAUUCUUUUUUCCCUUUUUUAUACCAAGAUAUCUCUCAACCUUUAUAUAAUCCCCACUGGAUAUCUGCUUCUAAUAAUUAAAAUAAAAAUUUCACCGCUCUAACAAUAAAAAGUAACAUCUUUAAUCAAAUAAUUUACAGUUCCUCAUCACCUUAGUGUGAGACUAUCAGUACAUUCCAAAAACUUAAUAAAACUGGUUUGAUCCUGUUUAUUGAUGUUUAAAUGUUGUUCAUUGUGACAUGUAGAAAUGAUGAGGCGAAGUUUAUUUGGACAUCAAUUAGUAAGAUCUUGUUUGAAGUUGUUUUCUGAAAUGAACUGCCCAAUGGUAGUUUUUUGGGGGCAUUUGAUGGCUCUUUUUUUCCUCAUUUUCAACAUGUGCCUGCUUGGAACAGGAAGGAUUAGGCUGCAGAGUUGUUAUAUAUUUUUAGAUGCUCUGGUCAUUGCACAAUUUGUUCACACUGGAAAUUAGAAUGAGAAAUUUGUUGAUGCUGUUUUGAGAGAUCUGCAUUCUAUGCACAAUAACGUGAUUAAUGAAAAUGCAUUGUAGGACUGGAAAGAUCUGUGGCAGCCUGAGCUCGCAGGAAGAAUUUCAAUGGUUAAUUCUCCCCGAGAGGUUAUUGGUUCAGCUUUGAAGAAUAGGGGAGCAUCAUACAAUUCAAACGAUAUUGAUUUGCAAGUUGCUGGUGGGAAGAUUGCUGUUCAGCAGAAUCUGGCAUUACUGGCAAACCAAGUACUCUUACAGAAAUGAUAUCUGGUCAUUGCAUGUUAUUGCCUGACAACUGAUUUUGUUUGUACAAGUCUGCUUCUUCAUACAUAUGAAUGCAUAUGUUAGUGUUUUCUUCUCCUUUUCAUACAUAUAAAUGCAUAUGUUAGUGUUGUCUUUUCCUUUUCAUACAUAUUAAUACAUAUGUUGGUGUUCUCUCAUGAGAUGGAUGCAAUAGAGGCUUUUGCUCCUAAAUUUAGCUGAAGAAAUGGGAAGGGAUGUGAGAUUCUGUCUCAUUAAAUUAACAAAAACCCAAAACAAUGAAAAUCCAUAAUAAUGUGGUGUGGGUAAAUUGGCUCCAUUUGGUUCGUUUCCUUAAUGUGACUGCGCGAGCAAUAGAGACUAACAAAAUGAAGUGACAACAAGAAGUCAGUGUCCUUUGAUGGAUGCAUUUUUAGGCAGAAAUAGGUUUGUAAUUGACCAAAUUUGCCUGGCAUGCCAAUUUCAAAAAAAUUAAAUUAUGUGGUUAUUGGCUGUAAUGAAGGGGGAUAGUCGGUGCAAUCAGGUGGAUCCUGGAAAGUUCAACAAAGUUUGGUAUGGCGUAGUGAAAUUGGUUUGUGCAACUCAGGAGUCUUUCAGGUGAACGAUGAUAGGUUUUGAUUUAUGAAUAUUAUAAAUCUACUGUGCAUAUUAUUCUAGCAGAAUCAUCUAUAAGUUCUAGUUAUUGAAAUUGUAUACUUUGCCCGGUUUGAGUUAAGGGCACAUGUAAUAUGAAAGAUAGUUGUCGCAUCUUUUAGGUUACCUAACAUUUGAUCAAUCCUAUUAUGGGGGCUUCAAGAUGUCUAACAAUAUGUAGAAUGCCCAUGCUCCUCCCCAUUGUUUAUCUUAUACAAUAAUUUGUUUUAGAUGCUAAUAUCUUUGUCGAUACUGGUAACAAUAUUACAAUAUCUGCCUUUAUUGGGUUUUACAUAGGUUCGACUGUUUGACAGUACACACUAUCUGAAGGCAUUUGCAAUUGGAGAUGUAUGGGUUGCUGUUGGGUGGAGUAGUGAUGUUCUUCCUGCUGUCAAACGUAUGUCUAAGGUUUUAUGAGAAACGAAAGAUGAGUGUUUGUUUGAACAAAGUUGUUGCCAAUCUUGCAGAGUUCGAAAAGAAAGAUCACGGAGCGAAUGCCACCGAUUUCUUCAUCAUUUUAGCCUCCAUAGUUGAAGUUUCCUCAUUUGAAGCUGUUUAUGCAUACGCUUUUUCCCUGCUCUAGUACAGGAAAUUGAAGAAUUAACCAGAUGUGAUAUGCUGAAAGAGGGAAGUUUUCUUCCUUGAAUGUGGCCUUUGUGAUUUGUCUUGAAGGAAUAGGAUGAUCACUGGCAAAAACCCUAUCAAGGUAGAUUUUAUGAUGUUAACAUAUUAUUAAGCAUUUUGUUACAUCAGCAAUGAUGCUUUCAUAGCAUGAAAGUGUCUAAAUUUAACUGAAUGAUCUUGAUUAAUCAAUUAUGAGUUUUAAUCGAGUAAAAACUAAAUACAAUAAUCGUUGACAAAUACUGAAAUUGGGUAAAUAUGAUCUUGAUAUUGAGAAUCUGAAAACACAACCCACACAGGGAAUCACCCUUCGCGUGGGGAUGGAGAUGUUUACUGCAGCGAUAUUGCAUAUGUCCACUGCUCUUUGGGUUAUGGUGCGACUUGCGAUUUCAAGGUUUCCCUGAAACAAUGAAAAGAUUGACGUACCCUGCAAUGAAUGAAAGCGGCUGGACUAAUUCUGAUUACCUAAUUGACUCAGGAUCGGCUGGCAAUAAUGACAGUUUAUUAACAAUGCACAGUCCCGAGUACUUUCCAGGAUCAGAUAUUACGUGGUCUAAUGUUGAUAAUAAUAGAUUAUCAAAUGACAAAUCGUUGUUCUUGGGUGUUGAUUUCAGAAAUAAAAUACGUUCUGAGAGAUGCUGGUCUACUAUUGCAAGCCCCCAGAUUUAAGAAUCUUUUGAUGAUAAUUUACCACCUGUAACUGUGCCGGAAGAUUCACCUAGCACUGAAAAAGAUGAUAAUUUAAUUGAUAUGGACAGUUUCCAUAUCACUUUUAAAUCAUCUUAUGUAAUUGUGAUGUUAGGAAGCAUUAGUGAUCUACAUGUGAACUAUUAUUGGCGCCAUUUGUGGUUUUAUUUUAUUAAAAUAUGGAUGACUUCCCGUUACUAUUUCGUUGUAGACAAUCUUAUCAAUUAACAUAUAGUUUAAAAUCAUUAUGAUCUAUUAAUUUUCAUGAUAUUUAACUGAGUUAAAACUAAGUGCAUUCAAUAAAUCUUUCUUCCUUUAAAAAACUGUUGCGCUUUAAUUUUAGUGCUUAAUAUUUACAGAACUCUGGUACAGGGAAUUCGAAAUCAAACUAGUAACUACAGAUUAUCUAAUUGCAAGUUUUUGUCCAUAGUUGCAGAUUUGUAGUGAUUAUCUAAUUGACUGAGGUGACAACAAUUUUUUUUUUAAUUUUCAAUAGCAUAAUGUGGAAUUCAAUAAUUAAAUUCUCCUUUUUAAUUUGUUUCCAGUUAAAUUAUUAAUUACUUAAACUUUGUUUUAAGUCUUUAAUUUUAUGUCUUGGCCUAUAUGCAGGGUUGGAUUCUUGAGCGUGUUGGACACGACCAACAAUGAAAUUGACAGUAAACAAACAUUACAACACGUUGAGUGUCGACUCCAGUAGCUGCCCUACAAGUCUACAACUUUACAAACAAUAAUUGAGUACACACAUUUGAUUCUCGGGACCCUCCAAUGAAUUUCUAGCCCCGUUGACUCCGCCGACAAAAGUUUUGGAAAAUAAAAAAAAUUCAUAGAAUUCCACCAAAUACAAAACGCGUGGAAUUUAAUUUUCGGCCAUGUGGACCAAAACACAAUUUAAUGAAAAAAAAGAUAAGAUUUCUAAAAUGUGUAGAAAGUGAUCCAUAUUUUACUGAAACAACUUGUUAAAUUUUUCAAGGAUUUAGAAUAUUUGAUCAUAAAUUACGCCCAUGUUAAUUUUUCCGCUAUUGACUAUCAUUUUCUAGACUCACUGUCACCUUUCUUGAUGAACGGUACUUAGUCUCUCUUCUCCUCUUAUAAAAAUUAUAUUAAUUGAUUUCUUAUUAUAAUAAAUAGUCUUUAAGAACGUAUAGAUUUAUUGUUUUCGUGACCAAAUUAUGCCUGCUUAAGGUUGAGACUAUUAAUAAAAUUAAUAUUUAAUGUUUAUGUUAAAAGAUAUAAGAUUUUAUGCAUUCAUUAAUUGUUAUUAGCUAAAGGAUUAAUUAUUUUUUCAACCCAAUCAGUUGAUGCAUCUGCAAGAGUUUUUUCUUUUAUUUACCAUAAUUAUAUUCCGGGUACAAUAAAUUAUCUUUGGUGCUUGGAAAAUAUGACUUCUUACUUCAAGUUUGAUGUGUCUCUCUCCGUAAGCUUACUGGAAAUAUAUCCUCAUUUACUGUCAUUUAUCUAAUAUCAAAUGAAAGAUCUCACUUUUUCAAACUAUCACUUCCAAGUCUCAUUGUCACUUAGCCAUUCUUGGACCAUUCAAAACCAAUCUGUUGAAAUAAUCAAAUAUAUGCAAAAUUAGAGUCACGAUUGUUGGUCCCCCAAAUUCUAAUUAUAUAACUUCUAUAUAUCUCAUUGUCAGGUCACGAACUUGUUGGCACAUUUCCAAAUUCCUCUUCCAUCAGCUCUCACACGUUAAUUUUUAGGUUAUCUAAAUUUCAAGGAUUUAAAAUCUUUGAUCAUGGAUUACAUGUUUAAUUUUUCUGCCAUUGACUGUCAUAUUCUAGAUUUAAUGGUACCUUUCUUGAUCAAGCGUAAUUACUCUCUCGUCUCCUCUUAUAAAUUCCUCUUCCAUUAGCUGUUAGCCUAUAUGGCUAUAGAUAUUGAUUUUGAUGAUAACAAACCACAUGUGUUGAUUAAACAAAGAUUUAUGAAUUGUGCAUUUAUAAUAAGAAAAUGAUGUUAUGGAAUUAAAGUGUUUUUGGACUAAAGUGAAAGUAUUUUAAAACCUUUGAUAUUAUUUUAAAAUUUCAGAUUUGGACCUAUUUGAAAAUAUUUAAAUAUUUUGGGUCAUUCUAUAUUUUUACAUGGUUUGGGUGAAAUCAUAAUUUCAAUUUGAGUGUGUGAGACACUUGAGUGAAGAGGUUGGGAGAUAAUCUCUUUGUUGUAAGGGUUCAUUGACACAUUGAAGUCAAUUGUAAACGUUUGAAGCCUUAAAAAAACUUGGAUAGUGAAAUCCUCAAGUUUGAAUCGCUUGGAGGCGUGGACGUAAGCGGGGAUUGCCGAACUACGUAAAAAUUCGUGUGUUUGUUUCUCUUCUCUCUUGCUCAAUUGUUAUUGUGCUUUUAUUGAACUUAUUACUUUUGAAUUUAUUAAUGCAUUAAAUUGGAUUGUUAUGUGGCUUUGUUAGGAUAUUUUUUAAAAUACCAAUUCACCCCCCUCUUAGGUUGCACACUUGUAUUUCAUUAGCAUUACUAGGAAUUUGUUGAUCUCUAAGAUGCUAACUUGAGUGAAGAGUUUCCAAAUUGAUUGUUACAAAACAACAAAAAAACUAGACACACUUGAUCUGUCUAAUAAUUCUCUUUCGGUAAAAUUAAUUAAUUUUAGGGGAAUUUUCGGCCAACCUCUGUAAUUUCAAAGUGAUCAUUAAUUAAUUAAACGAUACAAAUAUCUAAAGUGAUUAGAUGUUUGCUGACAAUACAAGUUCAUGGCUUGAAAUUUGAUCUCUAUCGAUUGGUUUACAAAUGGACGCACUUGUGCCUUUGUGGCGAUAAUUAAACAGAGAUGUGAAGUUGUAAAGAUUUGACAAGUUCCCAUGAUUAGUAUUUUUUUUCAAAAACUUUUUUACAACAAAUUCAUCUCGCCCAAAAAUUAUAUUUUGCUAUCUAACAAUAAUUGAGCACUUGGCCGCAUUGACUCCACGUCUCCACCUACUUUCUAAGUAAAAACAUGGAAAUGUAAUCUCCACAAAAUGUCAAACGUGUGGAAUUUAAUUUUUGGCCUUGUGAACCAAAAUGCAAAUGAAAGAAAAAGAGAGAAAAAAACAAGGCCCAAAGACUACGAAAAGAUAUAAAAGUCUUUGGGCCUUUUUAUAACGGUGGAUUUUUUAAAAGGAAAAAAUAACAACACUUCUAUGGUUUGUUUUGAUAAUCACAUUUACAUAUACUCUCUAAUUUUUAAAAUGGACACAUAAAUCUUUUUUUUUUUUUUCUACAAACGUAUAUUAUUCGUAUUUUUUAUUAUUUUUAAUAUCAUAUUGUUAUUUUUUUUAGAAGAUAUUGUUAUUUAUUAUAAAUGUUUAAAGUAAAUUUUUAGGUUGAAAUAUAAUAAAAAGGUAUAAUCGUUCUCUUAUUAAACACCCAUACUUUUAAUUUCUAUCCAUUUGUCAUCUCAAUCUCUCUCAAUUAUUCUUUAUUGCUAGCUCAAAACGCGUUGCUGUUGCAAAUUAUAGCAAAAAGACAAAUAUGGAAAAGAAAAAAGGGAAGAAAAUUAAUGCAUGAAAGAUUUGGAGAAAACAACGAAGUAAGUCAACUAUAAUCUAGUUGGGUGUGUAAAUUGUUUGAUGCUUUAUAAGCAAAUAACAUAUAGAGACAGACAAUGUGUGUUCGUUUUUUCAUAGUUAAAGAUAUAGUUAGAAUGGGUGGUUCAAAAUCAAAAAUGGUGAUAAUGUUUGUUAUGUUAUUAAUAAUAUUUAAAAGUGGGUGGAGUGAGGGAUGUUUGGAUCACGAGAGAUUUGCUCUUUUGCGACUUAAACAUUUCUUCGAUGAUACUAGUAGUUAUCUUUACGAUUGGGGAGAUGGUGAGGGAGCUACUGAUUGUUGUCAGUGGAAAAGGGUUGAGUGCAGCAACACCACAGGUCGAGUGAUAGUGCUAGACCUUUCUAGCAUGUAUUGGGGAGAGUACAGCUGGUAUCUGAAUGCUUCUUUGUUUACUCCCUUCCAACAACUUGAGUCACUUGAUUUAACUGACAACAAAAUAGCCGGUUGUGUUGAGAAUGAAGGUGCUUCGUUUAAUUUAAUUAAUUUACUUUCUCCACCCUAAUUUAAGUUGAAUAUCAAGACCGAGCAAUUAUACACAUAUUCAUUUAGUCGACAAUUUUGACUUUUUUUUAAAUGAUUAAUUUUGAAAUUACACCAAUAUCUAUGAUCCUUUUUUUUUAUUUUACUUGCAGGUAUAGAGAGGCUAUCAAGAUUGAACAACUUGAAGAUGCUUAAUUUAAGUGAUAACUCGUUCAACAAUAGCAUUUUAUCAUCUCUAACUCAUCUUUCAUCAUUAAGAUCAUUAAAUUUAUUUUGGAAUAGAUUGGAAGGAAGUAUUGACGUUAAAGGUACAUAAUUAAAACUUCAUCCCUUCUCCAAGCUCUUUCAUUAACUUGCUAAAAUAAGAUUCAAGGCUUUGAAUUCAAAUUUUUUUAUGAUUAGUAUUAAAAAAAAACAGUUUUAAGCAAUUUAUAAAUACAAGUUUUAAUGUUUCUCAUAAUUUCAUCUUGUACUUUCAUAUGUCUUGAAUUUAAGAUUAAAAAAAAAAAACUCUAAUAGCGAACCAAACACCUCCACAACUAAUUAUUAUUAUUAUUAUCAUUUUUUUUUUAUUUGUGGUGAGGUUUGAAACAUUCAACUCAAUUUGUACUUAUUACAGAAUUUGAUUCUUUGAGAGAUUUAGAGGAGCUAGACAUUGGCGAGAACAAGAUUGACAAAUUUGUGGUCUCAAAAGGUACUAGAACGACUGCAAAAAAUGUAAACUUCUACAAAUUAGCUAGAUUCUUUGCCAUUUGGUUUAUUAUUUUGCAGGUUUGAGGAAGUUGAGGUAUCUCAGUUUAAGUGGUAUCAAACUCAAUCAUAGCAUAUUAUCUUCUCUGACUGUCUUUUCUUCGUUAAGAGAAUUAUAUCUAGAUGAUACGGGAUUCAAAGGAACAUUAGAUAUUCGAGGUAAGUCUAAGCCCUGCUUUCUCAUUUUAUAUAUGCCAGCUAGACUUGUGUAUCAUCGACAUAAUUUAAUAUUUAAUUUGAUUAGUCUGAAGGAAUUACAUGCUAAUUUAAACAUACUUUUAUUUACUCUGUCAAUCAAUUAAUUAAUUAAUUACUAUUUGGCUUGGUUUGGAUGAAUUCUCAUGAUGUUUUAAUUUCUUUAAAUUAAUUAAUUAAUUAACUCUGUUUUUAAGUCUUAAGUCUGGGCAUGUUUGCAGAAUUUGAUUCCUUCAACAACUUAGAAGUGUUGGACAUGAGUUACAACAAAAUCGACAAUCUUGUGGUUCCUCAAGGUAAACAAUUAAAAUAUUAUUCAAUUACAUUAAUAUAAUUCAUUUGGUUAGGGAAGGCCCAAAAGGUACAAAAAAAAUUAAAUAAAGAAACAGAGAAUUUGUAUUAUUUAAAAAACAGAAUGUAAUAAAGAUUUGAUUCUAGUUCUUUAAUCUUUAAAGCGAUUGAAAAAUAAUGUUGCUCUUUUCCCAAAGCAUAAAAUACGAAUUGAAUGCCAAUUAACUUAAUCAUUCAUUUCGUUUAGCUCUAAAUUUAGACAAUGAAUUUUUAUAUUAUUUCAAAAACAGGACGUAAUAGAAUUUAAAAAAAAAACAGAUUGUAAUAAAGAUUUGAUUCUAAUUUUUUAAUCUUUACUGCGAUUGAAAAAUGAUACAGCUCUUUUCCCAAAGCAUAAAAUACGAAUUGACUCCCAAUUAAAUUAAUCAUUUAUUCCAUUCAUCUCUUAAUUUAAAUAAUGAAUUUUGUUUUCUUAAAUCGUAUUCUAAUUACUAUUAAAAAACAGGUUACAGAGGUUUGAGGAAGUUGAAAAGCCUUUAUCUAUUGAGAGUUAGAAUUAGAGAUGGAAGCAAGUUGUUACAGUCAAUUGGAUCAUUCCCAUCCCUCAACACUCUUUACCUUUCGUCUAAUAAUUUGACGGAAACAGUGACAACUACUACUCAAGGUAAUUAAAAGGUACAAAUGUCGCCAAAUUUAUAAAUAAAUUGUUAAUUAAUUAAUUUUUCCGUAUUAUUAAUAAAGCUAAAUUCGUUGCUCCUUCCUUCUAAAUCUAAACAGAGUUGCACAAUUUCACCAACUUGGAAUAUUUGACAUUGGACGAUUCCUCUCUCCAUAUAAGCCUUCUGCAAAGCAUUGCAUCAAUAUUCCCUUCGUUAAAAAAUUUGUCGAUGAUUGGUUGUGAAGUCAAUGGCGUCCUACGUGGUCAAGGUAAAAGAAAAGUGUUAAUUGUGAACUCGCACAAUGGUGUCCUACGUGUUCAACAUUUUUAUUUAUUUAUUUUAUUGUUUAAUGUUUCUGCUAGGUUUUCCUCAUUUCAAGAGUUUGGAAUAUUUGAAUAUGGAUUUCACGCGCAUUGCACUCAACACCAACUUUCUUCAAAUCAUCAGUGAAUCGAUGCCUUCUCUUAAGUACUUAUCACUGUCAGAUUCUACUCUUGGCACUAACAGCAGCAGGAUUCUUGAUCGAGGUUAAUCAGAUGCUCCCACCCUCCCUUCUUAAUCUAUAAUAUUAAUUUUCAAUUCAAUAUUUAAUUACACAAACGAAUCACUUAUUAUAAAAGAAUAAUACGCAUUCAUUAAUUUUUAUGCUGUAUUAAUUGAUGAAUUUAAUAAAUUUUCAGGCCUCUGUUCGUUGGUGCAUCUGCAAGAGUUGCGCAUGGCUGAUAAUGAUUUAAGAGGUAGCUUGCCUUGGUGCUUGGCAAAUAUGACAUCCCUCCGAAUAUUAGAUGUUUCUUUCAAUCAACUUACUGGAAGCAUCUCCUCAUCUCCCCUCGUUCAUUUGACAUCCAUUGAAGAGCUGAGGCUUUCAGACAAUCAUUUUCGGAUCCCAAUUUCACUUGAACCACUUUUCAAUCACUCAAGACUCAAGAUUUUCCAUGCUAAAAAUAACCAAAUGAAUGCAGAAAUAACUGAGUCACAUUCUUUGACCGCCCCAAACUUCCAAUUACAAUCUCUCUCAUUGUCUUCCAGUUAUGGAGAUGGUGUCACAUUCCCCAAAUUCCUUUACCAUCAACAUGACCUGGAGUAUGUUCGUCUCUCACAUAUAAAGAUGAAUGGAGAAUUUCCAAAUUGGUUGUUGGAAAACAACACAAAAUUAGCAACUCUUUUUUUGGUUAAUGAUUCUCUUGCAGGACCUUUUUGGUUGCCAAUUCAUUCACACAAGCGGUUAGGAAUAUUGGAUAUAUCCAACAACAACAUCCGAGGCCACAUUCCAGUAGAAAUUGGAGAUGUUUUACCAAGUUUAUACGUUUUCAACAUUUCCAUGAAUGCUUUAGAUGGUAGCAUUCCCUCUUCAUUUGGUAAUAUGAAAUUCCUCCAAUUGCUGGACUUAUCCAACAAUCAAUUGACUGGUGAAAUCCCCGAGCACUUGGCCGUCGGUUGCGUCAACUUGCAGUUUCUCAUGUUAUCAAACAACAGCCUAAAAGGUCACAUGUUCUCUUGAAAUUUUAACCUGGCCAAUUUGAUGUGGUUACAAUUGGAGGGCAAUCACUUCGUAGGAGAGAUCCCACAAAGUUUGUCUAAAUGCUCCUCCUUAGAAGGAUUGUAUCUUACCAAUAAUAGUCUCUCGGGUAACAUUCCAGGAUGGUUGGGUAAUCUCACAUGGUUAAUACAUAUUAUAAUGCCCGAGAAUCAUCUUGAAGGUCCUAUUCCAGUGGAGUUUUGUCAACUUUAUUCGCUUCAGAUUUUGGACAUUUCAGACAACAACAUAUCUGGAAGUUUGCCAUCCUGUUUCCAUCCUCUCUCUAUCGAACAAGUUCAUCUUUCAAAAAAUAUGUUACAUAGACAGCUAAAAAGAGGUACAUUCUUUAAUUGCUCUUCCCUUGUGACAUUAGAUCUUAGUUAUAACCUCUUGAAUGGCAGCAUUCCGGAUUGGAUUGGUGAGCUUUCUCAGUUAAGCCACCUUAUCUUAGGUCACAAUAAUCUUGAAGGUGAAGUGCCAGUUCAAUUGUGCGAAUUGAACCAACUACAAUUGUUAGAUCUUUCUAAUAAUAGUCUUCACGGUUCUAUUCCUCCAUGCUUUGAUAACACAACACUUUAUGAAAGUUACAACAACAGUUCUAGUCUUGAUGAGAAAUUUGAAAUAUCUUUUUUCAUCGAAGGCCCUCAGGGAGAUGUAGAAAAGUGAAUCCGUGAAAAAUUUGAGUUCACAACAAAGAAUAUUGCGUACAUUUACCAAGGAAAAGUGCUUAGCCUCCUAUCAGGACUUUAUCUUUCUUGCAAUAAGCUAAUCGGUCAUAUUCCUCCUCAAAUUGGAAAUUUGACAAGGAUUCAAACAUUGAAUCUAUCAUAUAACAACUUGACAGGAUUGAUCCCAUCAACAUUUUCAAACUUGAAGCAUAUCGAAAGUUUGGAUCUUUCCUACAAUAAAUUAAAUGGGAAAAUCCCUCAUCAACUUGUGGAGUUAAAGACAUUGGAGGUUUUUAGUGUGGCAUACAAUAACUUAUCGGGCGAAAUUCUAGAAUGGACUGCACAAUUUGCAACAUUUAACAAGAGUAGCUAUGAGGGAAAUACUUUUCUUUGUGGAUUGCCAUUGCCCAUUUGCAGAUCACCAGCAACUAUGUCGGAGGCUUCAAUUGGCAAUGAACGAGAUGAUAAUUUAAUUGACAUGGAUAGUUUCUUUAUCACAUUUACAACAUCGUACGUAAUUGUGAUAUUCGCAAUUGUUAUUAUUUUAUAUGUAAAUUCUUAUUGGCGACGUAGAUGGUUUUACUUUGUUGAAAUGUGGAUAACUACAUGUUACUAUUUUGUUGUAGACAAUCUUAUUCCAACAAGAUUUUGUCAUUGAAAUUAUUUAGUAGUUUAAUUACGAUUCUUUAAGUACUAAUCAAGUUUGUAUAGGAAAUAAUUUUUUAUUAAAAUUGUAGUAGUAUUUAGCAUUAUAUAGCUUCCAACUUCCAAGCACUUCACAUUUGUCUCUACACUUACAAAACUGAGUGAUCAUGUUUUGCAGAUCUGGAUUUGGAGCAGGAUGGAUCCAAACCCAUAUCUGUCCACCAUAACUUAUAGCUUCCCUAUACUGUGCAGCAUACUUAAAUAAGAGAACCAUCUCCAAUGUUAAAAGCAUUCACUCUAUAACAUUCAUUUAGAAACUAUAUUCAGAAUAAUUUUAUAAUUAAACACAAGAAAUGAAACACCUAGAUACACUUGAUCGCCUAUUUUACUCUAAAAAAUAACGAUUAUGGUGCUAUCAUCAUCUUCUUCACUAGCAACAUUAACACCAAAUCGAUGGACCCAUACAUUUCAUCAAGAAAGGUAUAUAUCCAAUAAAGUUGAAGCCUAACAAAAAAAUCAGGAAGAUUAAUGCCUCACCACAACAAGGGGCAUAACAACAUCAAAGUAGAGAUUAAACAGUAUUCUCAAAGCUAAAACUCUCAAAUCCACCCACCAGAAUUUCAUAUCUCCUCAACAAUUUUAAGAACUAAAGAUAAUUAGGAUUUAACAUUAGUUUUUUAUAUAUUAGUUUCAUAAUUUACAAAUCAAUGAAGAUGAAGAUUAUGCGAAUAAAUUCAAAUUAUACCAUACAUUCUCUAGAUGUUACCAAAAAUUUCUAAGUCAAUCCCACAUAUUUCAUAAUUUUAAGACUAGAAAAUUCACUAGUUAGAAGUUUCAUUACCUUCAAGUGGAAGAUGAAGAACAUUAUGCAAGUGAUUCAGAUUAUAUCAUACAUACUCCAAAUGCAACUAGAAAUUAACAAGUUCAUGUGCACAUAUUUCAUAACAUUAUGAUUGAAAAGUUUCACAAAGAGAAAUUCUAAAUUCAAUCUCUUGCAUGAAGGCAGUUUGAUUGAUUUGAGUUACUUUAUGAUCAAGCUACUAAUAUAACAUUCAAGUCAGGGAGAAAGUAAAUUAAAAAUGGGAAGAAAUAACAGUAAAAAUUUGUUGCUAAACAUGAUGUGUAUUUUUUUCAAGGCAAUUUGGAAACACAAUUGUUACUACAGAUAUUCUCCUCAACUUAGAGAUAAAUACAAAUAUUAAAAUGCACAUGAUCGCACAUAUUACUUGGAGCUUAGUAAGAUUUCAUUAAAAGAAGCAAUCAAACCACUUAUCAAUUGUCGCAGUCAUUCUAUAAACUAAAAUAGCAAAUAUAAUAUAAGAAAAAGAACAUAUAGAUACUUGGCAAGAGUUCAUUAAGAAGUCACAUCACAUUCGGGUGAGGAGUUUGCUUCUGAUAUCUUGCUAGCUGGGGCUUUUUCUCGUCUUUCUAUGUAUGCCGAGGGAAACCAACCAGCUUGGCCCUUGCAUUCACCUUCCAACCAUCCAGUACGAGCCACCUUGAGAAGUUAUAACUAAAACGGUGAAUUAAACAAAAGUUGACCGUUCAAAGACCUAAGGGGAAAACUAAUUCUUUUAUGUAGAAUGAGUGAACUAGUUGUGAUCACUGGAAUAACAACAUAACUAUGGAAGCAUAACAAGAUAUAAAUUCACAUGUCUAUAAGGGUAAACUGGGUGGUUUAGAACUGAGCUAGCAACCCUACUAGAUUAUGAUUUGCAUUUCAAUGUAAAAGGGAAUAUAUGGUAGGAAGAAAGAAAACCAACCAUCAUUUGUUAACUCAUUGCUUUUCAAUCAAAAUUUUAAGAACAAAAUGCCAUGUGCUUUGAAUAUCAAAUAAGUAUAAGCAUUAUUUCUAAAUUCCACAUAUCAUAAGUUGUUAGAAGGAUAAGUUAAUAGCAUAGUAGAAAAAUCUAUGUGUCAGUAUUUAGAGGGGAAAGUACCUGGCGAACCACAACAUAAUCAUCAAUUAAAAGACUUAGCUCUCCAUUUGCUUGAGCAUCAAAUGGAUGUAUAACCUGCAAGAUAAUGGGAUAAAUAGAACUUAAAAAAAGCAUAACAAAAGCAGCAACAGUAGCAGCAGCGUUCAUUGUAACCACUAUGAUCAUGGCCAACAAAGAUAUAUUAGAAACAAAAUUCCAUUUUUACUACGACAUUAAUAUGUACUAUACGAUAUCAUGACGAUUGGGUUACUAAGAGCUAUCAAAGUCUAAUAAGUUAUGUAUAACUUUUGUAGUUAUUUAAAUUAUGGAUCAGAUUUUAAAUUUGAAAUUUUGACUGCUCUCCACAAAACAUGGCCUGUGCACAAAAAAGUCAUAGAUAAUGAGGAUUACAAGUGUCCGACAUCUUUUGAGUGAUGGAUUUAACAUGAGAGCUUAUGGUCAGUCAAUUUCCUCUGCCUAGCAAUAUAAGCUUUCUCGGCCAGAUUUAUCAUCAAAUACAUAGAUUGCCCCCAAGUCACAUCCAUAUAAACAUAAUUUUUCUAGGUAAACCAAGUAAGGAGAAUCAUAAUUCGGACAUAAUCAUAAAAAGGCCCAUCUAACUUAAGAGAAAAUCUUAAAAAGAGGGAUGCUGAGCUAUCAGUCUUGUAUCUAUAAGCAAUAUCAAGACUUUACAUCACCUGCUACAUCGUGAGUGGUUACACAACUUUUAGUGGUUUGUCUUUCUUUGGCAUGCCUAACUCAGCUUUGAUGUUGCUGAGAUAUUGAUAGUAGAGAGCAGAAGCCUUACUUUCGCUAUAAAUUAGACGUCAUUCUGAUUAAUAUGCGUUUGCAAAUCAGCUCUGUUUGAAUCAGUAUUCUGAUAGACACAUGAGGCAUUUACAUCCAUUUCCAAAGUCACAUGUUGCGGGGAGGACUCAUUUGAUUGCUCCUAUACGAUCAUCUAAUUCAAGUAGCAAGGGUUGGAAGAGAAUAAAAAGUCACAAUUAUUCUUUUGCAUAAGUGAGACGAAAAUGGUAAAUGCAAUAUUAUUAGCAGUAAAUAAGAAGAGAACGCUCCAAGGAAUAGAUAGAUGCAGACAAGCAAGUUAAAAUGCAUAGUCCCAAACCUCCGCAUACAACUUCUCUAAAAUAGCAAUAACGUGUUGAUGAUAUAUUUUCUCAGCAUCUACCUGCAAAGGCCCGAGACCGGGAAAACAACAAUAAAACCACUAGCUGAAGGAGAAAGCAAAGAAAAAAAUACACUUGACAUAAAUCUUGACAAGAAGCACAAUUUAAGACAUAACAAACCCCAAUCAUAUUAUUUUUGCUAGUCACACGCUAGUCUGUGCUAGUGAUGUAAGAAGUCACAAGGUCUCUUCAACAUUUGAACCAAUAAAAUUAUUAAGUCAUGGAUGUCACUAGCAAUGAUUUUAAUAUAAAACAUUAAAUAUUUCAGAGUUGUAACUUUAAAAUGGAUUCUUUUAUUCAAUACCAUAGAACUAAGUUUCCUUAUGAGAAGAUAGUAGUUUCGAUAAUAUUUUACAUAUAAUUUUUGCGAUACCUUCGUCUCGCACUACCAGUGAUACCCUCACUCUUNNNNNNNNNNNNNNNNNNNNNNNNNNNNNNNNNNNNNNNNNNNNNNNNNNNNNNNNNNNNNNNNNNNNNNNNNNNNNNNNNNNNNNNNNNNNNNNNNNNNUGUUGAAAUUUAUCUAAGUUCAAAAGUAAUGCAGAGUGGGUUUCUAAACUCCAUUCCACUAGCUACUUCCUUUAAGAAAAAUUCCACAUCAUUGGUUUGAAUUUUAACUGGUGGCAUAGGAUCAUAUGUCUUAAGCUUGAACUUCAUUGUGAUUUCGAAUUCCGAAGUAUUUAUAUCAAUAACUUGAGCUAUCUUCUCCACCAAUUCGGCAUAUGUUGUCGAUCGUGGUAUCAUUAUCCCUUUAGCCUUGGAACCUUUGAAUUUAUACUCGUCAUUUUGCUCAAUCCAUUCACCAUUGAAGAGAAUAAGCACACGUACCAAAACCAUAUAUGAUGAUACAAUAAAAACAAUAAUAUCAAAUUUCAUAUACAAGUAACUACACGACCUACACAACUACAUUACUUACAUGACCUACAUGACCUACAUGACUAUAUUACUUACAUGACCUACACGAAUUAUACGACUUACACGACUAUAUUACUUACACGACUUACAUGACUAACUAUAUGACAUACACAGUAUCAAAAGGAAUGCACGACGCGAAACAUUUUCGCCAUAAAUAAGUUAUAAACAACCUAUAUUGCAUAUAUUUCUAUAUAUAAGAAAAAAUGGUGAAAAUAAAACAUUAUAAUGUGAAGAAAAUUUCUAAAUUUUCCUAAAAAUAAAAAAACUUAAAACCCAACAACAUUAACAUACCUUAUUGGGUUGUUUAAUAAGUAAUGCACAUUAUUUCAGUUAAAAAAAAGUGGGUGUUAAAGAAAUGAAUACAUAAUCAUAUUUGUGUAAGAAGUUAUGAGAGAUUUUGAGAGAUUCUAGGAGAUUUUGAGAGAAUUUCGGCAGCAAGAAGAGAUUUGGGUGUUAAAGAAAUAUGAAGACAAGGAAGUUGAGUGAAUUUGAUUCAUUCAUUAAGGGCAUUUUAGACUUUACUCACAUUUGUUAGGGUAUCCAUGAAAACAAAAAAGGAAAGGGGUAUUUAAAUAAUUUUAAAACUAUUAAAGGGUAUUUAAUUAAAAACCCUAGGAGAAGAUGAUAGUGGAAGUAUGCAGUGUGGCUGCCAGGUACUUGGAUUGUAUUAUCGGGUAAGGUAAUAGUAGAGAAUUAUAAGUUUGAACAGAGCAUGUUGGACUUUUGUUGACCAAAUUCAAAAGCCCAAUGGCACGACCCAGAAGCUUUUGAAUAGAAAAACUUGCUAGAAAGCAUCAGUUUAAAUCACUACUUAAACGCUGCACCGCUUUGUACUGUUUUAGGUAUGUAGCGGUUGUGCAGUUGUAAUUCACGGCUGACGCUACGUGUUUGUUUGUACUGUUCUAUUCAGUGAUAGAGUAUUAUUAGUUAGGCCAAAACUAUGUUGCAACAGUGGUACAGUACCACUGUUGCUUUCAUAGCUGGACCCUAUUAGUUAUUUCAAAGGGAUAAAUAAGAUUGGUUACAACAAAUCUACUAUUUUUAUAAAAUUCAAGUAAUAUAGAAUAAAAUAAAAAAAUAAAUACAAAAUUGACUUUUAUUUUUUAUGGUUGACUAUAUUUUGUGUUCUCUUCGGGCACUGCUACAAUUGUUCCCCAUAUAUCAAUUACACCACAUACUAUCGACACAAGAAAUGAAAUCUAAUAUCACCUGUUUAGUUAAAAAAUCACUCAUGAAAAAAGUUUACCAUUUUGAUUUGAGGAUCCAUAUUUUGAACUGCAAGCUAAUGUUCAUCAAGAAUCACUGAUGGCCGUUGAGUAGAAAAAUUAUUUUUGGACAAAUUAUUUUUGUUGAUAGAAGAAUUUCUUUAGGGACUACUAAAUUAUUAAUAAAAAUGUCGAACACACCCACAUAUCAUCGACACAAUUGAUUUUGAGGAUCCAUGCUUUGAAUUGCCGCCUAAUGUUCAUCAAGAAUAGAGUAUGGCUUGUGAGUAGAAAAUUUUCUUAUUUUGGCCCAAAAUAAAAAGAAAUUAAAUUGGAUGAGAAUCUGCCACUUUCUCAUGAAGAAAGGCAUACGAAGCAUACCAUGAUACCAUACAAUAUAAGGAGCCGCCGUUCUUUGGUUUUUCAAACUUUGAAGGGGCCAAUAUUGCCAAAUUCCCCCUUGAAAAUUCUGACUACGACAUUAUUCAUCGCUUGAUGCAAUCAAAGUAGUGACAAAGUUAGGAAAAAUAUGAGCCCUAAGUAAUUGCUAGGCAGGGUUCCUGAGAGCAAAAUUGUCCUAAGCAUUAUAUGCAUACAUGGUGCGGUACAUAGAGCACGUUGAAUUCCCCACUAUAACACAAAUCCAGAAAGAGAAGUAAUAACUCAACUGAUAUAAAGACAAAAAGAAGAUAAAAUGAUAUAGAAAAAAGAAUUUCAAAGAGACAGCAACAUACGAUAGGCUGAAGCCACUUGAUCUACUCAUUGAUUGCAGCCUUAAACUUGCAAAUAGUUACUGUAUGCUAGUGCUCUAAGAAGUGAAAAUGAUGCAAGCCCUGAUUCCCUUUUGACUUCCAUUUACUGUCAAACAUUCUAGUAAUACAAAAAAUUGUUUAGAUAUCUUGCUAUAAAUAUAGUUGUUUGACUGUCAUAAUAAAGUCACAAAUAACCAUUCAUAUUGAUCUACUGUCACACAGCAUGCUUUAUGCAUACAACAGCUGUAUGUAUACCAACUCCUAACCUUAUCAAUGCAUUUGGCAAAAACUUAAGAAGAAAACUAUUUCUCCAUCUCUUUUUUGAAAUUUCACAAUAACCAGCACAAUGUGAAAGCUAUGUUCUAACCUUAUGAUAAAUGCUCCAGACUCCAAAAGGAUUUUAUAUAUGAGUUUUUGUUGCAGCAGAUAUAUUGACUUAUCAAGUAUGAAUCAUUUUCUGGAUGAACUAUCUUUAGAUAAAAGAAUAUUAGAACCACUGUAGAAUAUCUUUACGCUGCUGGUUCUAACAAGAAUCUGCUUGUGGCAACAAUUGCUAGAUCCACAAUUCCCCAACUUGAAAUACAUAGUUGCACACCAUGAGAUAGUGCUACGAUCUACUGAGAUCUAACUUAUAUGGUACUUUAAGCUACUAAUGUUUGCAUAUUUCUACAUGUUAAAUUAACACUAUCAUCUAUAAUCACUCCAAAACAACAAAUGAUAAGCAGCUUUUGGCCACUUAUUACUAGCAUCCACAAUUAUAAUAAGAGAUCAUGGGUUUACUUGUUGCACCUACUUAAUUAUCUGCAGUUGACAUCCUGACGCAAGGUUUAAAUAGUGACUGCUUAGAACCCUUGUAGUUGGAUCUUGACCUCUCCCAUUGUAGCCAAGAUUGGUUACUCUGGUAAUGAAUCAACACUCUCCUGCUCAGGGCCAUGAAGAUCUGAAAGCUCAGCACUAGUGGAGAACUUCAUCAAUCUCUUCUUCUCAGCAUACUUGAGACAAGGCUGCAUUACGAGACCAAUCACCACAGCACCAACGCUUAAAGCUACAACUUUUAAAGAAGAAAGAGCCAACACAACACAACACAAAUCAAUAUGGUUGGAGGAAUACACAUGAUAAUGGCUCUAACAGUGCCAGUGGGUAUCUUGUAGGGACGAGAUGCAGCAGGAUAUUGUAUCCUUAACCAUACAAAUGCUAUGAACUCCAUAAUCAUUCCAAAACAGUACAGGAAGUUCUCUGCAGCUACAAUAUCUCGAAAGCUCAGCCAUGAUAGCAAAACCACACCAGAUGCUGAGAAUAUGAUUCCAAUCAAAGGAGUCCCAUAACAAGACCUCUUAGCAAAAAACUCAGGUAGCAUUCCACGCUCAGCCAUCCCCAAAAGUUGGAAAGAGUCGCUGCUCAUCUCAGCCACAAACAUGCCCAUAUUGGACAUUGCUGCAACCCCCUGGAUGCACCAACUCAACCAAACUCCUCCAAGCACUUUAGCGAUACCUGAAAAGUAACCAUCGGUCCACAAGUCGCGAUCUAAUGGAAUAGCUCCAGUUCCAACUAGAAAGGGAAAGAAAUAUCCAAAAACGACCAAGAUCAAAGCAUAAAACAAAGCCUUUGGAAGAGUCUUCUUUGGGUUAUCCACCUCUCCAGCUAGUGUACUUAUUGAGUCCCAGUAGUUGAGAUUCCAAAACAGGGUGUUCAAAUACAAAUUCCAAUCCACUUCACCUAAAUUUAAUACAAGCCAUCUUGAAGGCUCUAACUUGGGAAGGGACACAAGUCCCAUAACCACAAAAGGAAGGAGUGAGAAAAUCCCUAAAAGAACAGCAGCCCAUCCCACAAUGGUUAGACCCCUAUAGUUCAUGAAAGUGAGAACAAAAGUCAAAGCUAACGCCGCAAAGGCUCUAGGUAACCCAUCGCCCAAAGCAGGGAUACCAGACUUCAAGUAAUCAAGAAACAGAACUGGGUAUAAAGCAUUAUCAGUAACCCCACUUAGCCAUUUCAUCCAAACUUGCUCAAAACCCCAAUAUGGGCCUAAGGCAGAUGAAACCCAAACCACAUAACCACAAUUUUCAGGAAACACGGUACCCAUCUCGGCAGUAAUUAAAGCUUCAGGGACACUCCAUAUAAUCGGAAACACCAAGAAACCAAGAAGUGCUAAAAGAGGACCAGCUGUCUUUACACUAUCCUCAACACCAAACGGCCCCCCAGAAACCUCAUAGAAUAUAAGGAAAAUAAGUGGCAAGAUUGAUACUUUUUUAGUGCCAUGGACUCUAGGAGAAGAUGGUUGGUCAUUGAUAUUAAAAUAUUCAACAGCAUCAGACUGCCCCAUUUCUACUGAAACUUGCCUAUUUACAGUGCUCCUCAAUUUCUGCAUCAAGUUUAAGCAUAACUAUCAAAAGGGUAUCCGCAUCUAAAUUAUGAAACAAAAUGAGCAUUUACUUAUUAAAAAAAAAAUCAAAAAACAGAAAUGGAUUUCACAGAACACAUGAACUUAAGUUCAACAUUAAACAGGCGCUUAAGAAAACAAAAGGGUCUGUUCGUAAAGCCAUCAGAUUGCAAGAUUGAACAACAUUAACGGAAUCAAUAGAAUGGAUGUAAAGAGAACUGAAAAGAAAAUAAAAUAAAAGAUGAAGAGAGAUAAAACGAACCAUCAAAUAAGUGCAUGCAGAGCAGAGAGGCAGAUACUAGUGAAGCUCCGUCAUGUUAGAGAGAGCCUAAAUCAAUCAGAGCUCACUGAGUUUCUUUUAAACCGACCGGCAAAUUUGGAGUAGCACAACAUAAUAUUUUUGCUUUUAUUUUUGGAACACUUUUGAAUGGAAUUUUUUGUUUUAAAAAAUGGCAAAGGAGAUUAGUAUUUCUAUCGUUAAAAUAAUAAUUUUCCUAACAUUAUUUUUUAUAUUUUUUAAUUUAUUUUUAUAAUAAUUUUUUAUUUAAAUAUUAAUAAAAAAUAAUUAAAUUAACAAUUUAAUCCUAAAAUAAAUAAACACGGUUUUGGGUUUUUUCUUUUGUUCGUUUAAUAUCAUCUGGUUCCCUGAUUUGUGACUAAUUAUCAACGGAAUCCCGUUAGUUUCUAAAUUGAAAUAAUAGAAGGUCAUGAGAUUAUUUACUCCAUUUAGCACUGCAGACUUAGAGUAUAUUGAAAAAGCUUUGUCAAAUAGUAGUAAUAGGGGCAUAAGAAAUAAAUUAUAGCUAUCACAAAUUCGUUAGGAGAAUUUCAAAUUUUUCCAUCAAUAAUGGCUAUGAAGCAAAAUUACUUUAGGUUAUAUUGCAACACUAAUACUUCAAAUCCUGACAAUAAAUUUGAAGAACUUGUUAAAAAGAAAAUGGUAAUGUUAUCAUUUUGAAAGACAAAAAAAAAAAGAGUGAAAGUGGCGUUACCUCAUGGUCAUUAGUGACUUGUUGCAAUGAUAGCUCAAAAUUAAAAAUUUGUGAAGAAUUAGUAGACAACGACGAUAUUAUAUUUAUACAGUCACCAACGUAUUGAUUUUUGUUUAAUGUUUGAUUGAUAGAAACUUUUGUCGUCGUCGCCGUUGUUGAAUUCGUGCUUAGAAUACCACAAGAGAAGAAAAAGGGAUGAAAGGGAAGAGAAGAAGAGAGAAGUGGUGGAUAGCAAAUAUGAUAUGCUAGCUACACACAGGCCUUAGAGAGUUUUUUUUUUUAAUAUUUAUUGUAUUUUUGUUUUUGUUAUUGGUUUGUCAUAUGCUUCCAAGGCAACAAUGCAUUACAUCAUAAAUUGCACCUUUUAGGGGAGGUGGUAAAAAACAUGAGAGCAAUGCAUUCUAGCGCAUACAUGCAGAAAGAGUUUCCAAAUUUUCAAAAGUUUCUUUAUUUCUUCCACCUUUUUUUGCUUAAAAUAAAUUUUAAUUGUAUUUUGCAUUAACUUAGAGAAAAAAAAAUCCAAUUCUAUGCAUAAACGCAUACAUUGAUUAGAAAAUGAGUUUUAUGGACACAAAGGGACAAUAUAAGAGAUUCUUUUUGUUUAUUAGAAGUAACAUAACUAGUUAGUGUAACAUGUAAUUAUAAGCUACCAAUAAUUUGCACUGAUGAUAAUUAACGGUACAGAUUUUGAGCUAUGAAUGUCUUGUGGCUAGUUUAAUUGGAUUUUUGAGUUUUCAGCAGAUCUAUUUUAAUGAUUAUUAAAUUAUUUUCACUUCUUAUGCCUUAAUAAAAAAAAUUCAAUAUUUUUUGCUGUAUUCUAUAUUUUAAAACUUAAUUUUUAGUUCUUUAUAUUGCAAACCAAACUGAGUCAAAUAGAGUAUGCUCUUCAAAUAAUUUUUCCAUUGCCUUCAAGAAGAAUUCAUUUUAUUUUUAUAUAUUAAUUCAACACUUGUAAACCGGGCCGUCAGAUUGCACAUAAAGCAAAUGAUCAAACCGUUACAAGACCGGCCCAGGCCCACUGACUCUAUUUUCUUUAAUUUGACCAUUAAAAAGCUUUUGGCCACCCCCACCAAAUAAAUAAGCUCUUGUUCUCUUUUGUAGGGGUGGGCAAAAAAACCGUAGUCUUAAAAAAACCGAACCGAACCGACGGUUUUUUCUAAUUCGGUUUGGUUUUUAUUUUUUUAAAAAACCGAAAUAUACCAUUUGUAAAAAAAAACCGAAAUGUCGGUUUGGUAUUCGGUUCACUUAGCUGAACCGAAAAACUGAACCGAAAAACCGAAUUAUUUUUUGAUUUUAUUCAAAUCAAACAUGUGUUAAUUUUUAACUGAUUGUGCAAGAUAACUAACAUAAACUUGCAUACACACAAUCAUGAGUAUAUAUAUGUAAGUGUUACAAUUUCGUAAAUCUUUAUUUCCCCCAAAAUAAACCCUAAAGCUAAAAUCAAAGAUUCAAAAUCGAAACCAAAUCCAAAUCACCCACCCCAAUCCACUGCAAUCACAGCCGACGCUGCUCACCGGCGAUAGUGUCACCGUGCAACACGCUGCUCACCGCGAAAGCUGCAGCUUCUUUUCACCGUGGGACAGCUUCAACUCACAGGCCUGAGGCCACCACGCGACAGCUUUGCUCUGCUCACCUGAUUGGAGUGGAAAUUCGAUGGUUUUGAAUGGUUUAUAUAUGCAUGUGAGGUGUUCGGCGCAUAUAAUCAACUUAAUUGUGCAAGAUGGGUUGUCACAAGUGAGUCAAUCAAUAGCUAGUAUUCGAAAUGCGGUGAAAUAUGUUAGAUCAUCUCCGGCAAGAUUACAAAAGUUCAAAACAUGUGUUGAUAGGGAGAAAAUCUCACGUGGAGGGCUUAUGGUGUUAGACGUGCCGACUCGGUGGAAUUCAACAUAUUUGAUGUUAGAAAAAGCGGUAGCAUUUGAGAGGCUAAAGGAAGAUGAUGGCCAUUAUACAAACUGGUUUGAUGAGGAUGAGAGUGAAUAAAGGAGGGUGGGGCCACCGAUUGAUAAGGAUUGGGAAAAUGCAAAGAGGUUAGUCAAGUGUCUUUCGAUUUUUUAUCAUGUGACUUUAAAAUUCAGCAGCUCUUUAACAGUCACUUCCAAUAAUUUCUUGAAUGAAAUGUGGAAAGUUUAUAUUCAUUUGAAGUCACUGGUUGAUUUUGUUAACAUAUAUGUUUUCAUAAUGUUAAUUUUGAUGAUAACAAACAAGAUUAAGAAUGAUUAAUCUUUUAAGAUCAAAUUAUUUUUUAUAUAUUUUAAAUAAAUCAUUAUUUUCACAUUAUAAAUGUUUUAUAUUUAAUGGAAAAAUGAUUUUAUGAAAAAUGAUUGUUUAAAUACAUGAAAUGUUUGUCAUCAUCAAAAAGGGGGAGAUUGUUAACAUAUAUGUUUUCAUAAUGUUGAUUUUGAUGAUAACAAACAAGAUUAAGAAUGAUUAAUCUUUUAAAAUCAAAUUAUUUUUUAUACAUCUUAAAUAAAUCAUUAUUUUCACAUUUUAAAGGUUUUAUAUUUAAUGGAAAAAUAUUUUAUGAAAUUGAUUGUUUUUAUUCUUUUUAAAUAAAUCAUUAUUUUCACAUUAUAAAUGUUUCAUACUUAAUGGAAAAAUGAUUUUAUGAAAUUGGUUGUUUUUCAAAGUUUAUGGUUUAAUUGAAAGAAUUUUGAAAACUUUGAUAUAAACAAGUAUUGCUUGAAAUUUUGGUAAAGGACUUAUUUGAAAAGUGUCAUAGCAUCUUUGGGCGAAAUCAUAAUUUCAGAAAGUUUUGGGAUUAACGAAGAAUUAUUUAGAAAUUCUGAAAUUGGACUUAUUUGCAAAGUUUAAUAACGUUUUGGGCCAUACUACAGUUUUAUAAAGUUUUGGGGUCAAACUAUAAAUUUUGGGAAAUGUUUUACUGUAGCAGUUACUGUAGCAAGCGGCUUACCGGAUACUAAUAAACGGCAAGUCGGAUACGGGGUAGUAAGCACCAGAACGAAAGCGGCUAACCGGAUGUCCAUAAACGGCAAGCCGGUUACGACAAAAAAUGUGCAUAACGGCUAGUAACGGCUAGUUUUUGAGUUCAAACUAUAUAAACUCAAAACCAAUUCAUUUUUGGUAACUCAAGCAAGCAUAAACAAGUGCACACAACUUAUAUUGAGCUUCAAAUUCGAAAAUCUUCAUAGAUUAAAUCUUCAUUGGGCUAUCAUUUGUAAAUCCACUCUUAAAGAGAGUUUUUGUUGUAAUUUUCAUUUCUCAUCAAAUUGUGAGAGUACAAGUGUGAGAAACACUUGGAGUGAAGAGAUUGGAGAUAUAAUCUCUUGUUGUAAAGGUUCAUUGACACCUUGAAGUCAAUUGUAAUCGUUUGAAGCCUUGGAAAGGCUUGGAUAGUGAAAUCCUCAAGCCCGGUGUGCUUGGAGGCGUGGACGUAGGCGGGGAUUGCCAAACCACGUAAAAAUCCUUGAGUUUGCUUUCUCUUCCCUUACUCUUUAAUUAUUGUGCUUUGAUUGAAUUUAUUGUUUUCGAAUUUAUUAAGGCAUUAGAUUGCUUGUUGUGUGGAUUUGUUAGGAUAAUUUUUAAAAUUCCAAUUCACCCCCCCCUCUUGGGUUGCACACUCAUAUUUCAGAUUUUAAUGAUUUUUUGUUAAAUCAAAUGGGUUACAAGAUGGAGGAAAAAUUUGUCAAGUAUUGGGGUCAUUUUUUUGAAAAGGUUAACAUGUUGUUGAUUGUGGCAAAUGUGCUUGAUCCUCGCUGCAAACUUGACUUUGUUAUAUGGUGUUUUAGUAGCUUGUAUGAUAUUAGAAAGGUUGAUGAAUUGAGAGCUAAUAUUAAAGAGUUGUUGUUGAAGCUUCUUGAAAGCUAUGGUGGUGAGAGUAAUCCAAAUAGAGGUGAGAGAUGUACGGCUGUUCAUGAUGGUGCUAGUAGUAGUAUUGAGUUAUUUGAUCCUUUUACACAAUUUAAAAAGAUGAAAGAAAGUUCAAAUGAUGACAUUAGUGGAAAAAAUGAUGUUGAAAAGUACUUGUCAGAGACUUGUGAGAGUGCUAGUAAUCCCCAGUUUGAUAUUUUGACUUGGUGGAAAUUGAAUGGGCCUCGGUAUCUGAUUUUAUCUCAAAUUGCCAAAGAUGUUUUGGCAAUUCCGGUGUCUACUGUGGCUUCUGAAUCAGCAUUUAGUACAGGAGGGCGCAUUCUUGAUCCUUUUAGGAGUUCUUUAACUCAUAAAACAGUCGAGUCAUUAAUAUGCACUCAAAAUUGGCUUCGUUCAACUCUAUUAGGAGAGCGUACAAUACAACCAAGUCAGGAAGAAGCUGAAUUCUAUGAAUUAGUUGAAACAUGUAAUAUUGUAAUUUAUUAUGUUAUUUUUUUCUAUUUCACUUAUAACAUUUUGAAUAUUAGAAUUAAUUAUUUUAAUAUAAUUGUUUUAAUUUCUUGAAGAAUUUUUUAGGCCAAUGCAAUCUCAAGAACAACAGCAAGUAGCUGAGGAGUAAAUGACAAUUGAUUGAUGUUGCUUACCAGUAAGUUUUCUUUAUUUUUUUUAAACUAGCAUCUUAUUUAUAUAGAUUGUUUAUUUAAUUAUUUAUUGUUUAAAUUUUUUUUAUAGAUCCAAAUAUUGAGUUGGAAAAUGCCUAAAGUUGAUGUUGAUAUUGAUGAAGAUGGGAGAAUAUUGUUGGCAUUUGUUUGCAAUUUUUUUUUUAUUUUGUGUUGUAAGUUGUAAUUGUUGUUAUUUUUAUUUCUCUUUAUAACAUUAUGAUUAUGUUUAUAUAGAUGGAGUAUUGGAGUUUGGUUAUGUAUUUUGAAAUUUUAAUAUUUCAUAUUUUGGGAGUAUCUUAUUAAUAGUUAGUAAGAUAUUAGUGAUAAAAUGUGUUUUGAAUACUUUGUAUUUAUUGUUAAUAUUUGUAAUAAAAUUAGAAUAAAUUAAUUGUUAAAAAAAUUAUUACAUUCAUGAGGCCCAAUGGGCUAAAAAUUCAAAAUAGGCCCAAUAGGCCCAGAAUCGAAAAAACCGAACCGAACCGAACCGAUCCGAAAAGAACCGUUUGAGUUCGGUUCUUAUUGAGUUCGGUUCUUAUUCAGUUCUUUUGAUAAAAUAACUGAUUUAAAUCGGUUCUACUUAAUUUCGAUCCGAACCGAACCGUGCCCACCCUUACUCUUUUGUUCCCUCUCAAAGGAAAAUAUCUAAUCACCGGAUAAUGAUUCCGGUGACACAAAAGAUCGAAACACCCCCUAAAUUCCCUAAAUUUAUGAUAAUACCCCACCAUGGAUGAUUCCGUUGAAAUGCCGCCUUACGAUGAAAGGCCUAAAAAGGGUUUUAACUUCACCUCCAUGCGCUUGAUCUUAACCCUCGUUUUCCCAAUUUUAACUUGCUUUUUGUUGGCAUUUUUUAUUGGAAUCGUAGUUGUUUUAUUCGGCGAAUCAUCAGUUUCCAGUUCCAUUUUUGUCCCUUCCCAGUGCAAGAUAGUGUCCAACAGUAAGCUUUUUUUAACAUUUUCAAUUUUUUUUCCAUUUAUGAAGUCCAAAAAAUUUAUUAAUUUUGAUUUUUUUGAAUGAUUUUUCAGGUGUUGAUAUAAGGUCAUCAAAAGUUCGUAAACUUGGGGUGUUCAAUUAUAAGGCGAAGCGCGUGUUUUAUCCAUUUGAAGCAAGUAAAUUUCGCUGUCGGUAUGAUUACUAUUGGGCUUCUAUCUUCAAGGUAUUCAUACAUUUUCCCCUGUACUAUAAGCUUCUUAGUGGCGGUCUUGUGUGCGGAAGUGAACGGUGUGGCUGACAGCUUCUUGAAAAUUAUAAGUUUGAACAGAGCAUGUUAGAGCACCACCAAAAGGCUCUUUAAAUAAGAUUUUAUUAUUUAUUUGAAGAGCCACAUCAAUAUUGAAAACUUCAAAAGACACUUCAAUUAAAAUUCUUCAAAUAAGAAUUGAUUCUCUCUCUUCAAAUUUGGAGAGUUAAUUUAUUCCUCUUCAAUUUAUAUUUUAUUACUUUUCAUUGAAGAAAGAGAGAAGUGCUUUAAUUGCUAUUGACUUUUCCUUUAAAAAACUAAUUAUAUGAUUAAAACAAUAUUAACUUAUUUAUAUUUGAAGAGUCUUUUGGAGAAUAUCAUAUUUUUUCACCCUUCUAUUUGCCACAUAGGUAAACAAAUAGAUAUUUAAAGAGUAAAAUUUAUAGAGGCUUUUAGAGAUGCUCUUAGACUUUUGUUGACCAAAUUCGAAAGCCAAAUGGCACAGCUCAGAAGCUUUUGAAUUGAAUAACUUACUAGGAAGCUCCAAUUUUUUGUUGGCUACAGUAAAAGGAUGUUGUUUUAUUCUUCUUAUACUUUACGCUUGCAUCAGCUUAAAUCACUUCUUAAACGCUUUGCUUUAACUCCACUGCUUCGCUGGGGCGGAUUUACCUUGGAACAAGUGGGGACUUAAGUCCCCACUGAAAAAAAAAAAUUGUUUUAAUAAUUAAUUUGAUUUGCCAAAACUUCUCAAUAAAUUUUUCUUAAGCCCCCCAUAAUUUCUUUCAACAAACAAUUGAUCUAAAUGAGUUAUUUUCUGUCAGUUGUAUCCAAAUGAGUUCUCUGCAAUUGAUAUCAUGGCACUUAAAAUUCAACUUGAUACAUAUAUUUUGGAUAUGCGCACUAGUGCGAGACUAAAAGACAUAAGGUAUAUCCAUUGGUUUACUUGUUAAUAAUAUUAGCAUUGACUUUACCUGUUGCCACUGCUAGUGUAGAGAGAGUAUUUUCAGCCAUGAACAUUUUGAAGAAUUGAUUAUAAAGCUGUGAGUAAUGGAUGAAUGAUAGUUUAAUUAUUUACAUAGAAAAAUACUUAUUUAAUAAUAUUGAUAAUGAACUUGUAAUGCAACAUUAUUAAUGUAUGAAAACUUGAAAGGACAAUUGUAAACAUAUAUUGAAGUAUGAUAAAUCUUUCAAAUUUAUAUAUUUAUUACUUUUUAAAUUUUUUUAUAUUGCCGUUGAAUGAGCCCCCAGUCAAUCAAUAUGUUGUCUUCGCCCUACUUCGUACUCUUCUAUAUAUGUAUCGGGUAUGCAGUUUUAGUUAACAGCUGAGACUACGUGUUUGUUUGACGUGGUAGUUACGUUACGAGUCUGUUAAACAUUCAAUGAUUAAAGUAUUAUCAGUUAUUUCAAAGGGACAAAUAAGAUUAGCUACAACACACCCACUAGUUUUAUAAAAUUCGAAUGAGAUGGAAUAAAAUAAAAAAAUAAAUAAGUAAAUUGACUUUUAGUUUUAGUGGUUGAAUAUAUUUUGCAUUCUCUUAGGGCACUGCUGUAAUUAUUCCUUAAACGUCAGUCAUACCCACAUAUAAUAGACACAAGAAAUGAAAUCUAAAAUCACCUGUUUAGUUAAAGAAUCAUCAUGAAAAAAUUUUGCCAUUUUGAUUUGAGGAUCCACAUUUUGAACAACCAACUUAUGUUCAUCAAAAACGGAUCAUGGCCUGUGAGUAGAAAAAUUAUUUUUGGACAAAUUAUUUUUUUUAAUAGAAUAAUUUCUCAAGGGACUAUUAAAAUUACUAAUAAAAAUGUCAGACACACCCACGUACCAUCGACACAAUUGACUAUGAGGAUCCAUGUUUUGAACUGCCACAUAAUGUUCAUCAAGAAUAGAAUAUGGCUCGUGAAAAGAAAAUUUUCUGAUUUUGGCCUGGAACAAAAAAAAAUUAAAUUGAAGGAGAAUCUGCUACUUUCUCAUUAAGAAAGGCAGACAGGGUAUACUAUGGUACCAUACAAUAUAAAAAGUCUCCGUUCUCUGGCUUUUCAAACUCUGAAGGGGGCAAUAUUCCCCAAUUCCCCCUUGAAAAUUCUGAUUACGACAUUAUUCAUCACUUGAUACAUAAGUACAAGUAGUGACAAAAUUAGGAAAAAUAUGACUCAUAAGUAAUUACUAGGCAGGGCUCUUGAGAGCAACAUUGUACUAGGCUUUAUAUGCAAACAUGGUGUGGUACAUAGAGCACGUUGAAUUCCACACUAUAACACAAACCCAGAAAGACAAGUAAUAUCUCAACUGAUAUAAAGACAAAAAGAAGAUAAAAUGAUACAGAACAAAGAAUUUCUAAGAGAUAGCAACAUACAAUAGACUGAAGCCAGUUGAUCUGCUCAUUGAUUGCAGCCUUAAACUUGCAAAUGUUUACUGUAGCCUGGUGCUCUAAGAAGUGAAAAUGAUGCAAACCUUGAUUCCCUGUUUACUUCCAUUUACCAUCAAACAUUCUAUUCAUAAGAAAAAAAAUGUUUAGAUAUCUUGCCGUAAAUAUAGCCAUUUGAUUGUCUUAAUAAAGCCACACACAACCAUUCAUAUUGAUCCACAUUGCCACAUAGCCUGAUUUAAGCAUACAACACCUGAAUGUAUACUGACUCCUAACCUUAUCAAUACAUUGGCGACAACUUAAGAAGAAAACUAUUUCUCCAUCUCUUUUUUGAAAUUUCACAAUAAAAUAGCACAAUGUAAGAGCUGCAAUGAAAAUGGACCAUCUGGAACUAUGGCGGAAGCUUCAACUAGUGUAGUGAUUUGACCUUCUUAUUAACCUAGCGAGAUCAAACACUGCCCUUGAUCUUGAACAGAUCAAUACGAUACGCACAACUUAUGAUUGAAUCCAGAAACAAUCAAAUCUUUAGCAAGAAUAAUUAAUCAGAAUCAAGAAACAAGUUUAAUGAAUAUAAACCUAUAAUUGGAACAAACACAGCAAAAGAACCCAAGAAUGACACAACCAGCACCAAGGGAGAAGCUUUCCAGUGAGAUUAUAUUGAUGAUCAAAGAAGAAUCUUUUUACAAAGCUAACAAAAGAGAUUUCAGAGAAUAAGCUAUGACCCUCUCUCUUCUCAAUCUCUGUCUAGUUUGUUAACAGUGAUGACCCCAAUCUCCUUCGUUAGCCAGCUUCAUAACUGCGUCAGUGACAAACUAGCAAACCCAGAUUGAGCAGACUAACGACACGUGCAUAACGGCUUUAACGAACUUGGUUAAAGAACUGCUCACAUGUUCGUCACGCGUGUUGCUUAAAUGAUAGCCAAAACGACUUCAACCAGAUGCCGUUUUGAAGCUUAUGAAUUAUAAGUGAAAACACGUGCUUGUCUCGUGACAUUUAAAUGCAACAACAAGCCCAAAACACUGCCGGUCCACUAUGUUGAGUUUGCCAUCUCUAAGCUUCACAACUAGCAGCGGACAAGAUGAUAAUUUAAUUGACUUGGAGAGCUUUUAUAUCACUUUUACAACAUUCUAUAUAAUUGUGAUAUUGGGAAUCGUCGGUGUUGUAUAUGUGAACCCUCGUUGGCGACACUGGUGGUUUUAUCUUUAUUGAAAUAUGGAUGACUUUUCGUUACUAUUUUGUUGUACAUAACCUUAUUCUCAGGAGAUUUAAUCAUUGAAAUUAACAUGUUAGUUUCAUUAGAAGGCUGAGUGGUUAGGGCUGCUACCUUCCAACUUGGAGGGCAAUAGUUUGAACCCACAAGCGCAAUGUGGGGGUAUUUCAUUCUUUAAUUACAUUGUAUAAUUGAAUAAAGAUAAUAUUCUCUCUUACCCAAGUGUGAGUGGAGUAGACAUCCUUCGAAUAUUAGCGAGGGUUAAAACUUGGGCAGAGCUCAAUAAGUAUUGAUGUAAGUUGGUCCUAAUAAUAGUCUGAUUUGUAAAUAUCAGUUAUAGUCUCAUGUUUCCUUCCUUAAUUAUAUUGCAUAAUUAAGUAAAUGUACUCUUUUCUCUUACCCAAGUGUGAGUGGAGUAAACAUCUCUCGAAUAUUAGUGAGAGUUAAAAUCUGGGCAGAGCUCCAUAAGUAUUGAUGUAAUUUGAUCCCAAUAAUAGUAUGAUUUGUAAAUACCAGUUAUAGUAUCAUGUAAUAUGAGUUGUAAUUUGAGUAAUAAUUUCAUGUAAUUACAAAAAAAAAUGUUACUUUCAUUACUUUUUUCUUCGUUAAAAUUCUCAAGUAUCAAUUAUGUUUGCUUAAGAAAUAAAAUUUCAUUAUGAAAAUUGUAGCAGUAUUUCCGAGCACCUCACAUUUUCAAUGAUUUUUCAUAAAUCAAUUAAUCUGCCAUACCAAUAUCAGGUUUAGUUUUUCAGACUAAAUGAUCAAGAAAGCAAACAUACAAAUUCACAUUUUAGAGGGGUAAACUAGCUUUUAGAUUUUAGAACUAGGCUAGCUACCUCACCAAAUUCCAAUCUGUACAGUGAACUACAAGAUUAAGAAAAUAAUGUAUUUAUAGUUUAAUUGAAUCAUGAGAAAACAAUGUAGUCAUAGCUCAAUCGGACAUGAUCACGGAGAGGCAUAUUCUUUUCAAGUUAAUUUGAUCCAUUUAUAAGAAAUGAAGUGGAUUGAAGUUAAAAGUUCAAAUAACAAAUCCUUGUUCUUGAGUUUUACGACGUCGUUACUCCUUCAAGAGGCUGAUUAUGCGAGUGAAUGAGGAAACAGAAUGCAUUAUCCAAUUUCACUCAUAUAGAAAAUUAAUUUUUUAUAUAUACUAAUCAACACUAGAUUGAUUAUGUUUUGUAUGUUUAUAUGCUAAUCAACAAUAAAUUAUAGUAAAUGAAGAAAUGCUUCAAAAUUUUUUAAUUUAAUUUAGAAAAUCAAUUAUUAACAUUAAUAUUCCUAAUAAAAAUUAUUUUCCAUCGGUAUUCAAAAUUUUCACUUAUAGAAAAUGCGUUUUACGUGAAUACAAGUUAUUGUGUAAAUUUGAAUGAUAGCGAAAAAUAUUUUUUUUAAUAAUUGUAAAAAUAAUUAACCAUAACAAAUCGCUUGCGUAAAUAAUAAUCAUUAUUUAAAAGGUAGAAAGAUGGUUAGUGCACAAUCAAAUUUUAAGCCCCUACCUCCUCGGCCCAAUAUUCAAACUUAGAUGAUCAGCCAAAUAAAAUUAUUUGAAAAUCAUUCAAUCAGGUUCUCGGGGCAAAAAUACAAGAUCCUUAUUUGCAUGAUAUAUAUGAAUUAAUGUAAUUUAUUUGAAUUAUCCAAAUUCAUUAGAGAUAAAACUAUAAAAUAUACGAAAAAAGUUAGAAGGAAGGGUGUGUUGGGAUAUUUUACAAACUAUAGGAAUCUGGUGAGAUUUUGAGCCAAACUGUAGGGAGUUGAAGGCAUUUGCCCAAUAUGUUUAGCCGUACACUAACCGUUAUUUGAUCUUGUUGUUGGUCCCGGAUGAGCUAUAGUCUUAUUUUAAUUUUAUUUAAACUCACCAUAAGAUUCGCAGAGCUCCUAACUAACUUAAAUGACUCUGCAGAGCAUGUCAACACAUAGCAUGUUUAACCGUUUUAUUUGUAGAAGAAUUUAUGAUUUCCCAUUAGCAUUAUUAUUGAAGUGGGGCGGGUCAAAUCUCAAUUGCUUGAAAAUUUUAUUUAUUAUUAUUAAUUUUGAAGUGGGGUGGGUAACGGUUCGUUCAAUUCGAGGGAAUCAAAUAUAUCAUCCAAGGUAGAAUUGUGGAAAAUUAAAGCAAAAUAAGAAAUAUGGACAGAAAAGAAGAAAGUUAAUGCAUGAAAGACAUUUACAGUUGAAAUUGAUAAUCAUGUUUCUAUUUUGUUAACUAAUCAAAUGGAAAACUGAACUGUAAACAAACAUUAAAACGUGUGGACCAAGCUAGCUGCCCUACAAGUCUACAAUAAUAAUUGAGUACUUUGAUUCAUCCUUCUAUGAAUUUCUACCCAUAUUGACUCCUCCGAAAUUUCCACAAAAUAAAAAAAAAAAAAAAACUGAAUUUCCACAAAAUGCAAAACCCGUAGAACUUAAUUUUUGGUCAUGUGAACUAAGAUGUAAAUUAAAGAAAAAGUAUAAAAUUAAAAAAGAUAAAAUUUCUAAAAUGUGUGGAAGGUGAUUCAUAAUUCACUGAAAUUACUUGCCCCAGAUAUAUAGGUAAACCUAUCUAAUUUCAUUAAAAAUAGUUGGAAAAAAUUAACUAAUAGAAAGCUACGGAAAUUAACCCCCCACAAAAAUAACUUUUUAUAGAAGAAUUUAUGUUUUUUAAAAUAUGUUAUCAAAGUGUAUUUGAUCAAAUCUCAAUUGCUUAGUAUGCUUAGGAUUUUGUGAACAUCACUAAAAAGCGAAAGCUAUGAAUGAUAGGGGUGAUGCUUGCAAUAUGAAUAAAUAAUGGACUGAUUCAAUUGAUGAUUACAUUUAUAUAUUAUUGAUUAUUUAUGAAUUUUCAGACUUGUUACGAUGUAUAACUAUGUGAUUUUGAAACUUGAAACCGUGGCAAACAUUGAAAGGAAUUAUAACUUGAAAUCAUGACUCACGGGGUAUGUCAUGAUUCACGUGCACAAAAAAAGGUAGAAUUGUGGAAAUUUAUAACCCAACGACAAAUACGGAAAGAAAGGAAGAAAAUUAAAAGACUUCGGGCCUAGCCUGCGUGUAUUAAUUAUUAGAUUAUUUUUUUUUUAUAAGGGUAAUCAUCAAUUUACUCCAUAACAAUCUUUAAUUCAUUUCUUAAAACUAUCAAAACUUUAAUUUAUCUUUUAAACAUCGUUACCUCUUCAUUGGUUUUAAUAGUUCAAAGGGUAAAAUUAUGUUUGCAUAUUUUCUUGACCGCCAACUAAAUGAUAAAACUCAAAAUUCAAUCUUGUUAUCUUGUUUCAAUCCUCUAUCAAUCAAAUAAGAUUUCUAAAAUAUGUGGAAGAUAUUGCAUGAUUUCCUCAACCUACCUGGCCCGAACAUCAAGGUAAAUAUCUCUAAAAUAGUUUAUUAAAUCUCAGUUGCUAAGUAUAGUAAGGAUUGUGUGAACAUCAAUCAAAACUAUGAUUGAUAGAAGUGAUCUUUGCAAAAUGAAUAAAUAAUUAACUGAAUCAAUUGAUUUACAUAUUAAAGUUUAUGAAUUUUCGGACUUGUUGCGAUAUAAUAAUAGCAUAUGAUUUUGAAACUUGAAACAGUGGUAAAUAUUGAAAGGAAUUAAUUUGAAAGCAUGAUCCGUGGGGAAUGUGAUGAAUCGUGUUUACCAAAAAGGUAGAAUUGUGGAAAUUUAUAACAGAACGAUAAAUAUGGUAAAAAGGAAGAAAAUUGAAAGACUUGGGGCCUGGCCUGGGUGUAUUUUCUAACAGUCCAAUGGACAAAAUUAUAUUUGUAUACUUUCUUAACAGUCAACUGAUUGAUAAAAGUCAAAACUGGUCUCUUUUUUUUUUCCUUGUUUCAAUCCCCUCUCAAUCAAAAAUGUUUCCUUGUCUAAGCAAUGAGGAAUAUGGCUGAAAAGAUUGCUAUUAGAAAGAUUUAUCAAUUGUAAUUGGUUUAAAAUUGAAUAGACACUUCAUUUUUAAGAUUGUUAUGAGUCAAUAUAGGUCCUAUUUGGGAUUGAGUUCUUGUAAUUUUUAAGCUACAGCGGCUGUGGAAAAAAAAUUAUAAUUAUGAAAUAAGAGUUAAAAACAUGUAAUAAAUAUAAAUUUUAAAUAAUAGUUUUGACAAAAUUAUAAAAUAUAUAAUAUAUCUUUCAUAAUACAAGUAAAAGAUCAUAUCAACAUAGAUUGCAAGCCACAACAGUUAGUGUUUACCAAACAAUUUAGUGCUGUAACUUUCAAGUUACAGCUGCCCAAUCUCAAUUUCAAAUGCACUUAUAAAGUGACUUGCUUCAAAAGCCUAGCAACCCAAAUUGGAAUGCUUUCAUUCAAGUGGCUAUAACUAAGAUAUAACGUCCCUAAGGAAGAGUAAUUAAAAAAUGUACCUUCUUUAACAUGUCCGUAUGGCAUUUUUUUUUUAAGUGAAUUUGUGUGAUAGAGAGAGGAUGUCAGCAAGAUAGUAAACUCCUAAAUAUAUUAUUGUUUGUAAUGUCUAAAAUUUGAAGAGAAUCAAGCUAAUAAAACUCCAUUGAAAUUAGACCUUCAAGAGUACGGUUCUUGGGCAUUAUAAAAUGUUGUAAUGUCGAGAGAUUACCCAACCAUUAUGGAAUCCUACCAAGAUGAUUGUUACCACUAAGAUACAAUCCUUCUAGUGAACAACAAUCAGACAAAUUUUUUGGGGAUCUCUCUUACAAAGUGAUUACCAUCCAAUCGCAAUUUUGAAUGAAAAUAAAUUUUUUUUAUUGGGAGUUUGACCUUAACAUUAAAUUUAGACAAUGAAUUUUAACUUUCUUCAAUUAUUAAACAGUUUACAGACAUUUGACAAAUUUGAAAACACUUCAUCCAUAGAAAGUUAAAAUUAGAGAUGGAAGCUAGGUGCUACAGCUAAUGGGAACAUUAAUUCCUGUCCCUCAUCACACUUUAUUUUGGGUCUAAUAAUUUUACGGCAGCAUUGACCACUGCUCAAGGUAAGUAAAACUUACAAAUGUGUGGCAAAAUAAAUAAUUAAGUGCAUAAAUUGUUAGCUAAUUUUCUUGAUAUAUACAGCUAAAGUAGUCGUUCCCCUUUAAAAAAAAUGUUAAACAAUUUCGGCUGAGCCUGCUUGUGGUUUUGAUAAAAAGGAGGGGCUGGCUUCAAAUAUUUGAAUAGGCAUCUCCGCCGUACCUCAAACAAAUCUGUCAUUAUUUGUGCCAUGAAACAUGUUUCGGCCGUCGAAGUCACGAGAGGGUUGAUGACGCUACUACGUAUGAUGACACACCAGCCGACAGUGUAGUAACAGCUCAAAAACAAAAUCUACCAAAAUCAACGAAAGUUAAUAAAAAUUUAUUUUAUUAAUAAAAAUAAAUAAAUAAACUUAUUAUUUUUGGAGACGUGUGUAUUUGAGUCUGUGGACUGAAAUGGAAAAUAUGAAGAAGUUCAGAGUCGUUGUGCAGAUUGACUUCAGUUAAAUGGGUCUAGUAGAUAUUUUAUGCUGACGUGGCACGAAUUAGUUAUAAUCUGUUACAACGUUUCCAGAAACAUCAGUAUAAAUAGAAGCUGAUGAGCAGUGCCUGUUGUACGAUCCUUUUUCUUCGUCAGUUGUUCGUCAAUUUUCAUAGAAUCUGUUUCAUUGUGAUCUGUACAAAGUCUUCUGUAAAUCCACUUAUGUUUGAUUAGUUGUUGAUCACUAACGAAGUAAAUUUUUCCUUCAAAUCUUGCUGGUUCGUGCCCCUGUUUCAGUUCUGGAUUUUUCUUUUUCUUUUUUUAGUUCUGGUUUCUUAAUUCAAUUGAAUUUCUUGGUGCUUAAUUCAUCAAGAUUCAGUGGAAUCGACUUGAAAAGGAAAACAUUAUCCACCUGGAACGACUUCAAGUCCAAAGUAAAAGACAAGAGUGGCUCCCCGCAAUUUUCUUGUUUUCAGUAUAUUUUCUCUUUUUCUUUUUUAAAAUCUUUUGACGCAUGCAUAAUAUACCCUUGUUUAUUAUCUCUACUUUGCUCUGCUCAAGUCCAUUUUUUUCAAAUAUUAUUUUAAAUAAUAAAUUUAAUAAAAGUACAUUUGUGUAAUUAAGACUCUGCUAUUAUAUCACACAUACGCAUAUAAUAUAACUAAGCAUUUGUUAUUAUAGCAAAGAUCCAUAGCAUGAAAGUGAAUAAAUUUAACUAAAUGGUUAAUUAAUCAAUUAAGUUUCAUGAGCUUUAAUCGAGUUAAAACCAAGUACAAACAUCGUUAACAAAUACUGAAAUUGAGUAAAUUAAAAAAAUAAAAAAAAUUAAUUCAAGUAAUAUGUAGUUUUUACAUGUUGAUCAGCAGAAUACAACAUUAAAUUUUGUCAUUGACAAUAUUGCAUACCAGUCAUCUAAAGCAUUACCUCACGAGGUUUUAUGAGAAACGAAAGAUAAGUGUUUGCUCUGAACAAUUAAAGUUGCUGCUACCAACCUCCCCGAAGACCAAGAAGACGGAACAGGAAGCUAAUGCAUCAAUGUCUUCUUCAUUAUAGCUGCUGCGUAGUUAGGUGUAGUUUCCUCAUUUGAAGCUGUCUAUACAUAGGCUUUCCCCCUGCUUAUGUACAAAUAAAUGAACAGCCUUGAAGCUUUAUUAUUCGCAACAAAAGGGAUUACCAAUUGGAGAAGACUUUACAGAGUUCCUCUCACACACUCUCUCAAUUUCAUCUAGAAGUCCCUCCGAAAGCAUCUCCCAAAACAGUUAGUCAUCUUUUAUACUCUGUUUUCUAGAAACAGAGUCCUAACUAAAUUAAUUGACUGUACAGUGCAUUUCAACAUAGCAUAUUUAACCGUUUUAACAGUAAUUUUAACCGUCUUCUGAGUUAUCAUCAACAAAUUCAUUCAUAUUUCUCCAGUCUUACGGACGAUAUCAUAUGUUUAAUAAUGAAUGAAUAGUCUUGGAUCAGUGUUUUGCAGCAAAUUCACAUCAUAGUUUUGAUUCUUUAGAUAUGAAUUCAUCACAUUACCGAAAAGAAUAUGCGCUAAAAAAUGAUUCCAAGACUAUUUGACUACCAAAAGCUGCUGUCAGAGUGCACUGAAAUCUUGACUCCUCUCAGCGAAAAAUAUAUCAAAGUUUAGAUUAUGUGUUCGAGCUUUAAUAAAUGCCUGAGUUAAUAAUAAUAACAACAAUAAUAAUAAACUAAAAAGCAAAAUUACUAUUGAAUGAUCGGAAAAAAAAAAAUUUGAAAACGUGUGAACUCCAAUAACCACCCCACAAAUUUAGUGGCGAAUUUUGGAGAGGGCAAGGCCGGGCUUCUCAGAAAAAAAAUGACGAGUAGAAUUGUGGAAAAUUAAGCAAAAUGACAAGUAUGGAAAGGAAGGCUGAAAGUAAGGCAUGACGAAAGGCUUUGAGAAGGCUGAAGACUACCAAAGAAGACAACUGAAAGCUAGUUGGGGCCUGGGUGUAUAAAUUGUAGAUGUGUUUGUUAUAAAUAACAUAGAGCCCUUUUGUUAUUUAUAGUUAUAGAGAAAGAGAGAAUGUGUGUUUUUUAAUAGUUAGAGAUAUAGCUAGAAUGGGUGGUUCAAAAUCCAAAAUGGUGACAAUGUUAGUUCUCGUAUUAAUAAUAUUAGGGAGGGGGGGGGGGGGGGGUGUGGAGUGAGGGAUGUUUGGAGCAUGAGGAAUUUGCUCAUUUUCGGCUUAAACAUUUCUUCAAUUCCCCUUAUAGACUUCAAAACUGGGUAGGUGAACAAAGGGAAAGGGUUGAGUGCAGCAACUCCACAGGCCGAGUGGUACAACUACACCUUAGUCUUACUAGGAAUAUCGAUCUGGGAGUGUGGUAUCUGAAUGCUUCUCUAUUUACUCCCUUUCAACAACUUGGUAACAAAAUAGCCGGCUGCAUGCGUUGAGAAUGAAGGUCCUUCAUUUAAUUUAAUUUACUUAAUUUCUCCCUCCUAAUUAAUGUCUAUAACCAUUAGGAGGAACAAGGGAUUUUAUUAACUCAAAUAUAUCUAAUGGAGCUCAUUCUUUGGUUUUACUUGCAGGUAUAGAAGCAGGUGUCAUCUAACAGCUGCUUUGAUAAUUUCCCACCCCUUCAUCUUUGAUGGAAAGAUGAAAUAAAAACAAAAUGGUGAAAAUGGUAUUGGUACCUGAGGCUAUGUAAUCUAAUUCAAAAACUGCACCAUCAAAACGAUUACAUAAGUCCCAGAAGAAUCAAACGUUAGUUUGCAAAAUAUCAAUUGCUGGAGUUGUUUCGGUUGCACGUUAAUAUCAAUUCCGCUCUUGAUUUUUAUGGGCAUGUUGUAUUGUACUUGCAUACGAAAAUCAUAUUUUAGUUUACUUCACUCAACACUUGGAUUAAAGUUUUAGGUGGGGAAAAUUGAAGGAGACUAAAAUGACUCAAAAAAAUAGUUGAAUGAGUGAGGGUUUUGUCUUCAUUUAAGGAGCUCUUUAUAAAUUUUAGGAUUCUUUUUCCUGAGAAAAUUUAUGCCAACUCAUUCUUUGCUUCUUUUUUGAAGGGACACAUGCAACCGAAAGUAUAUUCUUGAAUUCUCCAGGAUAAGAGACAUACGUUUAGAUUCUGGAGCAUUUAAAACAAUGUCAAAUUUUAGAUUGCUGAAAUUUUAUAUAUCCGAGUAUGAUGGUAUUCCAAUUAUAAGCUCCAGGGUGCAACUUCACUGAGGUUUAGAAUGCCUUCCUAUAGAAUUGAGAAAUCUCCAUUGGCCUAAAUAUCUUUUGAAAAUACUGGCAUCAGAUUUUGAAUUGGAGAACCUGAUUGGACUCAGCUUGCCUUGUAGUAAGGUUAAGCAAAUUUGGAAAAGAGAAAAGGUAUAAUGUAUUACUAUUACCAAAGUAUCUAUUUUUCUUUCUUUAAGUAUUUAUAAUGAAUAACUUUGAAAUUCAAUGAUGCUCAUUUAGUAUAGUUAUGUAUCUUUGGUUAUAGGAAGCUGUCAAGUUAAAAUCUAUAGACCUUCACCACCCCUCUAUCUCAAUAGGAUCCCAGAAAUACUAAAUCUUAAAAAAAUAAAUCUUUCAAAUUGUGAAAGCAUGCUUACGUUACCCCCGUAUAUCCACAAUUUCAACUAGCUGAGUAUGUUGUGUUUCAGGGAUGCAAAAUUCAUUUUGUUUCUCAUGAAAGGAUUGACUUGUCCGGAUGUAUUAGGGUUAAUAAACCAACUAAUCCCAUAAUUUGUUGAUGUAGUAGAUUGUAGAUCAGUACACUAUUCGAAAAUGUAUUUGAUCCACACAGUGAAGUGGAUAUUGGACCAAUUUGAUGAUAAUGAUUUUCUUUCAAUCUCAAUCUUUUUUCCUUUUAGCAACAUGACUAGUCAUUGCGCAAAUUCAAACUCUGACAAUGAUUUCUCAAUCGGUUUCUAAGAUGAUGACCAUGCAUGUAUAUGUAUAUGCGUGUGUAUAUGUGUGUGUGUGUGUGUGUAGAGAGAGAGAGAGAGAUCACACGUGUGUGAUUUCCUUUUGCCAAUAGGAUAUGCAGAGAGCUUGAUCUUACCCAAUAGCGAAACAAACUUCCUAAUAAGUGAAGGUUAGUAUAAAUACUUACACUUUCAUGUUAUUUUGUUCAUCAGUAGCUUGAUUAUUUUAUAUGCGUCUUCGAUUUUAAUUUUCUUUCCCUAUAAUCACUAUUAUCUUUGAACUGGUCGUGAUUUGCGUAUAAGAUUUCUCAUGUUGUUUUGAGGUGCAAUGGAUUUUGAAUUUAGUGACGAGCGGUGGAAGCCAGAAGGCAGAUUAUGAAAAUGGAUAAAGAUCUAUAAUUAGCUGUUAUGGGAUGUCACAUAUCAUAUUGAUGGUAACAUUAUAUAUAUGUACAUAUAAUUAAUGGGGUUGGCUCACGAGCCCAUUAAUAAUCAUAUAUUAGCUUAAAUACUUCAAACAAUGUACCAUGAAGCAAUUUCACAAACACUUUUUAGCUUAUGUUGAGCUUUAUCAAUAAAAUGCAGGUUUGCUAUUUUACGUACAUGGUUAUGGUGUGUGCAUUCUUCAUAAGGCUAACUACUAAUUUAUCAAUGAAACUUGAAAAAUGUGACAGAGAGAUGUCGAUAACAGCCGCAAAACACUGAGAUCGAAAAUCAGGGCUACUAAAUACUAUUAAAAGCUCUUAAAAUAGACAGUGAUCAUCCUUAAUCGCAAAGUUAUGCACUAAUAGAACUAUUGACUACUUAUCUUUAGCAGAAGGUAUAUUUUUAACUACAGCUUUCUGCUUUGUUCUAAGAACUAGGCAAGUGGUAUAUCUUCAAUCCAAUCAACGCAUAUACCACUUAUCUUCCUCUUCACUUUUGUCUAUUUUGAUUUCCACUUUAUAUCCUGCACUUGCUGCUUAGAAAUAGUCUUAGUCUGGACAUUGAAAGUAGAAAAAGUACUUGAAACAAUCAUUGGCACAGCCCGAGAUUCCAUUGAAUCGUGGACUCCAAGCUUUCAUAGUUCUAUAAAGAAAAUGACAUAACUUUAUACAACUGGCAUUCUGCUUUUAACAUUUGAUCAACCUGAGCGAGUUAGCAAGCCUCUUGUCGCGUUCCCAUUGAAUAGACCUACUUCUGUUAUCCACAGAAGAUCCACCACUCAAAAUGUUUAUCACCAGGCUAUUCUUAAACUGAGCCUAAACUGAGUAGAAAUUUCCGCACAUCUCUCAACAUUUACAUGAAGAAAUCGACAACUAUCCUCAUCUCUCAGCACAUCUCUCAGCAUUCUACAAAGUUGCAUUUCACUAAGCAAUCUAUCCUCUCCAUUCCUAGCAAAGUGACAUUGAUUCAUGUAUUUGUAAUCGCCUAACUUGGGUUUUGGGCAUAGCGUGGUCUUAAAAUUACCACCCAAUACUUUGUUCAGUGCCACUGGCAUCCACAAGCUCUAGCCCUGUUAGCUGAAUCAUAUUCAAUGGGAGAGUGAGGCAGCAUUUCACUAACAUAUUCAAUUUGACUACUUAUAUUGAUGCAAAUAUUAGAAUUUGAAAUCACUUCUUUUCUUGGAAUAUUAUAUUAAAAUGACCCCAAAUGAAAGUUCUUUAAUGGAAAUUAUUUUUAUUUAAUUUUCCAACAGAUUCAAGAAAACCCAGAGAACACAAAAUUUACACAGUAAUAUGAUUAAGAGCUGAGAACAUACAUGUAGUAAAUGUCUAUCAAAAAACACCCAAGUGUUUCUUUAAAAUUAGAAACUAGUAAACAAAAAGAAAGAAUCAUUUUACAUUUUUAGCAACUUUGGGGUGAGUGAGUGAGUGAGUGAGUGAGAAAUUGAAACCCUAAAGUGAUGACAACAGUAAGAUUCAGUAUGAAGUGAAACCCCAAUUUGAAAUGUAGGCAUGAGUUGCUGAGUCAGUAGAUGAAGCUAUAAAUAGGCAUUCGGUUUCCUUCUUUUCGGUUUGGAGGGCCAUGGAAUAGUGUAUUGGAGUGGGCUCCAAGUAAUAGCCUCUAUCACUGGAACGACACAUCUGUAAAACGUGAUACAUGGGGAAGGAUUGGGCAUUAUAUUCUUAGAUUAGCGCCUUAUUUAGGGUGUAUAUUAAGCAAAUUAUAUAUUACAUGGAGAUGGAGUUUAUGAAAUAGAUUAAAAAGAAAAGGAAAUUUCGGUGUCUAAAGUUUGCUACUUGGAAUAUUUCGGUGUCUAAAAAUUCACUCACCACUUAUUUCAUGUUUGAUUAUAUGUUGAAAAGAUAUUAAAAUAGUAUAAUGCUAUUAAGGCUUAACGUAUAUUUUUUAUUAGUAGAGUGUAGAAUUUUUAAGAAAUAAAUUAUUAAAUUAUUAUAACUAACAUAUUAUUUUAAAGUUGUGUUAUGAAAAAAAUGAAAUAAAAAUGUACAAUAAAUAAGAAUAUUUUAAAACUUUUAUCUUUUUAAAAUUAGUUUUUAACAUAAGGUGAACUAUUUUUUUUUUUAAAUCACAUAUUCUAGUUAAAAUCAAAUAUGUAUUUAUAUGAAGCUUGUAAAUUUUUUUUUUUAGUACUGAUAUUUGAAUAUUAUCAAUAAAAAAAAGGGUAAUGUUCAUGCUGCAUUAUUUUUGUAGCACACAAAAGGACAACAAAGUUUAUGUUAUAAUACUAUCGCUUCUGUUAUGAUAAUAUUUUUUUGUGGCCAAAUAUCUUUUUUUUUUUUAAGUAAAAAAAAGUGGACAAAAUGCAAAUCAGUUUUUAAUCCUCAAUCUCUCCCAAAAUAUAAAUUCGUAGGUCCAUGGGUUGUUAAAACUAUAGCCGACAAAAAGUUACUAACAAAAACAGAAUGUCCAUUUUAUAACUUUCUUAAAAAACUUUCCUUAACUUUUUUAAAAAGUUACCAACAAAAAGUUAUUUCUAAUUUUUAUUUUGUUAUAAUUUUUAUAACAAAAUUCGUAGUUAACUAAACUCUUCUUAUUCCCUUUCUCAACUGCCAUACCCUAACCCGAGCAAAUUGCGUAGGAUAUACCUGUUUUCCCUCAAAAUACUUAAAAUAUACCUCCAUAUAUUAAAAUUGCUAGCUUUACACAUUUAUACUUAAAAAGAUCAGGGAAAAUACAAAAAUAACCUUAAUAAAAAUACUCAACUUAUUAAUAUGCUUAAUCGACUCAUUUAAUAUUCUUACUCGACUUUUUACCGGACCAUACACUCGACUUAGUUAAUAUGCUUACUCGACUUAUUUAAUAUUCUUACUCGACUUCUUACCCGACCAUAUACUCGAUUUAUUUAAUAUGUUUACUCGACUCAUUUAAUAUUCUUACUCGACUUCUUACCCGACCAUAUACUCGACUUAUUUAAUAUGCUUACUCGACUCAUGUAAUAUUCUUACUCGACUUCUUAUCCGACCAUAUACUCAACUUAUUUAAUAUGCUUACUCGACUCAUUUAAUAUUCUUACUCGACUUCUUACCGGACCAUAUACUCAACUUAUUUAAUAUGCUUACUCGACUCAUUUAAUAUUCUUACUCGACUUCUUACCGGACCAUAUACUCGACUUAUGUAAUAUGCUUACUCGACCCAUGUAAUAUUCUUACUCGACUUCUUACCCGACCAUAUACUCAACUUAUUUAAUAUGCUUACUCGACUCAUUUAAUAUUCUUACUCGACUUCUUACCCGACCAUAUACUCGACUUCUUUAAUAUGCUUACUCGACUCAUUUAAUAUUCUUACUCGACUCAUUUAAUAUUCUUACUCGACUUCGUACCCGACCAUAUACUCGACUUCUUUAAUAUGCUUACUCGACUCAUUUAAUUUUCCUACUCGACUUCUUACCCGACCAUAUACUCGACUUAUUUAAUAUGCUUACUCGAUUCAUUUAAUAUUCUUACUCGACUUCUUACCCGACCAUAUACUCGACUUACUUAUCUCUAAUUCUUACUCGACUAAAUUCUCGAUUUACCCGACUUCUUCCUGCACUGAUUCUUCAAUCACUCAUAACUUAAAUGUAGUCUUAAAUCCCUACAUUGAAAUAGUGUGUGUGUGCAAGCACAAAAAAUGAAUAAUGUACUACUAAAAUUCAUAAAUCAUUAGGAAGUACACUUAUAAGAAAAAUAGAGAAUGGUGAGAGAAGCCCAAAAAAGAGAAGCAAUGGGAGAAGAGAGAUGUGAAUUCUUAGUUUUUUUAAGGUUAUUUUUGACUUGUCCUAUCUUCAUAAGGUAUAUGUGUGUAAUAGGGUACAAAUUUGGCAUUUAAGGGUAAAUUGAGGGUAUUUAAAUAAAAAACCCCCUAACCCUGUUCCCCAUGUCCCCACUAAACCACGCUCAAUUAAGGCCAUCAGAUUCUCCCGGGCCCACAUUAAUCCAACUGCUCACAGAGACCGACAGCCUCUCUAUCUCCAUUUCAAGCUCCCUCUUCAACUGGCUUCUGCUACCGUCCUACUCUUUCUCGGCUUCGGAGUCCGUAUUUGCUCGGCCUGUCCCACGAAGCUCCCUCUCACUCCAAUUGUCGCCCCACAAGACCAAUUGCUUAAUCAAGACACCGAACAAGAAGAGGAUGAGAAGUUGAAACAAGAAUUUGAGAAUUGGAAAUCAAAAACGUUUGAGAGUCGUUUCUCUUCAGAACUCAGCGCCUCAAUCUUGGGUUAAGGAUUUUAGAAGUCAGGGAAAGAGAUUGAAGUUUCAGAUGAAUUUGUGUGCUAGCAUUGAUGGGAUCUUUAACAAUUUAUCUGUGCCCUUUAACAAAGUUAAGUCUAAGUCAGCUUCUUAUAUGGCUGCUGAUUUGGUUAGUGUUGGUGAUUCAUGGCUUAGUUUUGCCAUUAAAAAUAGAUUGAUUGAGCCAAUAGCUGGAGCUGAAGACCAAGAUUGGUUCAAAUGCUUAAGUCACAAAUGGAAGGUAACAUCUUUGUCUUUGAUCCUCGAGGUAAAAUAUGGGCGGCACCAUACAGGUGGGGCACAACGGUGAUAGCCUGCAAGAAAAUUAAAUUUCGAAAGCAUAAUUUGGCUCCGAUUGAGGUAAUAAUUUUCUUUAAACUCAUUUAGUUUUAUAUCAAACAAAAUCAAGAAUGCCUUUCUCUUCAAUAUUUUUUAUGAUAAUAUCUUUAGAAGCAUCUCAUUGACGGGUAACAAUGGCAUCCCUGAAAGAGUCUAUAAACUCAAUGAUAUUAUCUUCUACAAAUGGUUCAUUAAACUUUGUCGUUGUACUCAAAUGUACACUCAGAGCAAUGAGAAGCUAUGCCACUUUAGCAUGUAGUGAUGGCACUUAAUAAGUGAGUUGCUAGGAUGUGAACUAGAAAAAUUAAAUAUUGUCUCCUUGGGUAUGCUAGCUCGUAAGUCAGGGUUAAUAUCAGAGCUUAAGAUAGUAUAACCGUGAGAACCUAUUGACUGCCAAUUAAAAUAUCCAUUAAAAUGUCUAGGGAGUUAUGAAGGUGGAGGUAACUUCCGAUUUCUAGGGCCACAUGGUAGACAUCAUCCAGGAUUCUAGGAAAGUGCAGUUAACUUCCUGCUCGAUGCAAUUAAUAAAUUUGGUCAAUGCCACUGAAACCUGCUAACUGACAUCACAAUGUGACAUGAGCACUUCAAAAUGGGACAGACGGUCAGUAGCACUAAUUUUUUCUUGGCUAGGAUUGAGCAAUUGGUCUAACUACUAAUCCCCUAUUGUAGGUUGAUCAUUAUUUUUUAAAUUAUGUUCAGUUUGACCCAAAAAGUUGCAGAAUCUUGAGCAGAAUUUUGUCACUGAACACUGUCAAUGUCAUUUAGCAUAGCCCACUAACUUGAUGUUAAAACAAACACACAGUGUGUCUCAUGUCUCACAAUUCAAAUUAUCAUCUGUAAUGAUGGAGAAUUUUUCCAAUGUAUGAAGUAUGCUUUGAUAUGUGGGUUACCUUGGAGAAGAUAUCUCAAAAUAAAGAAUAUGGGGAGAAAACAGUUCAGUAGUUUAUUAUUCUGUAGUCAAGUUUUGUCUCGAAAAUGGUCAAAAUUUAAAUGAAUAAGGACAGGGGAUCUUCAUUCUUUUUUCCCUUUUUUAUACCAAGAUAUCUCUCAACCUUUAUAUAAUCCCCACUGGAUAUCUGCUUCUAAUAAUUAAAAUAAAAAUUUCACCGCUCUAACAAUAAAAAGUAACAUCUUUAGUCAAAUAAUUUACAGUUCCUCAUCAUCUUAGUGUGAGACUAUCAGUACAUUCCAAAAACAUAAUAAAACUGGUUUGAUCCUGUUUAUUGAUGUUUAAAUGUUGUUCAUUGUGACAUGUAGAAAUGAUGAGGCGAAGUUUAUUUGGACAUCAAUUAGUAAGAUCUUGUUUGAAGUUGUUUUCUGAAAUUUCUGAAAUGAACUGCCAAAUGGUAGUUUUUUUGGGGCAUUUGAUGGCUCUUUUUUUUCCCUCAUUUUCAACAUGUGCCUGCUUGGAACAGGAAGGAUUAGGCUGCAGAGUUGUUAUAUAUUUUGAGAUGCUCUGGUCAUUGCACAAUUUGUUCACACUGGAAAUUAGAAUGAGAAAUUUGUUGAUGCUGUUUUGAGAGAUCUGCAUUCUAUGCACAAUAACAUGAUUAAUGAAAAUGCAUUGUAAGACUGGAAAGAUCUGUGGCAGCCUGAGCUCGCAGGAAGAAUUUCAAUGGUUAAUUCUCCCCGAGAGGUUAUUGGUUCAGUUUUGAAGUAUAGGGUAGCAUCAUACAAUUCAAAUGAUAUUGAUUCGCAAGUUGCUGGUGGGAAGAUUGCUGUUCAGCAGAAUCUGGCAUUACUGGCAAACCAGGUACUCUUACAGAAAUGAUAUCUGCUCAUUGCAUGUUAUUGCCUGACAACUGAUUUUGUUUGUAAAAGUCUGCUUCUUCAUACAGAUGAAUGCAUAUGUUAGUGUUUUCUUCUCCUUUUCAUACAUAUAAAUGCAUAUGUUAGUGUUGUCUUUUCUUUUUCAUACAUAUUAAUACAUAUGUUGGUGUUCUCUCCUGAGAUGGAUGCAAUAAAGGCUUUUGCUCCUAAAUUUAGCUGAAGAAAUGGCAAGGGAUGUGAGAUUCUGUCUCAUUAAAUUAACAAAAACCCAAAGCAAUGAAAAUCCAUAAUAAUGUGGUGUGGGUAAAUUGGCUCCAUUUGGUUUGUUUCCUUAAUGUGAAUGCGCGAGCAAUAGAGACUAACAAAAUGAAGUGACAACAAGAAGUCAGUGUCCUUUGAUGGAUGCAAUUUUAGGCAGAAAUCAGUGUCCUUUGAUGGAUGCAUUUUUAGGCAGAAAUAUGUUUGUAAUUGACCAAAUUUGUCUGGCAUGCCAAUUUCAAAAAAAUUAAAUUAUGUGGUUAUUAGCUGUAAUGAAGGAGGAUAGUAGGUGCAAUCAUGUGGAUCCAGGAAAGUUCGACAAAGUUUUGGUAUGGCGUAGUGAAAUUGGUUUGUGCAACUCAGGAGCCUUUCAGGUGAACGAUGAUAGGUUUUGAUUUAUGAAUAUUAUAAAUCUACUGUGCAUAGUAUUCUAGUAGAAUCAUCUACAAGUUCUAGUUAUUGAAAUUGUAUACUUUGCCCGGUUUGAGUUAAGGGCACAUGUAAUAUGAAAGAUAGUUGUCGCAUCUUUUAGGUUACCUAACAUUUGAUCAAUCCUAUUAUGGGGGCUUCAAGAUGUCUAACAAUAUGUAGAAUGCCCAUGCUCCUCCCCAUUGUUUAUCUUCUACAAUAAUUUGUUUUAAAUGCUAAUAUCUUUGUCGAUACCGGUAACAAUAUUACAAUAUCUGCAUUUAUUGGGUUUUACAUAGGUUCGACUGUUUGACAGUACACACUAUCUGAAGGCAUUUGCAAUUGGAGAUGUAUGGGUUGCUGUUGGGUGGAUUAGUGAUGUUCUUCCUACUGUCAAACAUAUGUCUAAUGUUGCUGUUGUUGUUCCCAAGUCUGGUGCUAGCUGCCUGCCAUUCUACUUCGAUAUUCACAUUGUUAUCUCCUUCAUAUUAGCGAUCAGUAAACACGAUAAUGUGGCUAAUAAGUUCGUAUUCUCUUUAUAGGCAAUCCCUGCUGCCUCAAGACUUGAAACAAAACAAAUUGGAGGGCGAGUCAGAGGUCCAUCUCCAUUAAUCCAUCAAUGAAUAGAAUUCUGCUUGCAAACAGCGAGAUUUUUGCCUUGCAAGCAAGAGGUUAUCCCGGGUGCAUCUCCCUCUGCCCUUGAAAGUACUCUGGUUAAGUUGCCUGAAGAACUUCUGGAGGGUAAACCAAGUCUGGAUACUAACUUAAUUGCUGGAGUACUCCCGGCUGAAAUUCUGGCCAGAUGUGAGUUUUUGGAGCCAUUAUCUGAAGCUACUUUGUCAGAUUAUGAGUGGCUGGUUGUUAAUCUGCAAAAACCUGCUCCUGUCUUGAUGAAAAGGGUGCAACAUUACUUGUCAUCAUUAAUCUAAAGCUUUCUAGCAAGAGCUACACUGAAAAGUUAAUGGCGCUGCAUGCCAGUCAUUAUAAUGCUGUCAGGGCAAUUGGGUCAGGGCAAUUAGGUCUGAGCAUAACUUCAUUAGGAAAAGAGGCUUCAGCUACGUUAAAUAUUACAGGAUGUACUGAGAUGGCUGAAGUUCUGAAGGUUUUAUGAGAAGCGAAAGAUGAGUGUUUGUUUGAACAAAGUUGUUGCCAAUCUUGCAGAGUUCGGAAAGAAAGAUCACGGAGCGAAUGCCACCGAUUUCUUCAUCAUUUUAGCCUCCAUAGUUGAAGUUUCCUCAUUUGAAGCUGUUUAUGCAUACGCUUUUUCCCUGCUCUAGUACAGGAAAUUGAAGAAUUAACCAGAUGUGAUAUGCUGAAAGAGGGAAGUUUUCUUCCUUGAAUGUGGCCUUUGUGAUUUGUCUUGAAGGAAUAGGAUGAUCACUGGCAAGAACCCUAUCAAGGUAGAUUUUAUGGUGUUAACAUAUUAUUAGGCAUUUUGUUACAUCAUGAAAGUGUUUAAAUUUAACCGAAUGAUCUUGAUUGAUCAAUUAUGAGUUUUAAUCGAGUAAAAACUAAAUACAAUAAUCGUUAACAAAUAUUGAAAUUGGGUAAAUAUGAUCUUGAUAUUGAAGAAUUUGAAAUCACAACCCACACAGGAAAUCACCCUUCGCGUGGGGAUGGAGAUGUUUACUGCAGCGAUAUUGAAUAUGUCCACUGCUCUUUGGGUUAUGGUGCGACUUGCGAUUUCAAGGUUGCCAUGAAACAAUGGAAAAGAUUAACAUACCCUCCAAUGAAUGAAAACGGGUGGACUAAUUCGGAUUACCUAAUUGACUCAGGAUCAAGAUCGGCUGGCAAUAAUAACAGUUUAUUAACAAUGCACAGUCCGAGUACCUUUCCAGGAUCAGAUACGACGUGGUCUAAUGUUGAUAAUAAUAGUUUAUUAAAUGACAAAUCGUUGUUCUUGGGUGUUGAUUUCAGAAAUAAAAUACAUUCUGAGAGAUGCUGGUCUACUAUUGCAAGCCCCCAGAUUUAAGAAUAUUUUGAUGAUAAUUUAUCACCGGCAACUGUGCCGGAAGAUUCAAGUAGCACUGAAAAAGAUGAUAAUUUAAUUGAUAUGGACAGUUUCCAUAUCACUUUUAAAUCAUCUUAUGUAAUUGUAAUGUUAGGAAGCAUUAGUGAUCUAAAAGUGAACUAUUAUUGGUGUCAUUGGUGGUUUUAUCUUGUUAAAAUAUGGAUGAUAUUUUAUUGUAGACAAUCUUAUUCAAUUAACAUAUGGUUUAAAACCAUUAUGUUUUAUAUAAAUCAAUCUACUAAUUUUCAUGAUAUUUAACUGAGUUAAAAUCAAGUGCACUCAAUAAAUGUCUUUUCCUUUAAAAAAACAGCUACGCUUUGAUUUUAGUGCUUAAUAUUUCGUAACUACAAAUUAUAUAAUUGCGAGUUGCUGUCCAUAGCUGCUAAUUUGUAGUGAUUAUCUAAUUGCCUGAGGUGACAAUAAUUCUUUUAUCUUCAAUAGCACAAUGUGGAAUUCAAUAAUUAAAUUCUCCUAUUUAAUUUGUUUCAAGUUAAAUUAUUAAUUACUUAAACUCUGUUUUAAGUCUUUAAUUUUAUGUGUUUAUGCAGAAUUGGAUUCUUGAGCGUGUUGGACAUGACCAACAAUGAAAUUGACAGUAAACAAACAUUACAACGUGUGGACUCCGGUAAGCACCAAUGAAUUUCUAGCCCUGUUGACUCCGCCAACUAAAGUUUUGUAAAAUAAAAAAAUAAUACAUAGAAUUCCACCAAAUGCAAAACGCGUGAAAUUUAAUUUUCGGCCGUGUGGACCAAAACAUAAUUUAACGAAAAAGGAAAAAAAUAAUAAGAUUUUUAAAAUGUGUGGAAGGUAAUCCAUAUUUUACUGAAACGACUUAUUAAAUUUUUCAAGGAUUUAGAAUAUUUGAUCAUAAAUUACGUGCAUGUUAAUUUUUCCGCCAUUGACUAUCAUAUUCUAGACUUAAUGGUACCUUUCUUGAUGAAGGGUACUUAGUCUCUCUUCUCCUCUUAUAAAAAUUAUAUUAAUUGAUUUCUUGUUAUAGUUAAUAGACUUUAAGAACGGAUAGAUUUAUUGUUUUCAUGACCAAAUUAUGCAUGCCUAAGGUUGCAACUAUUAAUAAAAUUAAUAUUUAAUGUUUAUGUUAAAAGAUAUAAGUUUUUAUGCAUUCAUUAAUUGUUAUUAGCUAAAGGAUGAAUUAUUUUUUCCCAAUCAGUUGAUGCAUCUGCAAUAGUUUUUUUUUUCUUUUAUUGACCAUAAUUAUAUUCCGGGUGCAAUAAAUUGUCUUUGGUGCUUGGAAAAUAUGACAUCUCUCCGUCAACUUACUGGAAAUAUCUCCUCAUCUACUCGCAUUUAUCUAAUAUCAAUUGAAGAUCUCAUAUUUCCAAACUAUGACUUCCAAAUCUCAUUAUCAUUUGAGCAUUCAAAACUAAUCAAGUGUGGAAAUAAUCAAAUAUAUGCAAAAAUCGAGUCACAAUCUUUGGCCCCUCAAAAUUCUAAUUAUAUAACUUCUAUAUAUCUCAUACAUUUUCCAAAUUCCUCUUCCAUCAACAUCACUAGGAGUAUGUUCAUCUCUCACACAUUAACUUGAGUGAAGAGUUUCUAAAUUGAUUGUUAGAAAAUAAUACAAAAGCUAGACACGCUUGAUCUGUCUAAUAAUUCUCUUUCUGUAAAAUUAAUUAAUUUUAGGGGAAUUUAGCCAACCUCUGUAAUUUCAGAGUGAUCAUUAAUUAAUUAAACAAUACAAAUAUCUAAAGUGAUUAGAUGUUUGCUGACAAUACAAGUUCAUGGCUUGAAAUUUGAUCUCUAUCGAUUGACUUACAGAUGGACGUACUUGUGCCUUUCUGGUGAUAAUUGAACCAGAGAUGUGAAGCUGUAAGGAUUUGGCAGUAGUAAAUUGUUAUAAAGACAUAAUGACAAAUUCCCAUGAUUAUUAUUUUUUCCAAAAACUUUUUUACAACAAAUUCAUCUCGCCAAAAAUUUUAUUUUGCUAACUAACAAUAAUUGAGCACUUGACCGCAUUGACUCCACGUCUCCACCUACUUUCUAAGUAAAAACAUGGAAAUGUAAUCUCUACAAAAUGCCAAACGUGUGGAAUUUAAUUUUUGGCCUUGUGGACCAAAAUGCAAAUGAAAGAAAAAGAGAGAAAAAAACAAGGCCCAAAGACUUCUAAAAGAUGUAAAAGCUUUGGGCUUUUUUAUAAUGGUGGAUUUUUUAAAAGGAAAAAAUAACAACACUUCUAUGGUUUGUUUUGAUAAUCACAUUUACAUAUACUCUCUAAUUUUCAAAAUAGACACAUAAAUAUUUUUUUUCUACAAAUGUAUAUUAUUCAUAUUUUUUUAUUAUUUUUAAUAUCAUAUUAUUAUUUAUUAUAAAUGUUUAAAGUAAAUUUUUAGGUUGAAAUAUAAUAAAAGGGGAUAAUCGUUCUCCUAUUAAACACCCAUACUUUUAGUUUCUAUCCAUUUGUCAUCUCAAUCUCUCUCGAUUAUUCAUUCUUUCUAGCUCAAAACGCGUUGCUGUGGAAAAUUAUAGCAAAAAGACAAAUAUGGAAAAGAAAAAAGGGAAGAAAAUUAAUGCAUGAAAGACUUGGAGAAAACAACGAAGUAAGUCAACUAUAAUCUAGUUAGGUAUAUAAAUUGUUUGAUGCUUUAUAAGCAAAUAACAUAUAGAGACAGACAGUGUGUGUUCGUUUUUUCAUAGUUAAAGAUAUAGUUAGAAUGGGUGGUUCAAAAUCAAAAAUGGUGAUAAUGUUUGUUAUGUUAUUAAUAAUAUUUAAAAGUGGGUGGAGUGAGGGAUGUUUGGAUCACGAGAGAUUUGCUCUUUUGCGACUUAAACAUUUCUUCGAUGAUACUGGUAGUUAUCUUUACGACUGGGCCGAUGAUGAGGGAGCUACUGAUUGUUGUCAGUGGGAAAGGGUUGAGUGCAGCAACACCACAGGUCGAGUGACAGCGCUAGACCUUUCUGACACGUAUUCGGGAGAGUACGGCUGGUAUCUGAAUGCUUCUUUGUUUACUUCCUUUCAACAACUUGAGUCACUUGAUUUUAGUUUAAACAAAAUAGCCGGUUGUGAUGAGAAUGAAGGUACUUCGUUUAAUUUAAUUAAUUUACUUUCACUCUCCUAAUUUAAGUGGAAUAUUAAGACUGAGCAACUAUAUGCAUAUACAUUAGUUGACAAUUUUGACAUAUUUUUUGAAGUGAUUAAUUAAUUUUGAAAUUACACCAAUAUCUAUGAUCUUUUUUUUUUUUUUAAUUUUGCUUGCAGGUCUAGAGAGGUUAUCAAGAUUGAACAAUUUAAAGAUGCUUAAUUUAAGUUAUAACUGGUUCAACAAUAGUAUCUUAUCAUCUUUAACUCGUCUUUCAUCAUUAAGAUCAUUAAAAUUAUAUGCGAAUAAUUUGGAAGGAAGUAUUGAUGUUAAAGGUACAUAUUUAAAACUUCUCUCUUCCCCAAGCUCUUUCAUUAACCUGCUAAAAUAAGAUUCAAGGCUUUGAAUUCAAUUUUUUUAUGAUUAAUAUUUUAAAAAAAAGUUUUAAGCAAUUUAUAAAUACAAGUUUUAAUGUUUCUCAUAAUUUCAUCUUGUACUUUCAUAUGUCUUGAAUUUAAGAUUAAAAAAAAAACUCUAAUAGCGAACCAAACACCUCCACAACUUAUUAUUAUUAUUUUUUAAUUUGUGGUGAGGUUUGAAACAUUCAAGUCAAUUUGUACUUAUUACAGAAUUUGAUUCUUUGAGAGAUUUAGAGGAGCUAGACAUUGGAUGGAACAUGAUUGACAAAUUUGUGGUCUCAAAAGGUACUACAAAUACCAUAAAAAAAUGCCAACUUUUACAAAUAAGCUGGAUUCUUUGCCAUUUGGUUUAUUAUUUUACAGGUUUGAGUAAGUUGAAGUCUCUCGGUUUAGCUGGUAUCAAACUCAACCGUAGCAUCUUAUCUUCUCUGACUGUCUUUUCUUCGUUAAGAGAAUUACAUCUACGUGAUACCGGAUUCAAAGGAACAUUCGAUGUUCGAGGUAAGUCUAAGCCUUGCUUUCUCAUUUUAUAUAUGCCAGCUAGAUUUGUGUAUCAUUGACAUAAUUUAAUAUUUAAUUUGAUUCGUCUGAAGGAAUUACAUGCUAAUUUAAACAUACUUUUAUUUACUUUGUCAAUUAAUUAAUUAAUUAAUUACUAUUUGGCUUGGUUUGGAUGAAAUUCUCAUGAUGUUUUAAUUUCUUUAAAUUAAUUAAUUAAUUAACUUUGUUUUUAAGUCUUAAGUCUGGGCAUGUUUGCAGAAUUUGAUUCCUUCAAUAACUUAGAAGUGUUGGACCUGAGUUGGAACGAAAUCGACAAUCUUGUGGUUCCUCAAGGUAAACAAUUAAAAUGUUAUUUAAUUACAUUAUUUUAAUUCAUUUGAUCUGGGAAGGCCAAAAAGGUAAAAAAAAAAUUAAAUAAAGAAACAGAGAAUUUGUAUUAUUUAAAAAACAGAAUGUAAUAAAGAUUUGAUUCUAGUUCUUUAAUCUUUAAAGCGAUUGAAAAACAAUGUUGCUCUUUUCCCAAAGCAUAAAAUACGAAUUGAAUGCCGAUUAACUUAAUCAUUCAUUUUGUUUAGCUCUAAAUUUAGACAAUGAAUUUUUAUAUUAUUUCAAAAACAGGACGUAAUAGAAUUUUUUUUAAAAACAGAUUGUAAUAAAGAUUUGAUUCCAAUUCUUUAAUCUUUACAGUGAUUGAAAAACGAUACUGCUUCCCAAAGCACAAAAUACGAAUUGACUCCCAAUUAAAUUAAUAAUUUAUUUCGUUUAGGUCUAAAUUUAGAAAAAUGAAUUUUGAUUCUCUUCAAUCCUUUCCUAAUUAUUAUUAAUAAACAGGUUACAAAGGUUUGAGGAAGUUGAAAAGCCUUGAUCUAUCGGGAGUUGGAAUUAGAGAUGGAAGCAAGUUGUUACAGUCAAUGGGAUCAUUCCCAUCCCUCAACACUCUUCACCUUUUGUUGAAUAAUUUUAACAAUAUAGCGACAGCUACUCAAGGUAAGUAAAAGUUGGAGAUGUGACCAAAUUUAUAAAUAAGCUGUUAAUUAAUUAAUUAAUUAAUUUUUCCGUAUUAUUAAUUAAGCUAAAUUCCUUGCUCCUUCCUUCUAAAUCUAAACAGAGUUGCACACUUUCACCAACUUGGAAUAUUUGACAUUGGACCAUUCCUCCCUCCAUAUAAGCCUUCUGCAAAGCAUUGCGUCAAUAUUCCCUUCGUUAAAAGAUUUGUCGAUGUUUGAUUGCAAAGUCAACGGUCUUGUACGCGGUCAAGGUAAAAGAAAAGUGUCGAUUGUGAACUCACUCAGUGUUGUCCUACGUGUUCAACAUUUUUAUUUAUUUAUUUUAUUGUUUAAUGUUUCUGCUAGGUUUUCCUCAUUUCAAGAGUUUGGACCAUUUGGACAUGGUUUUCGCGCGCACUGCACUCAACACCAGCUUUCUUCAAAUCAUCCGUGAAUCAAUGCCUUCUCUUAAGUACUUAUCAAUGUCAGAUUCUACUCUUGGCACUAACAGCAGCAGGAUUCUUGAUCAAGGUUAAUAAUAUAAAUAUUUAAUUACACAAACGAAUCACUUAUUAUAAAAGAAUAAUACGCAUUCAUUAAUUUUUAUGUUGUAUUAAUUGAUGAAUUUAAUAAAAUUUCAGGCCUCUGUUCGUUGAUGCAUCUGCAAGAGUUGUACAUCGAUAAUAAUGAUUUGAGAGGUAGCUUGCCUUGGUGCUUGGCAAAUAUGACAUCCCUCCGAAUAUUAGAUGUUUCUUCCAAUCAACUUACUGGAAGCAUCUCCUCAUCUCCCCUCGUUCAUUUGACAUCCAUUGAAGAACUGAUGCUUUCAAACAAUCACUUCCAGAUCCCAAUUUCACUUGAACCACUUUUCAAUCACUCAAGACUCAAGAUUUUCGAUGCUGCGAACAACGAAAUAAAAGCUGAAAUAACUGAGUCACAUUCUUUGACCGCCCCAAACUUCCAAUUACAAGCUCUCUCAUUGUCUUCCGGUUAUGGAGAUGGUGUCACAUUCCCCAAAUUCCUUUACCAUCAACAUGACCUGGAGGAUGUUCGUCUCUCACACGUAAAUAUGGAUGGAGAAUUUCCAAACUGGUUGUUGGAAAACAACACAAAAUUGAGACAACUUUAUCUCGUCAAUGAUUCUCUUACAGGACCUUUCCGAUUGCCAAUCCAUUCACACAGAUGGUUAAGAUUCUUGGAUGUCUCCAACAACAACUUCCAAGGCCACAUUCCAGUGGAAAUUGGAGAUAUUUUACCAAGUUUAAUAUCCUUCAACAUUUCAAUGAAUGCUUUAGAUAGUAGCAUUCCCUCUUCAUUUGGUAAUAUGAAAUUCCUCCAAAUUCUGGACUUAUCCAACAAUCACUUGACUGGUGAAAUCCCCGAGCACUUGGCCGUGGGUUGCGUCAACUUGCAGGCUCUUGCAUUAUCAAACAACAACUUAAAAGGUCAUAUGUUCUCCAGAAACUUUAACCUGACAAACUUGAGAUCAUUACAAUUGGAAGGCAAUCACUCGUAGGUGAGAUCCCACAAAGUUUGUCUAAAUGCUCCUCACUAGAAGGAUUGUAUAUUAACAAUAAUAGUCUUUCGGGUAAGAUUCCACGAUGGUUGGGUAAUCUCACAUGGUUACAAUAUAUUAUAAUGCCCAAUAAUCAUCUUGAAGGCCUUAUUCCAGUGGAGUUUUGUCAGCUUGAUUCGCUUCAGAUUUUGGACAUUUCAGACAACAACAUAUCUGGAAGUUUACCAUCUUGUUUCCAUCCUCUCUCUAUUGAACAAGUUCAUCUUUCAAAAAAUAUGUUACAUGGACAGCUAAAAAGAGGUACAUUCUUUCAUUGCUCUUCCCUGGUGACAUUAGAUCUCAGCUAUAACCGUUUGAAUGGCAGCAUUCCGAAUUGGGUUGAUGGGCUUUCUUAGUUAAGCCACCUUAUCUUAGGUCACAAUAAUCUUGAAGGUGAAGUGCCAGUUCAAUUGUGCGAACUGAACCGAUUGCAAUUGUUAGAUCUUUCUAAUAAUAAUCUUCACGGUCCUAUUCCUCCUUGCUUUGAUAACACCACACUUCAUGAAAGUUACAGCAAUAGUUAUAGUCUUGAUGAGCAAUUUGAAAUAUUUGUUUCCAUCGAAGGCUCUUGGGGAUCGGUAGAAAAGUAAAUCCAUGAAAUUUUUGAGUUCACAAUAAAGAACAUUGCGUACAUUUACCAAGGAAAAGUUCUUAGCCUCCUAUCAGGACUUGAUCUUUCUUGCAACAAGCUAAUCGGUCAUAUUCCUCCUCAAAUUGGAAAUUUGACAAGGAUUCAAACAUUGAAUCUAUCACACAACAACUUGACAGGAUUGAUCCCAUCAACAUUUUCAAACUUGAAGCAUAUCGAAAGUUUGGAUCUUUCCUACAACAAAUUGAAUGGGAAAAUCCCUCAUCAACUUGUGGAGUUAAAGACAUUGGAGGUUUUCAGUGUGGCAUACAAUAACUUAUCAGGCGAAAUUCCAGAAUGGACAGCACAAUUUGCAACCUUCAAUGAGAGUAGCUAUGAGGGAAAUACUUUUCUUUGUGGAUUGCCAUUGCCAAUUUGUAGAUCACCAGCAACUAUGUCGGAGGCUUCAAUUGGCAAUGAACGAGAUGAUAAUUUAAUUGACAUAGACAGUUUCUUUAUCACAUUUACAACAUCGUACGUAGUUGUGAUAUUCGGAAUUGUUAUUGUUUUAUAUGUAAAUUCUUAUUGGCGACGUAAAUGGUUUUACUUUGUUGAAAUGUGGAUAACUUCAUGUUACUAUUUUGUUGUAGACAAUCUUAUUCCAACAAGAUUUUGUCAUUAAAAUUAAUUAGUAGUUUAAUUACGAUUCUUUAAGUUCUAAUCAAGUUUGCUUAGGAAAUAAAUUUAUUUUUAUUUUUUAUUAAAAUUGUAGUAGUAUUUAGCGUUACAUAGCUUCCAACUUCCAAGCACUUCACAUUUGUCUCUACACUUCCAAACCCAUAUCUAUCCACCAUAACUUAUACUUCCCUAUACUGUGCAGCCUACUUAAAUAAGAGAACCAUCUCCAAUGUUAAAACCAGCCACUCUAUAACAUUCAUUUAGAAACUAUAUUUAGAAUAGUUUUAUUAUCAUACACAAGAAAUGAAACACCUAGAUGCACUUGAUCGCCUAUUUUACUUUAAAAAACAAUAAUUAUCGUGCUAUCAUCAUCUUCUUCACUAGCAACAUUAACACCAAAUCCAGCGAUGGACCCAGACAUUUAAUCAAGAAAGGUAUAUAUAUAACAAAGUUGAAGCUUGACAAAAAAUUCAGGAAGAUUAAUGCCUCGGUAUAUAUAUAUAAUAAAGUUGAAGCUUGACAAAAAAUUCAGGAAGAUUAAUGCCUCGCCACAACAAGGGGCACAACAACAUCAAAGUAGAGAUGAAGCAAUAUUCUCAAAGCUAAAACUCUCAAAUCCACCCACCAGAAUUUCAUAUCUCCUCGACAAUUUUAAGAACUAAAGAUAAUUAGGAUUUAACAUUAGUUUUUUAUAUAUUAGUUUCAUAAUUUACAAAUCAAUGAAGAUGAAGAUUAUGCUAAUGAAUUCAAAUUAUACCAUACAUUCUAUAGAUGUUACCAAAAAUUUCUAAGUCAAUCCCACAUAUUUCAUAAUUUUAAGACUAGAAAAUUUCAUUAGUUAGAAGUUUCAUUACCUUCAAGUGGAAGAUGAAGAACAUUAUACAAGUGAUUCAGAUUAUAUCAUACAUACUCCAAAUGCAACUAGAAAUUAACAAGUUCAUGCGCACAGAUUUCAUAACAUUAUGAUUGGAAAGUUUCACAAAGAGAAAUUCUAAAUUCAAUCUCUUGCAUCAAGGUAGUUUGAUUGAUUUGAGUUACUUUCUGAUCAAGCUACUAAUAUAACAUUCAAGUUAGGGAGAAAGUAAAUUAAAACUGGGAAGAAAUAACAGUAAAAAUUUGUUGCUAAACAUGAUGUGUAUUUUUUUUAAGGCAAUUUGGAAACACAGUUGUUACUACAGAUAUUCUCCUCAACUUGGAGACAAAUACAAAUAUUAAAAUGCAUAUGAUCGCACAUACUACUUGGAGCUUAGUAAGAUUUCAUUAAAAGAAGCAAUCAAACCACUUAUCAAUUGUCGCAAUCGUUCUAUAAACUAAAAUAGCAAUAUAAUACAAGAAAAAGAACAUAUAGAUACUCGGCAAGAGUUCAUUAAGAAGUCGCAUCACAUUAGGGUGAGGAGUUUGCUUCUGAUAUCUUGCUAGCUGGGGCUUUUUCUUGUCUUUCUACGUAUGCCGAGGGAAACCAACCAGCUAGGCCCUUGCAUUCACCUUCCGACCAUCCAGUAGGAGCCACCUUGAGAAGUUAUAACUAAAACGGUGAAUUAAAAAAAAGUUGACAAUUCAAAGACCUAAGGGGAAAACUAAUUCUUUUACGUAGAGGAAGUGAACUAGUUGUGAUCACUGAAAUAAAAAAAUAACUAUGGAAGCAUAACAAGAUAUAAAUUCACAUGUCUAUAAGGGUAAACAGGGUGGUUUAGAACUGAGCUAGCAACCCUACUAUAUUCUGAUUUGCACUUCAAUGUAAAAGGGAAUAUAUGGUAGGAAGAAAAAAAACCAACCAUCAUUUGUUAACUUAUUGCUUUUCAAUCAAAAUUUUAAGAACAAAAUGCCAUGUGCUUUGAACAUCAAAUAAGUAUAAGCAUUAGUUCUAAAUUCCACAUAUUAUAAGUUGUUAGAAGGAUAAGUUAAUAGCAUAGUAGAAAAAUCUAUGUGUUGGUAUUUAGAGGGGAAAGUACCUGGCGAACCACAACAUAAUCAUCAAUUGAAAGACUUAGCUCUCCAUUUGCUUGAUCAUCAAAUGGAUGUAUAACCUGCAAGAUAAUGGGAUAAAUAGAACUUAAAAAAAGCAUAACAAAAGCAGCAACAGCAGCAGCAGCAUUCAUUGUAACCACUAUGAUCAUGGCCAACAAAGAUAUAUUAGAAACAAAAUUCCAUUUUUACUACGACUUUAAUAUGUACUAUACGAUAUCAUGACGAUUGGGUUAUCAAGUGCUAUCAAAGUCUAAUAAGUUCUGUAUAACUUUAUAUAGUUAUUUUAAUUAUGGAUCAAAUUUUAAAUUUGAAAUUUUGACUGCUCUCCACAAAAUAUGGCCUAUGCACAAGAAAGUCAUAGAUAAUGAGGAUUACAAGUGUCCGACAUCUUUUGAGUGAUGGAUUUAACAUGAGAGCUUAUGGUCAGUCAAUUUCCUCUGCCUAGCAAUAUAAGCUUUCUCGGCCAGAUUUAUCAUCAAAUACAUAGAUUGCCCCCAAGUCACAUCCAUAUAAACAUAGUUUUCUAGGUAAACCAAGUAAGGAGAAUCAUAAUUUAGACAUAAUCAUAAAAAGGCCCAUCUAACUUAAGAGAAAAUCUCAAAAAGAGGGAUGUUGAGCUAUCAGUCUUGUAUCUAUAAGCAAUAUCAAGACUUUACAUCACCUGCUACAUCGUGAGUGGCUACACAACUUUCAGUGGUUUGUCUUUCUUUGGCAUGCCUAACUCAGCUUUGAUGUUGCUGAGAUAUUGAUAGUAGAGACACAUGAUACUUCUAGCUCAUGCAUUUUAUCUAGCUCAUCCGACAACUAUUUCUUUUUUAAUUCAUUAGUGUUUGCUAAACCUCAUGCUCAAAAGUCCUGUUCUCCUAAACAAAGUUUCCUAAGAAUGACUUCCUCAACACAACAUUUGGACACUUUUAGAGCAAUUUUAUUUGGAGGAAAAGAAUUUUCAAGGUGUUAACUAAUAAAUUUUAAAAUAUAAUUACAAUUUGUCCUACGAUCAUAUGACAAUUUAUUUGGGAUGAAAGGAUACAGACAGACAUCUUCCACUUUCAAGACUAAUCACUACUUCCGUAGAUGUUGUGCAAUGAUACAAAUACUUGACCAGAUGGUAGUGAUGGUAGAAAAAAAUUUAUUGCUCCAAAAUUAAAAUAAGAAUGCAAUAUGUUAAGCAAAAGACUGUGCAACAUCAAAUUAAUUGAUGAGUUUGUAAUUCAGUAAAUUAACAACUUUCAUGGUAAAAUACAACAAGUUUCUUUUAAAAAAAAUAAAUCUUAAAAGACAGCAUUCAUUUUUGUGCGCAUGUUAUUUCUUAAGAUUUUUCAGGAGGAGGGCAAUAGAGGGACUUUCACCUAUGCAAGAGAGCAGAAGCCUUACUUUUGCUAUAAAGUAGACGUCAUUCUGAUUAAUAUGCGUUUGAAUCAGCUCCGUUUGCUAUAAAGUAGACGUCACACAUGAGGCAUUUACAUCCAUUUCCAAAGUCACAUGUUGCGAGGAGGACUCAUUUGAUUGCUCCUCUAGGAUCAUCUAAUGCAAGUAGUAAGGGUUGGAAGAAAAUAAAAAGUCACAAUUAUUCUUUUGCGUAAGUGAGACGAAAAUGAUAAAUGCAAUAUUAUCAGCAGUAAACAAGAAGAGAACGCUCCAAGGAAUAGAUAGAUGCAGACAAGCAAGUUAAAAUGCAUAGUCCCAAACCUCCGCAUACAACUUCUCUAAAAUAGCAAUAACGUGUUGAUGAUAUGUUUUCUCAGCAUCUACCUGCAAAGGCCCGAGACCAGGAAAACGGCAAUAAAACCACUAGCUAAAGGAGAAAGUAAAGAAAGAAAUACACUUGACAUAAAUCUUGACAAGAAGCACAGUUUAAACCCCAAUCAUAUUGUUUAGAACUACCAUUCGUUAUUGUAACAUUUCGAACAAGUGUUGACUUAAUUCAACAUUGUUGGAAAGAUAGGCUUUUAAAAGCGGAAGAAAGCCACUCAAACCAAAGUGAUUGUCCUUGUAUUGAUCAAGGGAUGUAAACAUAUUACAUUUGCAGGAUAAGUUUUAAUUAAUCACUCCCCUGAUUUAUUUGGGUUGCAGUUUAAUUUGUGAAUUUCGUUAUUGUAACAUUUCGAACAAGUGUUGACUUAAUUCAACAUUGAAAAAUUAUUCAAUAAAUUAUGCAAACAUUAAAAUAGAGGACAUAUUAAAAAGUUUCUAAUUACAAUGUUAAUAUUUCCUAUAUUUUAGCAUUUGCAUAUUUUAAUUUAUUUAAAAGCUACGUCGAUCAACUUUGGGCGUGAAGAUUUUAGCUUCUACGAGACUUGAUUGGAAUAUGCAUAAGGAAGAGUGUUAAAAUAUGAUGCAUCCAACGAAAGACAAACCACGUGUAGUCUUUUAAUUAAGCCAAAGUAGCAGCUCAAACAAAUGACACUUGGACCAACAUGCAAUCAUGAAGUGGCCGGAAAAAGGACAAAUGCAACUUUGGCUUAAAUAAAAAAUAACAUGUGACUUGACUUUUGCUGGACAUGCAUCAUGUUAUUACAAGACAACAGAAAUCAGUAUGAUAGUACUAAAAGUUGACAAUAACAUGAAGAUAAGAGGCAGAAUAUCAACACAUGCAUAGGCACACACAAGGAAGUAUUAACUUAUAUACCAUAGCAAAAAGUCUUUGAUAUGUCAUCUGUUGCUGCUGUGAUUCAACUGACAGCAUGGCAGUUGUCGCUUCUCUACCAAGAGCCAUUAUUGUAGAUUUAAGCUCGGUCAAUCUUGCUUCUGCAUUUCGAAGCUUCACAGCACUCUCUGCUGAUAUAUCAGAUUCCCUAAUCUUUGAUCGGCGCCUAAAUACUUCAGCUGCCUGGUGAAAAUAUUCAAUAUAAAUCUAACAUAAUUCUAAUCUUGCCUUAUACAUGCAUAUGUUAACUCAAAGCUUACCUGGGCUUCAACUUCAUGUCGAAGUUUGUCAUAACGAUGAGUCAGGUGUCGAGCAUCUUCCAAAGGUGCUCCGUUGAUUAACGCCCGUAGUGGCUCAGAUACCUACAUGUCCAAAAACCUGUAACAUAGUUAGAAAAAUGAAAAGAAAGAGCGAAACCUCAAUUAAAAAGUUCCUCCAACAUAAUCAUGGAAUUUGGGCCUACUUCAAGGACAUAUAUAAGGAUAAUUUAUGCAAUUUUGGGUCUUAGGAUGAUUGGCAUUAGGUUAGUGUUCUUCUCUUCUGUAUUUAAGGUUAAAAUAGAAAUAAACCUAUGAAAAUAUCUAAAUUAGGGCUGUAAGACUUCCACAUGCAUCCUUCAGUCUCAUGGAUUUGAUUUUACUAUAGAUGCAAGUGUCUUUAUCGAAAAUGCUUGGAGUCAAUUGAGAGAACUCACGGCCAAUAACUUGUCACACGCUAGUCUUUGCUAGUGAUGUAAGAAGUCACAAGGUCUCUUCAACAUUUGAACCCAUAAAAUUAUUAAGUCAUGGAUGUCACUAGCAAUGAUUUUAAUAUAAAACAUUAAAUAUUUCAGAGUUGUAACGUUAAAAUUCUUUUAUUCAAUAUCUUAGAACUAAGUUUCCUUAUGAGAAGAUAAUAGUUUCAGUAGUAAUUUACAUAUAAUUUUCUAUAUUUGAAUUAUUUUCUAGUUAGGGAUGAACUAACCUGAUCACCAAGAAUCCCAAGCAAAGUUUCCCUCUCAUUUUCCAUCAAAUCAUGUGAAGUGCCAAAUUGAAGAGCAGCUCUUGCAACGCAAGAAUUGUCACUUUGAUUCUCCGCUCCAUACUUGCAACAAUCUUCAGCCAACUUUCUCGCUACAAUAUUUGAAUACAAAAAUAUUGUGCACAAGAACUAGUCAAGAAAAAAAAAAUCAAAUAUUAUAACGAAUGCAAGAGCAAACAAACAACCUAUUUCCAUUUGUUUCAAGCUUACUGCAACAAGCCCUUCAAUGCCACGAACAAUAUUCCUCUGAAAAUGCUGCGCUACAGAGCAUAUAUUCCAAAUUAUUGUUCAGAUAAAACCAUAGAAACCAUCAUAAUUAUUCAACAUACAUUAAGCUCCGUUUGGUAAAUACUUGCAACUUCAGUCUAGAGAAUACAGUUCUAUAUAUGUAGCAGUCUAAAGGAGGAUGGUGCCUUAGCUGCCCUGGUGGAAUUGUAUAGAUUUUGAAGUUGUUGGUGACACUCAAUUUCAGCUUCAUCAACUGCCUGUACAAAUCAUAAAAAACUAAUGAAAAAAAUAAAUAAAAUCGAGAAAUUUCACUAAUUAAAAGUCUAAAUAUAAUUUUAAAAAAGAAAGAAACGCACUUGGUGCUGCUUGGCGACUUGUUCUCGGAGCUUGAUUGCCUGUUUCUUGAUAGCUUCCAUACUGUUUCUUUCAAAAAGCGGCGACGGCUCAGCUCAUGGAAGUUGGGGAAAAAAAAAAGUGUGAUCAAGAAAAUAAAAAGGCAUAUUAUUGUUGACAAAAUGUGAAAAUAAAAAAGAAAAAAGAAAAUUAUAAGUUUGAAAGGAGAAGAUGAUAGUGGAAGAGUGCGGCGUGGCUGCCAGCUACUUGGAUUGUAUUGUCGGGUAAGGUAAUUGUAGAAAAUUAUAAGUUUGAACAGAGCAUGUUAGACUUUUGUUGACCAAAUUCAAAAGGCAAAUGGUACGGCCCAGAAGCUUUGGAAUACAGUAACUUACAAGAAAGCUCCAUUUAUUCUUCUUAUACUUUACGCUUGCAUCAGCUUAAAUCACUUCUUAAUCGCUUGCUUUAACUGCGCCGCUUUGUACUGUUCUAUAUAUGUAGCAGUUAUGCGGAUGUAGUUCACGGCUGAGGGUACGUGUUUGUUUGACGUGGUAGUUACGUUACGACGUUACGAGAGUAUUAUUAGUUAUUUCACAGGGAUAAAUAAGAUUAGUCACAAUAAACCCACUAGUUUUAUAAAAUUCGAGUAAUAUAGAAUAAAAUAAAAAAUGAAUACAAAAUUGACUUUUAUUUUUUAUGGUUGACUAUAUUUUGUGUUCUCUUCUGGUACUACUACAAUUGUUCCCUGUAUAUCACUCAUACCCAUAUAUCAUUGACACAAGAAAUGAAAUCUAAUGUCAGAUGUUUAGUUAAAGAAUCACUUAUGAAAAAAUUUUACCAUUUUGAUUUGAGGAUCCCUAUUUUGAACUGCAAGCUAAUGUUCAUCAAGAACAGAGUAUGGCAGUUGAGUAGAAAAACUAUUUUUGGACAAAUUGUUUUUAUUGAUAGAAGAAUUUCUCAAGGGACUACUAAAAUUAUUAAAAAAAAAUGUCAAACACGCCCAUAUAUCAUCAACACAAUUGGUUUUGAGAAUCCAUACUUUAAACUGCCGCCUAAUAUUCAUCAAGAGCAGAGCAUGGCUUGUGAGUAGAAAAUUUUCUGAUUUUGGCCCCAAAUAAUCCAGCACUUUCUCAUGAAGAAAUGCAUACAAAGCAUACCAUGGUACCAUACAAUACAAGGAGUCUCCGUUCUCUAGUUUUUCAAACUCUAAAGGGGCCAAUACUCCCUAAUUCCCCCUCGAAAAUUCUGAUUAUGACAUUAUUCAUCCCUCGAUGCAAUCAAAGUAGUGACAAAGUUAGGAAAAAUAUGAGUCCUAAGUAAUUGCUAGGCAGGGCUCCUGUGAGCAAAAUUGUCCUAAGCAUUAUAUGCAUACAUGGUGUGGUACAUAAAGCACAAUGAAUUCCACACUAUAACACAAACCCAGAAAGAGAAGAAACAACUUAAUUGAUGUAAAGACAAAAAGAAGAUAAAAUGAUAUAGAAAAAAAAAUUCAAAGAGAUAGCAACAUACUAUAGACUGAAGCCACUUGAUCUGCUCAUUGAUUGCAGCCUUAAACUUGCAAAUAGUUACCGUAAGCUAGUGCUAUAAGAAGUGAAAAUGAUGCACACCCUGAUUCCCUUCGACUUCCAUUUACUGUCAAACAUUCUAUUAAUACAAAAAAAUUGUUCAAAUAUCUUGCCAUAAAUAUAGCCGUUUGACUGGCUUAAUAAAGUCACAAAUAACCAUUCAUAUUGAUCCACAGUGUCACACCGCCUGCUUUAUGCAUACAACAGCUGUAUGUAUACCAACUCCUAACCUUAUCAAUACAUUUGGCAAAAACUUAAGAAGAAAACUAUUUCUCCAUCUCUUUUUUGAAAUUUCACAAUAAACCAGCAUAUUGUAAACGUUAUGUUGUAACCUUAUGAUAAAUGCUCUAGACUCCAAAUGAAUUUUAUAUAUGAGGGUUUGUUGCAGCAGAUAUAUUGACUUAUCAAGUAUGAAUCAUUGUCUAGAAGAACUAUCUUUAGAUAAAAGAAUAUUAGAACCAUUCUAGAAUAUCUUUAGGUUGCUAGUUCUAACAGGAAUCUGCAUGUGGCAACAGUUGCCAGAUCCACAAUUCCCCAACUUGAAAUACAUAGUUGCACACCGUGAGAUAGUGCUGCAAUCUACUGAGAUCUAACUUAUAUGAUACUUUAAGCUACUAAUGUUUGCAUAUUUCUACAUGUUAAAUUGACACUACCAUCUAUAAUCACUCUAAAACGACAGAUGAUAAGCAGCUUUUGGCUACUUAUUACUAGCAUCCACAAUUAAUUUUUGUUCAGCAAUCAGCUUAUUUUAUAGAAAUUGAUUUAGUCAGCAACAAACACUAUAAUCCUUGAAAUUAGUUCUUGUUCUUUGUAAUUUUCUAUGAUUUUUCAUACAUCAAUUAAUCUGCAGUGCCAAGAUGAGGUUUGGUUUUUCAAACUAAAUAAUCAAGUAGCAAAAAUACAAAUUUAGAGAUUAGGGGGUGAACUAGCUAGGUGGUUUACAAAUAUUCCUAUUUGUAAGGUGAAUUAAUUGAAUCAUGAGAAAACAAUGUGACCAUAGCUCAAUAUGAGAUGAUUUCGGAGAGGCAUAUUGUUUUCAAGUGAAUUUGAUCCAUUAAGAGAUGAAGUGGAUUGAAGUGGAAAGUUUAAAUAACAAAUCCUUGUUCUUGAGUUUUACGACGUUGUUACUCCUUCAGGUGGCAGAUUAUGCAAGUGAAUUCAAAAACACAAUGCAUCAAUCACGGGGAUGCUACACCAAAAGACGGGAUCAUAGUCUAUGCAUUGAACAGUUACAGUUGCUGCUACCAAUUGACUCGGCAAAGAUCAAGAAGACUGAACGGGAAGUUAAUGCCAUCAAUGUCGUCUUCACUAUAGCUGCUGGGAAUGUAGGUGAACUUUCCUCAUUUGCGGCUGUCUAUACAUAGGCUUUUCCCCAGCUUAAGUACAAAUAAAUGAACCUGCUUUGAAGGCUUUAUUAUUGACCACAAUAAGGAUUACUAAUUGAAGAAGACUAUACGGAGUUAAUCCCACACUUUCGUUCUCUCAAUUUCUUUCAGAAGUGCCUCUGAAAAUAGCUGCCAAACCGUUAGUCAGCUUGUUAGACUCUGUUUUCUGGAAACAGAGCCCUAACUAACUGACUGUACAGAGUAAGUCAACAUAGCAUAUUUAAUCGUUUUAAUUGAAUUGUCUUCGUAGCGAUCAUCAACAAACUCAUCAUGAGAUUUUUGAAGCACCCAAGGACUAUCACUGGGUUUCUCUUCUGGUUGAUUAAUUAAUUAAUCAAAGAACGGUUGGAUACCCAAGGACAAUUAAAAUUAUUCGACUUCUGGAACUGGGAAUGAAGUGCAAUGAUGGAGCAAAAUUUACAAUGUCUCCGGUUUCUCCUACCAUCGGACUUUUGCAGUGAGAACAUAUAACAAAAAGGCCUUCAUCAAAAUUUGUAGACUCCGGGUAUGGAUUGGAUCGAUUUUUUUGUUUGAUAUUGAAGAACCUCUUUACUAUCGCGAUAUAGAUUAUGUGCAAGGAGUUGUCUACUGUUCUUUGCCUUGUGCUAUGAUCGGUGCUCUUGAGGCUGCCCUGAAACACAGGAAAAUACUUCGAUAUCCUCCGUUCGAUGAUGCAAAGAACCGGUUAAUGUAUGAUUACCUAAUUGACUCAGGAUCAGGUAACAACAACAACAAUUUAUUAAUAUCACAAACGAAGAAGAUCGCGGAGAGGGAGAUGUAUGCCUAUACUGUUUACAGGUUUGAUCCAUUGGGGAUGAAGUGGUCUCAAGUCGAAAGUGAUUUAUUAAACAACAAAUCAUUGUUCUUGGGUUAUACCUCAUGAUGUCAUCAAGUGGAAGAUUAAGAUUAUGCAAGACGAAGAUCGUUUGAUAUUGAAGAAUUUGAACAGAAAGCCCAUAGAAAGUACUUAAAAAAGCAUAUUCUUGUUGGGGUAGAAUAUUGAGAAAGGAGUUGUCUACUGUGUGUUGCGUGAUUAUGCUAUGAUCUGUGCUUUGAACAUUGCCCUGAAAACAGUGGAAAAUACUUCAUAUCCUCGACAUGAUGAUAAAAAAUUGGUUACCGAUUACGUAACUGACUCAGGUGACAACAAUCCAUUAAUAGCACAAUUUGAGGUGAUGCCGUUUAGGUAUAUGGUUAACAGGUUUGAUUCAUCAAUGAUGAAGUGGGCUUAAAUUAAAAGAUCAUAUAAUAAGUCGUUCUUCUUGGGCAUAUCGUCAUUACUACUUCAAGUGAUCAAAGAUGAAGAUGAAGAUGAAAAUUGUGCAAGUGAGUUCAAGAAUACCAUACAUCGUUACUUGGGAUACUUCUUCAAAUAUGGAUGGGGUCAUAAUUUACUCCCACGAAUUUCAACCCAAUUUUAUGAUUGGAGUGUCCCACCAUGACUCAGAAAAAUUUUGAUUCAACCUCCUCCACCAAUGGAUUUUGAUUAGUCACUUUGUGAUCAAGCAACUUAAUUAAACUCAGAGAGUCAGAGUUCGAUUUUGCUGGCACCGCAUUUUCUUUAAAAUGUGGCCAUGUAAGGAGAGCGGCACAUAAUGUCACUUCCUUAUCAAGCACUUUAAAGAGGGAUUUUAGAAGAAGAUACAACUGCAAUUGUUUUCGUAUGUAUAUAUAUAAACAACAGCACACAUUCAGUUCAUAAAAGAAAUUUUUGCUAACCAUGAUAUGUGGUAGUGCUUUUUAGGCAAUUUAGAAACAGAGUUGUUCAACUUACAGCAGGUAUUCUCCUCAAGUUCGACGUAAAUACAAAUAUUAAUUAGAAUCCAUAUUAUAAUGACACACAUAACUUGCUUCAAAAUUAUCAGAAAUUAAAAUUGCUGAUUCAUAAUGCAGAUAACUUGGAUGAAUUGAUGUUAAAGGAAAAAUCACAGGCAUAACUUGGAGAGCAAUUGCGACAGCAGCCAAGUAUAUAUUUUUAUUUGAGAGUUGAGAAGAAUAUAUUUAAUGAAGCUUGAUAACAUUUGAUGGGAUAGCAAGUAAGGGUAAAUAAGAUAUUUUUAUUUGUUAUUUAUUUGAAUUAUAUCUAUUUUGUUCAAGUUAAAAUACUAAAUAUAAAUUGGAGGUAGACAUUUUAACAGAUCAUCUAAGCUCUCAAAUCUGAAAUUUUGUGUAGAUUUAAAUUCAUAAUUUUAGUUAAUUUUCAUUCAUUCAUAUAAACAAAUUUAUGAGAUUUUUCUUUUCAGCAUGUUAUAUUUUGAAACUUUCAAUGUAUUAUUCUAGCUUUAUUUAAACAAUUAAUUUAUUUAAUUUUGAAUUUGAUCAGUAGUAAAAUUAUUUUUAUAUCAAAUUUUUUUUAUUUAAAUAGUUCGUGGAUUGGACAAAAUUAAAAAAUUUUAAUCUACAAAAUGGUGGAUUAGAUAUGAAUUGGGUUAAAUCCACAUUCGAUUUGCAGUCGUAUGAAUUUGAUUUGGAUUGAAUUUCAUCAAUCCAUGGAUUAGAUUGGAUUGAAAAUUUAUUAUCCGCAAAAUCGUGGAUCGAAUAUGGACUGAUGUCCAAUCAGCAAAAUCCGAUCCCCGAACACGCCUCUAUCAAAAUUUUCAAGAAUAUGUUUUAUCUUACAAAUUUUUUUUUAAAGUCAUAAUCUAAUGGCAGCCCAAUUUUAUAAAGUCACACACAACCAUUCUUAUUAAAUUAGAAAGAUCAAACACUGCACUGGAUCUUGAACAGAUCAACACAAGUUGCACAACUUGCGAUUGAAUCCGGCCUGAAACAAUCAACUCUUUAGCAAGAACAAUUAAUCAGAGUCAAGAAACAAGUUUAAUGAAUAUAAACCUAUAAUUGAAACAAACAUAGCAAAGAAAAAAAAUACAGAUUUUACACGGUUCAGUUGUACCUAGGAUGGCACAACCUACACCACGAGAGAAGCUUUCUGGUGAGAUUUUAUUGAUGAUCAAAGAAGAAUCUUUUGACAAAGCUAAUAAUAGAGAUUUCAGAGAAUAAGCUAUAACCUCUCUCCCUCUUCAAUCUCUCUCUAUUUUGUUCCCAUUGAUGACCCCAAUCUGCUUAGUUAGCCAGCUUUAUAGCUGCAUCAGUAACAAACCAGCAAACCCAGAUUGAGCAGAUUGACGACACGUGGAUAACGGCUUUAACGAACCUGGUUAAGAACUGCUCACAUGUUCGUCACGCGUACUGCUUAAAUGAUGGCCAAAACGACUUCAAACAAAUGUCGUUUUGAGGCUUAUGAAUUACAAGUGAUAACACGAGAUUGUCUCAUGACUUUUAAAUGCAACAACGUGCCCAAAACGCUGUCGUUUUACUCUGUUGAGUUUGAUUCAUUACUAAGCUUUACGACUGGCAAUGGAGAAGAUGAUAAUUUAAUUGAUAUGGACAGUUUUUAUAUCACUUUUACAAAAUCCUAUGCAAUUGUAAUAUUGGGAAUUAUUGAUGUUUUAUAUGUGAAUCCUCAUUGGCAAAAACUAGUGGUUUUAUCUUUGUUGAAAUGUAGAUUACCUCUCGUUACUAUUUUAUUAUAAACAUAUAGUUUCGUAAGUGAAACUAUAUAUUUAUAAUAAAANNNNNNNNNNNNNNNNNNNNNNNNNNNNNNNNNNNNNNNNNNNNNNNNNNNNNNNNNNNNNNNNNNNNNNNNNNNNNNNNNNNNNNNNNNNNNNNNNNNNCAUUUCUGCCUCAUUAAGAUUCUCAAAUACCAGUCAGGUUUGCUUAAGAAAUAAAAUUUUUCCAUUAAAAUUGCAGUAGUAUUUCCAAGCAUAUCGCAUUUUCUAUGAUUUUUCAUAAAUUAAUUAAUCUGCGGUGCCAAUAUCAGAUUUAGUUUUUCAAACUAAAUAAUCAAGAAAGCAAACAUACAAAUAUACAGUUUAGAGGGGUAAACUAGGCAGGUGGUUUAGAUUUUAGAACUAAGGCAGCUACCUCACUAAAUUCCGAUUCGUACAGUGAACUGCAAGAAAUUGAGAAAACAAUGUAUUUAUAAUUUAAUAGAAUCAUAACAGAUGAAGUGGAAUGAAGUUGAAAGUUUAAAUAACAAAUCCUUGUUCUUGAGUUUUUACGACGUCGUUACUCCUUCAAGUGGCAGAUUAUGCAAGUGAAUGCAGAAACACAAUGCAUCUUCCGCGGGAUGAUACAUCAAAAGGCGGGAUUUGUUUAUGCCUUCAGAUUAGCAAUUUCACUCAUAUAGAAAAUUAAUUUUUUAUAUAUACUAAUCAACACUAAAUUGAUUAUGUGUUGUAUGUUUAUAUGCUAAUCAACACGAAAUUAUAUUGAAUUAUUAACAUUCAUAUUCCUAAUAAAAAUUAUUUUCCAUUAGUAUUCAAAAUUUUCACUUAUAGAAAAUGCAUUUUACGUGAAUACUAGUUAUUGUGUAAAUUUGAAUGAUAGCAAAAAAUAAACCUAUUUGAAAACUGUAAGGGUGUGUUGGGAUAUUUUACAACUGUCGGAAUCUGGUAGGAUAUUGCACCAUUUGCCCAAUAUUUUUAGACGUACUCUAACCGGUAUUCAAGAUAAGUAAAAUUUACAAGCGUGGCAAAAUAAAAAAAAUUAAAUUCGUAAUUUGUAAACGAAUUUUCCUGACAUGUAUAGUAGAUGAAGUUGUUGACCCUUUCUUUGGAUUAUUUCAGCUCUGGUUGUUGGUCACCGAUGAGCCGAAGUCUUAUUUUAAUUCUAUUUAAACUCAUCAUAAGAUUCGUGGAGCACCUAACUAACUUAACUGACUGUGCAGAGCAUCUCAACAUGGCAAAUUUAACCAUCAUUCAAGUGAUGGGUUUAAUAAGACUGCUUUUGUUCUACCAAGUUCCUCCGCCUCUAAGCAGAAUUACUAUUGAAGGGCCAAAUGGAAAAUGAAAACGUGUGAACUCCAACAACCACCCCACAAAUUCAAUGACGAUGCUCGGAGAGGGUUAGGUUGGGCCUCUGAGAAAAAAAAAAAUUAUUUAGUUAAAAAGUUACCCUUAUUGAAACCUGUAUAAAAAUUUUAUAUUAAUUAGUUAUGUUGCCUCUUCAACUAUGAUCAAAUUUUUAUCUGAGCUCAUCAUUUAAUGAGUAAACAUGUAUUUUAAUGAUCUCAAUUAAUAUUUAGAACAAAUAUUUUAAGAAGUAAAGCUCAUUAUAUCCCCCAUUAUUAUGUAUCUCUGUAAUGUAUUGAAUUAGAAGAAAAAAAAAAUUCAACUCACUCAAAAAAAAAAAAAUGCUGGUAGCUUCGUAAUAAUUACUGUCUUGACUGCACCAGAUAAAGUUUUGUAAAAGAAUUCUGAUAUUUACCCCGGGUCAAACCCCGAAAAUAACUUAAACGGUGUCGUUUUGAUUUUUUUUUUUUUUAUACUCCAAAACGUUCUUACCAUUUCCGUUUCACUUACCAUUUAAUGCUCACAACUCAAAUAAAAAGCCCAGAAACUAGAAUCAAACUUUACAGAAACUAGAAUGCCCAGAAACGUUGUAUAGCAGGAACGUAUGUAAAGAGAGUAAACAAGAGGGAUUAAACAGAACAUACGUUUUCUUCACUUAUUAUUAGCAACAAACACCCUACACAACACACAUUUAAUGCUCACAACUCAAAUAAAAAGCCCAGAAACUAGAAUCAAACUUUACAGAAACUAGAAUCAAACAAUACACAUUUCAUUUCUUCAAGGUUAGGGAGAGACUCAGGGGAGUGAUUAAUUAACAAAAAUAAGAAUAAUAAUACCAACAUUUGUACAGGUCAAAUAAGAAUAAUAAUACUCAACCUAAUACCCAGUAUAUACAAACAAAUGCCCAGGCCAUCGUUCCUAUUUUGCCAUAACCUAAAGAGGAAAAAGCGAAGCACUACCUCAGGCUGUGAACUUUGCCGCUUCGUGAGUUUAAUUUCCCGAACAAGUUUCGGCUACCAGCGUUACCAGUGUUGACGGUGACCGUGGCUGUCAGCGUUGACGGUGACCGUUGGUGGAUCCCGAAUGCCUGGACCUUGGUCGAGGAAGGAAAGUAACGAAUUUUUUGAACAAACGAAGAAACGAAGCACCGAAGAGAUUUACGGUCAAACGGAACAAGACCAACUUGCUCUUCUAUCUAUGGCUUUCCCAGUUGAAACGAAGAAACGAAGAGGAAGAGGUUUAAUUCUUCUCAAAAUCGUCCAUCAGAAACGGCAACGUUUUGGAGUAUAAAAAAAGAAAAAAAAAUCAAAACGACGCCGUUUAAGUUAUUUUUCGAGUUUGACCCAGGACAAACAUCAUUUUCCUUUGUAAAAUAAUAAGUUCUCAUUAGUGGUUUUUAAUUUUUAAUUUUUUUUUCGGCACACCUGAUCAAGAAUUCUAUUUUGUUAACUAAUAAAUUGCAAAGCAUAAGUGUUGAACGGUACAAAAAAAUUUGAAAAAAAACACUUAAAACGUAGGGAAAUGAGAAAUAUAGAAAGAAAGGAAGAAAGUUAAGACAUGAAACUGAUCUGCCGUGAAAUUGAUAAUCAUGUUUCUAUUUCGUUAACUAAUCAAACGGAAAACUGGAACUGUAAACAAACAUUAACACGUGUGGACUCUGCUAGCUGCCCUACAAGUCUACAAUAAUAAUUGAGUACCUUUGAUUCAUCCUUCUACGAAUUUCUAGCUGUAUUGACCCCAACUGCUAAAGUUUUGUAAAAUUAAAAAAAUAAAAAAUAAAAACUGGAAUUUCAACAAAAUUCAAAACGUGAGAAAUUUAAUUUUUGGCCAUGUGGAACAAAAUGUAAAUUACGGAAAAAGUAUAAAUCUCAAUUGCUUAGUAUGGUUAGGUUUUGUGAGCAUCACUAGAAAGUGAAAACUAUGAAUGAUAGGGGUGAUGUUUGCAACAUGAAUAAACGAUGAACUGAAUCAAUUGAUGAUCGUAAUUAUAUAAUGAACAAAAUUUACAAAAUCAACAAAAGUUAAUAAAAAUUUAUUUUAAUAAUAAAAAAUAAUAAAACUUAUUAUUUAACGGCGCUCUAACCAUGGAGUGCCAUAAUCAUAUUCUUCUUUUAAGAAAAUUAUAACUUAUUUCAAAUAGCACCAUAACAUAAUUCUAGAUAUUUAAAAGAAAAGCAUUAUCCACCUGAAAUGACUUGAAGUCUAAAGAAAAAGAGAGAGUGGCUCCCCACAAUUUUCUUGUUUUCAGUAUAUUUUCUUUUUUUUUUCUUUUUAAAAUCUUUUGACGCAUACAUAAUCUACCCUUGUUCAUUAUCUCUAUUUUGCUCUGUUCAAGUCCCUUUUUUUCAAAUCUUAGUUUAAAUAAGAAAAUUGAAUAAAAGUACAUUUGUGUAAUUAAUUAGUAUCUGUUUUUUUUGGGGGGGGGGGGGGGGGGGGGGGGGGGGGAGGGGGAGGAUAUUUGGUGUAAUGUUUUGCUAUGUAAGACUCAGCUAUUAUUAAACAGUUCCUUAACCUGUUUCGCAGUUUAUUUGCUAUCUUUGUGGAUCUCAUAGGCGUUGCAGAAUUUAAUAAUUUUAUUCGUCAGAAGAAUAGGAUACUGACUUCAAUAAAUUUAAUUUAAACCAACUUUUAUUUACUCCAUCAAUUAAUUAAUGCCAUUUUGUUUUGAAAAAUUCAAUAAUUAAAUUCUCACGUUUUAUGUGUUUGAAGUUAAAUUAUUCAUUAACUAGAACUCUGUUCAAAAUUGACUGUCUUGUGGUUCCCAAAUGUAGUUGUAAUAUUGAAUGAAAGUAAAAACUUUCUAUGGCGAGUUUAAAUCUAAAUCUGAACAAUGAAUUUUGACUUUCUCAAUGCUAUUCUAAUUACAAAAAUUAUAUUGAUUGAUUUAUUGUUACAGUUACUACCCUUUGAAAAUGUAUGGAUUUAUUGUUUCCGUGACCAAAUUAUGCCUGCCUAACGCUGCAACUAUUAAAAAAACUAAUAUUUAAUGCAUGUGUUAAAAGAUUUAAAAUUUUAUGCAUUUAUUAAUUGUUAUAAUCUAAAAAAAUUAAUUAGUUCAGGACAAUCUGAGUUGGUGCAUCUGCAGAGCCUUUUUUUUUUCCCCCCUUAUUGACCAUAAUGAUCUAAGGGGUAUAAUACGACCUUGGUUCUUGGUAAAAAUUAAUUAGUUCAGGUCAAUCUUUUAUGCUCUGUUUUCUAGAAACAGAGUCCUAACUAAAUUGAUUGACUGUACAGUGCAUUUCAACAUAGCAUAUUUAACCGUUUUAACAGUUAUUUGAACCGUCUUCAGAGUUAACAUCAACAAACUCAUUCAUAUUGGUCCAAUCUUACGGCCGAUAUCAUAUUAUCAUAUGCUUAAUAAUGAACAAAUAGUCUUGGAUCAGUGUUUUGCAGCAAGAGCAACUCGACACAAUCUGGAUUCAACCUCCUCCUAUCUAACAGGGGAUUUCGAUUUGAGUUACUUUGUGCUCAAGCAAAUUCACAUCAUAGUUUUGAUUCUUUAGGUAUGAAUUCAUCACAUUACAUAUAUCAGAUUAAGUGUAACAAAAUUUUUAAUUUAUUGCGAAAAGAAUACGCGCUAAAAAAUUAUUUGACGACUAUUUGAUUACCAAAAGCUGCUGUUAGAGUGCACUAAAAAUCGCCAUUGGCAUAAAUAUUUUUUGAAAAUACUGCCAUUAGAUAUUUUUAUUAUUCAUACUUCAUUGCACAAGGCAGCACCUAGCUUCUAUUUCCAGCCCUAAUAAUGAUCCGCUGCUGGAAAAGAAUUUGUGCAGCAUGUACGCUCCUUGACCACAACAGCAAAGUUUAUUGAUGUUAUUUCAUAUUCUGCUGUGACUCAAAUAAAAAUUUACCAUGCCCUUUCGGCAUGGCUUGCCUUUCAGCAAAAAAAGAAAAAAAAAAAUCUUUCAAAUUGUGGAAGCAUGCUUACAUUAAUCAGCUCAGUAUGUUGUGUUUCAUGGGAUGCAAAAUUCUUUUUGUUUCUCAUGGAAGAAUUGACUUGUCUGGAUGUAUUAAUCUCAUAGAUUUUCCACAGAUUCGUGGGAAUAUAACAAAGCUAGACUUAAGUGAGACCCCAAUAGAAGAAGUUCCGUCAUCAAUAGAGUGCCUAGCUGAUCUUAAAACGUUGCGUUUGAGUAAUUGCAUGAGGCUGAAGAGGCUUUCCAUCAAGCAUUUGUAAAUUGAAAUCUCUUCUUGAGCUUUAUCUCUAUAACUGCUCAAACCUUGAAAGUUUUCAAGAAAUCAUGGAGAAAAUGGAACGUUUAAAGAUAUAAAUUUAAAAAGGACGGCCAAUUACAGAGCUGCAAUCUUGAUAGCCUUCGGGAUAACAUUAGAAAUUUAAAAUCUUUGAGGUACAUCUCUACUAAUGGAUCGGCCAUUAGUCCUCUGUCGCAGGUUCGAUUGUACUUAAAUAUCUAUCAUUUUCUCAAUGCAGAGGUUUGGUAUCAUUGCCUCCAAUAUUAUUUUCAGGUUUAGUUUAUCGAAUUUGUUACAGCUAAAUUUAAGGGACUCUGCUAUAAUGGAAAUUCCCCAAAAUAUUGUUUGUCAAUCCUCAUUGAAAAUUUUAAAUCUAAAGGCUUGUUUGUUAACUACUUGAAGUAUGUAAUUAAUGCUUUUUUUUGUGUAAUUUAUGUUUGAUUUUGAGAUAUUUACAUUUGAAUAAAAAAAAAAAACUUUUGUUACAUUUAUCUAAAUAAGAAAAAGGCUGAAUGAGAAGUAAAUAAUCUCCUUUUUUGUUUUAACUUAGAAAAACAUAAACGUUAACUAACUAUGUUUAAAAAAAAUUUUAUUUAUGAAAAGAAACCAAAUACUACUUAUAUUCAUAUAUCAAAAAAUGAAAAACAAACAUAUUAUUCAUACGUGCACGCACAAACUCAUUCAGACCUCAGCUACAUACAAAUCCAUUUAGAUUUCAAACAAAAAAAUAAAUACUUCCUAAGUGGGAAUAACUUUGAGAGUUGACUUGCAAAUGUCAAGCAACUUGCAGGGCUAGAAUAUCUUGACUUGAACGGUUGCAAUGAUUUCUCAUCAUUGAGAGUUUAUCAUUGUGCUUCAUCAUCAUCAUCAUCAUCAUUAUUAAUAAAAAGGUAAGCAAUUAAGAGUCAAAUUAAACCACUUGAAAAUCACUCAUCCACACUUUUGGGACAUCAUCUGCUCAUUAUUUUUAUUCCGUAUCUUCAUUGUUUUAUUUGGUAAUUAUUACCAUUAGUAAAUAAAGGGAUUAGUUGAUUAUUGUGAAGUAACUAAAUGGAGCUCACCCUUAAAUGUCGGCUUAUAUCAAGGAGGCGCCUUAGGGUUAAUAAAUCAACUAAUCCCAUAAUUUGUUGAUGUAGGGUCCUAACAAAUUAUUGCCGUAGAUCAGCACACAGCUCGAAAACAUAUUUGAUCCACACAGUGAAGAUGAUUCAAUAUUAAGCAUGUCAUAUAAUCUGGAGUUGGAUAUUGGACCAAUUUGAUGAUAAUGAGUUUCUUUCAAUCUCAAUCUUUAUCUUAUUCGCAACAUGACUAGCCAUUGCGUAAAUUCAAACUCUGAAAAUGAUAAGUUUGUGAUAAAGGAAUCUAUGAGUACAAUGGGAAAAUUACAUGAACUUAUGUUAUCAAUCAUUGUUUUUCCUUCUCGUGAUAGAAUUCAGUGCAACAUAAAACAUGAUAUAUUUGUACCUUACCAUGCCAUGUUGUGAACCUAGAAGCAAUGCAAAUUGCAAGGAACAUUAAGCUAUCCACUGUAUAUAACAAAUUCUUAUUAGCCCACAAUCUUGUGCCGCCACAUUGAUCAAGUAACACUAUUAUAUCAUUUCCAAAAUGGCAUAUAUAAUCUAAUGUUGAACAAACCAAAUUGGGAAUCAUCAUUCCUUACAUUAAGUUGACAUUCGUACCUGCUAGUCCAUGAGCAAAGUUGCAUAUAUUUCUACACAGGCCGCUCCCCUUAUCUCUCGGUUCCGACAGAGCUUUGUUUUCCCAUCACCAGCUUUGGAUUCAUUCGAUCACUGGUGCUCCGAGUUAGAACGGUCUACAAAGCUGCAUUUCGUUAGGCAAUCUAGUCUCUCCAUUCCUAGCAAAGUGACAUUGAUUCCCGUAUUUGUAAUUGCCUAAUUGGGGUUUUGGCAAUAGCCUGGCUUAAAAUUACCACCCAUUACUUUGUUCAAUGCCACUGGCAUCCUCUGAUUAGGAACAUUUUCACAAUUUUUGGUCCUGUUAGUCGAAUCACAUUCAACGGGAUAGUGAGGCAGUAUUUCACUAAAAGAUUCAAUUUGACUACUCAUAUUGAUGCACAUAUAAGAAUUUGAAAUCACUUUCUCUUGGAAUAUUUAAUGACCCUUGAUGAAAGUUCUUGAAUGGAAUUAUUUAAUUUGAUUUGAUUUCCAACAAAUUCAAGAAACCCCACAUAGUAGCUAAACAAAAAUCAACCAAUAAUACGCAAUGGGUUUCUUUCUUUUUGCCUUUGGAGGGCCAUGGAGAUCUGGAGUGGGCUGUAAGUAAUAGCCUUUAUCACUGGAAUGACAGAUUUGCAGAAGAUGAUACAUGGGGAAGGAUUGGGCGAGCAUAAAAAUGGGUUUACACUCUUGGAUUAGCGCCUCAUUUAGGUUGUAGGCUUGUAGCGAGAUAAAGAUAUUAAUUAAAGUUUUAUAAUCCCUGUUAUGAUUAAGGCUUCACUUAGUAUAGCAUAGAGCUUUUUGAGUUUUACCAGAAAAUUUUUUUAAAAUUAUUAUUUAUCGGAAAAAGGAGACUUACACUCCAUGGUCUAAGGAAAUAGUCACAAAGAUACUAAGUUUUCAAUAAAAGACACCAAUUUUUUUUUUUUUUUCAUAAUGCCCUUUGACUCCAUAAAUUUCUAAAAAAAUAACUCCAAAAUUUUAUAAUAAAUGAAAAUAUGGCAUUAAAAUAAAUGCAGUAAUAUAUACAUUUCAAAAUAAUUUUAAUAUUUAGAAAUAUUUUAAUAUUUUUCAAUCUAUUAAACCUAUUUUUAAGCUGUUGACCUAUUAAAGUAAUUCUUAAUAAUGAUAGAAACAUAAUAUUAAAAUAAAUUAAUUAAAAUUAAAAUUAAAAUUAAAAGUAUUUUGAAAUUAUAUAAAACUAAUUUUAAUAUUAUUAAUAGGUAGAUUUUUAAUUGUAAAAUCUAUUUAACAAAAGAUUUAUUCAAAAUCUUUAUGAUAUUACAAAUAUAUUGUUAAAAUAAAUAUAAUAAUUUAAAAUUUUAAUAUUAUUUUAAAUGUAAAAAAUAAUUUAAUAUUAUUAGUCUACUAGAUAGAUUAUGUUAUUUAUAUUAAAUUUGUUUUAAUUAAAAGUCUUUAAAGUUAAUUUUUUAAUUACUAUAGUGAAAGGGUAUUAUGGGCAAAAAAGUGUCUUGGUAUCCUUCUUUUAAAACUUGAGAGUUUUUGUGACUAUUUUCCUAAAUCUUAAAGGUAUAAGUGUCAUUAUCCCUUAUUUAUUUGGUUGUUUUGCUCUCGAGAGUUUUUAAAGCUCCAAAAUCUUUAAUCAGUACUUUUUUUUUUUAAGUAAAACUUUUAACAAAAAAUUAUUAUUCAUUUGAUUGUUUACGAGAGUUUUUAUUAGAAGUUAUAUAAAGUUCUUUAAUUUUUUUAUUGGUGCAGCUUUUUACAUGUAUAAUUUUUAUUUUUUAACAAAAAUUAAUUAAAUAAUAUUAGAAAUCCUAAUAUUUGAGUCCCAAUAUCAUAUAUCACUCAUUUUUUAGAUGACAGAUUUCAUAACUUAUAAAAUUAUUUAACUAACAUCCAAUUAGUGAAUGUUACUAUAGUGAAGACUCAAAUUGAAAUUUAAAUGUUGGGUUGCGUGACAUUUCUCUUAUUUGGUUGUUUAUGAGAGCUUUCUUGUACAAAAUAAUUUUUAUACAAAUUGAUAUAGUCUAAAUUCAUUAAUUAGAUUAAAAUACAAAAUAAUAAAAAUAAAUAAGUUUGUAUAAGAAUAAUUCAUUCUUUAAUCCAUCUAAUUGAAUUAUCCUAUGUCUAUUUAUACUAAAUAAGUUUAUAUAAAAAUUUAUAGUUUUGUUUUUAGAUGUGCAACUAAAUUUUUAGUCUCUUAUUCCUCGUAAAAUUCAAAUCUGAGUGGCUCAUCAAAUAAAAUUAUUUGAAACCAUACGGUAUGGUAGCUGGAACCCUUGAAACCAUCGAGGUCAUGAAAUUUACCAGCCAAAAGAGUUUUAAAUGUCUAUUUUAUAAACUUUUAAAAAAAUUUUUAUUUACCAUUUUACCAUCCGUAGUAAAGGUGUCGCAUCGACAUUGAACAGAUCAACAUAUCAGUCAUUUCUCAUUCAGCCAUUAGGAAUUUACGUUUGGGGUAUUUUUGUAAUUAUAAGAAGGUAAACUAAUCGCAAAACUCGUUUGGCUUGCACUUGCUCGCCUGUGCUCUGUGACUCUGUGUAUGGUUAUGGCGUUAUCAUUAUCAUCUUCUCCACUCCUACUGACGCCAGACCUUAACAGUUCAGAUUCCCUUUCUCGACUGUCAUACCCUACGCCCCGUCUCCGUGUCUCCGAUAAACAGUGCUCAAUUAAGGCCAUCAGAUUAUCCCGGACCCACAUUGAUCCAACGGCUCACAAUGACCGACAUCCUCUCUAUCUCCAUUUCAAGCUCCCUCUUCAACUGGCUUCUGCUUCUGUCGUACUCUUUCUUGGAUUCGGAGUCCGUAUUUGCUCAGCCGGUCCCGCACAGCUCCCUCUCACUCCAAUUGUCACCCAACAAGACCAAUUGCUUAAUCAAGGCACAGACCAAGAAGAGGAUGAGAAGUUGAAACAAGAAUUUGAGAAUUGGAAAUCGAAAACGUACGCAUUAACCGUGCCUUAAAGGGUUGCUUCUCUUCAGAAUUCAGUGCCUCAAUCUUGGGUUAAGGAUUUUAUGCGAAGUCAAGGAAAGAGAUUGAAGUUUCAGAUGAAUUUGUGUGCUAGCAUUGAUGGGAUCGUUAACAAUUUAUCUGUGCCCUUUAACAAAGUUAAGGCUAAGUCAGCUUCUUAUAUGGCUGCUGAUUUGGUUAGUAUUGGUGAUUCAUGGCUCAGCUUUGCGAUUAAAAAGAGAUUGAUUGAGCCAAUAGCUGGAGCUGAAGACCAAGAUUGGUUCAAAUGCUUAAGUCACAAAUGGAAGGUAACAUCUUUAUCUUUGACCCGAUAAUUUUUAUUGUCUUACAUUGAAAUUUGGUAAUGUAAUUUGUUCUCUAUCUGUAUUACCCUUUUUAGUCGUUUUAUUUAUUUGUUUGUUUGUUUAUUUGCUUUUAUUUGCACUAACGAAGUCUCGGGUAUAUCUACCCAGGAAUGAUGCAGGAGAAAUUGAUCCUCGAGGUGAAAUAUGGGCGGCACCAUACAGGUGGGGCACAAUGGUGAUAGCCUACAAGAAAAGUAAAUUUCGAAAGCAUAAUUUGGCUCCGAUUGAGGUAAUAACUGUCUUUAAACUCAUUUAGUUUUAUAUCAAACAAAAUCAAGGCUGCCUUUCUCUUCAAUAUUUUUUAUGAUAAUAUCUUUAGAAGCAUCUCAUUGACGGGUAAUAAUGGUGUCCCUGAAAGAGUCUAUAAACUCAAUGAUAUUAUCUUCUACAAAUGGAUCAUUAAACUUCUUUUUUGUAGUCAAAUGUACACUAAGAACAAUGAGAAGCUAUGCCACUGUAGCACGUAGUGAUGGCACUUAAUAAGUGAGUUGCUAGGAUGUGAACAAGAAAAAUUAAAUAUUGUCUCCUUGGGUAUGCUAGCUCGUAAGUCAGGGUUAAUAUUAGAGCUUAAGAUACUAUAACCAUGCGAAACUAUUGACUGCCAAUUAAAAUAUCCAUUAAAAUGUCUAGGGAGUUAUGAAGGUAGAGUUAUCUUCCAAUUUCUAAGGCCACAUAGUAGACAUCAUCCAGGAUCCUAGGAAAGUGCGGUUGAUCUCCUGCUUGAUGCAGUUAAUAAAUUUGGUCAAUGCGACUGAAACCUGCUAACUGACGUCGCAAUGCGACAUGAGCACUUCAAAAUGGGAUAGACAGUAGCACUAAAUUUUUCUUGCCUAAGAUUGAGCAAUUGGUCUAAAUACUAACCCCUAUUGUAAGUUGAUCAUUAUUUUUUCAAUUAUGUUCAUUUUGACCCAAAAGUUACACAAUCUUGAUCUGAAUAUUGUCACUGAACACUGUCAAUGUCGUUUAGCAUUGGCAACUAACUCGAGUUUAGUAAAACAAACAUACACACUGUCUCAUGUCUCACAAUUCAAAUUAUCAUCUGUACUGAUGGAGAAUUUUUCUGAUGUAUGAAGUAUGCUUUGAUAUGUAGGUUAAGCUUGGAGAAGAUAUCUCAAAAUAAAGAAUAUGGGGAGUGAAUGGGAAGAAUCUGUAGUCAAGUUUUGUCUCAAAAAUGGUCAAAAUUUAAAUGAAUGGACGGGGGAUCUUCAUUCUUUUUUCACUUCUUUAUACCGAGAUAUCUCUCAACCUUUAUAUAAUUCCCACUGGAUAUCUGCUUCUAAUAAUUAAAAUAAAAAUUUCAACCACACCAAUAAAUAAUCAUCUUAGAGUGAGACUAUCAGUACAACCCAAAAACAUAAUAAAACUGGUUUGGUUCUUUUUGUUGAUGUCUAAAUGUUGUUCAUUGUGACAUGUAGAAAUGAUGAGGUGAAGUUUCUUUGGUCAUCAAAUAGUAAGAUCUUGUUUGAAGUUAUUUUCUGAAAUGAACAGUCAAAUGGUAGUUUUUUUGGGCCAUUCGAUGGCUCUUUUCUUCCUCAUUUUAAACUUGUGCCUGCUUGGAACGGGAUGGAUUAGGCUGCAGAGUUAUAUAUUUUGACAUGCUCUGGUCAUUACACAAUUUGUUCAUACUGGAAAUUAGGAUGAGAAAUUUGUUGCUGCUGUUUUGAGAGAUCUGCAUUCUAUGCACAAACAUGAUUAAUGAAAAUGGAUUGUAGGACUGGAAAGAUCUGUGGCAGCCUGAGCUCGCAGGAAGGAUUUCAAUGGUUAAUUCUCCCCGAGAGGUUAUUGGUUCAGUUUUGAAGUAUAUGGGAGCAUCAUACAAUUCAGACGAUAUUGAUUCACAAGUUGCUGGUGGGAAGAUUGCUGUUCAGCAGAAUCUGGCAUUACUGGUAAACCAGGUACUCUUAAAGAAAUGAUAUCUGGUCAUUGCAUGUUAUUGCCUGACAACUGAUUUUGUUUGUAAAAGUCGGCUUCUUCAUACAUAUGAAUGCAUAUGUUAGUGUUUUCUUCUCCUUUUCAUACAUAUGAAUGCAUAUGUUAGUGUUGUCUUUUCCUUUUCAUACAUAUUAAUACAUAUGUAGAUUUCUUCAUCAUUGUAGCCUCCAUAGUUGAAGUUUCCUCAUUUGAAGCUGUUUAUGCAUAUGCUUUUUCCCUUCUCAAGUACAGGAAAUUGAAGAAUUAACCAGAUGUGAUAUGCUGAAAGAGUGAAGUUUUCUCCCUUGAAUGUGGCCUUGUGAUUUGUCUUGAAGGAAUAGGAUGAUCACUGGCAAGAACCCUAUCAAGGUAGAUUUUAUGGUGUUAACAUAUUUUUAAGCAUUUUGUUACAUCAGCAAUGAUGCUUUCAUAGCAUGAAAGUGUUUAAUUUAACUGACUGAUCUUGAUUAAUCAAUUAUGAGUUUUAAUCGAGUAAAAACUAAAUACAAUCAUCGUCAAAAAAUACUGAAAUUGGAUUUGGAAACACAAUCCACACAGGAAAUCACCCUUCGCGUGGGGAUGGAGAUGUUUACUGCAACGAUAUCGAAUAUGUGCACGGUGUUGUCCACUGAAACAAUGGAAAAAAUUAACAUAGGGGUAUUUAAAUAAUUAAACUCAGACCUCUUUGUAUAUGUUAUCCUAACUUUACUUACCCUUGUUUGUAAUUUUCACUUAACAGUUGAUGCCUAAACCAUUAAAACCAAAUGACCAUAGGGGUAUUUAAAGUAUGUAAAAAUAAACAAAAACACGUAAAAAAUUUCAAACAAUUAAUAAUUACACUCUAAAUGUACCACUUAACUCUUAAUAAUAGCCAUACUCUAAAACAAUCUACAACCUUUGAGGGGAGUAGCUAUGAGGAAAAUCCUUUUCUCAGUGGAUUGCCAUUGUCCGAGAGUUACAAUGAAAAGAGACCACCAGCAACUGAGUCGGAAGAUUCAACUAGCACUGAAAAAGAUGAUAAUUUAAUUGAUAUGGACAGUUUCCAUAUCAUUUUUAAAUCAUCCUAUGUAAUUGUGAUGUUAGGAAGCAUUAGUGAUCUGUAUGUGAACUAUUAUUGGCGCCAUUGGUGGUUUUAUCUUGUUAAAAUAUGGAUGACUUCCAGUUACUAUUUUGUAGUACACAAUUUUAUUCAAUUAACAUAUAGCUUAAAACCAUUAUGUAUGUGCUUUAUUAAGAUUCUCAAGUACCAAUCACGUUUGCUUAAGAAAUAAAAUUUUGCCAUUAAAAGCGUAGUAAUAUUUCCAAGCGCUUCGCAUUUAUCUCAACAUUUUGAAGGAAUUUUGAGAAAUACACGGGUCCAAAAGUCUAGUCAUCAUCCUUAUUUUUCUAUCGUUCUUUUGGGUUUGCAGUUGGUGGUGCUUUCAAUGUUUCCCUGAAACAUAGCAAAAGAACGUACAUAUUCUUGGUAUGAGUUGAUUUUUAGUGAUUAUCUAAUUGACUGGGGUGACAACAAUAGCACAACGUAGAAUUCAAUAAUAAAAUUCUCUUGUUUAAUUUGUUUUAAGUUAAAUUAUUAAUUACUUAAAAUUCUGUUUUAAGUCUUUAAUUUUAUGUCUUGGCGUAUAUGCAGAGUUGGAUUCUUGAGUGAGUUGGACAUGACCUACAAUGAGAGUGGCAGUAAACAAACAUUAAAACGUGUGGACUCCGGUGGCUGCCCUGCAAGUCCACAACUCUACAAGAAUAAUUUCUAGCCCCGUUGACUCCACUAACUAAAGUUUUUUAAAAUUUAAAAAGGUACAUAGAAUUCCACAACAAGCAAAACGUGUGGAAUUUAAUUUUUUGCCCGUGUGGAACAAAAUACAAUUUAGCAAAAAAGGACAAGAAAAAUGGUAAGAUUUCUAAAAUGAGUGGAAGGUGAUCCAUAUUUUACUGAAACGACUUGUCCCGAACAUCACGACGAUUGAUUUUUUUUAUUUUAUUUUUGAAUAACAUCAACUUUCAUAUUUUUCUAACCCCCAGAAUAUGCUCACGUUCAAGUCUAUCUUGCUAAUUUAAAAAAAGAAAAUCAAAUCAACACCAAAACAAUGAAAAGUAAAGCUUUUGAAUUUCAACUCCAGCUAGCAAACGUAUUCAGCGUUUUCAAAUUCUUCCCAUUGCAUAUCUUCUUCCUCCAUCAAUGCAAUAUUUGAACGAUUAUGAAAGAAUUUAAGAACAUAAAAAAUCUCCAAGGUUUAUACGGUAUAACAAAUUUAAAUUCUCAAUUACAAUAGAUAAUAAUUAAACUAAUAAUUUUUUAUGUAUUUAUUUUAGUAAUUUCACCUAAGAAUAAUAUUGUAAUUAGAAAAAAAAAAUCUAAUAAGUAGGGUGGUCUUAUACAAAAUCAACUGCAUACAUUUACGCAGAUGCAGAUAAUAAUUUUUAAUUCCUUUUUUUAAUAAGAAAAUUGUGUAUUGAGAUGAAUAAGAUGUUUAAUUUAAUUAAUUUCCUUACUUUCGUAUGCAUUGUCUUUCUAUCUAGAGAAAGCUUGGUGUUCAGAACGACAUGAAGUUGCGAGUUGUCGCCCAUGGCUGCUGAUUAAUAAUAAAACGAGACAAAUUAAUUGAACUCAGGCCCAUAUGUAUAUGUUAUCCUAACUUUACUUGCUCUUGUUUGUUAAUAUUCAUUCUUAGAGAGGUGAAAAAAAUUUCAAGUCUUGAAUAACGAGGAGUUAGUUGCCUCUAACUUUACUUGGCCUUCUAUAAUCUCAUUAAUAAUACAGAGAAUUAAUUAUCUUUUUAUUAUUAAACCAUCUUCAGGAAGAUUUUCCUCAAUUUGCUCCAGAAGAGUUGGAGCUGUGGUUCUGAUAAACCAAAGAAUUAGUAGCAAUAUUAAUAUUGCCCACCCAAGAAAUAUGAGUGAAUUAAAGUAUUGACAAGACUUCGCUCAGAGGAGCAUUUAAACCACUUCCUUAUCAAUUGCGGCAGCCGUCUAUUAACUAAAACGCCAAUCUAAUACAAGAAGAAAGAACAUUUACAGACUUCGCUCAGAGGUCUAUUAACUGCGGCAGCCGUCUAUUAACUAAAACGCCAAUCUAAUACAAGAAGAAAUAACAUUUCCUUUUGUUAAUAAUUUUAGUCUAAUUUCAAUUGUACUGUGACCGCUUCUCAAGGUAAGUGAAAGUUACAGAUGUGGCAAAAUAAAUAAUUAAAUUAACAAAAUGCUAACUAAUUUUCCUAAAUACCUAGGGUUGUACAAUUUCACCAACCUGGAAGAAUUGACAUUAAUGGACUGGUCUCCUCCCCAUAUAAUUAUAAUCCUUCUAGAAAGCUAAUUUUUAUUAAAUAUUUGCUUUUAAGUUCAUUUCAAUUAAAAAAUGUUUUAAGUUAUUGAGAUUCUGAAUUCCUUUCUUCCAAUAAUAAUGAAAACGUAUUAAAUUAGAAAUGAAAAAAUUGGUGUUGAUGAUUCAACCUAUUUGGAUAGAUUACGUGAAUAAAAUUGAAAUUUUGAUUUAAUUUUUGUUUAUUGUUAAUUUUCAGGCUUAGUUUCAAGAAUUUAGAAUAUUACUUUGUUCAUGGAUUCAACUCGUGAGUGUCAUAUUCUAGACUUAAUGGUACCAUUUUUGAUUGAGGACAAUGACUCUCACUCAUCUUGUAAAAAAAUAUUUUCAACUAUUUUAAUGACUUAAAAAUUGAUAGAUUUAUUGUUGUCAUGAACAAAUUAUUCAUUUUAAUGAAAUAUAAUUAAUGCAUCAAAGUUAUCAGGUUUAUGUUCUAUCUUAACGCACUUUUUUUUUUUUUUGGGUUAUCAGCUAUGCCCCUGAGGCAUUUUGUAGAGUAUAGCUUCUGCCUACCUUUGUUUCAUUUUUUUUAAUAAAAAAACAAGGGAAGGUUUUUCCGAGUCAUCCAUUAUUUGAUUACCGUCAAUCAAGAAAACGACCAAAUUAAUUUCUCUCCAAAAUUUCCAAAAGCUAGAAAAUUUUGUUAUUUGAAAAUAACAUCAUUAAUUAUAGAGUGGAUCAAACCGCGUUAUUGUCUUUCAUAAAAUUGAUGUCUUUUUAAGAGUCAAUACUUUUUAUUUACGCAAACCAGUCGACAUCAACUUAAACUUCCAUAUUUUUAUUAUUAUUAUGUUAUUUAUUUUAAUCCCCGAUUAUUUGAUUAGCCACUAUAUAUAUCAAGAAAGCGACAAAAUUUAUUUCUCAUGACUUCCAAAAACUAGAAAAACGACAUCAUUUAUUAUUUUUUUGCAACCCUAAUUGACAUCAACUUUAACUUUAUUAUGUCAUUAUUUCAAUCCCCCAUUAUGACCUUUCUAAUCCUCCAUUAUGCAUCUUUUAUAGUGCAAAUUUAAUUGCACAUAUAAAUAAAUUGAUUAUUGUUACUCCACCACCAAUAUUUCAAAUAGUCACUAGACCAUUUCUGCCUUUAAUUUUCCCUUAAGUUUAACUAUUGACUGCUUUUAGCAUCUUAAAAUAUACAUUUAUUCCUCGAUUAUGUGAUAAAAUUAUGAAAAUAUCCAUUUUAGCUUAAAUUAAUUGGAAUAACCAUAAACAUAACUUAAAUUAAUAGAACAAAAUUAUCAAGUGUAUGUUCUAUCUUACUUUUUGAAGAAUUUAACAUAUAUAAUGCUAUACUAUUAAUAAAUUUAUCAUUUAAUAUAUAUGUUCAAAUAUUUUAUAUAUUUAUUAAUUGUUAUAUACUCAAAGGAUGAAUGAUUUUUCAGGUCUACAUGAGUUGGUGCAUCUGCAAGACUCAAUUUUGACAACAAUGAUCUAAGGGGUAAUUUACCUUGGUGUUUGACAAAUUUAACCUCUCUUCAAGAUUUACUUCCAAUCUACUUACUGUAAAUAUCUCCUCAUCUCCUCUCAUUUAUAUGAUAACCCUUGAAGAUCUCACAUUUUCAAACAAUCAUAUUAGGGUUUUUAUUAUUAGCAUCAUUGUGUCAAUAAUAUAUGUUGCAGUAAGAUUUUUUCAGACCAGUUCCCUUCUUCAAAUAAUAAUGGAAAAGUAUCAAUUUAAAAAUAAAAUGAAUAUGCAUUGAUUAAUUAUAUCCUGAUUUUGAUCGAUUAUAGCGAGAGUUUCUCCAAAUCAACGCCCUGAUUCAAAUAAUACAGAAAAAAUAGUAAUUUAAUAGUAAAAUUAACAAGUGUUGAUUAUAUAUCCUAAGUUUCAUCGAUUAUGUGAUCAAAGUGGCAUUGUUGAUUUAUUUCUUGUUCAAUGUUAAUUUUUAGGUUAUCUAAAUUUCAAGGAUUUAAAAUCUUUGUUCAUGGAUUACACGCUUAUUAAUUUUUCUGCCAUUGACUGUCAUAUUCUAGACUUAAUGGUACCUUCCUUGAUCAAGGACAAUUACUCUCUGUUCUCCUCUUAUAAAUUCCUCUUCCAUUAACAUCACUAGGAGUAUGUUGAUCUCUCAGACGUUAACUUCAGUGGAGAGUUUUCAAAUUGAUUGUUAUAAAACAACACAAAAACUAGACACACUUGAUCUGUCUAAUAAUUCUCUUUCGGUAAAAUUGAUUAAUUUUAGGGGAAUAUUCUACCAACCUAUAUAAUUUUAGAUUGAUCAUUAAUUAAUUAGACGAAAAAAGUACUUGUGCUUUUGUGGCGACAAUUGAACCGGAGAAGUGAAGCUGUAAAGAUUUGGCAGUAGUAAAUUGUUAGAAAGACGUAAAGACAAGUUCCCAUUAUUAUAAUUUUUUCAAAAAACUUUUUUACAACACAUGCACCUGGCCAAAAAUUUUAUUUUGCUAACUAACAAUAAUUGAGUAGCUGACCGUAUUGACUCCACCUACUUGCUAAAGUAAAAAAAUAGAAAUAGAAUUUCCACAAAAUGGCAAACAUGUAAAAUCUAAUAUUUGGCCGUGUGGAACAAAAUACAAAUUAAAAAAAAAUAGAAAAAAGGCCUAAAGACUUUUAAAAUGUGUGGAAGUCUUUCGGCCCUUUUAUAAUGGUGUGUUUUUCAAAGGAACAAAUAAUAAUAAUGACACUUCUAUGGUUUGUUUUGAUAAUCACACAUAUACUCUUUAAUUUGAUAAAUGGUUACACAAAUUUUGUUUACAAAAAUAUAUUAUUCAUGUUCUGUAUUAUUUUUUAACAUCAUAUUUUUAUUUAUUAUAAUUGUUUAAAGUUAAUUGUUAGGUUGAUAUAUAAUAAAAACGUAUAAUCGUUCUCUUACUAAACACACAUACUCGUAGUUUAUGUUCAUUUGUCAUCUCAAUCUCUCUCAUUUAUCCUUUAUUGAUAGCUCAAAACGCGUCACUGUGGAAAAUUAUAGCAAAACGACAAAUAUGGAAAAAAUGGGAAGAAAAUUAAUGCAUGAAAGAGUUGCAGAAGACAACCAAAUAAGUCAACUAUACGCUAGUUGGGUGUAUAAAUUGUUAGAUGUGUUAUAAACAAAUAGCAUAGAGCCUUGGUUGGUUACAGAGAUAGAAAAAGUGUGUGUGUUUUUUAGAACUUAAAGAUAUAGUUAGAAUGGGUGGUUCAAAAUCAAAAAUGGUGAUAAUGUUUGUUCUGUUAUUAAUAAUAUUAGAAGGUGGGUGGAGUGAAGGAUGUUUGGAUCACGAGAGAUUUGCUCUUUUGCGACUCAAACAUCUCUUCGAUGAUACUGGUAAUUAUCCUUACGAUUGGGGAGAUGGUGAGGGAGCUACUGAUUGUUGUCUGUGGGAAAAGGUUGAGUGCAGCAACACCACAGGCCGAGUGAUAGCGCUAGACCUUAUUGAUACGUAUGGGGGAGAGCACAGCUGGUAUCUGAAUGCUUCUUUGUUUACUCCCUUCCAACAACUUGAGUCACUUGAUUUACAUGGCAAAAAUAUAGCCGGUUUUGUUGAGAAUGAAGGUGCUUCGUCUAAUUCAAUUAAAUUACAUUUCGCUCUCCUAAUUUAAGUCGAAUAUCAAGACUGAGCAGCUAUAUGCAUAUUCAUUCAAUUGACAAUUUUUACAUAUUUUUUAAAAUGUUUAAUUUUGAAAUUACACCAAACAUCAUAUGUGAUCUUUGUUUUGAUUUUACUUGCAGGUCUAGAAAGAUUGAGCAACUUGAAGAUGCUGGAUUUAAGUGAAAACUUGUUCAACAAUAGCAUCUUAUCAUCUCUAGCUCGUCUUUCAUCAUUAACAUCAUUAGAUUUAUCUGAUAAUAGAUUGGAAGGAAGUAUUAAUGUUAAAGGUACGUAAUUAAAACAUCAUCUCUUCUCCCAACUCUUUCAUUAACAUGCUAAAAUAAGAUUCAAGGCUUUGAAUUCAAUUUUUUUAUGAGUAAAUAUUAGAAAAAUAGUUUUAAGCAAUUCAUAAAUACAAUUUUCAAUGUUUCUCAUAAUUACUCUAACUGUGAAGCAAAUACCCCAUGACUAAUUUAUCAUUUUGUCCAGUUAAAAAUGAUAAAAUUUAUCAUUUGUUUAUAUUGAUUUAUUAACUCUAUUUUAAGUCUUAAGUCUUGGCGUGUUGGCAUGUUUGCAGAAUUUGAUUCCUUGAGCAACUUAGAGGAGUUGGACAUGCGCGGUAAUGAAAUAGACAAUUUCGAGGUUCCUCAAGGUAAACAAUUAAAAUAUUAUUCAAUUACAUUAAUUUAAUUCGUUUGAUUAGGGAAGGCCCAAAAUGUACAAAAACAUAAUUAAAAAAAAAUAAAGAAACAGAGAAUUCAUAUUAUUUCAAAAAACAAAAGGUAAUACUAUUAUUUCAAAAAAAGAAUGUAAUAAAGAUUUGAUUCCGGUUCUUUAAUCUUUAUAGCAAUUGAAAAACAAUGUUGCUCUUUUCCUAAAGCAUAAAAUAUGAAAUGAGUCAUAAUUGAAUUAGUCAUUUAUUUUGUUUAGAUCUAAAUUUAGACAAUAAAUUUUGAUUUUUUUUUCAAUCCUAUCCUUAUUAUUAUUGUUAAACAGGUUACAGAGGUUUGAGGAAGUUGAAAAGCCUCUAUCUAUCGGAAGUUAAAAUUAGAGAUGGAAGCAAGUUGUUACAGUCAAUUGGAUCAUUCCCAUCCCUCAACACUCUUUACCUUUCGUCUAAUAAUUUUACGGAAACAGUGACAACUACUACUCAAGGUAAGUAAAAGGUAUAGAUGUGGCCAAAUUUAUAAACAAAUUGUUAAUUAAUUAAUUUUUCCGUAUUAUUAAUUAAGCUAAAUUUGUUGCUCCUUCCUUCUAAAUGUACACAGAGUUGCACAAUUUCACCAACUUGGAAUAUUUGACAUUGGACUCUUCCUCUAUCCAUAUAAGCCUUCUGCAAAGCAUUGCAUCAUUAUUCCCUUCAUUAAAAAAUCUGUCGAUGUCUAGUUAUGAAGUCAAUGGCGUCCUACGUGGUCAAGGUAAAAGAAAAGUGUUGAUUGUGAACUCGCUCAAUGGUGUCCUACGUGUUCAACAUUUUUAUUUAUUUAUUUUAUUGUUUAAUGUUUCUGCUAGGUUUUCCUCAUUUCAAGAGUUUGGAACUUUUGGAUAUGGAGUGCACGCGCAUUGCACUCAACACCAGCUUUCUUCAAAUCAUCAGUGAAUCGAUGCCUUCUCUUAAGUACUUAUCACUGUCAGAUUCUACUCUUGGCACUAACAGCAGCAAGAUUCUUGAUCGAGGUUAAUCAGAUGCUCCCACCCUCCCUUCUUAAUCUAUAAUAUUAAUUUUCAAUUAAAUAUUUAAUUACACAAACGAAUCACUUAUUAUAAAAGAAUAAUACGCAUUCA